GUUGGGAUGCCUCCUGUUAUAUAUCCACCACCCUCCACCAUAGGUUGGUGGUUGAUCUGAGUUAUUUCAUGACUUCUGUCGUUUUAGAGCAACCCACCUCCCAAGCCUUUGAGAGAGAAUUCCUGCGGGGAAACACAAACACCCAUAGCCCAAAGUGAUUGAGCACCACUAAAGAUAUUUUGUUCUAAGUGAACUGAAGAAUUAUUACACUUGAAGAUUGUGAUCUUCCACACGGUUAGGCGUCAUCUUCUGAGAAUCCAAUAGUCGUUGUGGAUUGCUAGUGAACAAGUUUGUGGAGGUUUCGGAAGUCUAUCUCGAAGACUUACCUGAGUGAUUGAGUGAGGUCUAAGUGAAUUUAUCUCAAGGGGAAUAAAGUGAAGACUUUGCCUUCUGAGUUCAAUCUCAGCCUCCCUAACCAGGCGUAUACUUGUCACGUCAACUGUAACUAGUCAAACAAAUCAUUGUCUUCACCAAGCAACUAGUUCUAUCUCUUCACCGCUUUACUUUCAGUUGCGUGUUGUGAAGCCUUUGUCUGCUCAUCUUAGUGUGAAGACAUUUCCAUUGAUUCCAUCUUUGUCUUCUUGUUUGCUGUUCAUUGCACUCUAUGCUACCUAGCUUGCAUGUUGUGUUCGUUUCCCAUGUGGUUUAGUUUAUCUUGGAUUGCAUGCCUAUUCAUAACAUGUCAAGGUAGCACAUGGAAUACCAUAAACAACCAAAAUUACAAUCAUGACCAUAUAUCACCUAACGACGACUACAAAUAAUGAAGCAAGCCAAAGACACGUCAUGGCUAGCCUCUUUGUCUAGAAAGAGAGAAAACAAGUCAGGUCUUCAAAUAGAGAAACGCUAACAAAGUACAAAACCUGACAAGUCAACCCGAAGCCCUUGAUGAAUACUUGCUGGGUUGGUGGCCACCAAUCCGCAAGACCAUAACCCUAAGAGCUAGUUGUUAUCAACGGCGACUACCACACCAGGAUAAACAUAGAACUGCCACACGACCGCCUAUACGCAGUCCACCCAAAAAACAUAGCAUACAAGAAACUUAAUCUAAAUGCUAAAACUUGAUCCAUGGUUCAUCCCCUUUUUCAGGGUUGGUUCUUCACCUUUUGAUUCUAAAAUGGGUCGCCAGGACCUGCAAUGGAGGAUGUCUUCAAGAACUAGGAGAAUGUUGAGUUGCAACUUAUUCUUGACCCAAUACUCCCUCAAAAACGCAAGCGUGCUAUUCAUGACUAGCCUUUUUGUAGAGAGAAAAAAAACGUUUGAUGUCGGAUGAAGAACCGCUAACUAAAACAAAUCUGGCAUCACCACCUUCAAAUCAGUCCAAAGCUCUCAAGGACAACUUGUGGGUUGGUGGUUGUCGACGUGUGAGACAAAAAACCUAAGGGCUCCUUGUAACCAACCCGACCAGUGGCAAAGGCAGUAUUGCCUCAAAUUUUAUGUUGAAUGGAACUUUAACAAAUUUUACUGUUCAUAUGCAUAAGGACAUCUUCAACGCGAAGCCUCAAAUCACUUGCAACUGUUCGGACGGCGCGGUCUGGGCAUGUUUUUGAAAGUGUUAGUCAUCGACUAGAGGGGAUGGGGGCGAACAAGCGAUUUUUAUAAAAGUCUUCGAAAUAGGCAACACCUUCGAAGAUGUGGAAUAAAGCUACACUAGGUGGAAAGUUUUCUCAAAAAGAAACUCAAAAAUAGCAGGGAUAUAUAGGAGAUGAAAUGAUUUACUUGCUCACUAAGAUUUGUUCCUGAAAAAACAUCAUCAUGGGGAUAGCGCAUGUAGCAGACAGUGCAAGGCGCAUGCCAUAGUGUUGUCAGCUGUUGGGUAGGUCCACGCAAGAUUUGAUCUAGGCGACCACGCACCAAACAAACAACCUUUCCAGCCGAAUGCUGCGUCAAGCCACUCCAAAACACGCCCAAAUUAUUAUUAUUUGUUCCAUAAAUAAUCGGAGAGGGGCUCCAAAGCCACGCGAGAAAGCACAGAAUAUACCUUUGAAUACUCCAAAGCGGAGCAAAGCACGGUGGCGAGAAAAGUCCGAGUUCCCAUAUGCUCACGAAUAUGCCAGGGAAGAUGCCCCCUCACUUAGGUCACCGGGCCACCGGAGCUUCCACUCGCCUCGAUCGCCGGUCGACGGAAACCUCGUGCCCUAUAUAUGGAGCCUCACCCGGCGUCUCCCAUGGAGGAACUCCUUCCUCACCUGGGAGGAGCUCCUCCUAGGUAUAUACCCCCCAACAAUGGCCUGACGCCAGCCACUGCUAGCUAGCUGGCGUGUACGUAGCUCCUGUCGGCGACGACCGGCCGGCGACGGCGGUGCGCGGCGGAGGUAUCUAGCUAGCUAGCUAGCUAGGCGGGUGUUAGGCCGUGUAGGGCAACUAUACAUCUUUGGCAAUGUCUUCUUCUUCUUCCUCCUCCUCCGAUGGAUUAUUGGAAGAUUGUAAUGGAGUGUGUAAACUGUGUCCGCAUCCUUCCUAGAGAUUUCACCAUCUUGCGUUUCUACGACCUAUACUAGUGCUCUGUUGUUUCGUUAAAAAAGAGAUAUACUAUAUUACUAGUGGUCUGGUCUGGUUGUGGAGGCUACUGUAUUCCUGUUUGUGGCGAGCUCGUGUUUUUGUCAUGCCAACUUUUUACUGUUGAUUUUUCAGCACUGCAAAAAUGGGUUGUAUAGUAGUACUCCCCAAGUCCCGAGUGCUCCACUAUGUGGCAAUGUCUUGGAUACGGGAAAAUCGGGCGGUAGGGAGCAUCUUCUAUCGAAAAAUAAGAAUCUACGCGUAAUCUCAUGGUGCAUCUACAACAAGGGCCCUGUGUGGAUACAGGUUAGAGUUAGAUUUUAACUCUAGACUAACCCUGAACUAACUCUAACCAAAGAGGUGUUUGGAUGAAAGGGUUAGAUUGCCAAUAAAUGCACUUUUUUCAAUCAUUUGGCUCCUUUAUCUAGGAUUUUGUGUGGUGGAGGAAGAGAGAAAAGUAACUUUUUCUGGACCCCACCCAACUCUAACCCAAAAAAGCAUCUCUUGGAUGGGUUAGAUUUUUUGGAUGGGUUAGAUGCAUCUAACCAACUCUAACCCACCCUGUUUGAAUUUUUAAGGGUUAGAUGAGUUCAAUCUAACCAACUCUAACUCUAACCCUAGGAUCCAAACAGGGCCAAGGUAAGAAGAUGACCGGCCUGGCCUAGCAGUGCAGGCGGUGCGAUUCCGGUCCAAGGGAGUAUUAAUAUUGUCCUUCGACUGUGCAUCAAGUUUGGAUGAGAGCACCUCAAAACCAGAAACGAUAUAAUUCUUCAGUCAAACCUAAGUUUGGGUGGUUUUGGUGGUGACAUGUCUCGGUUUUCACUCAAACGUGACACGGUUGCAUUAUUUGGUCGACCAUACGACAUAGGUUCUUCUUCAUUCUAUCUCACUUCUCUGUCGGGGUCCAAAUCCACGUGUAUAGAGUUCACUCAAUCUUAGGCAUGCAAAUUUGAAACCUUUAGGCCGUGUUUGGGAUGGGUAUAAAGUUAUACGAAGAUGUAUUGUUUACAAGUGUAACUUACUGAUCGUGAACAAUUUCCGGCCCGAAACGAAAUGACCGAUUGAGGCAUGUACUUUUUACGGAGGUAUUUAGAAUGAAAAUGUUGAUCCAAACAGGGCCUUAGGGUGCCCUCCCACCCUGCUUAGUUCAAGCAAAUGAACUAAAAAUAUUAAAGUAAUAUGUUACCGAAAUUUAGUUCAUCUAGUUGAACUAAGGAAGACCGAAGGCUAUCUUCAAGGUUCCAAAUUUGAAUUGCUAAUUAGUCCGCUUGUCAAGGGAUUGGAAGGGAUUUCAAUUCUAACAAGCCUUCGACGAGGGUCCUCACCGAGAGGGAGCGCCAUGCCAUGUGGAGGGAAGAAAGCCGAAUGGCAAUACUAUGAAAACGUUUAGAAACAACCGACAGGUCACAACACAGGUGUCGGUCACCUUCAACGCGCCACGCCCCUUCACUAUUUGCACUUAACUCCGAUGCGUGAGCUAGUCGCCUCUCCUGUGCUACAAAGCUCGUUGCAGACGCUGCUAGCAAGAACGGUUGCAACACCAUCCAAGCCCCUUCACUAUCUGCACUGCCAAGCCCGUUCGCAGCGCUACACUUGACUCGGUCUAUUUUCAACACAGGUUUGGCGAAAUAAACUCUUAAAUCAAAAUUCCGGUCCAUUGCACCCUGAAUUAUGUAAUCCCGGUCUAAAUUAAACCCUGGAGUCGUUUUGCAAACGAGGAUCGUCAACGUAUGAAUGGGAUUGAUGCCAUUUUCGCACUAUUUGUUUCUUGUUGGGCCGACCUGUUUUUGAUUUAUUUUUUUCCUUAUUUAACACGCAUAGAUUUUUUUUAUUUUUUAAAACUGCAAAAAUAAGCACGGAUGGUAACCCGAAUAAAAGACCUCCCUUUUCACAUUGUGUUCGCUUACUCCCUUUUUCUUCCUCUUCUUUUCCUAUUUUAGUUUAUUAUAUCCUUUUUAUUUUUAUUAUGUUUAUAUAUUUUCUGAAAUUCAUGGCCAUCUUAGUAGGAAAUUGAAAACAAAAAAACACCAUGAACCAAAUUUUCAAAAUGAUAAAUGGUCACGAAUUUUCUAAUAUGUUCCCAUAUUUCAGAAUUGUAUGGUCGCUUUGCGAGCUCUCCUGAGAUCGCAUAUGUGCAAGGAAAAAAAUAGCGCGCUAUUUGAAAUAGCGCAGCCUUCAAAAAAACGCUAUGAACGAAAUAGCGUGCUAAUAGCUCGCUAUUUUGCAAAAUAGCGUGUCAUAAAACAUUGUUCAGAUUUCAGCAUAUAGCAACACAAAUGACAGAUUUCAGCAGAGGCGGCAAGAGGAGAGGAGGCUGCGAGCGGAGGAGGCGGCAAGAGGCGGUCGGCCGUGGCUGGAGGAGACGGGAGAAGCACCGGUGGCCGUCGCUGCCGCCGUCGCUCGGUAGGUUUGGUUAAGGAUUUAGGGUUUGCUCGAUAGGUAUGGUCGUCGCUAUAGGUUUGGUCGCCGCUGGUUAGGGUUACUGGACCGGAAAGCCCAAAAGAAUAAUGGGCUGAUGAAAAAUUCGUCCGAAAAAAAUAGCGCCGCGUCGAAAAAAAUAGCACCGAUACGCGCUAUAGCGCGAAAUUACCGUAUUUAGCGUGAAUAGCGUCAUAGCGAGUGAAAUAUGCAUAGCGUAGCGUUUAGUUUUCAAAUACGCUAUUAACGCGCUAUAGCAGCGUUUUAGUGCGCUGGUUUUUUUCCUUGCAUAUGUGCGAUGUUCUUUGCAUCCAAUAGGUAUUUCCUUUAACAAAAAAAUAUUUUCUAAAAAGAUAAAAAAAAACUACAAAUGGGCAGCUUGUGCAAACAUUUUCUGAAUUUCUAACAAUUUUUGGCAAUAGGAACAUUUUUGUUAAUAUGUGUGCAAAUUAUGAAAUUCUGAAAAAAAACCAUAAACCACGAACAUAUUUUGUAUUUUUCAGAACAUAUUGGGAAUAUGAAACAUUUCCUGAUAUUCCAAACAUAAAUUUAUAACUGCGGACAUUUUCUCAAUUUCUGAACAAUUUUCGGCAACAGGCAUAUUUUUCUAACAUAUGUACGAAUUAUGAAAUUCUGAACAAAUUUUGAAAACAAAAACAUCUGUUGAAGUUUUUUAAAAAACAUUUUUGAAAUGGAACAUUUCCUGAUAUUCUGAACAAAAAAUUAUAACUGCAGACAUUUUCAGACGAAUCUCAAUUGACACGGUGUCAGGAUUCGAUUUAGACCGGGGUUGUAUAGUUGAGGGUGUAAUCAACAGGAAUUUCAACUUGAGGGUUCAUUCCGCCUGACCAAUACAAGUUCAAGGUUUAAAUUGGACUUUUUCGGCUCCAGCAAAGCAAUGCUUCACGAGCACUGCAAACUUGGCAAUCUCUGUCGCAAACACAUCAACAACAUGCUGAUCGAGUGCUUCAACGGGUUGCAACAUCGGUGGGUUGUGGCCAACGGAGAGAGCAGAGCUGGUGCUUCAACCACUACAGCCAAACAAACAGCGGCGAUGCUAACGGUUGGGAGGGGUGAUUAAGAAGCGCCUGAUAAUCUCAACUUCUCAAGAAGUGAGCCUGGAUAUUAUACAAAUCACAUUACAUAAAAACAGCAGACCAAUGGUAUGGCAAUACGAUAAAAACUAAAAUACCUUAGUUAUAAGCUGACAAACAACCAAGGAGAUCACAGGCUCCAAACUGCAGUGAGCCAAGCAGAUUGGUAGACUUAAACCUCUUCAGCAUCUAACUCGAUGGAACAACAUAAUAUUGCAUAUAGAUUUUUCAGAAUUAACCACAGGCACAGCUCAUAGUUUUCAAACAAAGACACCCAAUCCCAAAGUGCAUAACAGAUUCCAGAAUAACUCAACAAGCAACGGCAGCUAGUCAGACAAAAAAAAGACAACUUAGGUGUUCCUUGGGAAAUAUCCUACUAACACAUCUCAGGUACUUUCAUCGAAUUUUCAUUUUCCAUUUUCAGUAGAAAAAGCCUAGCACUUUGCCACCAACAUUCUUACGCCUAGCCUCCUCAUGGUCCAUGAUCCCAGCAGAAGUUGUCAGCACAAUGUAACCAAACUGCAAAUCAGGUUGGAGAAUGUACACCGAGUUAAUGAUCAGUCAUCAGCAACACAAUUAUGGUUUAUGGAUAUCAAGUUCCAGCCAAGAUGCAACAAUAUGUAGCAAGUCAAAGCAAACUGACCUGACGAGAAGGAAGAAGCCUUGCAGUCCAUCCCUCAAUCUCCUUGACACCAACAUCAAAGCGAGGACUGAUGACACCACACUUGUUCAGCCUGCCAUUCAAUUCAACCACGAUCUUGCCAGACCUGUGAUCAUCAACAUACUCAAGCUCGCCAAUGUAUCCUACAAUACAUUGAACAGAGUCAGCUACAGAUUCUCAGAGAGCAACGACAAAACAGAAUAUGCAGUUUAGAACUAACCGUGCUUCUGCAUGACGAUAAGGAACUUGAUAAUGACCUUGGAAGAAGGCCUGAUCAUGACCUGCCUCUUCCCACGCUUCUCAGCGUUGUACAUGCUCUUGAGAGCAUCAUUCAGCACACUGACUCUCACCAUCCUUACCUGCAGAAUAAUAACAGACUUUAGAAACCAAACGAAAGUGGGGAAAAAGGACUACAUGCCUUGCAAGCAAGUACCAAUGGAACAGUUUUGACAUUUCAACACUCCUAAUAUUUCAAUAUAGCAAGGUCUACUUAGAACAAGAAUGUAAAAAAUGUUAGUAUGUUACACUAUUCCAUCCAUUUAAAGGAAGUGGUCCUACAUAUGCAAGUGCUAACAAUUACCAGACCUUAGCUAAGAUAUGAGUUUAUUAAACUAGUUCAAUAUGUUACACUAUUCCAUCCAUUUAAAGGAAGUAGUCCUACAUAUGCAAGUGCUACCAAUUACCAGAGCUUAACUAAGAUAUGAGUUUACUCAACUUGUUCAAUGAUAUCUGCAUGCAAGUCAAAGCAAGUUCUACAGUACACAAGCAGAUAGGAUGAUUGGCAACUAGCUACUCAAGCAAAAGUGAAUCACGUUCCAAAUGGAAUCAUGAACAAACCUGUGAUGCAUUUAACAAAGCAACUAGGUGGAUACACAAUUAAGCAUAUAAACAUCUGAACUGACAGAAAAAAACGUACAUCAUUCCUUAAGACGUAUACACGACGCAUGGCGAUAUGACCACCCAAGAAAGGUUCACGGUCAGCUCGCUAAAGAUUUAACAAGCCAAAACAUUUCACGGCGUUUGAAAACAGGUGCAUCUCCUCAGGUUAAUCUCAUCCCAACGAUGCAACGAAGCAAAAUAAAACUAAUUUCAUUUCUCGCAUUUCACCGGCGAAAAUCACAGGCCGCACACAAAAUUCAGCAGAGCGCUCCCCAGCAAACUAUUCAUUCUAACGCACCAAACUGCGACAAAUCUCCAACCACAUGAACAUGGUAAACAGGCAGGAAAACACCUACACGACAUCAAUGGUUAACCAGGGCUCUCUACAACUACAGAUUCUCUUGAUCCUGCAUCGCUCCCAGAUCAAACCAAGGCACCCGAUGCUCACAAGAUAUCAGCCACACUGGGAUAAACAAGAAGCUUGCAGCUCGCCGGGAAAAAAGGUAGAGACACACCGCGCCGCCGUAAAACUAGAGAUCCGGAAUAGCUACGCGCCGAUCUAGGGAACAAUCGGAAGGGAGGGGGAGGAGGGGCAGGGAGGGAUCGGGGCGACGUGCUUCCGCGAGUGGUACCUCUAGGGAGCGAGCCGAGCUCUGGCCGUGGCGGCGGCGGCGGCGGCGGCGGCGUCUGCGGAGCGAGAGCGGCAAGCAGGAAGGCGACGGCGCAAGGGGGAGUUCCGCGAGAGCGUUUGGGAGAUUAAAAAGGGUGGAAGGAUAGCGUGCCCGCGGUUGGAUCCGAAUCUGACGGUGGUCGUUCGCUUCGAGGUGGUUUGCCCUAGAAUGGCUCCAGUCCCUCCCCUGGUGCUCCCAUAUGGGCCCUACAAACACGGCCUUUCUGUGGUAACCCAGCUCGAACGGCCCAUGUGAGACGUCUCUGUAAUGGGCCCGGCAUCUCUCUCGUCCGUAAAAACGUAGGGCAUCCUCUUCCUGCAUUGCUGCUGCUGUGUUUUUCUUUUUCAGUUGUGCUCUCGUGUAUUGCUGAUAUUGCAAAAAAACGAAAGUUCUUGUACAAGAGAAAUAUCCUUCUUGCUCCCCCACAGAAUUGUCUUUAAAAUGCAGAUUAGCUUUAUACUCCCCCCGUUCGAAAAUAAUUGUUAUAGGAAUGGAUGAAUCUAGAUGUAUUUCAGUUCCGGAUACAUCCAUUUUCAUCAAUUUAUGCAACAAAUAAUUUCAGAUGGAGGACGUAUUAAUUUGAUCCAAAUAAGAAACUUGUUAUGCGUUUUUUUAUGCGGUCAUGGUGACAUGGUGCAAUGUUCCGUUGUGUGUUGCCAUAUGAAUAAUUAUCAUGCCUCUAAUAGUUACUAGCAAAAGGGCCCAUGCGUUGCAACGGGAGAAAGAAAUACCACACGACACAUGCUCUUAAUUUAUAAAAAAAUGUCUAUAAUUUAAGAAUUUAUAGUUACGAUACAAAUAAAGAUGGUCUUAUCCUACAAAAGGCAGUUCAAAAUUUCACAGGUCUUCUAUUUUAACACGGCUUGCAUGUAGAUUUAAUACGUACAAAGAAUCAGUCAAGUGACCUUCAGUUUCAUCUUUAAUCCUGAUUUUGUUGACGUGUUCAUUCCCAACCCGGAUCAGUACCGGUAUGAAAGAAAGACGAAUAAUGACUUAUUUAUUAAGAUUGCACCCUAAAUAGUAUUUUUAUUAAACGUUUAAUAGAUAAAAUAAUAUGAUAUUUAAAUUCUACAUAUUUUUCUAAUCAAAUUCCAUGUAUAAUAUGUUAAAUUUGGAGUUACGGUUUAAAAGAUAUGAGUAUUUUAAAAAAUAUUUAAUAUAUACUACGAGUUUAAUGUCAUAAACAGUAAGGGCUUUUUUGUAAAAUCACCUCGCUGAGUUUUCCGACGGAAGCGAUAGCCUCUUUAUUAUUAGGUAAAGAUAGUUUGGUACUCGUGGGUUAUGCUGAGGUGUUUUUAUUUGAUUAGAAUGUACUUAGCCAACAUCCUUGCACCAAUCACUUCAGAUGAAUUUUAUCCAUUGAUGGCAUGGCAGAGCAUGGGCGCCUACCAUCCCUUUAUUGUUGCAACGGUUUGGGAAGGAAGAGUAUGGGAACUGCUAAGAGGUGUGUUGUUAGAUAUCAUAGAAUGUUAAAUGUGUUGUUUUCUAUCUUCGAGGACUAUUAUUUGUUACUAACCUUAGACGACUCACUUUUACAUUUUACACAGAGUCUAUCAAUAUAUAGCAAAUAGUUAGUUGACAACAUCGAAGGUGCGGGUGGACCAGCAUGUGUUCAAAUGAGCUGGAUUCUAUGGUGCAUGUUGGCUAGCUUUUUGUUCAUGUCUAGACGAAAUAUUGUUGGGGAACGUCGCAUGGGAAACAAAAAAAAUUCUACGCGCACGAAGACCUAUCAUGGUGAUGUCCAUCUACAAGAGGGGUUGUGUAAUCUACGUACCCUUGUAGACCGUACAGCAGAAGCGUUAGUGAACGCGGUUGAUGUAGUGGAACGUCCUCACGUCCCUCAAUCCGCCCCGCGAACCGUCCUGCGAUCAGUCCCACGAUCUAGUGCCGAACGGACGGCACCUCCGCGUUCAGCACACGUACAGCUCGACGAUGAUCUCGGCCUUCUUGAUCCAGCAAGAGAGACGGAGAGGUAGAAGAGUUCUCCGGCAGCGUGACGGCGCUCCGGAGGUUGGUGAUGAUCUUGUCUCAGCAGGGUUCCGCCCGAGCUCCGUAGAAACGCGAUCUAGAGGAAAAACCAUGGAGGUAGGUGGUCGGGCUGCCGUGGAAAAGUCGUCUCAAAUCAGCCCUAAAACCUCCGUAUAUAUAGGGGGAAGAGAGGGAGCCUUGCCUUGGGGCUCAAGGAGCCCCAAGGGGGUCGGCCGAGCCAAGGGGGGAAGGUCUCCCCCCCCGAAACCGAGUCCAACUUGGUUUGGUGGGUGGAGUCCUUCUUCCCUUUCCCACCUCCUCCUUUUUUUUCUUUUCUCUUUGAUUUUCUUCCUAUGGCGCAUAGGGCCUUCUUGGGCUGUCCCACCAGCCCACUAAGGGCUGGUGUGCCACCCCCAAGGCCUAUGGGCUUCCCCGGGGUGGGUUGACCCCCCCCCCGGUGAACUCCCGGUACAUUCCCGUUAACUCCGAAAACCUUCCGGUAAUCAAAUGAGGUCAUCCUAUAUAUCAAUCUUCGUUUCCGGACCAUUCCGGAAACCCUCGUGACGUCCGUGAUCUCAUCCGGGACUCCGAACAACAUUCGAUAACCAACCAUAUAACUCAAAUACGCAUAAAACAACGUCGAACCUUAAGUGUGCAGACCCUGCGGGUUCGAGAACUAUGUAGACAUGACCCGAGAGACUCCUCGGUCGAUAUCCAGUAGAGGGACCUGGAUGCCCAUAUUGGAUCCUACAUAUUCUACGAAGAUCUUAUCGUUUGAACCUCAGUGCCAAGGAUUCAUAUAAUCCCGUAUGUCAUUCCCUUUGUCCUUCAGUAUGUUACUUGCCCGAGAUUCGAUCGUUAGUAUCCGCAUACCUAUUUCAAUCUCAUUUACCGGCAAGUCUCUUUACUCGUUCCGUAAUACAAGAUCCCGCAACUUACACUAAGUCACAUUGCUUGCAAGGCUUGUGUGUGAUGUUGUAUUACCCAGUGGGCCCCGAGAUACCUCUCCGUCACACGGAGUGACAAAUCCCAGUCUUGAUCCAUACUAACCCAACGAACACCUUCGGAGAUACCUGUAGAUCAUCUUUAUAGUCACCCAGUUACGUUGCGACGUUUGAUACACAUAAAGUAUUCCUCCGGUGUUAGUGAGUUAUAUGAUCUCAUGGUCAUAGGAACAAAUACCUGACACGCAGAAAAACAGUAGCAACAAAAUGACACGAUCAACAUGCUACGUCUAUUAGUUUGGGUCUAGUCCAUCACGUGAUUCUCCUAAUGACGUGAUCCAGUUAUCAAGCAACCUUUUACGGCGAGCUCUUCGUCACCUCCAUACACGAGAAACAUCUCCUUAGUCCUUUUCAGGUACUUCAGGAUAUUCUUGACCGCCGUCAAGUGAUCCACUCCUGGAUUACUCUGGAACCUACCUGCCAUACUUAUGGCCAGGCCAAUGUCCGGUCUAGUGCACAGCAUUGCAUACAUGAUAGAACCUAUGGCUGAAGCAUAGGGGACGGUGCGCAUAUGCUCUCUAUCCUCAUCAGUUGCUGGGCACUGAGUCUUACUCAAUCUCGUACCUUGUAAAACUGGCAAGAACCCUUUCUUGGACUGUUCCAUUUUGAACCUCUUCAAAACUUUAUCAAGGUAUGUGCUUUGUGAAAGUCCUAUCAGGCGUUUUGAUCUAUCCCUGUAGAUCUUAAUGCCUAGAAUGUAAGCAGCUUCUCCUAGGUCCUUCAUAGAGAAACUUUUAUUCAAGUAAUCCUUUAUGCUCUCCAAAAACUCUACGUUGUUUCCAAUCAGCAAUAUGGCAUCCACAUAUAAUAUUAGAAACGCCACAGAGCUACCACUCACUUUCUUGUAAAUACAAGAUUCUCCAACCACUUGUAUAAACCCAAAUGCUUUGAUCACCUCAUCAAAGCGUUUGUUCCAACUCCGAGAUGCUUGCACCAGUCCAUAAAUGGAUCGCUGGAGCUUGCACACCUUGUUAGCAUUCUUAGGAUCGACAAAACCUUCGGGUUGUACCAUAUACAACUCUUCCUUAAGGAAACCGUUAAGGAACGCCGUUUUGACAUCCAUCUGCCAGAUUUCAUAAUCGAAAAAUGCAGCUAUUGCUAACAUGAUUCGGACGGACUUAAGCAUCGCUACGGGUGAGAAUGUCUCAUCGUAGUCAACUCCUUGAACUUGUGAAAAACCCUUUGCCACAAGUCGAGCUUUAUAAACGGUCACAUUGCCGUCAGCGUCCGUCUUCCUCUUAAAGAUCCAUUUGUUCUGAAUAGCCUUGCGGCCCUCAGGCAGUACCUCCAAAGUCCACACUUUGUUCUCAUACAUGGACCCUAUCUCGGACUUCAUGGCUUCUAGCCAUUUGUUUGAAUCUGGGCCCACCAUUGUUUCUUCAUAAUUUGCAGGUUCAAUGUUGUCCAACAACAUGAUUGAUAAGACGGGAUUACCAUACCACUCUGGAGCAGCACGUGGUCUCGUCGACCUGCGUGGUUCGACAGAAACUUGAACCGGAGUUUCAUGAUCAUUAUCAUUAACUUCUUCCUCAACCGGCGUCGCAACGACAGAGGUUUCCCCUUGCCCUGCGCCACCAUCCAGAGGGAUGAGAGGUUCGACAACCUCGUCAAGUUCUAUCUUCCUCCCACUCAAUUCUCUCGAGAGAAACUCCUUCUCGAGAAAAGCUCCGAUUUUAGCAACAAACACUUUGCCCUCGGAUUUGAGAUAGAAGGUGUACCCAAUUGUCUCUUUUGGGUAACCUAUGAAGACGCACCUUUCCGCUUUGGGUUCCAGCUUUUCAGGCUGAAGCUUUUUGACAUAAGCAUCACAUCCCCAAACUUUAAGAAACGACAACUUUGGCCUUUUGCCAUACCACAGUUCGUAUGGUGUCGUCUCAACGGAUUUUGAUGGUGCCCUAUUUAAAGUGAAUGCAGCUGUUUCUAAUGCAUAACCCCAAAACGAUAAUGGCAAAUCGGUAAGAGACAUCAUAGAUCGCACCAUCUCUAAUAAAGUACGAUUACGACGUUCGGACACACCAUUACGCUGUGGUGUUCCAGGCGGUGUCAACUGUGAACCAAUUCCACAUUGUCUUAAGUGAGCACCAAACUCGAAACUCAGAUAUUCACCCCCACGAUCACACCGUAGGAACUUGAUCUUCUUGUUACGAUGAUUUUCAACUUCACUCUAAAAUUGCUUGAACUUUUCAAAUGUUUCAGACUUGUGCUUCAUUAAGUAGACAUAACCAUAUCUACUCAAAUCGUUAGUGAAGGUGAGAAAAUAACGAUAUCCACCGCGUGCCUCUACGCUCAUCGGACCACACACAUUGGUAUGUAUGAUUUCCAACAAGUCACUUGCACGCUCCAUUGUUCCGGAGAACGAAGUUUUAGUCAUCUUGCCCAUGAGGCAUGGUUCGCACGUGUCAAGUGAAUCAAAGUCAAGUGACUCCAAAAGUCCAUCGGCAUGGAGUUUCUUCAUGCGCUUUACACCAAUAUGACCUAAGCGGCAGUGCCACAAAAAUAUGGCGCUAUCAUUGUUAACUCUAACUCUUUUGGUCUCAAUGUUAUGUAUGUGUGUAUCGCUAUCAAGACUCAAUAUGAACAAUCCUCUCACAUUGGGUGCAUGGCCAUAAAAGAUGUUACUCAUAGAAAUAGAACAACCAUUAUUCUCUGACUUAAAAGAGUAACCGUCUCGCAUUAAACAAGAUCCAGAUAUAAUGUUCAUGCUCAACGCAGGCACUAAAUAACAAUGAUUCAAGUUCAUAACUAAUCCUGAUGGUAACUGAAGUGAAACUGUGCCGACGGCGAUUGCAUCAACCUUGGAACAAUUUCUUACGCGCAUCGUCACUUCAUCUUUCGCCAGCCUUCGUCUAUUCCGCAGUUCCUGUUUCGAGUUGCAAAUAUGAGCAACAGAACCGGUAUCGAAUACCCAGGCACUACUACGAGAGCCGGUUAAGUACACAUCAAUAACAUGUAUAUCAAAUAUACCUGAUUUUUCUUUGGCCGCCUUCUUAUCUGCCAGAUACUUGGGGCAAUUGCGCUUCCAGCGACCCAUACCCUUGCAAUAGUAACACUCUGUUUUAGGCUUAGGUCCAGCUUUGGAUUUCUUCGUCGGAUUGGCAACAGGCUUGCCGCUCUUCUUUGAAUUACCCUUCUUGCCUUUGCCGUUUCUCUUGAAACUAGUGGUCUUAUUCACCAUCAACACUUGAUGCUCUUUGCGGAGUUCAGACUUUGCGACUUUCAGCAUCGCAAACAACUUGCCGGGAGACUUGUUCAUCCCUUGCAUGUUGUAGUUCAACACAAAGCCUUUAUAGCUUGGCGGCAGUGAUUGAAGGAUUCUGUCAGUGAUAGCCUCUUGCGGGAGUUCAAUCCCCAACUCAGCUAGACGGUUGACUACCCAGACAUUUUGAACACAUGUUCACUGACAGACGAGUUCUCCUCCAUCUUGCAAGCAUAGAAUUUGUCGGAGGUCUCAUACCUCUCGAUCCGGGCGUUCUUCUGAAAGAUAAACUUCAACUCCUGGAACAUCUCAAAUGCUCCAUGACGCUCAAAGCGACGUUGAAGUCCCGGUUCUAAGCCAUACAAGACUGCACAUUGAACUACUCAGUAGUCCUCCUUACAUGCUAACCAAGCGUUCUUAACAUCCUGAUCAGCCGUAACGGGUGGUUCAUCUCCUAGUGCAACAUUAAGGACAUAAUCCUUCUUCCCAGCUUGUAAGAUUAGCUUAAGAUUACGAGCCCAGUCUACAAAGUUGCUUCCAUCAUCUUUCAACUUAGCUUUCUCUAGGAACGUAUUAAAAUCCAGGGUGACUGUCGCGUGAGCCAUGGUCUACAACACAAAUAUAUUCAAAGUGGACUUAGACUAUGUUCAAGAUAAUUAGAGUUUAACUUAAUCAAAUUAUUCGCUAAACUCCCACUCAAAAAGUACAUCUCUCUAGUCAUUUGAGUGGUUCAUGAUCCACUUACACUAGCUCAAGUCCGAUCACGUGAGUUGAGCAUAGUUUCAGUGGUAAGCAUCCCUAUGCUAAUCAUAUCAUCUAUAUGAUUCAUGAUCGACCUUUCGGUCUCAUGUGUUCCGAGGCCAUGUCUGCACAUGCUAGGCUCGUCAAGCUUAACCCGAGUGUUCCGCGUGCGCAACUGUUUUGCACCCGUUGUAUGUGAACGUUGAGUCUAUCACACCCGAUCAUCACGUGGUGUCUCGAAACGACGAACUAUAGCAACGAUGCACAGUCGGGGAGAACAUAAUUUCGUCUUGAAAUUUUAGUAAGAGAUCACCUCAUAAUGCUACCGUCGUUCUAAGCAAAAUAAGGUGCAUAAAAGGAUUAACAUCACAUGCAAUUCAUAAGUGACAUGAUAUGGCCAUCAUCACGUGCUCCUUGAUCUCCAUCACCAAAGCACCGGCACGAUCUUCUUGUCACCGGCGCCGCACCAUGAUCUCCAUCAACGUGUCGCCAUCGGGGUUGUGGUGCUACUCAUGCUAUUACUACUAAAGCUACAUCCUAGCAAAAUAGUAAACGCAUCUGCAAGCACAAACGUUAGUAUAAAGACAACCCUAUGGCUCCUGCCGGUUGCCGUACCAUCGACGUGCAAGUCGAUAUUAUCUAUUACAACAUGAUCAUCUCAUACAUCCAAUAUAUCACAUCACAUCGUUGGCCAUAUCACAUCAUAAGCAUACCCUGCAAAAACAAGUUAGACGUCCUCUAAUUUUGUUGUUGCAUGUUUUACGUGGUGACCAUGGGUAUCUAGUAGGAUCGCAUCUUACUUACGCAAACACCACAACGGAGAUAUAUGAGUUGCUAUUUAACCUCAUCCAAGGACCUCCUCGGUCAAAUCCGAUUCAACUAAAGUUGGAGAAACUGACGCUUGCCAGUCAUCUUUGAGCAACGGGGUUACUCGUAGCGAUGGAACAAGUCUCUCGUAAGCGUACGAGUAAUGUCGGUCCAAGCCGCUUCAAUCCAACAAUACCGCGGAAUCAAGAAAAGACUAAGGAGGGCAGCAAAACGCACAUCACCGCCCACAAAAACUUUUGUGUUCUACUCGAGAAGACAUCUACGCAUGAACCUAGCUCAUGAUGCCACUGUUGGGGAACGUCGCAUGGGGAACAAAAAAUUUCCUACGCGCACGAAGACCUAUCAUGGUGAUGUCCAUAUACAAGAGGGGAUGUAUGAUCUACGUACCCUUGUAGACCGUACAGCAGAAGCGUUAGUGAACGCGGUUGAUGUAGUGGAACGUCCUCACGUCCCUCGAUCCGCCCCGCGAACCGUCCUGCGAUCAGUCCCACGAUCUAGUGUCGAACGGACGGCACCUCCGCGUUCAGCACACGUACAGCUCGACGAUGAUCUCGGCCUUCUUGAUCCAGCAAGAGAGACGGAGAGGUAGAAGAGUUAUCCGGCAGCGUGACGGCGCUCCGGAGGUUGGUGAUGAUCUUGUCUCAGCAGGGCUCCGCCCGAGCUCCGCAGAAACGCGAUCUAGAAGAAAAACCGUGGAGGUAUGUGGUCGGGCUGCCGUGGAAAAGUCGUCUCAAAUCAGCCCUAAGACCUCCGUAUAUAUAGGGGGAAGAGGGGGAGCCUUGCCUUGGGGCUCAAGGAGCCCCAAGGGGGUCGGCCGAGCCAAGGGUGGAAGGUCUCCCCCCCCCCAAACCGAGUCCAACUUGGUUUGGUGGGUGGAGUCCUUCUUCCCUUUCCCACCUCCUCAUUUUUUUUCUUUUCUCUUUGAUUAUCUUCCUAUGGCGCAUAGGGCCUUCUUGGGCUGUCCCACCAGCCCACUAAGGGCUGGUGUGCCACCCCCAAGGCCUAUGGGCUUCCCCGGGGUGGGUUGCCCCCCCGGUGAACUCCCGGAACCCAUCCGUCAUUCCCGAUAACUCCGAAAACCUUCCGGUAAUCAAAUGAGGUCAUCCUAUAUAUCAAUCUUUGUUUCCGGACCAUUCCGGAAAUCCUCGUGACGUCCGUGAUCUCAUACGGGACUCCGAACAACAUUCGGUAACCAACCAUAUAACUCAAAUACGCAUAAAACAACGUCGAACCUUAAGUGUGCAGACCUUGCGGGUUCGAGAACUAUGUAGACAUGACCCGAGAGACUCCUCGGUCAAUAUCCAAUAGAGGGACCUGGAUGCCCAUAUUGGAUCCUACAUAUUCUACGAAGAUCUUAUCGUUUGAACCUCAGUGCCAAGGAUUUAUAUAAUCCCGUAUGUCAUUCCCUUUGUCCUUCGGUAUGUUACUUGCCCGAGAUUCGAUCGUCAGUAUCCGCAUACCUAUUUCAAUCUCGUUUACCGGCAAGUCUCUUUACUCGUUCCGUAAUACAAGAUCCCGCAACUUACACUAAGUCACAUUGCUUGCAAGGCUUGUGUGUGAUGUUGUAUUACCGAGUGGGCCCCGAGAUACCUCUCCGUCACACGGAGUGACAAAUCCCAGUCUUGAUCCAUACUAACCCAACGAACACCUUCGGAGAUACGUGUAGAUCAUCUUUAUAGUCACCCAGUUACGUUGCGACGUUUGAUACACACAAAGUAUUCCUCCGGUGUUAGUGAGUUAUAUGAUCUCAUGGUCAUAGGAACAAAUACUUAACACGUAGAAAAACAGUAGCAACAAAAUGACACGAUCAACAUGCUACGUCUAUUAGUUUGGGUCUAGUCCAUCACGUGAUUCUCCUAAUGACGUGAUCCAGUUAUCAAGAAACAACACUUUGUUCAUAAUCAGAAGACACUGACUAUCUUUGAUCAACUGGCUAGCCAACUAGAGGCUUGCUAGGGACAGUGUUUUGUCUAUGUAUCCACACAUGUAAACGAGUCUUCAUUCAAUACAAUUAUAGCAUGGAUAAUAAACGAUUAUCUUGAUACAGGAAUUAUAAUAAUAACCAUAUUUAUUAUUGCCUCUAGGGCAUAACUCCAACAAAUAUAUGGGGAGAGAUGAGGCCACUAGAGAUGCCAUUACACUUACAAGGUAAAAUAUGAUCUAGACCAUUAGAUCUAUUGAAAGGACGUGGAUGUCGUCUAGAGGGGAGGGGGUGAAUAGGCGCUUUAAAAUAAUUAAGAUUUAGGCUUGAACAAAUGCGGAAUAAAACUAACGUUUAAUUUGUCAAGCACAAAACCUACAAACAACUAGCUCACCUAUGUGCACCAACAACUUAUGUUAAGCAAGAUAAACAACUAAGUGAUAGCAAGAUAUAUUACAAUAAACAAUAUGUCUAUCACAAAGUAAAGUGCAUAAGUAAAGGGUUCAGGUAAGAGAUAACCGAGGCACGGGGAGACGAUGAUGUAUCCCGAAGUUCACACCCUUGCGGAUGCUAAUCUCCGUUGGAGCGGUGUGGAGACACAAUGCUCCCCAAGAUGCCACUAAGGCCACCGUAAUCUCCUCACGUCCUCGCACAAUGCAAGAUGCCGUGAUUCCACUAAGGGACCCUUGAGGGCGGUCACCGAACCCGUACAAAUGGCAAACCUUGGGGCGGUCACCGAACCCGUACACGUGGCAACCCUUGGGGGCGGUUACCAGUACCCGUACAAAUUGCUCGGGGCAAUCUCCACAACCUAAUUGGAGACCCCGACGCUUGCCCGGAGCUUCACACCACAAUGAUUGAGCUCCGAGACACCACCAAGCUUCUAGGACGCCAAAGCAUCCACGAAGAACAAUAUCUAGGGUACUAAGUACCAAAGGUAGUAAGCUUCUCAACUUCUCACUUCCACGUAUCAUCGUGGAGAACUCAAACCGAUGCAACUAAUGCAAUGGCAAGAACACACGAAGUGGUCAAGUCCCUCACACUCAAAUCCCUCCACAACAACGAAAGCUAUGGAGAAAUAUGAGAGGAAGAACAAGGAGCUCGCAAAGAACUCCAAGAUCUAGAUCCAAGGGUUCCCCUCACAUAGAGGAGAACGUGAUUGGUAGAGAUGUGGAUCUAGAUCUCCUCUCUCUUUUCCCUCAAGAACAAGCAAGAAUCAUUGGAGGGAUUGAGAGUUAGCAAGCUCUAAGAAUGUCAACAAUGGAGGUAGAACAAGAGCUCAACAGAUGGAUAAGACCAAGGGGGAAGAAGACCCCCUUUAUAUAGUGGGGGAAGGAAUCAGACCGUUACCCCCACUUAUAGCCCGAGCCCAGCGGUACUACCGCUGGCUCCAGCGGUACCAGCGCUGGCUCCAGCGGUACCACUACCGACCCUCCGGCGGUACUACCGCUGGCUGCAGCGGUACUACCGCUGAUCCUCCAACGGUACAACCGCUGGCUGCAGCGGUACUACCGCUGAGCCCAUGGUAGCGCAAAGAUGCUACCAGGCCAACCACCGCCAAGAAAGUCUUCGCAAAAAGUCCGAUGCAGUACAACCGCAAAGAUGACGGUACUAAAGUCCUGGAGCGGUACUACCGCUGACCAGAGGCGGUACUACCGUUGGGCCAGCGGUACUACCGCCAGCUCUAACGGUACUACCUCUAGGGCCAACAGUACUACCGCCAGCUCUAGCGGUACUACCGCUAGGGCCCGUGGCACUACCGCUCGCCACUGAAACAGCCAUAACUUUCGCAUACGAGCUCUGAAUCGAGCAAACCCAAGCUUGUUGGAUUCAGGACGACAAGAGCAAUCCAAACAGUGAUGCUGAUAUGAAAAUGCCAAUGAUCUAGAGAUGUGAGACCUCUAUGAAUGAAGAACCGACAAAAACUCCAACAUCGAAAACAUCAUAGUAGUUGCAUAUGGACUCCGUUUUCGAUGAACUCGAGCUUGUCAUGAAGAUGACCAUAAUCUCUAAAACUCACAAAGAGAACCACCAAAUAAGAACCAAGAAGUAUCAUGCAAGGAUGCAAAUGGUUUGAGCUCUCAACGAACGAUACGAUCAAGCUAAUCACUUGAGAGCCCCCCUUGUCAGUACAACAUUCUAUCCUAAACAGAAAAGCUAACAAGGGCAAACAUAUACCUUGCACCUCGACCUCUUGAGCUAGAUGAUGAUGAUCUUGGCUUCCUCAAGAUGGACCACCUUUCUUGAUUGUGUUGGCUUGAUGAAGACUAGUUGAUUGCUCCCCCAUACUCACUAUGGGUGAGCCACUCUUCAGCAUACCUUCACAACUCCAUUGCCACCACAAUGGACGGCAAGCUUCAAGCACGAUAUAUUCAUGCUGAUCCUCUUGAACUUGCACACCGCAAUCUUGAUGACGAUCACCACUUGACGUCAUCCUUCAUGGGUUGUAUGAGAUCUUCCUUUUGAUGCAAGCCCAUGGAAACACACCUAACCCACACAUAGAACUCUCACGAAGAUCAUGGGUUAGUACACAAACACGUAAUGAACAAUGCUUACCAUACCAUGGGAUCACUUGAUCCCUCUCGGUACAUCUUGUACGCUUUGUGUGUUGAUCAUCUUAAUUUACUCUUUGUCUGAGAUCUUGAUCAACCUUGUGUCUCUAUGACCAUUAUUUGGAUAAUACCUUAAAUACUAUCUUGGUCAUCAUAUAAACUCCUUGAACCCAACAGAUGGACUUCAAGAAGUGCUUAUGGACAAAUCCUAUAAAUAUAACUUAAGGCAACCAUUAGCCCAUAGGAAUUGUCAUCAAUUACCAAAACCACAUAUGAAGAUAUAUGCUCUAACAAUCUAUAUAAAUGAACAAACUAAAACAAUCUGAGACCAUCUUAAAAAGUAUUUUAAAAUCUACAAUUAAAUAAAGCAAGAAAAACACUCUUUUCAUAUAACAUUGAUCGCUAGUUUCUGCAACUAAUAUUCAUGUAUGAUGGCAACAAAAAUAAACGUUCUUUGAGUAUUUCUGGGGAAAAAUCCACAUAUGACUUCUCAGUUCUAAUUUCAAUUCUGAGACAAAAUGCCAUUUUUUCUGAAGUUCGACAUAUGAGUGUUUAGAAACAUCACCUUUAUGCAUGGACAGAGUAGGACUUAGCAGUCACACUUUAUAAGCUAGAAAUCAAGCCGGUCGUGUAAAGAGCGAUUGGAUUUUUGUCCUAUGGUUCCUCCUCAAAUUAAGAUAAUUGUAUGUCCCCAAAGAUAACGCUGGAUUAAACAAGAGUACUUGUGUACGUGGUCGGCACCUAGCGUAGAUCGAUACAGCUAGCUGCCUAAUCCUAUCGUUCUCUUAAUUGAUCCUCACAUGGGUGCACCGGUGUAAUCAAGGCAAUUUAGUAGUGUUCUCACGCGUCGACAAAGAAGAGAUGCAUCCAUCGACAUAAAAAAUCAACCCAAGAGAGAAUCGAAAACAAUCGACACAAGAAAGGUUCAUGCACUUAUUUUUAUGGAUUGCGAAAUGUGCACUGCCGGUUGAAGAGCUCGACGGCAAAAUAAAUGAAAAUUAAAAUGUAUAGGAAUCUCGUGGCAGACGCCAAGGUUAUAUUUGGAAUUUUUUGUUGAUAUUCCAAAGUUGGGUUUAGUUUAUAAAUUUUGCUCCUCAUCCUCAGCACUUAAGUUUUGUAUGAUGGCAACAAAAAAUAGAAUAUAUGAUUUUCACAUAUAACAUAAGUGUCUCGAGCUUAGUACAAUUUUGUACUAGAGUUAGUAUAAAGUUGAGACAUUUAUUUUGGGACGAAGGGAGUAUAUGUUAUUAGAGUUGUACUUGAAACAACCUAUGUAAGGAGUAGUGAUUUUGUUACAUUACAAAAAGAUAUCUGGCAUGUUGUUACGAAAUGUUUAGCAAUACUUUUACUUUCUUUAGUGACAUUUGGCUAUAUGGAACAUGAAUACUUAGAGUAAUAAUAUAGUAGAUACAACUAAAUGCGGGAGCGAAGGCUUACAUACUUUGUUCGUGUUGUAGUUUUCUUGCUCAUUUGGGACUGAGGAAACCCAUUUCUGAUCUGCUAAGAGCAUCUUCAACGGAUGGUACAAAUGUAAAAGUAACUAACAUUUGGAUCGUCUGAGGUAAAAAACGCAGCUCCAACAGACGGUUCAUAUAUUUAAAAAAUUGGACCGCGGCCUUCUCGUAAUGUAAAAUGCAAUACCUCGCGGUACAAAUUUACAUCACGAGAUGCAUCUGGUCCAAAACCAGCCGCCGCCCGCGAACGCCCAACCGCCACUUCAUUUCCUUUCCCGCCCGCCCGCUCGCAACCUCCCGCCCGUCCGCCGCUGCCCCGCCGCCGCCCCGCCGCACGCCGCCCGCAUCAGAUUUGGCCCCGCCCCGCCCCCGACGCCCGCCCGCCGCGUAUCCGGCCGCGGUCGCAGCGCACGCCGCCGCCCCGUGCGUCGCCGCCCCGUCCGCCCCGCACGGCUCUGUCCGUCACCGCUCCGGCCGCACGCCGCCGCCGCUCUCACUGCUCUCCGAUGGCGCCGAAGAAGACGCUGAAGGACAAGUCGGGCUUCUUCGGUGUGAGGCAGAAGCCCUCCGGUAACUGGGGAGUGGAGCUCUCCGAUGUCGAGAGGCGUUGGUGGAUCGGCACGUACCCCUCCGCCCACGAGGCCGCGCGUGCCUACGACCUGGCGGUGUGGCGUGCCGAGAGGCCUCGGGAGCACCUCAACUUCCCAGAGAUCGAGAGUCGGGUGGAAGCAGAGAUGCUUGUGCCGCAGGGCAUCAAUAUGAAGGAGAUCACGACGAAGAAGAAGACAACGAAGAAACCGUCGGUUGUCGUCAAUGCCGACGAGACCGACGAGGAGGCGAUGGCGAGGUUUGCUCGGGAGCAUCCGGAGUACGUUCAGGCCGAGCUGGAGCACUACUGGAAGCGUGAGGCGGAGCAGAAGAAGAAGGAGGACGAGCCCGGUCCCUCGACGGUGAUCCCCAUCGAGUCCUCUUCCGAGGAGGACUGGACAGACUUCUCAGAGGAGGAGGAGGAGGAGGAGGAGGGGUGCGACGACCCAGAGAAGGAGGAGUUCUGGGAGCAGUUCCGCAGCUCCGACGAUGAGGAGUAGUUUAUCUAGUAGUUUGAAGUAGUAGUUGAAGUUCAUGUAUGAAACUAUGUUGAAUUUGAUGUUUGAACUAUGUUGAAUGGACUAGUAGUUUGUCGUUUUAAGAAAUCUUACAUCUUUAUUUCGGACCAUCUAUUGAAGUUGCUCUUUUGGACCAUCAAUUUGGACCAUCUGUUGGGGACCAUCCGUUGGAGUUGAGCUUUUUUUAAGCUUCAAAACGCACUUUUUGGCGCUCCAAAAUUUAUAUCUUCGGUUUUGGACCGCCAAAUUUUAGACCUUAUAUUGGAGAUGCUCUAACAUUGGUAGCUGCCACAUUCAUCUGUACAUGGCGAGUCAACAUUCGCUACAUUUGUUUCUAAACUCCUCCCUUUAAAUGCAAUGAUAUGCAAUCAGUUGCGUAUUCGUGAAAAAUGAUAAAAUAAAUUCAAAAUACAUAUAAUUUGUUACAUUUGACUAUUUUAUAGUUAAAAAUAUGUUAAAUAUAAACAACAUAAUAUAGUGAAAGUUACCAUGCAUGUUUGUAUAUUGAGGUGGCCUAUUUCCUAUGAAUGCUUAGAUGUUAGGGUGAAUCUUUUUCCAUACAUGUUGCAUGAUGAGAUGUCAUACUCGCAUGUUAAGAGAAAUAUAAUAGUGAAGGAUAGCGAUUUAGAUACAUGCACGAGAUGACAUACUUGCAUGUUAAGAGUAGAAGAGUACUCCCUCUAUACCAUAAUAUUUGUUGUUGGAGAAAACUAGUCUAGUUCUUCCGAACAACAAGUAUUUAGGAACAGAGGUAGUACAUGUUAUUAUUACUCAAAAAAUGAGUGUGGUUCUUUUGGCUCGGAGUUUUAGGGUGUCCUAAUUUUGAAAAAUUUGAAAAUGAGCCUUUUGAGUUUCAACCAGAUUCGAAAAAAUACACACAUCCUAAGAGUGUACUCCCUUCAUGAAAAAAAUAUAAGAGCGUUUAGAUCACUUACAGAGAAAACACUAUAGUACACCUAUGUAAUGAUGAUAAAAUACAUUUUGAUAUGAGCUAAAAAAAACGUAAUGUCCUGAAAAUGAUUUUGUUUUAUUGUGUAGACCAUGAUAUUUUGUGCAGCUCAAAUGUCGACGUAUUUAAUCAUGGAAUUUUACACACUUGUAGAAUAAUCCCUAUGCACAUGUCUAUCUUUUAGAAAUUUCUAAAACCUCAAUUAUUAUUUUCUUGCAUUUUUUAAAAUCCAUGUUCCAUGGCGCCGGGGAGCCAAAAGCAAUCUAAUAAUCUCAAAAGGAAUGAAAAGAUAAAAGAAAGGCAAGAGGCAAUAAAAGCGGGAAGAGGAGAGGAGAAAACCAGGGGAGGGAGGGAGGGAGACAAAUCCCAGAAAAAUCGAGGAGGAAGGCGACGACUCGGGCGGAGCGGUGCGGUGGGAGAGCGCGGCCAUGUGGGAGCCAUGGGCGCGCGCGGCGUGGACGUCGUGCUCGUGACGACACCUGCCGCCUUCCAGGCCCUUCCCCACGCCCGCGCCCAUGACCGCGCCGCCGCAAUGCGCCUCAAAACCCCACCCCGCUCCCCUCCCCGAUCUCUGACCCGGCAGGCUUCUUGAUCCAGGCCCAGGCAUGGCGGAGGCGGCGCCGCCGAAGCUGCUCUACAUUGCUGUCGCCGACGGCGGCGGCCGGCGGGCGUUCCGGUACACGCGCCCCGUCCUGCAGAGCACCCUCCAGCUCAUGGGCUGCAAGGCUCGCCACGCCUUCAAGGUCGCCCCCCUCUCCUCCUUCCUCCCUCCCCUCUCUCGCUGUCCGCGAUCUUGAUCCCGGAAGAUGGAGGACCCGGCCGCCAGCCUCCGAUUUGGUCAUGCUCGCGUUAUACCACGAUUAAGACCGAGGAGGGCGAAAUCGCCUGCUCCUGUUUAGCUUUAGGCACGGUAGGUCCUUCAUGGACAGCAAGUUCACUUCAUACUCACUCUGCACAUGUCUAGCAUAGCGUUCUUGGUGCUUUUUUUCUUUCUUUAAUUGCUUCUUCUUGGUUCAAAACUUCAAAUGAUGUAGUAGUUAGGCAUGCCUAGCAUAGUGUUUGGCGGUAGGACGAUUUUGACAUGGGAAGCUCCGAAGCUGACAACUACUUAUACUGAUUGAUGAGCAACAAUUCACUGCCCUUGGAUUAGGCAGGAAAACGCGAGCACGAAACGGUGUUCGUCGCCGGCCCGGGCCAACAAUUCACUGCCCUUGGAUUAGGCAGGAAAACUCUCAUGCCCUUCUCGCCAUCUUUUGGCCAGGGUCGUUCUUUGCAGCAAAAGGAUUCAGAAACACACCAUUCCUUUCCAAGCUAUCGUUCUUGUUGCAGACUGAAACUGUCGUUUUUUUCAUCAAGGAUCCUGAAAAUUGUCUUUUGGUGAUACUUUGCUUGCGGGUCAUUAUCAUCACAUGCAACUGUUGCCCCUCUGCUACAGCUAGUGUGAAUUGCUAUUCCUUUCUUAGCUUUACUAUGCUCUGAUGAAAGAGACAGCACCAUGUUAUAUGAUGUAGACAUUUAGGCUUUGCCUUGCAUGAUCUUUUUGUUCGGCAACUGUAGUUUGGCGGGCUACCUUUCUAGUCUCUAUAUCUUGGGAUUGACAUGAGCUCUGGUAUUGGAUUCUCACUUGAUGUUAUUUUCUUUACUCUGAUUUGGUCAUGGCUGUCUGGCAUAUCUUGUUUUCCUCAUCCUCCAUUUUGAUUAGCUGUGUAAGCAACAUGCAUCUUGAAGUUGACCUGAGCUUUGGUAUCGGGUUCUCACUUGGCGUAAUUUUCCUUACUCUGAUUUGGUCAUACCAGUUUGUCAUAUUUUUAUUCCUCGCCAUCCAUUUCGAUAAGCUACAAAAGUAAUACACCAUUCGUGCACACAACCGUUUUUUUUAUUGGUGUGUGGAAUUUAACAACAAAAAAAUGUCACCCCUUGUUGACACCGUCAGAUUAGCAAGAAAGUCUUCAGUGUGAUAAGGAAUGAAUUCUUGGAUGCAUCGAGGUCGGAUAGGGCUGUUAAAGAAGAAAAUGCUCGUAGCCACAUUGGGGAAGAUGCUGAUAUGCUUAACACAGAAAUUCCAGACGCAAGUAGCAGCAGCAUGCCCUUCGAAUUGUACAAGACGCAGACAACAAUUCUUAUUUCAAGAGAGAAGUUUCUGAAUAUUGUGUGUGAUGCACUCUCUUCUUACAAGUAUGUUGGACCAAACCAGAAGGCUGACUUGCUUCUUGCUUGCAGGUAACUUUGCCCUAUCUCUAUCUUAUUGAGUUCACAGAAGCAAUCCAACAAGCAUGUUGCUUCAUCUAUAUUUAAUUUACAGCUCCUAGUAGUAGUCGUCUAUUAUCUCCACAACAGAACAGGCUUAUGAUAGAUGUGUGUGCUUAACAUGCUUUGUUAAAGUAAAAUGAUUCCCUUGAAAAAGCCUAAAUUAUUCUUAUGAGCACAGUACAUGCAUUAUGCCCCCAUGAAAUAUGCAUAUAUUUCCCAAGUCAUUUCAUUGCAACCAUAGGGUAGCUACCUCAAUGAACUCAACAUCGUUUAAUUUUUGCAAUUGUGCGUUUUCCAAUUAUUCUGAUCAGAAUUAAGGAGAAAAAGGAAUCAGUGACGGUACUCUUGUGUGGGACAAGCGGAUGUGGCAAAUCCACUCUAUCAUCUUUGUUGGUAUGUUGUUUUCUAACCUAAGAGUCUCGGCCAUUUUUGGAUGGGCUAUACUAUGUAUAGUACACCAGUGACACACUAGUUUGUUACAUGCAGAAGCAUUUAAUAAUAAGUAUCUGCAAAUCAAAUAUCAAUUUAAAGCGCUUUGACUGCUUUCUGUUCCAUUGCGUGUCUUGUUCCUUUUGGAAGAUUGCAUUAUGAAACAGAGAGAUAGUGCUGACUCUUGCUGAAUGCUUAACACGGUCUAUUUGUUUUACCCAGGGUAGUAGAUUGGGCAUUACAACAGUAGUUUCUACUGAUUCCAUACGCCAUAUGAUGAGAAGCUUUGCAGAUGAAAAGCAAAAUCCUCUUCUCUAUGCAUCAACCUACCAUGCAGGCGAACACUUGGACCCUGUUGCAGUUGCUAAGUCAAAGGCAAAGAAGCUCUCAACGGCUUCUCAUACCAAUGAAGGCAAAGAUGGCACUUCAGAUGUUAAAUCUCAGCAUGGCUCCUCAGAUUUACCUCCUAGAGCAGAGUUGGUUGGAAACAAACAAAUGGCAAUAGAAGGGUUCAAGGCGCAAAGCGAGAUGGUCAUUGACAGCCUGGACAGAUUAAUUACAUCAUGGGAAGAGCAGAAGCAAUCUGUUAUUGUUGAAGGAGUUCAUUUGAGCCUCAAUUUUGUGGUAUGCACUAGUCGAGAAACAACAUGAUAUUUUAUUAGUGUUCCUCAUCAUGCAUUAUUUGCCUAUUAUAUUUUGUUGCACUUUGAAGAAUUGGCUAAGCUAUUUAUUUUGUGUAUCUGAUAGAUGGGGCUGAUGAAGAAACACCCUUCCAUAAUACCAUUUAUGGUAUAUAUUGCCAAUGAGGAGAAGCACAUGGAGAGAUUUGCUGUACGUGCAAAGUACAUGACAUUGGACCCGGCAAAGAACAGAUAUAUCAAGUACAUCCGGAAUAUCAGGGCUAUCCAGGAAUACCUUUGCAACCGAGCGGACAAGCAUCUGGUGCCUAAGAUUAACAAUACUAAUGUUGACCAGAGCGUGGCAGCCAUACAUGCCACGGUUUUCAGCUGUCUUCGCCGACGAGAAGUUGGGGAGCAGUUGUACGAUCUCAACACGAACACUGUUUCUGUUGUGGAUGAGGAAUACAGGAACCAGCGUGCCUCUAACUCCUUGGGCUCCAAGGGCAUGUUCCAGUUCAUUCAAAGGAAGGGGUCUUCUAGGAAUCUGAUGGCUCUCCUUAACCCUGAUGGUUCAGUCACCAAGGCUUGGCAUGUAGAUUCGUGUGAUGGCAAUGCCAAUGGCAGUAGAAGCAGUGAUAAAUCAGUAGGAAAGGUUAACCCAUCACAAAUUGGGAAGGUAGAAUCAGUUAAUCUCCAAUUUGGUUCUUUCGGGAUUAGCGCGUGGCUGAGUGAUACAGGUGGCACCAGCCAUACAGGGAGUGUAGAUGACCUGAGGGCUGAUGGCAACGAGGCAGGCGGUAGAUACUACUCCUCAUGCUGCAGCUCACCAAAGACGUCAGAUUGCGCAUCCAAAGAGGUACUACGAUCUUUUUUUAGCAGAUUGCUGAUGUCAUACAUUCCAAUCUAACGAACGCUCUAUAUGCCCUUUCCAGCAUAUGGAGGAUUAUUCAGUCUAUGGUAGUGAAGAAGAAGCUGACGACCCACCUGAUGCUGAAACUGACGAGGAUCUAACUGAUGAAGAAAGAGAUAUUCACGAGGUAGCGACUAUGUUAUCCCAUCACUUUUCCUAGUGGGAUUUAUUUCUAUUGUGGCAGCGAACACUUGAUUGCAGUUGCUUCCUGGAUUCCUGCAAAUAUAUUGUGCUAGAUAUUAACUAGGAAUGCCAGUUGAUGCCGUGCCUCAUUUCAAAGCUUGUGCGUCAGUUAUCCGAGCUUUCUAGAUUGCUAACGUUUUCUGCACAAACCAAUGUCUUCAGAUUGAAGCGGGCUCGGUCGACGAACAUUCCACCAAGUCCGACGAGGAAUACAACGACCUAGCCAUGCAGGACAUGAUGGGGAACGGUAACUGCUCUGACGAUGACGACGAGCAAGCUGCGGGGUUCGGCAACAGGAGCUCGCCGUCCCUGGAUGAGAGCAUCCUUGGAGCAGCUGACGGCGAUGAUGCCGCGAGGUACCACCACAACCUGGACCUCUUCACGAUAUCCAAGGACAUAGCUGCCAGACAGAUGCCGUGCGCCUGACACUGCCGCCCCAACCAACCGAUGGGAAGAAAAUCCAUGAAUCAGACACCAUCGCCACGAUUCGCUGCGCCAUUGUGCUCUCCUGUGCCGCUUCCAGUUGGGAGUCUGCACCGUCGGCUGUACUCAUAUAUGUUGGUGGUUAUGACUGUUAGACACACUGAUGCUUGUCCAAGCUUACACAUAUAGGAAUCUGGGGCUUAGCCCGUGAAACUCAAAUAAUGGAAGGUUGAAAUUGUAUCUAUAAUUGCGCAAGAAUCUCUUGGCACAAUACAAUAACUUGCUGUUUUUCAUCCAACAUACUGAUGAAAUUGAGAACAGAAGUAUAAAGUUGCAUCAGAAAAAUGAACUAGAUCAAAUUAGGAUCGGAGAGUAAUCCUGAUUAAGGGGACACAUGUGUAGCGACUUCAGAUUUGUACUUUCUACUCCGGCUUCGGCCUCUCCUUAUUUAAUAUACAAGGCAAAUCUUUUGCCCGGUUUCAAAUAAAAAUUAGCAACGUAGAUAGAUCAAAUAAUUCACCAUCACCAGAAAAGAAGAAAAACUAAAAUAAAGAGUAACAUAUGGCAAAACGCAAGAAAAAUGUUGGUGCUCCAGAGCUGCAUACAGGCAUUUCAUAGACGUACAUUUGAUUUCUGCGAAAGGUUAAACCUUUACAGAGGUCGAAGCAUCUGAUUUCUCCAGAUCAACAGCAAAAUAGAAAUCUUUACAGAGAUGGAAACCUUAUACACUGAUAAAACCCAAGGCAAAAUGAUCUACAGUUGUCCUUGCUUCCCAUCAUCUCUAAACCUAAAUAGUUCAGCUAAAUUGCUUCUAUGAUUUCCCUUUUUUAUAUAUAAUGUUUAUUACAACGAAACCGUAAAAACAUACAUUCUCUCUAGAACAAGCAAAAUCAGACUUGUUAUAGACUCUGCUAAAUUCAUGUCUUUUACCUACAAUGGGAGUGUGCAACUACAGCUAUUAAGAAUAAUUAUUAUAAGAACAGUAACAAGAAUACUAAUCAGACUUGCAAUAGACAGUGUUUAGCUGUGGAUCUGACACUGCUGGACGACAAGUGCAGAAGAGCUACAGUUGGAACAAUACUUCACAUCAAAGAUGAUCAGCCAAGGUUACUAUCAGGUAUAGGCAUAGGUCCGAGGUAACCAAUAAUAGGAAAGUUCAGCUACAGCUUUAUUAAGGGCAAUCGUGAAAGGGGUGUCAAGUAUUGGUCGUGAAGAAGACAACUUUAAUCAGAUUUAUGAACUGUCCUAAACUUGUAAGAAUCUUAUGUUCGGAAGAUAAUCACCCGAACACUAAUAUAUACUCCCUCCGUCCCAAAAUAACUGUCUUAAGCUUAGUGCAAUUUUGUAUUAGAGCUAGUAUAAAGUCAAGACAGUUAUUUUGAGACGGAGGGAGUACUUACCACACCACAAUAUCGCCAAGGAGAUAUCCUUACUCAUGACUAUUAGUAUCAUGAGACAUAACAGUUAAAGAUGCAUUAGUACGACAGUGUUACGCAAAAUCGUACAAAAGAAACACUACCAGAUUUCCAGUAUCUUGUAACGCAGAGAAGGCAAAACAAAUAACUCAUCUUGGCCAUAUAGAUAGUACGCAUAUGACAAACCAUAUGUAUAUUCUGCAAAACAAAGCAAACGAAAGCUGCUGGUAAUACAUGGGAUUUCAGGAGAACAAACCAGCUCAUUCUACAAAGAAUAAGCAAUGUGCAGCUCAAUAUGAGCAGCAUUACUCUUCGACUUCCUUCUUUAUUUCUGCCAUUAGUUCAUCCUUGUAGUCCUCAAACGAUCCAUCAUAUUUAGUCACCGUGCCAUCCUCCACAACCCAUAUCUGGCUCUUCUGCUCAUCGUCACAAACUCGAGAUAUCAACCGCGAGUCAUGGCUAACCAAGACCACACCUCCAGUGAAUUCAUCCAGAGCGUCUGCCAAAGCAUCAAUACUUUGCAUAUCCAAGUGAUUUGUAGGCUCAUCCAGUAGGAGAAUGUGAGGAUUCGACAUUGAUAUCGAAGUGAACACAACACGGGCCUUCUGACCGCCAGAUAAUUUAACAAUGGGAGUAAGAUGGUUGUGACCUGGCAAGCCAAAUUUUCCAAGCUUGCCACGGACAGCCUCCGCUUUGCUCAUUCCCCCCUGGUCUGGGUGAAGCCUGAGCAAAUACUGAACUGCAUUUUCCUCCAUCGUCAACAAGUCAACAAAAUGCUGCGAGUACCGUCCAAUCCUCAGCUUCUGGCUCCUUCUUGCCUCUCCUUCUGAUGGGGUAAGAUCACCAGCAAGUAAAUUUAGAAUAGUAGACUUUCCUGCCCCAUUGGGCCCAACAAUGGCAACACGUGUUCCCAUGUCAAUGCCAACAUCAACAUCUGAUAACUUGAAGUCCGGACGGUUGGGGUAGCCGAAACCCACCUCGAUGAGCUGAAGGAGUGGUGGUGUAAGCAAAGUGGGUUCUGGGAAGUGGAACUCGACUUUGUAGUCAUGCCACUUUUGGGGCAGAUCCGCUGGCUUCACGUUAUCAUCAUCAUUUGCCACAUUCUUUCCCUUCCCCUUCCCCUUGGCAACUUCUUUAUGGGCCUUUGACAUUGCUUGGUCUUUAACCUUAUCUUGUGCAGCCUUGCUCCCAGUCUUCCUUGCUGCUUUCAUCUGCUUUUCAUACACCUCAAACUUCCUGUUCAUCUCCUUCCUCUUCUGCUCGUACCCGCUCUCGAAGUCAUCAAAAUUGCCACGGUAGACAUGCAGACUCUUAUCGUGCAAAUGAAUGAUAUCAUUGCACACUGUGUUCAAGAAGUCCCGGUCAUGGGAAACCACAAUUAGGGUCUUCUUCCACUGCGAGCACAAGUACUGCUCCAACCAAAGCACAGCUCGGAGGUCCAAAUGGUUGGUAGGCUCAUCAAGGAGCAGCAACGUUGGCUGCAUGAAGAGAGCACGGGCAAGCGAGAUGCGCAUCCUCCAACCACCACUGAAGGACUUUGUGGACCUUGCCUGCAUCGCCUGAUCAAAACCCAGCCCCGCGAGGAUUUUGGACGCACGUGCUCGUGCAGCAUCAGAGUCGCAUAGAUUUAGCUUCUCGUAUACCUCAGCAAGCUUGUCGUUGUCAUCGGGGUCGUUAGAGGCCUCAAGCUUUGCCUGCUCAGCUCGGAGCGCGGUGAGCUCCUCAUUGGCUGCAACCACCGCCUCGGUUGCCGAGCGGUCAUCACCAACAAUCUCCUGCUCCACAAGCAGGACAUCAAUGUUCUUGGGCACGGGCACCUGCCGCCACGAGAGCAGCUUCAGGAGGGUAGAUUUGCCCAUGCCAUUGGGCCCCACGAGACCGUAGCGGCGACCAUGCGAGAUCCGGAGGGAGGCGCCCUUGAGCAGCUCCUUUCCCCUCGCAGAGACAGAGAAGUUGUCGAGCACGAUGUCCUUGAUGUUCCCAUCGAUGGCGGCAUCGCCCUCGGCGGAUCCGGGGACGCGCGCUCCUAUGACGACGGAGAAGGCGUCGCGGUCGUCGCGGAGCGCCUCCCGCUUGGCAGCCUCAGCGACGGCCGCCGCCAUCAUCUCGCGCUUCUCCUUCUUCUUCGAGUCCUUGUCCGAGGGCGCGAGGGCGUUGAGGUCGACGGUGGCGCGAGCUGGCUUGGGCUUGGCAGCGACGGCGGCGACGUCGGCCUCGUCCUCCUCGUCGUCCGACGGGGGCAGGUCGAUGCCGCCCAUGUACGACGACGCGGGCGCCUUGGAGGGCUUGGCUUUGGGAGCCGCCUUGGCGGGCUUGGAUUUGGGCCCCGUGCCGUCCAUCGAAGCUAGCAUGGCCGACACGGAGAGAGGUUUUUCCUUCUUGCCGGCGGCCCCCGCGGCUGAGGAGGACGAGGAGGCGUUUUUGCGACUCAUGGCGGCGGAGGAGGAGGAGAAGAACGGCGAGGUUGGGGAAUCUGGGUUUGGCUGUGGUCCGGCGAGGUCAAGCUCGAGAGGAUAUGGAGGUGCCGGGGUGGCGGCUGGGGUCCGGGUGGGUUGGCGGCGUGACGGACCGGGAGGCGGCGGCGGCGGCGGCGGCGCGCUAGGGUUAGGGUUAGAGCUCCGCGCGGGCGGGGUGUGAGGACAGGAGACCGCACGGGUCGGUGAGAGCUAAGUCAUUGUCAUGUCAUUUAUGACCCUUUUUGAAACCAUAAUACAUUAUAAUAAUCUGAAUUAUGAACAUACAUUAUAUAAUCUGGUUUUAAAAAUAAUCCAGAUGAGUAUGUUUGGAGACCAGAUUAUAUAAAUUGUAAACUAGCUUUUAAAUUUUACAAUGACAUAUUUGCCCUCAGUUACAAGGAAAAAUAUGAAAUUGGCGGUGGCACUGCGUAAUUCUUUUGAAGUUUACAAGGAUAACACGUCAUUUGUAAUUCAUAAUCUCAUUUUAGUUGGGGUAGAGGAGAUUAUGAGAUUAUAAUAAUCUGGUCAUCUAGUUUAUAAAAUAUAUAGUAUAAAUUGUCCUGUUUGAAAAUACAAUAGAUUAUAAAAACCAGAUUAUAUAAUCUGGUUGGUUCCAAACAGGGCCUAUAGCAUAUCUAUAAGAGCAAGUACAAUAGUAGAGCCGGCUAUCGGCUGUAAGCUCAUGUCAUGUCACCUAUAAUCCAUCUUAUAGCUAACAUGUACAAUAGUUGGUUAUAAGAGUAUACUAUUUAUUUAUUAUAUGACCCACCUUUCAUUCUCACAAAGUGCCUAGGAGCACGUGCUAGAGCUCGCUCUUAACUAAGAGUCCGCUUACCUUCUCUCUCCUCCAACUAAGCAAAAAUAUACUACUUUAUUCCUUAUAGCCAGCUCACUCAGCUCUAUUGUACUUGCUCUAACCAAUAUGUAUAAUAGUUUAUUGUAAAAGUGUACUACUUUUUUAUUAUAUGGUCCACCUUUCGUACUCACAAAAGGCCUAGGAACACGUGAUAGAGUUGGCUCUUAGCUAAGAGCCCGCUUACUUUCUCUCUCUUCUUCUCUUUCCUCUAACUAAACAAAAAUGUAUUAGUUUAUUCCUUAUAGCCAGCUGACUCAGCUCUAUUGUACUUGCUCUCAGGACGACAUUUUUUCCUUUUUUUUGAAAGUCUAAAUAUGGCUCCUAAGGGCCUCUUCCGAGCAUACCUGGCCAAAUGGACUGGCCCGGCACGGCACAGCAUGGCCGUGCUAAACGUGCCUGGUCCGGCACGGCCCGUCGAGGCACGUUUAGUAAUCGGGCCAUCCCGUACCAGCCUGUGGGCUGCGCCUCCAGGCCCAGGCACAACCGGUUACUAAAUGGAUCGGCCUGUUGGCCCGAUUAGCACGCUAGGCUGCAUAAUUUUAACCUCAUGGGCUUAUUUUAGGCCUAUUGGGUCAUAUAUUAUGUGUGUGUGUGUGUGUGUGUAUGUAUAUAUAUAUAUAUAUAUAUAUAUAUUAAAAAUAUGUAAAAAAUAACGAACCGUGUCGUGCCGGCCCGCGUGCCCAGCCUCGAGGCUCAGGCACGGCCCGAGGCGUGCCGCGUGCCUGGCACGACCCGUUUAAGUCGUGUCGGGCCGGGGCCGGGCCCGUGUUGGGCCUGGCCUGCGGGUUGUCGGGCCGGCCCGACUAGCACGGCCCGUUUGGCGAGGUAUGCUUCGGAGUUCGGAUCGUGCGAAAAAAACGAAACUUGUCGUGGAGACGACGCUUCCUUGCCAAUAUGCAUCAUCAUAUUAUACUAUGACGCGUUUGGUUGUUCGUGUGAGGCCUCAUCAGGUUUAUGAGGAAAGAAUUUACACAGUUGACGUGGAUACAUUGUUUGAUCUACUCGACAUGAACUUCAUAACACUUUUAAUCAGCCUUGCGAGGUACUUUCAGAUCGACAGUUUUUACAGAGCCAGGCUCGUGCGAGACAUGGGAGGGAAACGCGGCACUGAGCUCCUGUGUGACCAGGGAGAUGACGUGAGCUCGCACGCGUCUUUGACAAAUCGAUGAGAGGAUUUACGCUCACCUCCCGCCGAUUUGAUCACCCUAUUUAGCCCCAUCCUCUCACCGUCCAAAGUCUCGCCACCCUUCUCCCCCCUUUAGAGCUUUUCCGCCAACGCGCAUCAUUGCCCUCUACCUUUUAUUGAUCUAAUGAUAGAAAGAUUAUCCAAACAUACACAUUUUUGCUUUCUAGACGGUUAUUCUGGUUUCUCUCAAAUACAUGUCUCAAAAGAGGAUCAAGAAAAGACCACUUUUACUUGCCCUUUCGGUACCUUUGCUUAUAGACGUAUGCCUUUUGGUUUAUGCAAUGCACCUACUACCUUUCAAAGAUGUAUUAUGGCUAUAUUCUCUGAUUUUUGUGAAAAGAUUGUGGAGGUUUUCAUGGAUGAUUUUUUUCCGUUUACGGAACUUCUUUUGAUGAUUGCUUGAGCAACCUUGAUCAAGUUUUGCACACAUGUGAAGAAACUAAUCUUGUCUUGAAUUGAAAGAGGUGAGACUUUAUGGUUAAUGAAGGCAUUGUCUUGGGACACAAAAUCUUCGAAAGAGGUAUUGAAGUUGAUAAAGCUAAAGUUGAUGUUAUUGAAAAAAUGUCGUGUCCAACAAAUAUCAAAGGUAUAAGAAGUUUCCUUGGUCCUGUUGGUUUCUAUAUGAGGUUUAUUAAAGACUUCUCUAAGAUUUCAAAGCCUCUCACUAAUAUUUUGCAAAAGAAUGUUUCAUUCAUUUUUUAUGAUGAUUGUGUAGAAGCAUUUGAAAUUCUUAAGAGAGCCUUGAUCACUGCACGUGUUGUUCAACCACCUGACUGGAACCUACCAUUUGAAAUUAUGUGUGAUACUAGUGAUUAUGUUGUUGGUGUUGUUCUAGGACAAAGAGUUGAUAAGAAAUUAAAUGUUAUCCAUUAUGCUAGUAAAACUCUAGACAUUGCUCAAAGCAACUACGCUACCACUGAAAAGGAAUUUUUAGCAGUUGUGUUCGUUUGUGAUAAGUUUAGACCUUAUAUUGUUGGUUCCAAAGUGAAUGUUCACAUUGAUCACGCUCCUAUUAAAUAUCUUAUGAAAAAGAAAGAUGUUAAACCUAGACUUAUUAGAUGGGUUCUCCUGCUACAAGAAUUUGAUUUGCAUAUUAUUGAUAGAAAGGGUGCUGAUAACCCCGUAGCAGAUAACUUCUCUAGAUUAGAGAAUGUUCUUGAUGACCCACUAGCUAUUGAUGAUAGCUUUCCUGAUGAACAAUUAGUUGUCAUAAACGCUUCACGCAGUACUCCUUGGUAUGCUGAUUAUGCUAAUUACAUUGUUGCUAAAUUUAUACCGCCUAGUUUCGCAUACGAACAAAAGAAAAAGUUCUUCUAUGAUUUAAGACAUUACCUUUGGGAUGAUACACACCUUCAUAAAAAAGGAGUAGAUGGUAUUAUUAGACGUUGUGUACCUGAGCAUGAAGAGUGACAGAUCCUACACAAGUGUCACUCCGAGGCCUAUGGAGGACAUCAUGCUGGAGAUAGAACUGCACACAAGGUAUUACAAUCUGGUUUUUAUUGGCCUACUCUCUUCAAAGAUGCUCGUAAGUUUGUCUUGUCUUGUGAUGAAUGUCAAAGAAUUGGUAAUAUUAGCAGACGCCAGGAAAUUCAUAUGAAUUACUCUCUUGUCAUUGAACCAUUUGAUGUUUGGGGUUUUGAUUAUAUGAGACCUUUUCCAAAGUUCAAUGGGUAUACUCAUAUUCUAGUUGCUGUUGAUUAUGUUACUAAGUGGGUAGAAGUUAUUCCAACUAGUAAUGCCGAUCAUAACACUUCUAUUAAAAUGUUGAACGAAGUCAUUUUCCCUAGAUUUGGAGUCCCUAGAUAUUUAAUGACUGAUGGUGGUUCACAUUUUAUUCAUGGUGCUUUCUGUAAAUUGCUUGCUAGGUACGAUGUUAAUCGUAGAAUUGCAUCUCCUUAUCAUCCUCGGUCUAGUGGUCAAGUAGAACUGAGCAAUAGAGAAAUUAAAUUGAUCUUGCAAAAGACCGUUAAUAGAUCUAGAAAGAAUUGGUCUAAGAAACUUGACGAUGCAUUAUGGGCGUAUAGAACCGCUUACAAAAACCCUAUGGGUAUGUCUCCGUAUAAAUGGUUUAUGGUAAAGCAUGUCAUUUACCUCUAGAGCUAGAACAUAAAGCUUUUUGGGCAAUUAAAGAGCUUAACUAUGAUUUCAAACUUGCUGGUGAAAAGAGGUUAUUUGACAUUAGCUUGCUUGAUGAAUGGAGAACCCAGGUCUAUGAGAAUGCCCGGUUGUUUAAAGAAAAGGUUAAGAGAUGGCAUGAUAGAAGGAUACAAAAGCGUGAAUGCAAUGUAGGUGAUCAUGUCCUGCUGUACAACUCUCGUUUAAGAUUUUUUGCAGGAAAACUUCUCUCUAAAUGGGAAGGGCCUUACAUUAUCGAGGAAGUAUAUCAUUCCGGUGCCAUCAAGAUCAACAACGCCGAAAGCACAAAUUUGAAGGUGGUAAAUGGGCAAAGAAUCAAACAUUAUAUCUCACGUACUCCCAUAAUUGUUGAAACCAAUAUUAUCAAUACCAUAACUCUGGAGGAGUACAUUAGGGAGACCUAUUAGAACGUUUCAGACUUCGAAAAGGAAUAAAUAUGUGUUACGGUAAGCAAACCGACUCCAAAACUUUUCCAAUGGCAAUUUUUAUCAGUUUUGGAAUAUUUAAAAAAUUAAGAAAAUUUAAAGCAGUCCGAAAAGUGCACGACGAGGCGACAAGCCAGGGGCGCGGCCUAACCCCCCCCCCCCCCCGUCCGCGCCCUGCAGGCUUGUGGCCACCCCGUGUACUCUCCGGACUCCGUUUUCUUGUGGAAUACUCUUCCAGGUCGGUAAAAAUUCAUUAUAUAAUAUCUCGAAGGUUUUGACCUUCGUAUCACGACAAUAUCUCCUGUUUUCGUUUUGAGCUGUUUCUGCAGCAGAUUUAGAGUAAGAUGUCGUCCCAGGAUUCCGAUGAGGAGAGCUAUGUAUCGCAUUAUCUUGCCAAUCCCAAGCUCUAUGGGGACUUAGAUCCUUAUGGGUUGUUCUCGGAGGAGGAACUAGAGAUAUGCAAGUAUGCGGAAGAAAGCUCAGACGAAGAGGAGAUUCCCCUGCCUCGACCCAAAGAUAUGCAUGUGGAGUUCAAGAAGUCGAGCCUCCCAAAUACAAGGAGAAAACCCAAGGUUCUAUUUAUCCCUUUACGUCUUGUGCAGGAGAGCAAGGAUGAAUUACGGCAAAAGAUAUUGAGGCUUGAGCAGGAAGUAGACGAUAUGAGGGAACAUAAUUUCAGGCUUAAGAGGAAACUUGAUAAGCUCUCAACCUCACCAACAACUCCAACAUCACCACCCCCGAAGAAAGACAACUAAACACAUGGGUGUGGGCACUGCCCUUGACUUGUGCCAAGCUUGGGGGAGGUUCCCCUGUAUCGUAUCACCAUCACAUCUUUUACCGUUUUUCGUUUUUCUUUGUUCGAUCCUUUUGGUAAUAUCUUGAUCUAGUAGAAUAAAGUUUUAGUGUGAUCUAGUUUUGAGUUUUGCUUUAUGUUUCCCCUAUGUAAGCAAGUCUGAGAGUUAUAUAAUAGAUAGUAGUUUUGAGUUGAGGGCUUUGCUUGCUUGCUAUGAUCUUGAGAAAUAGAAAUAGAAAGAAGUAUAGGAUAAAAGCAAAAGAGUAUAUAUAAUGAUCUUAUGGGGAGUGAUGACUUCACAUAUAAAAAGUAUGUCGAUUGAAAUUUGUUAUGAGUUGAUAAACAAAGCUAUUGAUCAUUGUUGCAAUUAAAAGGAAGUAAUAAAGAAAGAGAGGUUCACAUAUAAAUAUAUUAUCUUAGACAUCUUUUGUGAUUGUGAGCACUCAUUAAAAUACUAUAUGUUAAGAAGCUGAUAUUGGACAAGGAAGACAACAUAAUGAGUUGUGUUUGCUUGUUUACGAAUAGAAGUUAUAUGGUUAUAGAUCGUUCAACAUGUGUCGCUUGCUUCCUCCCCAUAUUAGGAAAAAACUUCCGCACCAAGUAGAGAUACUACUUGUGCAUCCAAACACCUUUAACCCAGUUUUGCCUUGAGAGUCCACCAUACCUACCUAUGGAUUGAGUAAGAUCCUUCAAGUAAGUUGUCAUCGGUGCAAGCAAUAAAAAUUGCUCUUUAAAUGUGUGUGGUUUAUUAGUGUGAGGAAAAUAAACUUUAUGCGAACUUGUGAUAUAGAAGAAAUAAAACCGACGAACUACAUAAUAAAGUUCUUUAUCACAAGGGACAAUAUAAAGUGACGUUCUAUUGCAUUAAGGGAUUGCACAUCCAACUAUAAAAGCGCAUGACAACCUCUGCUUCCCUCUGCGAACGGCCUAUCUGUUACCUUUACUUUCUAGUACUUACCUUUAUGUAAGAGUCGUGGUGAUCUUCACCAUUUCCCAUAUUUUGCCUUUAUAUUUUGGCAAGCAUCGUGUGUUCGGGAAUGAUCUACACAAAUAUAUCCACUCAGAUGUGGGUGAUCAUGAGUUAUUAUUGUUGACAUUACCCUUGAGGUAAAUAGUUGGGAGGCAAAACUAUGAGCCCCUAUCUUUCUCUGUGUCCGAUUGAAGCUUUGACCUCAUAGGUACCGCGUGAGUGUUAACAAUUAUGAAAGACCAUAAGAUGAUUGAGUAUGUGGAUUUGCUUUAAAAUCUCUUGUAUUGACUCUUUCCUACGUUGCGAUAAAUUGGAAUUGCUUCAAUGAGUGAAAUCAUAGUGUGUUAGUUCUUAGUAGAGUUCUUGAUUCAUAUUUUACCAUGUGAAUGAAUUGUUACUCUAGAAUAAGAACUUAUAUGUCAAUAUUGUGUUGCUUCUCUGAAGAUAACCAUAAUGCCUUCAUGUCCAUAUUUUAUUUUUAUCGACACCUCUAUCUCUAAACAUGUGGGCAUAUUUAUCGAUCUCGGUUUUCGCUUGAGGACAAGCGAGGUCUAAGCUUGGAGGAGUUGAUACGUACAUUUUGCAUCAUGCUUUUAUGUCAAUAUUUAUUGCAUUAUGGGAUUUUAUUACAUAUUAUGGUAAAAUACAUAUGCCUUUUAUCUCUUAUUUUACAAGGUUUACAUAAAGUGGGAGAAUGCCGGCAGCUGGAAUUCUGGACUAGAAAAGGAGAAAAUAUGAGAGACCUAUUAUGCACAACUCCAAAAGUCCUGAAGAGUUAUGGAGAAUUGUUUUGGAAUAUAUAAAAAAACUAUUGGGUGAAGGAAAUACCACAGGAGACCCACCAGGAGGUCACAAGCCAGGGGGCGUGGCCUACCCCCCUGGUCGUGCCUUGUAGGCUUGUGGGCCCCCUAACAGGCCACCGGUGCCCAUCUUCUGCUAUAUGAAGGGUUUUGACCUGGAAAAAAUCAUGUCAGAGCAUUCGGGAUGAAGCGCCGCUGUCUCUAGGCGAAACUUUGGUAGAACCAAUCUAGAGCUCCGACGGAGCUAUUCUGUCGGGGAAACUUCCCUCUCACAUGGGGAAAUUGAAGCCAUCGUCGUCACCAACGAUCCUCUCAUCGAGAGGGGUUCAAUCUCCAUCAACAUCUCCAUCAGCACCAUCUCCUCUCCAAACCCUAGUUUAUCUCUUGUAUCCGAUCUUUGUCUCAAACCUGAGAUUGGUACCUAGGGGUUGCUAGUAGUGUUGAUUACUCCUUGUAGUUGAUGCUACUUGGUUUACUUUGUGGAAAAUCAUAUGUUCAGAUCCUUAAUGAUUAUUAAACUCCUCUAAUUAUAAACAUGAAUAUGCUUUGUGAGUAAUUAUGUUUGUUCCUGAGGACAUGGGAUAAUUUUGGCUAUAAGUAAUCAUGUGAAUUUGGUUUUCGUUUGAUAUUUUGAUGAGAUGUGUGUUGUCUCUCCUUUAGUGGUGUAAUGUGAACGUCGACUACAUGACACUUCACCAUUAUUUGGGCCUAGGGGAAUGCAUUGGGAAGUAAUAAGUAGAUAAUGGGUUGCUAGAGUGACAGAAUCGUAAACCCUAGUUUAUGCGUUGCUUCAUAAGGGGCUAAUUUGGAUCCAUAUGUUCCAUGCUAUGGGUUAGAUUUAUCUUAAUUCUUGUUUCGUAAUUGCGGAUGCUUGCGAGAGAGGUUAAUCAUAAUUCGGAUGUUUGUCCAAGUAAGGGCAGCACCCAAGCACCGGUCCACCCACAUAUCAAAUUAUCAAAGUAACGAACGCAAAUCAUAUGAGCAUGAUGAAAACUAGCUUGACAGAAAUUCCCAUGUGUGCUCGAGAGCGCUUUUCUUUAUAUAAGAGUUUGUCCAGGCUUGUCCUUUGCUACAAAAAGGAUUGGGAAACCUUGCUGCACCUUUGUUACAGUUGUUAUUUGCUAUCCGUUACAAAUUACCUUAUCACAAAACUAUGUGUUACCGAUAAUUUCAGUGCUUGCAGAGAAUACUUUAGUGAAACCCGCUUGUCAUUUCCUUAUGCUCCUCGUUGGGUUCGACACUCUUACUUAUCGAAAGGACUAUGAUAGAUCCCCUAUACUUGUGGGUCAUAAGCAACCCAAUACAUUUGUUGGCAUGUAUUUGUCAUUCCACUCAAUAUCCCCCCGGACAGAUUAUGCAAAGAAAGAACAAGUAAUGUCAUCUGCACUUAAACCAAACCAUAAGUUCCUUGCGUCAUACCCAAACUAUGGCCACUUUAUCUCAAUUUUUCUCCACUGCGACCCAUCAACGGGUACUCUCAACAUCUCGUCUUUCUUUUGUGCCAUUGCGACAACUUGGCAUGCUCUUUGUUUCUGAAUAGAGGUUUCAACCAUGGUAUUAUAGGAGCAUACCACAUCACCUUGGCAGGAACCCUCUUCCUGGGGCGCUAACCCUCAACAUCACGAGGCUCGUCUCAUGUGAUCUUAUGCGCAAUGCACCACAUACCAGGCAUGCAUUCAAAUUCUCAUACUCCUCAUCGCGAUAAAGGAUGCAGUCAUUAGGGCAUGCAUGUAUCUUCUGCACCUCUAAUCCUAGAGGACGGAGAACCUUCUUUGCUUCGUACAUACUGUCAGGCAAUUCGUUAUCCUUUGUAAGCUUCUUCUUCAUUAUUUUUAGUAAAUUCUGAAAUCCCUUGUCAGAUACACCAUUCCAUGCCUUCCAUUGCAACAAUUCUAGUGUGAUACCGAGCUUUGUGUUGCCAUUUUCGCAAUUUGGGUACAACCUUUUUUUGUCAUCCUCUAACAUGCGAUCGAACUUUAACUUCUCACUUUCACUUUCGCAUUCUUUGUGUGCAUCAACAAUGACCCGACGAAGAACAUCAUCAACGGGCACAUCCGGUGCCUCUUGAUCUUCAACUUCCUCCCUUGCAGUAUGACCUUAUUCGGGUAACAUAGGAUCCCGAUAGUUGUCAUCAUCCUCUUCUUCUUCAUUGUGUUCCAGCAUAACCCCUCUUUCUCCGUGCUUGGUCCAACAAUUAUAGUGGGGCAUGAAACCCUUCUCAAGCAGGUGAAAGUGAAGGUUUUUUGAGGAAGAGUAGUCCUUCAUAUUCUCACACACAACACAUGACAAUACAUAAAACCAUUUUGCUUGUUUGCCUCAUCCACAUCGAGAAAAUUAUGUAGGCCUGUAAUGUAAUCGGAAGUGCGUCGGUCACCAUACAUCCAUUGCCGGUUCAUCUGCAUUAUGUAAUUAAGUAUAUCAAAAACCAUUACAGAAUAUCAUGAAUAGAGAAAUGACCAAAUUAAUAAAAUUUCAUCAUCACAUUAAAACCAAAGUAUAAUAGUGAUCAGAUGUUAUUACUACAAAAAUAAAUACAUAAAGUUCAUACAUAGUUCUCAUAAAACAACAUACAACUAUGUAAAACAUUUAAAUGCAACAACAAAUGCAAUCAAAAUUGCAACUAAGGUAACAAUUGAUCCAACAACAUAAUGAUAUCAAGCUUCUUUAUGAGUGUCAUAUUUUCUAAUCUUUCUAAUCUUCAAGCACAUUGCAUCCGUUUGGAUCUUAUGUAGAUCGACGACGUCGGCAAUAUGCAACUCCAAUUUCAUCUUCUCUUCUUCAAUUCUUUUCAAUUUUUCUUUAAAAUAAUUGUUUUCUUUUUCAACUAAAUUUAACCUCUCGAAAAGAGGGUCGGUUGGAAUUUACUGUUCACAUACCUCCUAGAUAAAGACAUCUAUGUCAAGUUGGUCAGCAUAAUUGUCAUAAACACUAAAUGAAACAAAUACUUAUAAAAUAUAAUAUACCACAUCCGAAUCAUAGACCGGACGAGAGCCGACGGGGGCGUAUUCCAAAACCAUGGCACUAUAUAAUAACAAACAAUAAUACAAGUAGCUAUCUAAAUCAUACAAGUAAGAAAUUUUUUUCUUUUAGAAAGAUAGGAACAAGAGGCUCACCACAGUGGUGCGGGCGACAAAAUCGGCGCGGACAAUCGACGACGGUGAGGACGGAGACGGGGAUGGGACGACACCCUACACAUGUGCAAACUAAAAAAUCAAUUUGAGCUUAAAUUUUGCAUCUAAAUCAAAUAAACUCCCACAGAAACUCCUCCACGAAAACCCACAAACCACUCUACUUCUAGAGCAUAUGAAAUGAGCUAAACUAGCAAUGAGAGAUGAAAGGAUGAAGUUGCUAACCUUCUAGAACACUUGGAUAGUUGGUGCACCGCCAAAUCUAGAAAAAUAUUGGGGAAAUGGAGCUUGGACGUUGAGCUCAGAGGAAGAACGGAGGAGAAAUCUUAAGUGUGUCUCGGACAUUUCAUCGAACACCUCAUGUGCAUAAAAAGGCAGAACAUAGCAGCACACACACCUCCCUGAUGGGGAACGUCGCAUGGGAAACAAAAAAUUCCUAUGCGCACGAAGACCUAUCAUGGUGAUGUCCAUCUACGAGAGGGGAUUUCCGAUCUACGUACCCUUGUAGAUCGCACAGCAGAAGCGUUAGUGAACGUGGUUGAUGUAGUGGAACGUCCUCACGUCCCUCGAUCCGCCCCGUGAACCGUCCCACGAACCGUCUCGCGAUCCGUCCCACGAUCUAGUGCCGAACGGACGGCACCUCCGCGUUCAGCACACGUACAGCUCGACGAUGAUCUCGGCCUUCUUGAUCCAGCAAGAGAGACAGAGAGGUAGAUGAGUUCUCCGGCAGCGUGACGGCGCUCCGGAGGUUGGUGAUGAUCUAAUCUCGGCAGGGCUCCGCCCGAGCUCCGCAGAAACGCGAUCUAGAGGUAAAACCGUGGAGGUAUGUGGUCGGGCUGCCUUGAAAAAGUUGUCUCAAAUCAGCCCUAAUUGCUCCAUAUAUAUAGGAGGAGGGAGGGGAGGCUUGCCUUGAGGCUCAAGGAGCCCCAAGGGCUGCGCCACCAAGGGGAGGAGGAGUCCUCCUCCAAUCCGAGUCCAACUAGGAUUGGAAGGUGGAGUCCUUCUCUCUUUUCCCACCUUUCCUUUUUUUCCUUUCUCUUCUUUUGGUUUUUUCUUUCUCUUGCGCAAGACAGCCUUGGGCUGACCCCACCUACUUGGUGCACCAACCCCAAGGUCCUUGGGCCCUCCCGGGUGGGUGGUCCCCCCUCCCGGUGAAGAUCCGGAACCCAUUCGUCAUUCCCGGUACAUUACCGGUAAUGCGUGAAAACCUUCCGGUAACCAAAUGAAGUCAUCCUAUAUAUCAAUCUUCGUUUCCAGACCAUUCCGGAAACCCUCGUGACGUCCAUGAUCUCAUCCCGGACUCCGAACAACAUCCGGUAACCAACCAUAUAACUCAAAUACGCAUAAAACAACGUCGAACCUUAAGUGUGCAGACCCUGCGGGUUCGAGAACUAUGUAGACAUGACCCGAGUGACUCAUCGGUCAAUAUCCAAUAGCGGGACCUGGAUGCCCAUAUUGGAUCCUACAUAUUCUACGAAGAUCUUAUCGUUUGAACCUCAGUGCCAAGGAUUCAUAUAAUCUCGUAUGUCAUUCCCUUUGUCCUUCGGUAUGUUACUUGCCCGUGAUUCGAUCGUCAGUAUCCUCAUACCUAUUUCAAUCUCGUUUAUCGGCAAGUAUCUUUACUCCUUCCGUAAUACAAGAUCCCGCAACUUACACUAAGUCACAUUGGUUGCAAGGCUUGUGUGUGAUGUUGUAUUACCGAGUGGGCCCCGAGAUACCUCUCCGUCAUACGGAGUGACAAAUCCGAGUCUCGAUCCAUACUAACUCAACGAACACCUUCGGAGAUACCUGUAGAGCAUCUUUAUAGUCACCCAGUUACGUUGCGACAUUUGAUACACACAAAGCAUUCCUCCGGUGUCAGUGAGUUAUAUGAUCUCAUGGUCAUAGGAACAAAUACUUGACACGCAGAAAACAGUAGCAACAAAAUGACACGAUCAGCAUGCUACGUCUAUUAGUUUGGGUCUAGUCCAUCACAUGAUUCUCCUAAUGAUGUGAUCCCGUAAUCAAGUAGCAACACUGUUAGAGCAUAUAUCUCCAUAUGUGGUUUUGGUAAUUGAUGACAAUUCCUAUGGACUAAUGGUUGCCUUAAGUUACAUUUAUAGGAUUUGUCCAUAGGCACUUCUUGAAGUCCAUCUGUUGGGUUCAAGGAGUUUAUAUGAUGACCAAGAUGGUAUUCAAGGUAUUAUCCAAAGAAUGGUCAUAGAGACACAUGGUUGAUCAAGAUCUCAGACAAAGAGUAAAUCAAGAUGAUCAACACACAAAACGUACAAGAUGUACCGAGAGGGAUCAAGUGAUCCCAUGGUAUGGUAAGCAUUGUCCAUUACGUAUUUGUGUACUAACCCAUGGUCUUCGUGAGAGUUCUAUGUGGGGGUUAGGUGUGUUUCCAUGGGCUUGCGUCAAAGGGAAGAUCUCAUACAACCCAUGAGCAAAUCAAGAUGAUCAACACACAAAGCGUACAAGAUGUACCGAGAGGGAUCAAGUGAUCCCAUGGUAUGGUAAGCAUUGUCCAUUACGUGUUUGCGUACUAACCCAUGGUCUUCGUGAGAGUUCUAUGUGAGGGUUAGGUGUGUUUCCAUGGGCUUGCGUCAAAGGGAAGAUCUCAUACAACCCAUGGAGUAUGACGUCAAGUUGUGAUCGUCAUCAAGAUUGCGGUGUGCAAGUUCAAGUGGAUCAGCACGAAGAUAGCAUGCUUGAAGCUUGCCGUCCACUAUGAUGGCAAUGGACUUGUGAAGAUAUGCUGAAGAGUGGCUCACCCAUAGUGAGUAUGGGGAGCAAUCACUAGUCUUCAUCAAGCCAACACAAUCAAGAAAGGUGGUCCAUCUUGAGGAAGCCAAGAUCAUCAUCAUCUAGCUCAAGAGGAUGAGGUGCAAGGUAUAGGUUUGCCCUUGAUAGGUUUUCUGGUUAGGAUAGAUUGUUGUUCUAUCAAGGGGGGCUCUCAAGUGAGUAGCUUGAUCGUAUCGUUCAUUGAGAGCUCAAACCAUUUGCAUCCUUGCAUCAUACUUCUUGGUUCUUAUUUGGUGUUUCUCUUUGUGAGUUUUAGAGAUUAUGGUCAUCUUCAUGACAAGCUCGAGUUCAUCGAAAAUGGAGUCCAUAUGCAACUACUAUGAUGUUUUCGAUGUUGGAGUUUUUGCCGGUUCUUCAUUCUUAGAGGACUCACAUCUUUAUAUCAUUGACAUUUUCAUAUCAUUGGUCGCUGUUUGGAUAGCCCUUGUCGUCCUGAAUCCAACAAGCUUGGGUUUGCUCGAUUCGGAGCUCGUAUGCGAAAGUUAUGGCUGUUUCAGUGGCGAGCGGUAGUACCGCUGGACCUAGCGGUAGUACCGCUAGAGUUGGCGGUAGUACCGCUGGCCCAAGCGGUAGUACCGCUGGCUGGCGGUAGUACCGCUGGCCCAAGCGGUAGUACCGCUGGCUGGCGGUAGUACCGCUGGCCCAAGCGGUAGUACCGCUGGCUGGCGGUAGUACCGCCCCUGGUCAGCGGUAGUACCGCUCCAGGAGCUUAGUACCGCCUGCCUAGCGGUUGUUCGUGGACGGACCUUUUUGCGAAGACUUUCUUGGCGGUGGUAGUGCCGUUGCACUACCAGGGGCCCAGUGGUAGUACCGCUGGAGUGCCAGCGGUAGUACCGCUGCAGCUAGUGGUAGUACCGCUAGCUGGCGGUAGUACCGCUGCAGCCAGCGGUAGUACCGCUGGAGCUCGGGCAGAAAGUGGGGGUAACGGUCUCAUUCCUUCCCCCACUAUAUAAAGGGGGUCUUCUUCCCCCUUGGUCUUAUCCAUCCGUUGAGCUCUUGUUCUACCUCCAUUGUUGACAUUCUUAGAGCUUGAUUACUCUCUAUCCCUCCAAUGAUUCUUGCUUGUUCUUGAGGGAAAAGAGAGAGGAGAUCUAGAUCCACAUCUCCACCAAUCACUUUCUCCUCUAUGUGAGGGGAACCCCUUGGAUCUUGAUCUUGGAGUUCUUUGUGAGCUCCUUGUUCUUCCUCUCAUAUUUCUCCAUAGCUUUUGUUGUUGUGGAGGGAUUUGAGUGUGAGGGACUUGACCACUUCAUGUGUUCUUGCCAUUGCAUUAGUUGCAUCGGUUUGAGUUCUCCACGGUGAUACGUGGAAGUGAGAAGUUGAGAAGCUUACUACCUUUGGUACUUAGUACCCUUGAUAUUGUUCUUCGUGGAUGCUUUGGCGUCCUAGAAGCUUGGUGGUGUCUCGGAGCUCAAUCAUUGUGGUGUGAAGCUCCGGGAAGCGUCGGGGUCUCCAAUUAGGUUGUGGAGAUUGCCCCGAGCAAUUUGUACGGGUACCGGUAACCGCCCCCAAGGGUUGCCACGUGUACGGGUUCGGUGACUGCCCCCAAGGGUUGCCAUUUGUACGGGUUCGGUGACCGCCCUCAAGGGUCCCUUAGUGGAAUCACGACAUCUUGCAUUGUGCGAGGGCGUGAGGAGAUUACGGUGGCCUUAGUGGCAUCUUGGGGAGCAUUGUGCCUCCACACCGCUCUAACGGAGAUUAACAUCCGCAAGGGUGUGAACUUCGGGAUACAUCAUCGUCUCCCCGUGCCUCGGUUAUCUCUUACCCGAACCCUUUACUUAUGCACUUUACUUUGUGAUAGACAUAUUGUUUAUUGUAAUAUAUCUUGCUAUCACUUAGUUGUUUAUCUUGCUUAGCAUAAGUUGUUGGUGCACAUAGGUGAGCCUAGUUGUUUGUAGGUUUUGUGCUUGACAUAUUAAACGUUAGUUUUAUUCCGCAUUUGUUCAAGCCUAAACCUUAACUAUUUUAAAGCGCCUAUUCACCCCCCCUCUAGGCGACAUCCACGUCCUUUUCAAACACUUGCCUAUGGCCAGGAAACAUUCACCAUCUUUGAUCAACGAGCUAGUCAACUAGAGGCUUACUAGGGACAGUGUUUUGUCUAUGUAUCCACACAAGUAUUGUGUUUCCAAUCAAUGCAAUUAUAGCAUGGAUAAUAAACAAUUAUCAUGAACAAAGAAAUAUAAUAAUAACUAAUUUAUUAUUGCCUCUAGGGCAUAUUUCCAACAGUCUCCCACUUGCACUAGAGUCAAUAAGCUAGUUCACAUCACCAUGUGAUUCCAACGAAUCCAACACCCAUAUAGUCAUGGGGUCUGAUCACAUCUUGCUCGUGAGAGCGGUUUUAGUCAACGGUUCUGAAACUUUCAGACCCGUGUGUUCUUUACAAAUCUUUAUGUCAUCUUAUAGAUGCUGCUACUAUGUGCUAUUCGGAAAUACUCCAAAUAUCUACUCUACUAUACGAAUCCGUUUCACUACUCAUAGUUAUUCGGAUUAGUGUCAAAGCUUGCAUGCNNNNNNNNNNNNNNNNNNNNNNNNNNNNNNNNNNNNNNNNNNNNNNNNNNNNNNNNNNNNNNNNNNNNNNNNNNNNNNNNNNNNNNNNNNNNNNNNNNNNGCCACGGCAGCCCGAUCACAUACCUCCAUGAGUUUUUCCUCUAGAUCGUAUUUCUGCGGAGCUCCGGGUGGAGCCCUGCYGGGAUAGAUCACCACCAACAUCCGGAGCGCCGUCACGCUGCCGGAGAACUCAUCUACCUCUCCGUCUCUCUUGCUGGAUCAAGAAGGCCAAGAUCAUCGUCGCGCUGUACGUGUGCUGAACGCGGAGGUGCCGUCCGUUCUGCACUAGAUCGGAGCGGAUUGUGGGACGGAUCGCGGGACGGUUCGUGGGACGGUUCGCGGGGCGGAUCGAGGGACGUGAGGACGCUCCACUACAUCAACCGCGUUUCUUAACGCUUCCUGCUGUGCGAUCUACAAGGGUACGUAGAUCGGAAAUCCCCUCUUGUAGAUGGACAUCACCAUGGUAGGUAUUGCAUGUGCAUAGGAAUUUUUUGUUUCCCGUACCAUGUUCCCCAACAGUGGCAUCAUGAGCUAGGUUCAUGCGUAGAUGUCAUCUCGAGUAGAACACAAAAGUUUUUGUGGGCGGUGAUGUGCGAUUUGCUGCCCUCCUUAGUCUUUCCUUGAUUCCGCGGUAUUGUUGGAUCGAAGCGGCUCGGACCGACAUUACUCGUACACUUACGAGAGACUGGUUUCAUCGCUACGAGCAACCCCGUUGCUCAAAGAUGACUGGCGAGUGUCGGUUUCUCCAACUUUAGUUGAAUCUGAUUUGACCGAGGAGGUCCUUGGAGAGAGGUUAAAUAGAAAUUCAUACAUCCCCAUUGUGGUGUUNNNNNNNNNNNNNNNNNNNNNNNNNNNNNNNNNNNNNNNNNNNNNNNNNNNNNNNNNNNNNNNNNNNNNNNNNNNNNNNNNNNNNNNNNNNNNNNNNNNNAGUUACCGGGAAUGUACCGGGAAUGACGAAUGGGUUCCGGGAGUUCACCGGGGGGGGGGGGGCAACCCACCCCGGGGAAGCCCAUAGGCAUUGAGGGACCCACACCAGCCCUUAGUGGGCUGGUGGGACAGCCCACAAGUGCCCAAUGCGCCAAGAGAAGAAAAAUCAAGAGGAAAGAAAAAAAAGGAAGGAGGUGGGAAGGGAGGGGGACUCCUCCCACCAAACCAAGUCCAACUCGGUUUGGGGGGGGGAGGUCCUCCCCCCUUGGCUCGGCCGACUCCUUGGGGGUCCUUGGACCCCAAGGCAAGGCCCCCCUCCCUCCUCCUAUAUAUAUGGAGCUUUUAGGGCAGAUUUGAGACGAUUUUUUCUCACGGCUGUCCGACCACAUACCUCCAUAGUUUUUCCUCUAGAUCGCGUUUCUGCGGAGCUCGGGCGGAGCCCUGCUGAGACAAGAUCAUCACCAACCUCCGGAGCGCCGUCACGCUGCCGGAGAACUCUUCUACCUCUUCGUCUCUCUUGCUGGAUCAAGAAGGCCGAGAUCAUCGUCGAGCUGUACGUGUGCUGAACGCGGAGGUGCCGUCCGUUCGGUACUAGAUCGUGGGACUGAUCGCGGGAUUGUUCGCGGGGCGGAUCGAGGGACGUGAGGACGUUCCACUACAUCAACCGCGUUCUCUAACGCUUCUGCUGUACGGUCUACAAGGGUACGUAGAUCUCUCAUCCCCUCUCGUAGAUGGACAUCACCAUGAUAGGUCUUCGUGCGNNNNNNNNNNNNNNNNNNNNNNNNNNNNNNNNNNNNNNNNNNNNNNNNNNNNNNNNNNNNNNNNNNNNNNNNNNNNNNNNNNNNNNNNNNNNNNNNNNNNCGACGUAACCCUUUACGACGAACUCUUUAACCACCUCCAUAAUCGAGAAAAAUUCCUUAGUCCAUCAGUUACUAAGGAUAAAUUUUGACCGCUGCUAGUGAUUCAAUAAUGGAUCACUCUCUGUACCUCUCAACAGACAUUGAGUCAAGGCACUCAUCAGGUGCAGUACCCAGCAUGGCAUACUUCAGAUUCUACGGCCAAGGCAUAGAAGACGACCUUCGUCUAUUCUCUUUAUUCUGCCGGGGUCGGGUUUUGAGUCUUACUCAAAUUCACACCUCACAACGCAACCAAGAACUCCUUCUUUGCUGAUCUAUUUUGAACUCCUUCAAAAACUUGUCAAGGCAUGCAUCUUGUUGAAACUUCUAUUAAGCGUUUUGAUCUAUCUCCAUAGAUCUUGAUGCUCAACGUUCAAGUAGCUCAAUCCAGGUAUUUCUUUGAAAAACUCCUUUCAAACAACCUUUUAUGCUUCACAGAAAUUCUACAUUACUUACGAUCAUCAAUAUGUCAACCACAUAUACUUAUCAGAAAUUCUAUAGUGCUCCCACUCACUUCUUUGAAAAUACAAGUUUCUCAUAAACCUUGUACAAACCCAAAAUCUUUGAUCAUCUCAUCAAAGUGUAUAUUCCAACUCCGAGAUGCUUGCACCAGUCCAAUGAAGGAUCGCUGGAGCUUGCAUACUUGUUAGUAUCUUUAGGAUCAACAAGACCUCCUGGUUGUAUCACAUACAAUGUUUGCUCAAGGAAACCGUCGAGGAAACAAUGUUUUGUCUUCCUAUGUGCAAUAUUUCACAAAUAAUGCAACAACUACUAACAUAAUUCCAACAGACUUUUAGCAUCGCUAUGAGUGAGAAAGUGUCAUCAUAGUCAACUAUUUGAUCUUGUCAGAAACAUCUUUGCGACAAGUUGAGCUUUUCUUAAUAGUGACUUAUCACCAUCAUCGUCUGUCUUUCUUACAAAGAUCCAUCUUUACUCAAUAGUCUUAUGACCAUCAAGUAGUUCUUCCAAAGUCUACACUUUGUUUUCAUACAUGGAUCCUCUCUCGGAUUUCAUGGCCUCCAGCCAUUUGUCGGAAUCCGGGCCCACCAUUGCUUUCUCCAUAACUCGUAGGUUCAUUGUUGCUCAACAACAUGACCUCCAAGACAGGGUUACCGUACCACUCUGCAGUAGUACGCAACCUUGUCGACCUACGAGGUUUGUAGUAACUUGAUCCGAAGCUCAAUGAUCACCAUCAUCAGCUUCCACUUUAAUUGGUGUAGGCGCCACAGGAACAACUUCCUGCUCCCUGCUACACACUGGUUGAAGUGAUGGUUCAAUAACCUUAUCAAGUUCUACCACCCUCCCACUCAAUUCUUUCGAGAGAAACCUUUCCUCAAGAAAGGAUCCGUUUCUAAAAACAAACACUUUGCUUUCGGAUCUGAGAUAGGAGAUGUACCCAACUGUUUUGGAUAUCCUAUGAAGAUGCAUUUAUCCGUUUUGGGUUCGAGCUUAUCAGACUGAAACUUUUUCACAUAAGUGUCGAAGCCCCAAACUUUCAAGAAACGACAGUUUAGAUUUCUCUAAACCUCAGUCUAUACUGUGUCAUCCCAACGGAAAUACGCGGUGCCCUAUUUAAAGUGAAUGCGGUUGUCUCUAAUGCAUAACCCAUAAACGAUAGUGGUAAUUCGAUAAGAGACAUCAUAGCAUGCACCAUCCCAGAUAGUGCGUGGCUAUGACGUUCAGACACAUCAUCACAUUAUGAUGUUCCAGGUGGCAUGAACUGCGAAACAAUUUCCACAUUGUCUUAACUACGUACCAAAACUCGUAACUCAGAUAUUCAUUUCUAUGAUCAUAUCGUAGAUCGUUUAUCCUCUUGUUACGAAGAACUUCACUCCGAAACAGAAUUGAACUUUUCAAUAUUUCAGACUUGUGAUUCAUUAAGUAAAUACUCUUGUAUCUACUCAAAUCAUCAUUGAAGUAAGAACAUAAUAAUAUCCACUGCGUGCCUCAGCACCCAUUGGACUGCAUACAUCAAAAUGUAUCACUUCCAACAAGUUACUAUCUUGUUUCAUCUCAAUGAAAACAAGGCCUUGCUCAUGUGGUAUGAUUUGCAUGUCACUAGUGAUUCAAAAUCAAGUGAGUAUAAAGAUCCAUCAGCAUGGAGCCUCUUCAUGCAAUUUGUACCAACAUGACUCAAGCGGCAGUGCCACAAGUAAGUCGUACUAUCAUCAUUACCUCGUAUCUUUUGGCACCAAUAUUAUGAACAUGUGUAACACUACGAUCGAGAUUCAAUAAACCAUUGAAGGUGAUUUAUUCAAGCAAAUAGAGUAACCAUUAUUCUCUUUAAAUGAAUAAUCGUAUUGCAAUAAACACGAUCCAAUCAUGUUCAUGCUUAACGCAAGUACCAAAUAACAAUCAUUUAGGUUUAACACCAAUCCCGAUGGUAGAUGGAGUGUGCGACGUUUGAUCAUAUCAACCUUGGAAACACUUCCAACACGUAUCGUCACCUCGCCUUUAGCUAGUCUGCGUUUAUGCCGUAGCUUUCAUUUCGUGUCACUAAUCACUUAGCAACCGAACCGGUAUCUAAUACCCUCGUGCUACUAGGAGUACUAGUAAAGUACACAUCAAUAUCAUGUAUAUCAAAUAUACUUCUCUCGACUUUUGCCAGCCUUCUUAUCUACCAAGUAUCUAGAGUUGCUCCGCCUCAGUGACUGUUCCCCUCAUUACAGAAGCACUUAGUCUCGGGUUUGGGUUUAAUCUUGGGUCUCUUCAUCAGUGCAACAACUGUUUUGUCGUUUCACGAAGUAUCCCUUCUAGCCCUUGCCUUUCUUGGAACUUAGUGGUUUUACUAACCAUCAACUAUUGAUGCUCCUUCUUGAUUUCUACUUCCGCAGUGUCAAACAUCGCGAAUCGCUCAAGGAUCAUUGUAUCUAUCCUUGAUAUGUUAUAGUUCAUCACGAAGCUCUCACAGCUUGGUGGCAGUGACUUUGGAGAACCAUCACUAUCUCAUCUGGAAGAUUAACUCCCACUUGAUUCAAGCGAUUGUCGUACUCAGACAAUAUGAGCACACGCUCAACGAUUGAGCUUUUCUCCUUUACUUUGUAGACAAAGAAUCUAGAGUGGCCUAGCACAUGCACAUAUUGUCUAGCACAUGCACAUAUUGGCCUAGCACACUCUAGAUUCUAGACAAUAUGUGCAUGUGCUAGGCCACUCUAGAUUCUUUGUCCACAAAGUAAAGGAGAAAAGCUCAAUCGUUGAGCGUGUGCUCAGAUUGCCUGAGUACGACAAUCGCUUGAAUCAAGCGGGAGCUAAUCUUCCAGAUGAGAUAGUGAUGGUUCUCCAAAGUCACUUCCACCAAGCUGUGAGAGCAUCGUGAUGAACUAUAACAUAUCAAGGAUAGAUACAAUGAUCCUUGAGCGAUUCGCGAUGUUUGACACUGCGAAAGUAGAAAUCAAGAAGGAGCAUCAAUAGUUGAUGGUUAGUAAAACCACUAAGUUCCAAGAAAGGCAAGGGCUAGAAGGGAUACUUCGUGAAACGGCAAAACAGUUGUUGCACUGAUGAAGAGACCCAAGAUUAAACCCAAACCCGAGACUAAGUGCUUCUUUAAUGAGGGGAACAGUCACUGAGGCGGAGCAACUCUAGAUACUUGGUAGAUAAGAAGGCUGGCAAAAGUCGAGAGAAGUAUAUUUGAUAUACAUGAUGUUGAUGUGUACUUUACUAGUACUCCUAGUAGCAUGAGGGUAUUGGAUACCGGUUCGGUUGCUAAGUGAUUAGUGACACGAAAUGAAAGCUACGGCAUAAACGCAGACUAGCUAAAGGCGAGGUGACGAUACGUGUUGGAAGUGUUUCCAAGGUUGAUAUGAUCAAACGUCGCACACUCCAUCUACCAUCGGGAUUGGUGUUAAACCUAAAUGAUUGUUAUUUGGUACUUGCGUUAAGCAUGAACAUGAUUGGAUCGUGUUUAUUGCAAUACGAUUAUUCAUUUAAGGAGAAUAAUGGUUACUCUAUUUGCUUGAAUAAAUCACCUUCAAUGGUUUAUUGAAUCUCGAUCGUAGUGUUACACAUGUUCAUGAUAUUCGUGCCAAAAGAUACGAGGUAAUGAUGAUAGUACGACUUACUUGUGGCACUGCCGCUUGAGUCAUGUUGGUACAAAUUGCAUGAAGAGGCUCCAUGCUGAUGGAUCUUUAUACUCACUUGAUUUUGAAUCACUAGUGACAUGCAAAUCAUACCACAUGAGCAAGGCCUUGUUUUCAUUGAGAUGAAAUAAGAUAGUAACUUGUUGGAAGUGAUACAUUUUGAUGUAUGCAGUCCAAUGGGUGCUGAGGCACGCAGUGGAUAUCAUUAUGUUCUUACUUCAAUGACGAUUUGAGUAGAUACUAGAGUAUUUGCUUAAUGAAUCACAAGUCUGAAAUAUUGAAAAGUUCAAUUCUGUUUCGGAGUGAAGUUCGUCGUAACAAGAGGAUAAACUGUCUACGAUAUGAUCAUAGAAAUGAACAUCUGAGUUACGAGUUUUGGUACGCAGUUAAGACAAUGUGGAAAUUGUUUCGCAGUUCAUGCCACCUAGAACAUCAUAGUGUGAUGAUGUGUCUGAACGUCAUAGCCACACACUAUCUGGUAUGGUGCAUGCUAUGAUGUCUCUUACCGAAUUACCACUAUCGUUUAUGGGUUAAGCAUUGGAGACAACCGCAUUCACUUUAAAUAGGGCACCACGUAUUUCCGUUGAGAUGACAUAGUAUAGACUGAGGUUUUGAGAAAUCUAAACUGUCGUUUCUUGAAAGUUUGGGGUUUCGACACUUAUGUGAAAAAGUUUCAGUCUGAUAAGCUCGAACCCAAAGCGGAUAAAUGCAUCUUCAUAGGAUAUCCAAAACAGUUGGGUACAUCUCCUAUCUGAGAUCCGAAAGCAAAGUGUUUGUUUCUAGAAACGGAUCCUUUCUCGAGGAAAGGUUUCUCUCGAAAGAAUUGAGUGGGAGGGUGGUAGAACUUGAUGAGGUUAUUGAACCAUCACUCCUACCAGUGUGUAGCAGGGCGUAGGAAGUUGUUCCUGUGGCGCCUACACCAAUUGAAGUGAAAGCUGAUGAUGGUGAUCAUCGAGCAUCGGAUCAAGUUACUACAAGCCUCGUAGGUUGACAAGGUCGCGUACUACUACAGAGUGGUACGGUAACCCUGUCUUGGAGGUCAUGUUGUUGAGCAACAGUGAACCUACGAGUUAUGGAGAAAGCAAUGGUGGGCCCAGAUUCCGACAAAUGGCUGGAAGCCAUGAAAUCCGAGAGAGGAUCCAUGUAUGAAAACAAAGUGUAGACUUUGGAAGAACUACUUGAUGGUCAUAGGACUAUUGAGUAAGGAUGGAUCUUUAAAAGGAAGACAUACGAUGAUAGUGAUAAGUUACUAUUAAGAAAAGUUCGACUUGUCGCAAAGAUGUUUCCGACAAGAUCAAACAGUUGACUAUGAUGAGACUUUGUCACUCGUAGCGAUGCUGAAAGUCUGUUAGAAUUAUGUUAGUAGUUGCUGCAUUAUUUAUGAAAUAUUGCAUGUAGGAUGUCAAAACAUUGUUUCCUCGACGGUUUCCUUGAGCAAACAUUGUAUGAGAUACAACCAUGAGGUUUUGUCGAUCCUAAAGAUACUAGCAAGUAUGCAAGCUCCAGCGAUCCUUAAAUGGACUGGUGCAAGCAUCUCAGAGUUGGAAUAUACACUUUGAUGAGAUGAUCAAGGAUUUUGGGUUUGUACAAGGUUUAUGAGAAACUUGUACUUCCAAAGAAGUGAGUGGGAGCACUAUAGAAUUUCUGAUAAGUAUAUGUGGUUGACAUAUUGUGGAUCAGAAGUAAUGUAGAAUUUCUGUAAAGCAUACAAGGUUGUUUGAAAGGAGUUUUCAAAGGAAUACCUGGAUUGAGCUACAUGAACGUUGAGCAUCAAAGAUCUAUGGAGAUAGAUCGAAAGCGCUUAAUGGAAGUUUCAACAAGAUGCAUACCUUGACAAGUUUUGAAGGAGUUCAAAAUAGAUCAGCAAAGAAGGAGUUCUUGGUUGCGUUGUAAGGUGUGAAUUUGAGUAAGACUCGGAACCCGACCACGGCAGAAUAAAGAGAAUAGACGAAGGUCGUCUUCUAUGCCUUAGCCGUAGACUCUAAAGUAUGCCAUGCUGAGUACCGCACCUGAUGUGUGCCUUGCAGCAAGUCUGUUGAGAGGUACAAAGAGUGAUCCAUGAUUGAAUCACUAGCAGCGGUCAAAAUUUGUCCUUAGUAACUGAUGGACUAAGGAAUUUUUCUCGAUUAUGGAGGUGGUUAAAGAGUUCGUCGUAAAGGGUUACGUCGAUGUAAGCUUUAACACUAAUCCGAAUAACUAUGAGUAGUGAAACGGAUUCGUAUGGUAGAGUAGAUAUUUGGAGUAUUUUCGAAUAGCACAUAGUAGCAGCAUCUAUAAGGUGACAUAAAGAUUUGUAACGAACACACGGAUCUGAAAAUUUUAGAACCGUUGACUAAAACCUCUCUCAUGAGCAAGACGUGAUCAGACCCCAUAACUAUAUGGGUGUUGGAUUCGUUGGAAUCACAUGGUGAUGUGAACUAGAUUAUUGACUCUAGUGCAAGUGGGAGACUGUUGGAAAUAUGCCCUAGAGGCAAUAAUAAAUUAGUUAUUAUUAUAUUUCUUUGUUCAUGAUAAUCGUUUAUUAUCCAUGCUAUAAUCGUAUUGAUUGGAAACACAGUCCAUGUGUGGAUACAUAGACAAAACACUGUCCCUAGUAAGCCUCUAGUUGACUAGCUCGUUGAUCAAAGAUGGUCAAGGUUUCCUGACCAUAGGCAAGUGUUGUCACUUGAUAACGGGAUCACAUCAUUAGGAGAAUCAUGUGAUGGACUAGACCCAAACUAAUAGACGUAGCAUGUUGAUCGUGUCAUUUUGUUGCUACUGUUUUCUGCGUGUCAAGUAUUUGUUCCUAUGGCCAUGAGAUCAUAUAACUCACUGACACCGGAGGAAUGCUUUGUGUGUAUCAAACGUCGUAACGUAAUUGGGUGACUAUAAAGAUGCUCUACAGAUAUCUCCGAAGGUGUUAGUUGAGUUAGUAUGGAUCGAGACUGGGAUUUGUCACUCCGUGUGACGGAGAGGUAUCUUGGGGCCCACUCGGUAAUACAACAUCACACACAAGCCUUGCAAGCAAUGUGACUUAGUGUAAGUUGCGGGAUCUUGUAUUACGGAACGAGUAAAGAGACUUGCCGGUAAACGAGAUUGAAAUAGGUAUGCGGAUACUGACGAUCGAAUCUCGGGCAAGUAACAUACCGAAGGACAAAGGGAAUGACAUACGGGAUUAUAUGAAUCCUUGGCACUGAGGUUCAAACGAUAAGAUCUUCGUAGAAUAUGUAGGAUCCAAUAUGGGCAUCCAGGUCCCGCUAUUGGAUAUUGACCGAGGAGUCUCUCGGGUCAUGUCUACAUAGUUCUCGAACCCGCAGGGUCUGCACACUUAAGGUUCGACGUUGUUUUAUGUGUAUUUGAGUUAUAUGGUUGGUUACCGAAUGUUGUUCGGAGUCCCGGAUGAGAUCACGGACAUCACGAGGGUUUCCGGAAUGGUCCAGAAACGAAGAUUGAUAUAUAGGAUGACCUCAUUUGAUUACCGGAAGGUUUUCGGAGUUACCGGGAAUGUACCGGGAACGACGAAUGGGUUCCGGGUGUUCACCGGGGGGGCAACCCACCUCGGGGAAGCCCAUAGGCCUUGGGCUGGCGCACCAGCCCUUAGUGGGCUGGUGGGACAGCCCAAGAAGGCCAUAUGCGCCAUAAGAAGAAAAUCAAAGAGAACAGGAAAGAAAAAGGGGAAGUGGAAAAAAGGGGAAUGACUCCUCCUUCCAAACCUAGUUGGAUUCGGUUUGGAAGGGGAGGACUCCCCCCUUUGGCUCGGCCGACCCCCUUGGGGAUCCUUGGACCCCAAGGCAAGGCCCCCCCCUCUCCCACCUAUAUAUACGGAGAUUUUAGGGCUGAUUUGAGACAACUUUUGCCACGGCAGCCCGACCACAUACCUCCACGGUUUUACCUCUAGAUCACGUUUCUGCGGAGCUCGGGCGGAGCCCUGCUGAGAUUAGAUCACCACCAACCUCCGGAGCGCCGUCACGCUGCCGGAGAACUCAUCUACCUCUCCGUCUCUCUUGCUGGAUCAAGAAGGCCGAGAUCAUCGUCGAGCUGUACGUGUGCUGAACGGGGAGGUGCCGUCCGUUCGGCACUAGAUCGGAGCGGAUCGUGGGACGGAUCGCGGGAUGGUUCGUGGGACGGUUCGCGGGGUGGAUCGAGGGACGUGAGGACGUUCCACUACAUCAACCGCGUUUCUUAACGCUUCUGCUGUGCGAUCUACAAGGGUACGUAGAUCGGAAAUCCCCUCUCGUAGAUGGACAUCACCAUGAUAGGUCUUCGUGCGCGUAGGAAAAUUUUUGUUUCCCAUGCGACGUGCCCCAACACUCUAUGUCGGCCCUCUCGACAAAGUCGUCACAGCUCCAGUAGGCGCCCGCGCCCGCGAACUCGCGCACCUCGCCGCUGGUCCUAGCGAACCGCGACAUCGGGUCACCGUGGUGGCCGAGCACGUCGAACGCGACCACUGCCAUUUUUAUUUUUUUGAGCCGGUGUGCUCGUCACCGUGGCACCACCUAUUUCUGCUCCAGGCGAAGUUGCUGUGCACGAGGCCAGGCUGUGUGCUGGGAGUUUCGUCCCCCUGCACCCUCGUCAGCUCCCCCCGCCCCGUCCCGCCCCCGCUCCACCGCCGACGUAAGCACCACCCAACACCCUCCCCUCAAGAUCCAAUCCACGCUCGCCCGCUCGCCUCGCGCAAUGCCCCGCUCCUGACCAUGUCCUCGCUCUCGAUCCCGGCUCCGCUCCUGCGCUCCUCGCCGUCUCCGUCUCCACCCGCGAACUGAAGGAGGCGCGCCGCGCGUGCGGGUGUGCGGGGACCGGGAUGGAGCAGCAGCACCUCCAGGCAGGGAGCGCCUCCGGCAGCCCAGGUUCGUGGGGACGGCGCACACCGGUGGGCCGGCAGCGCGCGAUGAGGCGGGACGGGCGCGGCAGGAGGUGGCGGUGCGCUGGAGGUGAAGAUGAAGAUGGGGAUUGGAAGGCAGGGGACGAGCGGUGGUUGCGUUCUAAGUAAUGCGGGGGAAUUUUGUGAAAAACUGAAACGUUUUUUAACUUACAAAAGGACCGUGGGUUGAUUUUUAGAAAAUAGAGGGGCCAUUUUACAAAAAGGCCGACGGCGUUUGUUAUUAGGGGAGAAGAUAAAAAUAGAGCUCAUAAUUUGAUUCGAAAGAAAAAGAACCCCAUGAUUUGUGCAUGUGUGGGUUGCGAGCGUAACAUGGCCCGGUCGAUCGACCCAUGUGAGCCUGCACUGGACGCGGGCUACGAGUUCCGGAAUCUGCUAACAUGCGGGUGCCUCUGUGCUGACAGUUGACACCGCCCGGCAUUUUUUGUUUCCUUUUCUUGUAGGCAAGAACAUACAGCUAGCUCGAUCAGGGGUUCUUUUGAGAUGUAGCACCCACAAAACGAAAAGAUAUCCCCCUAAAAGAAAACAUGAAAAGACAUAAUUUCCACCGAAAUUGGAAAUAUAAUAACUCCAUUGGGACAGAAAAGGUACUACUUAUAACGUACUAAUAAAUAAACCAAUUUCUAACCGGUUAAGCAUAAUUAACAGGCACUUAUUGGACAAUGUAGGAGCAUUAUGUAGGAGUAUAUAUAUUGUGCCAGAACUGACGAUACUCGUCGUGCUGGAAAGGGAAUAAUUACUAGGAUCUCCGUAUAGAACCGUUAGAAAAGGAACCCCGAUCCGUACCAGCGCAUUUUUGUGAGACAUUUAAGAAAACAAGUUGGAUUUGUGAUAACGGUGCAUGAUUUGGUUUUGUUAUUGCAUGGUCGAUUCCCUCUUGGGUUUGCACGUGGCUCUCUGCUAAUCAUGUGAGGAUGGCUCAUGAGUGAAGCGCGCACUGACCCAAUAGAAAUGGCGAGCCCGGUCCUGAGAUUCCUGUACAUGCGCCUCAUGACAUGAGUGCCAUUUGUUUACGCUCGUAGGAAGCUUCGUGGCGACAUCCGAAACGUACGGAGGACAUACAGUAUAUACUCGCCAGCCAGCCAGCCAGCCAGCCAUGUCAACCAAGAGAGCAGCAGCCGGUAGUACACUAGUACGUACGUGCCAAGUUGGCUAUACUUUGCAAAGAUGAGAGCACCACAUCAGCAAACACGAAUGUUAAUCUCGUAAUCAUGCAGAUGCUUAUAUGCUUAACUGAUGGCCACGUCCAGCAAGCAAGCUAGUCCUUAAACCAGACGCGGGUAGGAGCCAUGCACAUGCACAGGCAUGCAGCUCCGCGCGCCAUGGAUAUGCAUGCGCAAAGUCAAUGCCCUUUGGAGCCAAGAACUGCCAGAUCGCUCACAAAUUAAAUCACUACCCCAUGUUAGUAGGAGUACUGGUGAACAGGCUCAUAAUAAUUGAGAAAACAAAUUGCAGACGAGCGUGCGCUGGGCAGGCUAUAUAUACGUCUGUGGUGCCCUGUAGUUCACUCAAGCAGGCGGUAGCAUCAUAUCGUAGUAGUAGCUAGAGGCUAGAGCUAGCCAGGCAGGCAGGUCUCCUCGUCCUCAGUAGUUUUCUGACUCUUGAAGAUGUCGCAGAGGCCGGGGAGGCACCAGAGGAGGGCGUCGCAGAGCGUGUUCUCCCUGCCGGAGAACUUCGCCAGCCUGGAGGACGUGCCGGCGGACGGCGUCGGCGAGCAGCGGAAGCCCGCCGCGGCGGGGGCGGACGCCUCCGAGCAGCAGCAGCCCGCCAGGCCGGCGGCGGGGCGCCACCGGCGGGCAAUGUCGAUGGCCGUGCCCUCCAGGGACCUGGACAUGAUCGCGGAGGACAUGGGAAGCUACAGCAAGUACGGCGCCUGAUUGGUAGAAAGACGUACGUCUAGUUCAUUCACGCUGGUGUGUUUAUGUACGUACGUGUUCUUCCGUGGCCGGUGGGUACGUUAGGUGUAAACCAGUUGGUUGUUUUGUUCUGUGCUGUGUUUUUCCUGCUUCUCUGAAUGUGUACUCCUCCUUUGCCUGCCUGACCAGAGUAAAAAAAUCCCGCUGUUGCAAAUUUGUUGUGUAUGGCAUUCACGGGGUGUUUCUUUACAGGGACUUUUUACUGUAAGGAUUAAAAAAAAGGAUUUUUAGGGACUAAAAGAGGUACUUUGGGACUAAAGGAAGAAGUCGUUAUGGAAGAGUCUUUUUGAUACUUUUUUGAUACUUUUUCCAACAGUGCUCCUACUUUUAGCAUGUCAUUUUACAAUUUCUAAUAUAUUAGUAGGGGUAACAUGAUCUUUUUGCAGGUCAUUUAAUGACCUCUAAUCUUUAUUUAGUCUCUGAAAAAAAAACUAGGAACUUUUUAGUUAAGAUUAAAAAAAUAUAAGACUUUUAAAAAAAACAGGGCCUCAUUCCGUCGCUAAGCCGAGAGCAGGGAACCGACGCUAAUCCACGAUGGCGGAGAACGACGAUGCCUCGGUGGCGCCGGCCGGCGAGAAGAGUUGAUGGUAGCAGAUCCGGCGAUAGAGAUGAUGGAAUCUUGCGAGGCAAGGCCAACGAGCGGCGAGGUGGAUCUGGUAGGCAACACGACCUGUCCCCGAGAAAAUAAUUACAAGAAGGAAAGUGACAUCAGCACAUCGCUCGUGCUUUCGUGCGCAUGACCGACCUGUCCCCGAGAAAAUAAUUACAAGAAGGAAAGUGACAUCAGCACAUCGCUCGUGCUUUCGUGCGCAUGACCUCGCCGGCCCGUGCGGCCGUGCUGCUCGAAGAUCGCGCGCGCGAUCGAUACGCUCGCGUCGCCCGCAAUCGAUAUGCUCGCGUCGCCCGCAGCACGCGCUUACAGCCUCCCGUUAAUGGGAUAGCCCAGGAACGCGUCUUCAAUUUUGCACCUGGUUUUUUCCUAGGUCCUUCGUUUUUAGCUAAGUCGCCUUCUAAUUCAAAAAUAUUGUCAUAAAUUUUAAAACGUAUUAAAAAAUGUUAAAUAAUUCAGAAAAAUCUCACGAAUUCCCAAAAAAAUAGCGGAUUCGAAAACUGUUUGUGGCAUCAAGAACUGUCCACAAGUUACAAAAUUGCUCGAGUAUUUAAAAUAUUUCUUGCCCAUUGAAAAAAUACUUUAUGAACUCUAAAAUUAGUCAUGAAUUUAAAAAAUGAUAAAGGAUAUGAAAACUUAUUCAUGAAUCCAGAAAAGGUUCUAGAAUUUUUUUAAAAAAAUCGUAAAUUCAAAGCAUAUUCAUGAAUUAAAAAUAAUCACACAAAUCUGAAAAAAGUUCAUGAAUCUAAAACUUAUUUGCGUAUUUCAAAAAAAUCUCAUGAAUUCUAAAAAAAAAUCUCCGAUUCGAAAAAAAAAUCCAGAAAUUAGAAUUUUUCUCUAGUAUUUAAAAUAUUUCUUGCCCAUUUAAAAAAAUUAUGUAUUUUAAAAUUAGUCAUGAAUUCAAAAAUGAUAAACGAUGUGAAAACUUAUUCAUGAAUCCAAAAAUGAUUAGAAUUUGAAAAAUUAUCAUAAAUUUAAAGCAUAUUCAUGAAUUAAAAAUAAUCGCACAAAUCUGAAAAAAGUUCAUGAAUCCAAAAAUUAUUUGCGCAUUUCAAAAAAGAAUCAAGGAUUUGGAAAAAAUGUUCAUGAACAAUAGUUCAAAUUGGAAUAAAAAUUUAAACAUUCUCAAAAAGUGAACAUUUGUUCCAAAAUAAUGUCAAAUUUUGAAAUUGCUACCAUUUUAUUGAAAAGAAAACUAUUUAUGAUUUUUUUGUAUAUUUAAACAAUUUUAACAUGAGAAAAAUGGUUAUGUAAUUGCGAUCAAUGUUUUAAAUUUAUGAGUUAAAAUAACCAAAAAUAAGAAAAGGAAAACACACACAAAAAAGAAAACCCCGGAAAAGAAAAAAGAGUUUCAAAACAUUAUAGAAGGUCCCAAAGCUGGCUAGGAACCUUCCACAAGGUUCUUAAAACCGAUCGAACGCAAGCUUCUCUCGAUCUAUGUUGGGGAGGUGAUGUCUAUUAUGCAACUUGUUCUUGUAGACUCGUUUUGAGCAUUCAAACGUAGAGUUUGAUAGGACAAUAUCAAAUUUCCCUCAAGUGGAUAAAUUAAGGUUUAUCAAUCCGUGGAAAGCAUAGGAUAUAGAUGGUCUCUCUCAAACAACCUUGCAACCAAAUAAUAAAAAGUCGCUUGUGUCCCCAACACACCAGAUACAAUUGUAAUUUGUAUAAGUGCACUAGUUCGGCAAAGAGACGAUGAUAGAAAUGUAGCAAUGAUAGUAGAUAUUGAUUUCUAUAAUUUGAAAAUAUAAAAACAGCAAGGUAGAAAGUAACAAAAGUGAGCAUAAACGGUAUUGCAAUGCUUGAAAAUGUGGACGACUCUAAGUCGCAAACCGGAUACGUAUUUAUUCUUAAUGGGGGUGCGGUAAGCUGGUGCAGUUCCAAGCAAAGCGUCGUAGCAGAUUCUACAUGUGAGCGGAGUACAUGGCUGCCUCGAAGGCGGCUAAGGAGGGUGUCUGGAUGAAGCAAUUCAUGACGGAUCUUGGAGUGGUGCCAAGCGCACUGAAUCCAAUAACCUUGUUAUGUGACAACACGGGUGCCAUUGCCUUAGCUAAGGAACCACGGUUUCACAAGAAGUCCAGACACAUCAAACGACGCUUCAACCUCAUCCGCGACUACGUCGAAGGGGAGGACGUAAAUAUAUGCAAACUGCACACGGAUCUCAAUGUAGCAGACCCGCUGACUAAACCUCUUCCACGGGCAAAGCAUGAUCAUUACCAGAACUGUAUGGGUGUUAGAUUUAUUACAAUGUAAUUCGCAUGAUGAUGUGAGGGCUAGAUUAUUGACUCUAGUGCAAGUGGGAGACUGUUGGAAUUAUGCCCUAGAGGCAAUAAUAAAUAUAGUUAUUAUUAUAAUUCCUGUAUCAAGAUAAUCAUUUAUUAUCCAUGCUAUAAUUGUAUUGAAUGAAGACUCAUUUACAUGUGUGGAUACAUAGACAAAACACUGUCCCUAGCAAGCCUCUAGUUGGCUAGUCAGUUGAUCAAAGAUAGUCAGUGUCUUCUGAUUAUGAACAAAGUGUUGUUGCUUGAUAACUGGAUCACGUCAUUAGCAGAAUCACGUGAUGGACUAGACCCAAACUAAUAGACGUAGCAUGUUGAUCGUGUCAUUUUGUUGCUACUGUUUUCUGCGUGUCAAGUAUUUUUUCCUAUGACCAUGAGAUCAUAUAACUCACUAACACCGGAGGAAUACUUUGUGUGUAUCAAACGUCGCAACGUAACUGGGUGACUAUAAAGAUGCUCUACAGGUAUCUCCGAAGGUGUUCGUUGAGUUAGUAUGGAUCAAGACUAGGAUUUGUCACUCCGUGUGACGGAGAGGUAUCUCGGGGCCCACUCGGUAAUACAACAUCACACACAAGCCUUGCAAGCAAUGUAACUUAGUUUAAGUUGCGGGAUCUUGUAUUACGGAACGAGUAAAGAGACUUGCCGGUAAACGAGAUUGAAAUAGGUAUGCGGAUACUGACGAUCGAAUCUCGGGCAAGUAACAUAUCGAAGGACAAAGGGAAUGACAUACGGGAUUAUAUGAAUCCUUGGCACUGAGGUUCAAACGAUAAGAUCUUCGUAGAAUAUGUAGGAUCCAAUAUGGGCAUCCAGGUCCCGCUAUUGGAUAUUGACCGAGGAGUCUCUCGGGUCAUGUCUACAUAGUUCUCGAACCCGCAGGGUCUGCACACUUAAGGUUCGAUGUUGUUUUAUGCGUAUUUGAGUUAUAUGGUUGGUUACCAAAUGUUGUUAGGAGUCCCGGAUGAGAUCACGGACGUCACGAGGGUUUCCAGAAUGGUCCGGAAACGAAGAUUGAUAUAUAGGAUGACCUCAUUUGAUUACCGGAAGGUUUUCGAAGUUACCGGGAAUGACGAAUGGGUUCCAGGAGUUCAUCGGGGGGGCAACCCACCCCGGGGAAGCCCAUAGGCCUUGAGGGUGGCACACCAGCCCUUAGUGGGCUGGUGGGACAGCCCAAGAAGGCCCUAUGCGCCAUAGGAAGAAAAUCAAAGAGAAAAGAAAAAAAGGAGGAGGUGGGAAAGGAAAGAAGGACUCCACCCACCAAACCAAGUAGGACUCGGUUUGUGGGGGGAGACCUUCCCCCCUUGGCUCGGCCGACCCCCUUGGGGCUCCUUGAGACCCAAGGCAAGGCUCCCCCUCUCCCACCUAUAUAUACGGAGGUUUUAGGGCUGAUUUGAGACGACUUUUCCACGGCAGCCCGACCACAUACCUCCACGGUUUUUCCUCUAGAUCGCGUUUCUGCGGUGCUCGGGCGGAGCCCUGUUGAGACAAGAUCAUCACCAACCUUCGGAGCGCCGUCACGCUGCCGGAGAACUCUUCUACCUCUCCAUCUCUCUUGCUGGAUCAAGAAGGCUGAGAUCAUCGUCGAGCUGUACGUGUGCUGAACGCGGAGGUGCCGUCCGUUCGGCACUAGAUCGUGGGCCUGAUCGCGGGACGGUUCGCGGGGAGGAUCGAGGGACGUGAGGACGUUCCACUACAUCAACCGCGUUCACUAACGCUUCUGUUGUACGGUCUACAAGGGUACGUAGAUCACACAUCCCCUCUCGUAGAUGGACAUCACCAUGAUAGGUCUUCGUGCGCGUAGGAAAUUUUUUGUUUCCCAUGCGACGUUCCCCAACAGUGGCAUCAUGAGCUAGGUUCAUGCGUAGAUGUCUUCUCGAGUAGAACACAAAAGUUUUUGUGGGUGGUGAUGUGCGUUUUGCUGCCCUCCUUAGUCUUUUCUUGAUUCCGCGGUAUUGUUGGAUUGAAGCGGCUUGGACCGACAUUACUCGUACGUUUACGAGAGACUGGUUUCAUCGCUACGAGUAACCCCGUUGCUCAAAGAUGACUGGCAAGUGUCAAGUUUCUCCAACUUUAGUUGAAUCGGAUUUGACCGAGGAGGUCCUUGGAUGAGGUUAAAUAGCAACUCAUAUAUCUUCGUUGUGGUGUUUGCGUAAGUAAGAUGCGAUCCUACUAGAUACCCAUGGUCACCACGUAAAACAUGCAACAACAAAAUUAGAGGUCGUCUAACUUGUUUUUGCAGGGUAUGCUUGUGAUGUGAUAUGGCCAACCAUGUGAUGUGAUAUAUUGGAUGUAUGAGAUGAUCAUGUUGUAAUAGAUAAUAUCGACUUGCACGUCGAUGGUACGACAACCGGCAGGAGCCAUAGGGUUGUCUUUAUACUAAUGUUUGUGCUUGCAGAUGCGUUUACUAUUUUGCUAGGAUGUAGCUUUAGUAGUAAUAGCAUGAGUAGCACGACAACCUCGAUGGCAACACGUUGAUGGAGAUCAUGGUGUGGCGUCGGUGACAAGAAGAUCGUGCCGGUGCUUUUGGUGAUGGAGAUCAAGAAGCACAUGAUGAUGGCCAUAUCAUGUCACUUAUGAAUUGCAUGUGAUGUUAAUCAUUUUAUGCACCUUAUUUUGCUUAGAACGACGGUAGCAUUAUGAGGUGAUCUCUCACUAAAAUUUCAAGACGAAAUUGUGUUCUCCCCGACUGUGCACCGUUGCUACAGUUCGUCGUUUUGAGACACCACGUGAUGAUCGGGUGUGAUAGACUCAACGUUCACAUACAACGGGUGCAAAACAGUUGCGCACGCGGAACACUCGGGUUAAGCUUGACGAGCCUAGCAAGUGCAGACAUGGCCUCGGAACACAUGAGACCGAAAGGUCGAUCAUGAAUCAUAUAGAUGAUAUGAUUAGUAUAGGGAUGCUUACCACUGAAACUAUACUCAACUCACGUGAUGAUCGGACUUGAGCUAGUGUAAGUGGAUCAUGAACCACUCAAAUGACUAGAGAGAUGUACUUUUUGAGUGGGAGUUUAGCGAAUAAUUUGAUUAAGUUAAACUCUAAUUAUCUUGAACAUAGUCUAAGUCCACUUUGAAUAUAUUUGUGUUGUAGAUCAUGGCUCACGCGACAGUCACCCUAAAUUUUAAUACAUUCCUAGAGAAAGCUAAGUUGAAAGAUGAUGGAAGCAACUUUGUAGACUGGGCUCGUAAUCUCAAGCUAAUCUUACAAGCUGGGAAGAAGGAUUAUGUCCUUAAUGCUGCGCUAGGAGAUGAACCACCCGCUACGGCUGAUCAGGAUGUUAAGAACGCUUGGUUAGCACGUAAGGAGGACUACUCAGUAGUUCAAUGUGCAGUCUUGUAUGGCUUAGAACCGGGACUUCAACGUCGCUUUGAGCAUCAUGGAGCAUUCGAGAUGUUCCAGGAGUUGAAGUUUAUCUUUCAGAAGAACGCCCGGAUCGAGAGGUAUGAGACCUCCGAUAAAUUCUAUGCUUGCAAGAUGGAGGAGAACUCGUGUGUCAGUGAACAUGUGCUCAAAAUGUCUGGGUACUCAAACCGUCUAGCUGAGCUGGGGAUUGAACUCCCGCAAGAGGCUAUCACUGACAGAAUCCUUCAAUCACUGCCGCCAAGCUAUAAAGGCUUUGUGUUGAACUACAACAUGCAAGGGAUGAACAUGUCUCCCGGCGAGUUGUUUGCGAUGCUGAAAGUCGCAGAGUCUGAACUCCGUAAAGAGCAUCAAGUGUUGAUGGUGAAUAAGACCACUAGUUUCAAGAGAAACGGCAAAGGCAAGAAGGGUAAUUCAAAGAAGAGCGGCAAGCCUGUUGCCAAUCCGACGAAGAAACCCAAAGCUGGACCUAAGCCUGAAACAGAGUGUUACUAUUGCAAGGGUAUGGGUCACUCGAAGCGGAAUUGCCCCUAGUAUCUGGCAGAUAAGAAGGCGGCCAAAGAAAAAUCAGGUAUAUUUGAUAUACAUGUUAUUGAUGUGUACUUAACCGGCUCUCGUAGUAGUGCCUGGGUAUUCGAUACCGGUUCUUUUGCUCAUAUUUGCAACUCGAAACAGGAACCAUGGAAUAGACGAAGGCUGGCGAAAGAUGAAGUGACGAUGCGCGUAGGAAAUGGUUCCAAGGUUGAUGCAAUCGCCGUCGGCACAGUUUCACUUCAGUUACCAUCAGGAUUAGUUAUGAACUUGAAUCAUUGUUAUUUAGUGCCUGCGUUGAGCAUGAACAUUAUAUCUGGAUCUUGUUUAUUAUGAGACGGUUACUCUUUUAAGUCAGAGAAUAAUGGUUGUUCUAUUUCUAUGAGUAACAUCUUUUAUGGUCAUGCACCCAAUGUGAGAGGAUUGUUCAUAUUGAAUCUUGAUAGCGAUACACACAUACAUAACAUUGAGACCAAAAGAGUUAGAGUUAACAAUGAUAGCGCCAUAUUAUUGUGGCACUACCGCUUAGGUCAUAUUGGUGUAAAGCGCAUGAAGAAACUCCAUGCCGAUGGACUUUUGGAGUCACUUGACUUUGAUUCACUUGACACGUGCGAACCAUGCCUCAUGGGCAAGAUGACUAAAACUCCGUUCUCCGGAACAAUGGAGCGUGCAAGUGACUUGUUGGAAAUCAUACAUACCGAUGUGUGUGGUCCGAUGAGCGUAGAGGCACGCGGCGGAUAUCGUUAUUUUCUCACCUUCACUGACGAUUUGAGUAGAUAUGGUUAUGUCUACUUAAUGAAGCACAAGUCUGAAACAUUUGAAAAGUUCAAGCAAUUUCAGAGUGAAGUUGAAAAUCAUCGUAACAAGAAGAUCAAGUUCCUACGGUCUGAUCGUGGGGGUGAAUAUCUGAGUUUCGAGUUUGGUGCUCACUUAAGACAAUGUGGAAUUGUUUCACAGUUGACACCGCCUGGAACACCACAGCGUAAUGGUGUGUCCGAACGUCGUAAUCGUACUUUAUUAGAGAUGGUGCGAUCUAUGAUGUCUCUUACCGAUUUGCCGUUAUCGUUUUGGGGUUAUGCAUUAGAAACAGCUGCAUUCACUUUAAAUAGGGCACCAUCAAAAUCCGUUGAGACGACACCAUACGAACUGUGGUAUGGCAAAAGGCCAAAGUUGUCGUUUCUUAAAGUUUGGGGAUGUGAUGCUUAUGUCAAAAAGCUUCAGCCUGAAAAGCUGGAACCCAAAGCGGAAAGGUGCGUCUUCAUAGGUUACCCAAAAGAGACAAUUGGGUACACCUUCUAUCUCAAAUCCGAGGGCAAAGUGUUUGUUGCUAAAAUCGGAGCUUUUCUCGAGAAGGAGUUUCUCUUGAGAGAAUUGAGUGGGAGGAAGAUAGAACUUGACGAGGUUGUCGAACCUCUCAUCCCUCUGGAUGGUGGCGCAGGGCAAGGGGAAACCUCUGUCGUUGCGAUGCCGGUUGAGGAGGAAGUUAAUGAUAAUGAUCAUGAAACUCCGGUUCAAGUUUCUGUCGAACCACGCAGGUCGACGAGACCACGUGCUGCUCCAGAGUGGUAUGGUAAUCCCGUCUUAUCAAUCAUGUUGUUGGACAACAAUGAACCUGCAAAUUAUGAAGAAACAAUGGUGGGCCCAGAUUCAAACAAAUGGCUAGAAGCCAUGAAGUCCGAGAUAGGGUCCAUGUAUGAGAACAAAGUGUGGACUUUGGAGGUACUGCCUGAGGGCCGCAAGGCUAUUCAGAACAAAUGGAUCUUUAAGAGGAAGACGGACGCUGACGGCAAUGUGACCGUUUAUAAAGCUCGACUUGUGGCAAAGGGUUUUUCACAAGUUCAAGGAGUUGACUACGAUGAGACAUUCUCACCCGUAGCGAUGCUUAAGUCCGUCAGAAUCAUGUUAGCAAUAGCUGCAUUUUUCGAUUAUGAAAUCUGGCAGAUGGAUGUCAAAACGGCGUUCCUUAACGGUUUCCUUAAGGAAGAAUUGUAUAUGAUGCAACCCGAAGGUUUUGUCGAUCCUAAGAAUGCUAACAAGGUUUGCAAGCUCCAGCGAUCCAUUUAUGGACUGGUGCAAGCAUCUCGGAGUUGGAACAAACGCUUUGAUGAGGUGAUCAAAGCUUUUGGGUUUAUACAAGUGGUUGGAGAAUCUUGUAUUUACAAGAAAGUGAGUGGGAGCUCUGUGGCGUUUCUAAUAUUAUAUGUGGAUGACAUAUUACUGAUUGGAAACAACGUAGAGUUUUUGGAGAGCAUAAAGGAUUACUUGAAUAAAAGUUUCUCUAUGAAGGACCUAGGAGAAGCUGCUUACAUUCUAGGCAUUAAGAUCUAUAGGGAUAGAUCAAAACGCCUGAUAGGACUUUCACAAAGCACAUACCUUGAUAAAGUUUUGAAGAGGUUCAAAAUGGAACAGUCCAAGAAAGGGUUCUUGCCAGUUUUACAAGGUACGAGAUUGAGUAAGACUCAGUGCCUAGCAACUGAUGAGGAUAGAGAGCAUAUGCGCGCCGUCCCCUAUGCUUCAGCCAUAGGUUCUAUCAUGUAUGCAAUGAUGUGCACUAGACCGGACGUUAGCCUGGCCAUAAGUAUGGCAGGUAGGUUCUAGAGUAAUCCAGGAGUGGAUCACUGGACGGCGGUCAAGAAUAUCCUGAAGUACCUGAAAAGGACUAAGGAGAUGUUUCUCGUGUAUGGAGGUGACGAAGAGCUCGCCGUAAAAGGUUACGUCGAUGCAAGCUUUGACACAGAUCCGGACGACUCUAAGUCGCAAACCGGAUACGUAUUUAUUCUUAAUGGGGGUGCGGUAAGCUGGUGCAGUUCCAAGCAAAGCGUCGUAGCAGAUUCUACAUGUGAAGCGGAGUACAUGGCUGCCUCGGAGGCGGCUAAGGAGGGUGUCUGGAUGAAGCAAUUCAUGACGGAUCUUGGAGUGGUGCCAAGCGCACUGAAUCCAAUAACCUUGUUAUGUGACAACACGGGUGCCAUUGCCUUAGCUAAGGAACCACGGUUUCACAAGAAGUCCAGACACAUCAAACGACGCUUCAACCUCAUCCGCGAGUACGCUGAAGGGGAGGACGUAAAUAUAUGCAAAGUGCACACGGAUCUGAAUGUAGCAGACCUGCUGACUAAACCUCUUCCACGGGCAAAGCAUGAUCAUUACCAGAACUGUAUGGGUGUUAGAUUUAUUACAAUGUAAUUCGCAUGAUGAUGUGAGGGCUAGAUUAUUGACUCUAGUGCAAGUGGGAGACUGUUGGAAUUAUGCCCUAGAGGCAAUAAUAAAUAUAGUUAUUAUUAUAAUUCGUGUAUCAAUAUAAUCGUUUAUUAUCCAUGCUAUAAUUGUAUUGAAUGAAGACUCAUUUACAUGUGUGGAUACAUAGACAAAACACUGUCCCUAGCAAGCCUCUAGUUGGCUAGGCAGUUGAUCAAAGAUAGUCAGUGUCUUCUGAUUAUGAAAAAAGUGUUGUUGCUUGAUAACUGGAUCACGUCAUUAGGAGAAUCACGUGAUGGAUUAGACCCGAACUAAUAGACGUAGCAUGUUGAUCGUGUCAUUUUGUUGCUACUGUUUUUCUGCGUGUCAAGUAUUUGUUCCUAUGACCAUGAGAUCAUAUAACUCACUAACACCGGAGGAAUACUUUGUGUGUAUCAAACGUCACAACGUAACUGGGUGACUAUAAAGAUGCUCUACACGUAUCUCCGAAGGUGUUCGUUGAGUUAGUAUGGAUCAAGACUGGGAUUUGUCACUCCGUGUGACGGAGAGGUAUCUCGGGGCCCACUCGGUAAUACAACAUCACACACAAGCCUUGCAAGCAAUGUAACUUAGUGUAAGUUGCGGGAUCUUGUAUUACGAAACGAGUAAAGAGACUUGCCGGUAAACGAGAUUGAAAUAGGUAUGCGGAUACUGACGAUCGAAUCUCGGGCAAGUAACAUACUGAAGCACAAAGGGAAUGACAUACGGGAUUAUAUGAAUCCUUGGCACUGAGGUUCAAACGAUAAGAUCUUCAUAGAAUAUGUAGGAUCCAAUAUGGGCAUCCAGGUCCCACUAUUGGAUAUUGACCGAGGAGUCUCUCGGGUCAUGUCUACAUAGUUCUCGAAUCCGCAGGGUCUGCACACUUGAGGUUCGACGUUGUUUUAUGCGUAUUUGAGUUAUAUGGUUGGUUACCGAAUGUUGUUAGGAGUCCCGGAUGAGAUCACGGACGUCACAAGGAUUUCCGGAAUGGUCCGAAAACGAAGAUUGAUAUAUAGGAUGACCUCAUUUGAUUACCGGAAGGUUUUCGGAGUUACCGGGAAUGUACCAGGAAUGACGAAUGGGUUCCGGGAGUUCACCGGGGGGGGGGGGGCAACCCACCCCGGGGAAGCCCAUAGGCCUUGGGGGUGGCACACCAGCCCUUAAUGGGAUGGUGGGACAGCCCAAGAAGGCCCUAUGCGCCAUAGGAAGAAAAUCUAAGAGAAAAGAAAAAAAGGAGGAGGUGGGAAAGGAAAGAAGGACUUCACCCACCAAACCAAGUAGGACUCGGUUUGGGGGGGGAGACCUUCCCCCCUUGGCUCGGCUGACCCCCUUGGGGCUCCUUGAGCCCCAAGGCAAGGCUCCCCCUCUCCCACCUAUAUAUACGGAGGUUUUAGGGCUGAUUUGAGACGACUUUUCCACGGCAGCCCGACCACAUACCUCCACGGUUUUUCCUCUAGAUCGCGUUUCUGCGGAGCUUGGGCGGAGCCCUUUUGAGACAAGAUCAUCACCAACCUCUGGAGCGCCGUCACGCUGCCAGAGAACUCUUCUACCUCUCCGUCUCUCUUGCUGGAUCAAGAAGGCCGAGAUCAUCGUCGAGCUGUACGUGUGCUGAACGCGGAGGUGCCGUCCGUUCGGCACUAGAUCGUGGGACUGAUCGCGGGAUGGUUCGCGGGGCGGAUUGAGGGACGUGAGGACGUCCCACUACAUCAACCGUGUUCACUAACGCUUCUGCUGUAUGGUCUACAAGGGUACGUAGAUCACACAUCCCCUCUCAUAGAUGGACAUCACCAUGAUAGGUCUUCGUGCGCGUAGGAAUUUUUUUGUUUCCCAUGCGACGUUCCCCAACACCAAGAUGGGCCACGAGGUGCCCACUAGACAUCAACCGAUGCGAGGGGGCUCGCGCGGCCUCAUGUCUAGUGGGCACCAAGGGCCCCCUCUGGUGGUUCUUUGCUCCAGUAUUUCUCUUUUCUUCCAAAAAAUGUCAAAAAGUUUCGUCCAAUUCCGAAAACUUUUAUUUCUGCACAAAAAACAACACCACAGUAGUUCUGCUGAAAACAACGUCAUUACGGGUUAGUUCCAAAUAAAUCAUAUAAAGUGCAGCAAAACCAUAAAAAAAUAUUGUAAACAUAGCCAACAUGACAUGAAUACUUCACAAAUUAUCGAUACGUUGGAGAUGUAUCAGCAUCCCCAAGCUUAAUUCCUCCUCGUUCUCGAGUAGGUAAAUGAUAAAAGAAAUAAUUUAUGAAGUGUGAAUGCUAGCAUAGUACAUAAGUUUGAUCAAUGAUAAUUUCAACCACUUUUCCUAGCAUCAUAACAACAACUCUUUCUCAUAAAACUCAUCAUGAUAAAUUACCAACCAAUUCACAUGUUAUGGUUCAAACAAUGGACUCUCUUGAAACUUAACAACCUAUGUUCUUACUCACCAAACAAUUGCAAUUCAACUUAUUCUCAACAAAGUCUAAGUAAGAGCUCCACAUACUCAAUCAUCAUAUAGUCUUCUAUGAUUGCUAGUACUCAAAGCAUAUUUUUAGAAUAAAUGGCAUCCAUCAAACACAGAGAAAGAUAGGGAUAAUUGUCAACAACAAUAAGUCAUGAUCAAAUAUAUUUGACUGUCCAUAUGUGCAUAGAUCUUUUCCCACCACAUGAUGCUUGCCAACUGUAUAGUAAUUGAGGUUGAAAUGAGAAUGCAUACUAUUGACUCUUGCAUAAAAGUAAAUACUGAAAGGAAAAAAGAUAGGCCCUUCGCACAGGGAAGCAGAGCUUGGCAUGCGCUUUUUGGUUUUGUAUGCACAAUCCCUUAAUGCAAAAGAACAUCACCUUAUAUUGCCCCUCAUGAUAGCAACCUUUAUUAUACAGUCUAUCGCUUUUAUUACUUUGCCAUCACAAGUUUGUGCAACGCUCGUUUUUCUCUUACACUAAAUGAUCAAACACAUUUAGAAGCAAGUUUUAUUGCCUUUUUGCACCGAUGAAAGCAUACUUGAAGGAUCUUAUUCAAUCCAUAGGUAGGUAUGGUGAACACUCAUGGCAAGAAACUGGGUUUAAGGAUGCAGAAGUACUAUCUCUACUUAGUACGAAUUUUUGGCUAGCAAAAGAUCCUAAGCAAACACCACAUGUUGGAGGAUCCAUAACAAUAUAACUUCUAUGCAAAUAUACCCAACCAUAACUCAUUAAAUUGUCUUCCUUGUCCAACUUAAACUAAUUUUCUCAAGUUUGAAAAUAAUUAAUGGGUAUUCACAAUCAUAGAAGAUGUCCAAGAUAAUAUAUUUAUAUGUAAAAGUUCUCUUCCUUAUAUCAAUCAUUCAUGAAUUGCUUGUAUGACCAAUAUUGUGAUUGUCAAGCUUCAAAAGAUUUCACUUUCUAAACACAAUGUGAAGCUACUACUAGGCAUGAAAUGAACAUAUAAUUUCCACCUCAUGGUAUUCAAUUCAUUCAAUAAUUUAUGCAUAUAAUAUAAGUGAAGCACAAGAGCAAACAAUCAAAAUACUCUCAAAAGAUAUAAGUGAAGAUCAAUGAGUGGUUAAACAAUCAAGUAGCUAUUUGAGGACUCUCUCUCAAUAAAGAUUUUCAUAUCUGAUAAUUUUAUUCAAACAACAAACUAAAAAAAUGCAUUCCAAGAAUAUCACAUAUCAUGUGGAAAAAUAAAAAUUUAGGCUCAACAUAGGCUAAUCGAUAGUUGUUGAUGAAGAGAGGUGGGAUGCAUAGCAUCCCCAAGCUUACAUGCUUGAUACUUCUUGAAAUAUUUACUUGGGGUGCCUUGGGAAUCCCGAAGCUUGAUAUCUUGUAUCUCGUUCAAUCCUCUCAUAUCCCGGUUUCUCCUAAGUCUCAAAAACUUCAUCCACACAAAACUUGAAAAGAACUCGUGAGAUAGGUUAGUGCACAUAAGCAUAAAUCAACUAUUUAUGUACUGCCAAGACAAGUUGCAUCAUAAUUUUCAAACAUUAGGUAUUGUAUACUACCAUUUCCAAAAUUUAUAUCUACCAAUAUAAGCUAUGGAAACUAUAGGAUAAGUAGAUAACAAAACUAUGAUAGCAAUCUGUCCAAACAGAACAGUGUGUAGCAAUUUAUAUAAAAACUACACUUUUGUAUCACCCAAAAUUCUGUAAAUUUAGUAAGUAAUAAAUAAUUUGUAUGAAAGUACUGUGUAUAAAUUUUAGAAACUAUCCAUGUUCCAGUAAAAUAUGAUAAUUCAAAUACUACAGCAAAAGUUUAUGUUUUUGUACAUAACACAUCACACAUGCAAUUCAAGCAUUCUAAAGGCAAUUCUUGGAACUUCUUAUUGAAAAACAAGAUUAUAAAAUAACAGAUAACAGAUAACAACAAAAUAAAAUGACGCUCCAAGAAAAACACAUAUCAUGUUAUGAAUAAAAAUAUAGCUCCAAGUAAGAUAUAUCGAUAACGUUGGAGACGAAAGAGGGGAUGCCUUUCGGGGCAUACCCAAGCUUAAGACGCUUGAGUCUUCCUUGGAUCAUACGUGGUAAAUGAGCUUACCUCUUUGGGACAUUUUCCUCGCUUAAGGGCAACACUCUAUGUUUUACGAGAGUAAAAAGAAGAUCUUCACACUUUAUAGGAAAUACUCAACAUAAAGACAAAUGAAAAACUAUCAUGAUGUAUGCAAAUGUAUGCCUCUGCCAGUGUAGCAGGAUAUGCAAUGAAACUAGCGCGUCAUGUAGCAAUGAUAAGGGCAAGGCCCAACUAGCAUGUGGCUCUACGAUCAAGAAAAAGCAUGUAUCACAUGAAGAUCAAGUCAUGAGAUGAUGUAUGUUGCAUGACAAUGUAUCUCGGAAAGGCUAUGGAAAUGCCUUGAUAGGUAGGUAUCGUGGCUGUUUUGAGGAAAGAUAUAAUGAGGCUUAUGAUGACAGAACAUAUCAUGCCAAAGGGUUUGGAUGCACUGGGUAAGUAUGCACCAACUCUCAAGAUGAGAAAGGGCAAUGCACGGUACCGAAUAGGCGAGCAAAAUAUGGAUGGUGGAAGUGCCAACACUCGAAUACUCACAUUAGUCCGAAGAACUCAUGCACUUAUCAUCGGUAACUCUCUAUCUAGUCAGGAGAUUCACAAAGAGACAAGUACCCCAAGGAGGAGUGUUUGGGGGUUUGGUUAUCCUUGUGCAUCCUCGACCCAUGAUAACGUGAGAGUAGUCUAUAUAUUCCAACCCCUUCAGAGGUUAGCAAUCCAUCUAGUAGCUAGAGUUCUUAACUUUUUUUUUUGUAAAAUACACAUGGAUUUCCCAAAAUACGACACUUAUCACUAAUAGGCUCAAGCUCUUGACACCAAAAGUCCAAACAUUACUCAAAUCAAUACCUCAAAACUAUUGCAAGUUACUACUAUACUUAAAUAGCAACCUCAUUUACCUACUCAUGCAAGACACACAACUCAGUGCAACAAGCCAACUCUCUAAACAAGAUAAGUAUGAUAACUCAAGAGAGUUCCAAAAGCAUCUAAAUAAAAUCUCUUAAAAAGAUAAAGCGUGGAAAGUAAGAGCUAAGCAUGAUAGCAGCUAUGAAAAGAUAAAGAACACACAAAAAGUUAAGCAUGAAAACCUAUGUUGUGUUCUAUGGUGGAGUGGAGCAUGUUUCUCCCCCAAACAAAUAAGGCUAGGGUCCAACUUGUUAUGAACAGCAAGCAAAACUAAAACAAACUAAAAAGUAAAGAGCGGGACGCUCCAAGCAUAGCACAUAACAUAUGAAGUGAUAAAAAUAUAGCAUGGAGAAGGACGAACUGAUGAUUGUUGAUGGAGAAGGGGAUGCACGGGGGCAUCCCCAAGCUUAGACGCUUGAGUCUCCUUGAAUAUUUCUUGGGAGUGCAUGGGGGAAUUCCCAAUCUUGAGCGCUUGACACUCCUGGAUCUUCUUUGAUCAUCUUCCAUCGCAUACUUCAAAACUCCCUUCAAACAAAACUCAUCAUAAGCUGAUUAGAGUGGUUAGUACCCAUAAUAAAAUAUAUUUUCUCCACUGUAAAUAAAGAUUUUCAUGAAGAGCUAUUGUUUCUCAAGAUUGCCAAAAAGUUUUUGCAAAGAAAAAGCAAGCUUAAGAUUUGCAAAACGAUGAAAACGCAAAACGUGGCAGAAUCUGUUAAAAAUAGACCACAGGUAGUAAAUAAUUUUUUUCAGGGCACUUCUGCAACUCAAAUCAAAAAACUGAGAAGAGACGCCAGAAAGACAAUUGAUAGAGAAAAUUUUCAAAAAACUUCAGAUCAAAAAGUUGAUCCUGUGAUUUUUAGUGAAUUUUUCCGUCAAGCAGACAGAAUCUGCUUAUGGACAGCAAGUCACAACUUUUGUACUUUCUUGCAAUCGGAGGCUAAAACUUGGCAUAAAGAUAGGCUUAAGAUUUUAAUGAUGCUCUCGUUGGAAUAAGAGUUGUAGAACAAAAGAGAGCAUUAAGAAACAAAUACCAAACACAUUUAAGUCUAACAUGCUUCCUAUGCAUAGGAAUAUUGCAAUAGAAUAAUUCAUUGAAGCACAAAGCAAUAAGCAUAGGAAGGCAAAACAAGUGCAACUUCAAAAUCUUCGACAUAAAGAGGGGAAAGUUCUUAUUUUUUAGAUAUUUAGAACCAUGUCUCCCCCUAUCAUUAUAAAUUUCAGUGGCAUCAUGGAUGAACUCAACAAUAUAACUAUCACAUAAGGCAUUAUUUCCAUGAUCCAAAAGCAUAAAAGUAUCAUUACUCUUCUUAUAAGCAAAAUAUUUCUUAUUAGAAAUAGUGAGAGUAAAGCAAUCAUUAUCAUCAUGGUAAUCAUCAUAUUUAGGAAGCAUAGUAUCAUCAAAGCAAAUUUUCUCCUCAAAAGUUGGCGGACUAAAAAUAUCAUGUUCAUCAAACCCGUCAUCCCCAAGCUUAGAGCUUUCCAUGUCAUUAGCAAUAUUGAUAUUCAAAGAAAGCAUACUAAUAACAUUACCACCAUCAUAAUUGUUAUGCAAAUAAUAAAGUUCCAUAGCUUUUAAAUUUUCUCCUCAAACACUUCAUGUCUUAGUUCAAGAUAAAGUUUAUAAAGCUCUCUGAUAUUUUUGUUGUUUUCCAUUAAGCCUAAUUAGUGAAAUAAAAACAAGAAACAAAAAUAUUUAAUUGCAAGAUCUAAAUAUAUACCUUCAAGCACUCACUUCCCCGGCAACGGCGCCAGAAAUAGCUUGAUGUCUACGCACGCUUCUAUUCUUGUAGACUAUGUUGGGCCUCCAAGCGCAGAGGUUUGUAGGACAGGAGCAAUUUUCCUCAAGUGGAUGACCUAAGGUUUAUCGAACUCAGGGAAGUAGAGGUUGAAGAUGGUCUCUCUCAAGCAACCCUGCAAUUAAGAAACAAGAAGUCUCUUGUGUCCCCAACACACCUAAUACAAUGGUAAAUUGUAUAGGUGCACUAGUUCAGCGAAGAGAUGGUAAAAUAUGGGUGAUAGGUGUGGCAAAGCAAGGUAAUAUAAAUCUAUAAUAAAAAUUACAACAAGGUAGCAAGUGACAAAAGUGAGCAUAAAUGGUGUAACAAUGGUGAGAAACAAGGCAUAGGCUUCAUACUUUCACUAGUGGCAACUCCCAACAACAUUAACAUAGUCUAAUCACAUGAUAUUUCCACUAAAACAUGCAAUGGAGACGUACUGGCAGGUCAUUCGUUUGUGAUCAAGAGAGGACGAGAAUUGUGUAGGGCUACAAAAGCACACCUCGGAGUUCGUAGUUCUCAUCUAUGGAUUUCCCAAUGUCACCGCGGCCAUCCAAAUAGAGUACCACAAUCACCAGAACGUAUCUCAAGUAUAGUCAAAGACAAGCACCAAGAGACUCUCAAUAUUCAAUCAAUUCACAAAAGAGGAAAUCACUCAUGAAAAUAUUCUUCUAAUCCAUGUCCAAUAGACUGCUGUCACCAUGGUCUCGGGGAUUAUACUAGAUAAGAUCAAGUGAGUACAUCAAUCCAAUACAUAGAAGAAGGGGAAACAUCAUGGGAUCACCCUAGGUUAACAUAGCCUAUGAUCACAAUCAAGAUCACAUCAUGGGAGAGGGAAUUAACCACAUAGCUACUGUCGAAGACCUCGGCCCCGAGGAGGAACUACUCCCGCUUCAUGAAGGGAGGAAGCAACGUCGAUGGAGAUGAAUCCGGGGGCACUUCCCUGUCCCGGCAGGGUGCCGACACAAGAAUUCUUGUCCCCCAAAACUUGUUGGCGAUGGCGGCGGAGAUCGGAAUUGCUGCUGGAGAAAAGGGUUCCCGAAUAAGGGUUUCCUCCACGGGGGUAAAAAUAGGAGCCAAGGUAGGGCACCAAAGGGGGUGGGGCCCACCCAGACAGCCUCCCUGCGCGGCCAGGGGGCAGGCCGCGCCACCAGGGCGCCUGGGGUCCUGGUGACCCCCCUCUAGCCCUCCUUCGGUCGUAUGGAGUCUUCUGGAACGCUGAUUUUUUAUAUAUUUUUGUGGAAUUUUUCGGGCACUGUAAGUAUGGGUAUAAACCAGCAAUUCACAAACAUCAGCACACAGUAACUGGCACUGGGUGCACUGAGUUAGUAGGUUAGUCCGAAUAUGUUGAAAAAGGUAUUAAAGUAUACAAAACACAUAGCAAUUGUUGGAAAUAUGCCCAAGAGGCAAUAAUAAAUUAGUUAUUAUUAUAUUUCCUUGUUCAUAAUAAUCGUUUAUUAUCCAUGCUAAAAUUGUAUUGAUUGGAAACUCAAAUACAUGUGUGGAUACAUAGACAACACACUGUCCCUAGUGAGCCUCUAGUUGACUAGUUCGUUGAUAAAAAAUGGUCAAGGUUUCCUGACCAUAGGCAAGUGUUGUCACUUGAUAACGGAAUCACAUCAUUAGGAGAAUCAUGUCAUGGACAAGAUCCAAACUAUGAAUGUAGCAUAUUGAUCAUGUCCUUUUAUUGCUGUUGUUUUCUGCGUGUCAAGUAUUUGUUCCUAUGACCAUGAGAUCAUAUAACUCACUGGCACCGGAGGAAUACCUUGUGUGCAUCAAACGUCGCAAUGUAAUUGGGUGACUAUAAAGGUGCUCUACAAGUAUCUCCGAAGGUGUCCGUUGAGUUAGUAUGGAUCAAGACUGGGAUUUGUCACUCAGUGUGACGGAGAGGUAUCUCGGGGCCCACUCGGUAAUACAACAACACACACAAAGCCUUGCAAGCAAUGUGACUAAGUGUAAGUCACGACAUCUUGUAUUACAGAACGAGUAAAGAGACUUGCCGGUAACGAGAUUGAAAUAGGUAUGCGGAUACCGACGAUCAAAUCUCGGGCAAGUAACAUACCGAAGGACAAAGGGAAUGACAUACAGGAUUAUAUGAAUCCUUGAUACUGAGGUUCAACCGAUAAGAUCUUCAGAGAAUAUGUAGGAUCCAAUAUGGGCAUCCAGGUCCCGCUAUUGGAUAUUGACCGAGGAGUACCUCGGGGUAUGUCUACAUAGUUCUUGAACCCGCAGGGUCUGCACACUUAAGGUUCGGCGAUGUUUUAGUAUAGUUGAGUUAUAUAUGGUUGGUAACUGAAAGUUGUUCGGGGUCCUGGAUGAGAUCCAGGACGUCACGAGGAGCUCCGGAAUGGUCCGUAGGUAAAGAUUAAUAUAUAGGAAGUCCUCUUUUGGUCACCUGAAAAGUUUCGGGCUCAUCGGUAGUGUACCGGGAGUGCCGGGAGGGGUGUCGGGGACCAUCGGGAGGGGUCUCAUGGGCUAUGAGAAGAGAUAAACCAGCCCCUAUUGGAUUGGAAUAAGUUCCCACUAAGGCCCAUAAGGUUUGAGAAGGAAAAAACACAAGGUGGAAAGAGUUUCCAAGUGGGAAGGUGGAAUCCUACUCCAAGUAGGAUUGGAGUAGGACUCCUCCACCCUCCAAUUUCGGCCAAACCUUGAGGUUUUGAGGCUGCCUCCUCCCCUCCCUCCCUCCUAUAUAUAGUGGUGAUUUAGGGCUGAUUUGAGACAACUUUUUGCCAUGUGCAACUCAGAUCUAGACACCAUAGUUCUUCCUCUAGAUCGUAUUUCUACGGAGCUCGGGCGGAGCCCUACAGGAGUAGAUCCUCACCACCAUCGGAGCACCGUCACGCUGCCGGAGAACUCAUCUACUUCCCCGUCUUUCUUGCUGGAUCAAGAAGGCCGAGAUCAUCGUCGAGCUGUACGUGUGCUGAACGCGGAGGUGUCGUCCGUUCGGCACUAGAUCGGAACGGAUCGUGAGACGGAUCGCAAGACAGUUUGUGCAACAGAUCGCAAGACGGUUUGUGGGACGGAUCGCGGGACGGUUCAUGGGACGGAUCGUGGGAUGGUUCGUGGGGUUGAUCGAGGGACAUGAAGACGUUCCACUACAUCAACCGCGUUUCUUAACGCUUCCUUCUGUGCGAUCUACAAGGGUACGUAGAUCCAAAUCUCCUCUCAUAGAUGGACAUCACCAUGAUAGGUCUUCGUGUGCGUAGGAAAUUUUUUGUUUCCCAUGCAACGUUCCCCAACAGCAAUACCACCCAAAACUUGCAUGGAGCAAGCAGAAAUUAUAGAUACGUUUGGGACGUAUCAAAGAGCCACCGUCGGAGAUGGACUUGUGCAUGUGCGAGAAGUUUCUGCUCCAGGAUUCAUCCUCUUCGGAUGACUUGGAUGUUGAGAGGAUGCUUCUCACAUUUCCCCAGUAGAGCUUGUUGGGGAACGUUGCAUGGGAAACAAAAAAAUUCCUACGCACACGCAAGACCUAUCCAUGGUUAUGAUCAUCUAUGAGAGGGGAGAUCGGAUCCACAUACCCUUGUAGAUCGCUAAGCGGGAAGCAUUAAGAAAUGCGGUUGAUGUAGUCGAACGUCUUUGCGAUCCAAAUCGCAAGCCGUCCCAUGAACUCCGCCCGAUCUAGCGCCGACCGGACGACACCUACGCAUUCAGCACACGUGCAACUCGAUGACGAUCUCCGCCUUCUUGAUCCAGCAAGAGAGACGAAGAGGUAGCUGAAUUCUCCUACAACAUGAGGCGUGGCGGUGAUAGUGAUGGAGCUACUCCGGCAGGGCUUCUUCGUACCAUACCGAACUAGCUACGAGGUGUCACGAAGUGGUGGAGGGAGAGAGGGCUGCACCUUGGCUUGAGGUGCCAAAAGCCUAUCUCACCUCCACCAUAUAUAGGUGGGAGGGAGGGGUGGCACCCUAGGGACAAAGCCCUAGGGUUCGGUCGGCGCAAGAAAGGAGGAGGAGUCGUCCUCCAAUAUGAUUUGGAAGGAAGACUCCCUUCCCCAAUUUGGUUUGCCCCUCCUCUCCUUUCCUUUCUUCUCUUGGUCAAAUAGGCCUCCUUGGGUUGUCCACUAGCCCACUAGGGGAUGGUGCACCACCCUUGGGCCUCUUUGGUUCCCUCCCGGGUGGGUGGCCCCUCCCGGUGGAACUCCGGAAUCCAUUCGUCACUUCCGGUACUUUACUCGUAAUGCCCGAAAAUCUUCCGGAAGCCAAAUGGAUACUUCCUAUAUAUCAAUAUUUGUCCCUGGACCAUUCCGAAAACCCUCGUGACGUCCCGGAUCUUAUCCGGGACUCCGAACAACAUUCGGUUACCAACAUCAAUAAUUCAACUAUACCGAAACGUCAUUGAACCUUAAGUGUGCAGACCCUGCGGGUUCAAGAACUAUGUAGACAUGACCGAGACACUCUCCGUUCAAUAUCCAAUAGCGGGACCUUGACGUCCAUAUUGGAUCCUACAUAUCCUACGAAGAUCUUAUAGGUUGAACCUCUAUGUCAAGGAUUCAGUUAAUCCCGUAUGACAUUCCCUUUGUCCUUCAAUAUGUUACUUGCCCGAGAUUUGAUCGUAGGCAUCUCUAUACCUAUUUCAAUCUCGUUACCGGCAAGUCUCUUUACUCAUUCCGUAAUAUAAAAUCUCAUGGCUAACUCUUUAGUCACAUUGCUUGCAAGGCAUUGUUUGUGAUGUUGUAUUACCGAGUGGGCCUCGAGAUACCUCUCUGUCAUACGGAGUGACAAAUCCCAGUCUUGAUCCAUGCUAACUCAAUGGACACCUUUGGAGAUACGUGCAGAGCACCUUUAUAGUCACCCAGUUAUGCUGCGACAUUUGAUACACACAUGGCAUUCCUCCGAUGUCAGUGAGUUACAUGAUCUCAUGGUCAUAGGAAUGUAUACUUGAGAUGCAAAAAACAAUAGCAAUAAAAUAACACGAUCAGAUGCUACGUUCAUAGUUUGGGUCUUGUCCAUCACAUCAUUCUCCUAAUGAUGUGAUCCUAUUAUCAAGUGAAAACACUUGUCUAUGGCUAGGAAACCUUAACCAUCUUUGAUCAACGAGCUAGUCAACUAGAGGCUUACUAGGGACAAUGUUUUGUCUAUGUAUACACACAUGGAUUUGUGUUUCCAUUCAAUACAAUUAUAGCAUGGAUAAUAAACGAUUAUCUUGAAACAGGAAAUAUAAGAAUAACUAUUUUAUUAUUGCCUCUAGGGCAUGUUUCGAGCAGUCUCCCACUUGCAUUAGAGUCAAUAAUCUAGCUUCACAUCACUAUGUGAUUUACAACGUAACGAAUCUAAUACCCAUUGGGUUGUUGUGUUGAUCAUGUUUUGCUCGUGGAAGAGGCUUAGUCAAUGGGUGUGCAACAUUCAGAUCCGUGUGUACUUUGCAAAUAUUUAUGUCCUCCUCCUUGAUGUAAUCGCGGAUGGCAUUGAAGCAUCGCUUUAUGUGUAUGGUCCUCUUGUGAAACCUUGGUUCCUUGGCUAGAGCAAUGGCACCACUGUUGUCACAGAACAGAUUUAUUGGAUCCAGUGCACUCGGCAUAACCCCAAGAUCUGUCAUGAACUGCUUCAUCUAGAUACCCUCUUUAGCCACCUCCGAGGCAGUUAUGUACUCCGCUUUGCAUGUAGAAUCAGCUACGACGCUUUUCUUGGAACUGCACCAGCUUCCGCACCUCCAUUAAGAAUAAAUACGUAUCCGGUUUGUGACUUAGUGUCAUCCAGUUCAGUGUCGAAGAUUGCAUCAAUGUAACCCUUUACAAUGAGCUCUUCGUCACCUCCAUAAACGAGAAACAUUUCCUUAGUCCUUUUCAAGUACUUCAGAAUAUUCUUGACCGCUCUCGAGUGCUCCAUUCCUGGAUUAUUUUGAAACCUUUCCACCAUACUGAUGGCAAGGCUGACAUUAGGUCUUGUGCAUAGCAUUGCAUACAUGAUAGACCCUAUGGCUGAAGCAUAGGGGACGACACUCAUCUUUUCUCUAUCUUCUGCACUCACUGGGCAUUGAGUCUUACUCAACUUUAUAUCUUGUAACACAGGCAAGAACCCUUUCUUGGAUUUUUCCAUUUUGAACUUCUUCAAAAUCUUAUCAAGGUAUGUACUCUGUGAAAGUCCUAUCAAGCGUCUUGAUCUAUCUCUGUAGAUCUUGACGCCUAAUAUGUAAGCAGCUUCUCCCAGGUCCUUCAUUGAAAAACUUUUAUUCAAGUCAUCCUUCACGCUUCCCAAAAGUUCUAUAUUGUUUCCAAUCAGCAAUAUGUCAUCCACAUAUAAUAUUGGAAACACAAUAGAGCUCCCACUCACUUUCUUGUAAAUACAAGCUUCUCCAAAAACUUGUAUAAACCCAAACGCCUUGAUCACCUCAUCAAAGUGUUGAUUCCAACUCCGAGAUGCUUGCACCAGUACAUAAAUGGAUCGCUGGACUUUGCAUACUUUGUCAGCAUUUUCUGGAUCGACAAAACCUUGUGGUUGCAUCAUAUACAAAUCUUCCUUAAGAAACCCGUUAAGGAACGCUUUUUUGACAUCCAUCUCCCAAAUUUCAUGAUCGAAAAAUGCAUCUAUUGCUAACAUGAUUCUGACAGACUUAAGAAUCCCUACGGGUGAGGAAGUCUCAUCAUAGUCAACUCCUUGAACUUGUGAAAAACCCUUUGCCACAACUUGAGCUUUAUAGAUGGUCACAUUAUCGUCCGCGUCCAUCUUCUUAUUAAAGAUCCAUUUGUUCUAGAUGGCCUUUCGCCCUUCCCGUAAUACUUCCAAAGUCCAUACUUUGUUUUCAUACAUAGAUCCUAUCUCAGAUUUCAUGGUGUCUAACCAUUUGUUGGAAUCUGGGACCACCAUUGCUUCUCCAUAGCUCUUAGAUUCAUUGUUGUCUAACAACAUGAUUGAUAAGACAGGAUUCCUGUACCACUCAGGAGCAGUACGUGCCCUUGUGAACCUACGAGGUUCGAUAACAACUUGAUUUUAAGUUUCAUGAUCAUCAUCAUUAGCUUCCUCUUCAACUGGUGUAGCUUUGACAUAAACUUCUUUUUGUCCUGCGCCACCAUCUAGUUGAAGCAAAGGUUCUACAACCUCAUCAAGUUCUAUCUUCCUCCCACUCAAUUAUUUCGAGAUCAACUCUUUCUCAAGAAAUGCUCCGCUUUUAGCGACAAACACUUUGCCUUCGGAUCUGAGAUAGAAGGUGUACCCAACUGUAUCUUUUGGGUAUCCUAUGAAGACGCACUUUUUUGCUACGGGUUCCAACUUUUCACGCAGAAGCUUUUUGACAUAAGUAUCACAUCCCCAAACUUUAAGAAACAACACUUUGGCUUCUUGCCAUACCACAGUUCAUAUGAUGUCGUCUCAACAGAUUUUGAUGGUGCCCUAUUUAAAGUGAAUGCAGUUGUCUCCAAUGCAUAGCCCCAAAACGAUAACGACAAAUCGGUAAGAGACAUCAUAGAACGCACCAUAUCUAAUAAAGUACGAUUACGACGUUCGUACACACCAUUACGCUGUGGUGUUCCAGGCGGUGUCAACUGUGAAAAAAUUCCACAUUGUCUUAAGUGAGCACCAAACUCGUAACUCAAAUACUCACCUCCUCGAUCAGAUCGUAGGAAUUUGAUCUUCUUGUUACGAUGAUUUUCAACUUCACUCUGAAAUUGCUUGAACUUUUCAAACAUUUCAGACUUGUGCUUCAUCAAGUAAAUACAACCAUAUCUACUCAAAUCAUCAGUGAAUGUGAGAAAAUAACAAUAUCCACCGCGCGCCUCUAUGCUCAUUUGUCCGCACACAUUGAUACGUCACAAACGUAUCUAUAAUUUCUACUUGUUCCAUGAUCUUUUGGGUGACAUUGUUAUAUGUUUUGCUACACUUUUAUAUCAUUUUACACCUAUUUGGACUAACCUACUAACUCAGUGCACCAAGUGUUAGUUUCUGUCUGCUAAUGUCUAUUUUGCAAGGGCUUUUACCCAAUUUUCUGAAGCCCGAAAAAUUCCAGGAAAAAUAUAUAAAAAAUUAGUGAAACAGAAUCUUUCGGAUCACCGAAGAUGGGCCAGAGGGGGCCAGGGGCUGCCUAGGCGACCUGCUGGCGCGACAAGGCCCUAGGCCGCGCUAGGAGGCCGCCUGGGUGGGCCCCACCUCCGGUGCCCUCCUUUGGCCUAUAUUUAGAGUCCCAAGAGGAAACCCUUGGAAAACUUCCAAAAUCGCGAAUUUCUCCAUUGUUCCGCCGCUGCAGCGCUUCUGAGAUCGGGAGCGUCACAAGACCUUUUCCCGGCACCCUGCCGGAGGGAGGGUUGACCUCCGGGAGCUUCUCCACCGCCAUGGACGCUUCUCGGACGUGUCGUGAGUAGUCCUUCUUGGACCAUGGGUCCAUGACCAGUAGCUAUGUGAUGUCUUCUCUUCAAUCUUGGGCUUCAAUGGUUAGUCUUUGUGAGCUGCCAUACAUGAUCAAUGCAUCUAUGUAAUUCUCUUGCUAUUGCUAUGCUCGGUUUGUUGGGAUCCGAUGGAUUAUGAUAUUAUGUUCAAAUUUUUAUGAGUUAUAUAUUUUAUUAUCCUUUUAUAUUAUGUUCCUUAGUGAUUCAUGCAUGUUCUUCGUUGCUAGUUAUUGCUUUGGUCGAGUAGUAGAUUGUAACUCCAAGUGGGAGCAUUAUGCAUGAUUGUGGGUUCAUGCCCCUCGAUGUCUAGCUUGAGUGACAGAAACAUGAGACUAGGGGAUGUGUUGUUGCCACCAGGGAGAAAACAACGGUGCUUGUGACCAUGGUUGCAAGGAUUGUUUACCUUACGUAUAGUUCGUUAAUGCAGUUGUCUGUUGCUUUGAGUUUACACUUUGGAUGGGGCUCGCAACUUUAAUACCGGAGAUAUGUUCUUGAUAGAUAUAUCAAGGUGGAUGAUUAGUAAGUAGAUGCUGAUAAAUAAACGGUCUACUUGUCUUGGCGUACUGCCCAUUACUAUUGAACCUCUAACUAUCAAGUAGCAUAAUUAGCAUUGCGGUGCGUUCAUAAUUCUGUCAAUUGCCCAACUGUGAUUUGUUUACCCACGCAUAGUUGUUUAUCGUCUUUUUGGAGAGAGACGUCACUAGUGAACAUCAUGUGACUCCAGUCCAUAUCAUCAUCAUUGUUUACACCUCCAUCAUUUACCACUUUCACUUACUUUUUCGUUGCAAUCACUAUUACCUUCCCGCUUGUGUUUUGAUCCUUUGCAAACUACAAGGAUGGAGAGAUUGACAACCUCUCUGUACUCAUUUGGAGCAAAGUUAUUUGUUGUGUGUGCAGGUCCACGUUUUCUGCUAGCGCCAGGGUGGGAUACACCUACUUGUUGAUCCUAGGAGUCCUCCUGGUUCGAUAAACCUUACAGUUCCCGUAUGAGGGAAAACUUGCUGCUGACUACAUCUCAACCUUCCACUUGGGGUAACCAACGGGGUGCGAGAAGUAUAUACAUCAUCUCAUCAUCACACAUCAGUAUGUAUGAUCUCCAACAAGUCACUUGCAUGCUCCAUUGUUCCGGAGAACGUAGUCUUAGUCAUCUUGCCCAUGAGGCAUGGUUCACAUGUGUCAAGUGAUUCAAAAUCAAGUGACUCCAAAAGUCCAUCAACAUGGAGUUUCUUCAUGCGUUUUAUACCAAUAUGACCUAAGCGGCAGUGCCACAAAAAGUGGCGCUAUCAUUAUUAACUCUACAUCUUUUGGCCUCAAUGUUAUGUAUAUGAAUGUCAACACUAUCGAGAUUCAACAUGAACAAACCCCUCACAUUGGGUGCACGACGAUAAAAGAUAUUACUCAUAUAAAUAGAACAACCAUUAUUCUUUGACUUAAAUGAGUAACUGUCUCGCAAUAAACAAGAUCCAGAUAUAAUGUUCAUGCUUAACGACACUUAUUUAGGUUCAUCACUAAUAUCGACGGUAAUUGAAGUGAGAGCAUGCCGACGGCGAUCGCAUCAACCUUGGAAACAUUUUCCAUGCACAUUGUCACUUCGUCCUUCGCCAGCCUUCGUUUAUUCCGCAGUUCCUGUUUCAAGUUGCAAAUGUGAGCAACAGAACCGGUAUCAAAUACCGAGGCAUUGCUAUGAGAGCUGGUGAGGUACACAUCAAUAACAUGUAUAUCAAAUAUACCUUAUUUUGCGUUGGUCGCAUUCUUACCGGACAGAUACUUGGGGCAGUUCCGCUUCCAGUGACCAGUCCCCUUGCAAUGAUAACACUCAGUCUCCGGCUUGGGUCCAGCCUUGGGUUUCUUCAUCGGAGGGGCAACAGCUUUGCCACUCUCAUUGGAGUUACCCUUCUUUCCCUUGCCUUUUUUCUUCAAACUAGUGGUCUUAUGACCAUCAACACUUGAUGUUCUUUCUGGAUUUCUGAGUGAGCGACUUUCAACAUCGCAAACAGCUCGACGAGUGACAUAUUCAUCCCUUUCAUGUUAUAGUUCAACACAAAGCUCUUAUAGCUAGGUGGCAGUGAGUGAAGAACUCUGUCAGUGAUAGCCUCUUGUGGGAUAUCAAUCCCCAGCUCAGCUAGACGGUUGGAGUACCCAGACAUUCUGAGCACAUGUUCAGUGACAGACCCGUUCUCGUCCAUUUUGUAAGCAUAGAAUUUAUCGGAGGUCUCAUACCUCUCGAUCCGGGCAUUCUUAUCAAAGAUAAACUUCAACUCCUGGAACAUCUCAUAUGGUCCAUGGCGUUCAAAACAUUUUGAAGUCCCGGUUCUAAGCCAUACAAAACUGCACAUUGAACUAAUGAGUAAUCAUCCUUGCGCGUCUGCCACACGUUCAUAACUUCUCGCAACGCCGGUUGGGGUAGUUCAUCACCUAGCGGUGCAUCAAGGACAUAUUGCUUUUGGGCAGCCGUGGGGAUAAGCCGCAGAUUAAGGGCCCAAUCAACAAAGUUGCUUCCAUCAUCUUUCAACUUAGCUUUCUCUAGGAACGCAUUAAAAUUUAGGGUUGCUACUACGCGAGCCAAUGAUCUACAACAUAAAAUUUUGCAAAGAUUACUUGGACUAUGUUCAAGAUAAUUGAGUUUAGUUAAACAUAUUACCAGUAAACUCCCUCUCAAAUUGAUAUCCCUCUAGUCAUUCGACUGACACAUGAUCCAAAUUCACUAACUCAAGUCCGAUCAUCACGUUAGUUGAGUUAGCUUCAAUGGUGAACAUCUCCAUGUUGAUCAUAUCCACUAUAUGAUUCAUGUUUGACCUUUCGGUCUCUUGUGUUCUGAGGUCAUAUCUUUACAUGCUAGGCUCGUCAAGUUUAACCCGAUUUCUCUGCGUGUGCCACUAUUUUUCACCUGUUGUAUGUGAAUGUAGAGUCUAUCACACCCGAUAAUCACGUGGUGUCUCAAAACGACAAACUGCCGCAACGUUGCACACUCGGGGAGAACACAACUUUAUCUUGAAAUUUUAGUGAGGGAUCACCUUAUAAUGCUACCGUCGUCCUAAGCAAAACAAGGUGCAUAAAAAGGAUUAACAUCACAUGCAAAUCAUAAGUGACAUGAUAUGGCCAUGAACUUGUGCUUCUUGAUCUCCAUCACCAAAGCACCGACAUGAUCUCCAUUGUCACUGGCGCCACACCAUGAUCUCCAUCAUCAUGAUCUCCAUCAUUGUGCUGCCAUAGAGGUUGCCGCACCAUGUAUGUUGUUACUACUAAAGAUACUAACUAGCAAUAAAACAAAGCAUCACCAAGCACAAAAUAAUUAAAGACAACCCUAUGGCUCCUACCGGUUGUCGUAGCAUCGGCGUGCAAGUCGAUAUUUAACUAUUACAACAUGAUCAUCUCAUACAUCAAAUAUAUCAUAUCAUGUCUUUGGCCAUAUCACAUCACAUGCAUACCCCGCAAAAAAAAGUUAGACGUCCUCUAUUUUUUUUGCAUGUUUUACAUUGAACGUCUUUGCGAUCCAAAUCGCAAGCCGUCCCACGAACUCCGUCCCGAUCUAGCACCGAACGGACGACACCUCCACGUUCAGCACACGUGCAGCUCGAUGACGAUCUUUGCCUUCUUUAUCCAGCAAGAGAGACGAAGAGGUACCUGAAUUCUCCGACAACACGAUGACGUGGCGGUGAUGCUGGUGGAGCUACUUCAGCAGAGCUUCGCCAUACCAUACAAAACUAGCUUCGGGGUGUCACGAAGUGGUGGAGGGAGAGAGCGGUGCGCCUUGGCUUGAGGUGCCAAAAGUGUCUCUCACCUCCACUAUAUAUAGGUGGGAGGGAGGGUGGCACCCUAGGGACAAAGCCCUAGGGUUCGGUCGGUGCAAGAGAGGAGGAGGAGUCCUCCAAUACGAUUUGGAAGAAGGACUCCCUUCCCUAAUUCGGUUUGGCCCACCUCUCCUUUCCUUUCUCCUCUUUUCCGAAUAGGCCUCCUUUGGCUGGCCACCAGCCCACCACGGGAUGGUGCGCCACCCUUGGGCCUCUUUGAUUCCCUCUCGGGUGGGUGGCCCCUCCCGGUUGAACUCUGGAACUCAUUCGUCACUCCCGGUACUUUACCGAUAAUGCCCAAAAAUCUCCUGGAAGCCAAAUGGAUACUUCCUAUAAACCUGUAAUAGCCCAAGUGCUUUUCUUUCCCCUUCUCUAAUCCUUUCCUUGUUGGGCAACUAUGUUGAGGCAAUGUUAUGGGUGUGGGGUGAUAACCCACAAGUAUAGGGUAUCAAUUGUAGCCUUUCUCGAUAAGUAAGAGUGUCGAACCCAACGAAGAGCUAAAGGUAGGACAAAUAUUCCCUCAAGUUCUAUCGACCACCGAUACAACUCUACACACACUUUACGUUCGCUUUACCUAGAACAAGUAUGAAACUAGAAAUACUUUGUAGGAGUGAUAGGAUAGGCUUGCAAGAAAGUAAAGAACACGUAAAUAAAACUAGGGGCUGGUUAGAUAAAGAAACAACUACGAGUGUCUAACGAGUGUGGAAAAGUGGUGGUAGGAGUUGCGGAAUUGUCCCUAAGCAAUUUACUACGUUACUAGAUCGAUAGCAAGUAUCAUGUGGGAGAGGCUCUGCUAGCAUGUCAUCCCUUACUUGGAAUUCUAUGCACUUAUGAUUGGAACUAUUAGCAAGCGUCCGCAACUACUAACGUUCAUUAAGGUAAUUAAAACCCAACCAUAGCAAUAAGAUAUAUUGGUCCCCCUUCAAUCCCAUAUGCAUCAAUUUCUAUGCUAGGUUUGAAGCUUCUGUCACUCUAGCCUGCCAAUACAUAGUCCUAGCAACAUACAACUAACCCUAUGGUGUGAUCAGCGCGCGCGAUCAUAUGAUGGGCACCAAAGGACAGCAACAUAACCACAAGCAAAUUAAACCAAUCAUAGCAAUUCAUCAAUCACCGAUAGGACAACGAUAAUCUACUCAGACAUCAUAGGAUAGCAACACAUCAUUGGAUAAUAAUAUGUAGCAUAAAGCACCAUGUUCAAGUAGGGGGUACAACGGGUUGCCGGAGAGUGAACCACUGAAUAUAGAUGAGGGAAGAUGAUGGAGAUGUUGGUGAAGAUGACGGAGGUGUUGGUAUAGAUCGCCGUCACACGAUGAUGUCCUGGGUGGCGUUCCGGCGCCGCCGGGAGAGAGGGGGAGAGAGCCCCCCUCCUUCUUCUUCUUCCUUGACCUCUUCCCUAGAUGGGAGAAGGGUUUCCCCUCUGGUCCAUGUUCUCCAUGGCGGCGGAGGGGCGAGAGCCCCUUCGAGAUUGGAUCUCUCUCUUUGUGUCCUUCUGUUUCUGCGCUCCCAGAAUCUGCAUUUCACCGUUUCUUAAUUUCUCGGAGAUUCGUAACUCCGAUUGGGCUGAAAUUUUAACACGAUUUUCUUCCGGAUAUUAUCUUUCUUGCGGCGAAAGAAUGGCUCCAACCGCCUUAAUGAGUGGCCAAAAGCCUGCCUGCCGCGGGCCCACCCCCUGGCCGCGGCGACAGGGCUUGUGGGAACUCUGUGCAUCGCCUCACAUUGAUUCUUCUUCCCAAAAAUCAUAAAUAUUCCUAAAAAAUUCCCGUAAGUUUUUAUUACGUUUGGACUUCGUUUGGUAUGGAUAUUCUGCGAAACAAAAAACAUGCAACAAACAGGAACUGACAGUGGGCACUGGAUCAAUAUGUUAGUCCCAAAAACAGUAUAAAAAGUUGCCAAAAUUAUAUGAAAGUUGUAGAAUAUUGGCAUGAAACAAUCAAGAACUAUAGAUACGACGGAGACGUAUCAACAUCCCCAAGGUUAAUUCCUGCUCGUCCUCGAGUAGGUAAAUGAUAAAAAAGAUAAUUUUUGAUGUGGAAUGCUACCUAGCAUAAUCUUGAUCAUAUAAUCUAAUCUUGGCAUGAAUACUAAAACACGAGUGAUUCAAAACAAUAGUCUAUCAUUUGACAUAAAGACAAUAAUAUUUCAAGCAUACUAACAAAGCAAACAUGUCUUCUCAAAAUAUCAUGGCCAAAGUGUGACAUCCUCGACUUUUGCUACAGUAGUGAUUGUAAUUAAGCUACUGUGAUCAACCGCUAAUGAUGCCACGUCAUCGAAUUCCCAUCUCUGACCCGCGUGGAUUCGCGUCUGUCCGGAUCGAUGAUUUGAAAGCAAAGGAAAGCACUUUAUCGGUUCAUUACAAGUAUUAAAAGGAUAUAUAUAUAAGGGGGGGGAAGUAUUAAAGAAAUAAUAAUGAUAAAAGAAAGAAAAGAAAACUAGAAAGAAAGGAUUAAUAAAAGAAAGGGAAAAGAGAAAACAAAAUAAAACAAAUCAAAAAAAAAGAAGGGAAACAACCCCCCCGUGGCCCAACUGGGCUCAAGGCCCAGCCGGCCACCUCCCGCGCCCCCUCCCGCCAAACCCUAAUCGCCCUCCUGGGCGCCACCCCCCCACUCGCUACUCCCUCCCUUUCCCACGCCGCCGCCGCCAGCCCCCCCCCCUCGUGGGGGGCCCCACCCCACGCGCCAUCUCCUCCCCCUCUCUCGGCCCCCACCUCACGAGAGCCCCCCCACCCCCGAGAUCCCGUCGCCCCCCUCUGCCCCUCUCGCCUCUCCCUCCCACGUCACCUCCACCUCGCCCCUCUCGCCUCUCCCUCUCACGUCGCCUCCACCUAGCCCCUCUCCCUCCCGCAGAUCCCCGGCGGCCUCCCCCCGGCGGCCACUCCUCCUCCCACCGGCGGCCCCCCUCGGUCCCCCUCAUCACGCCGGCGGCCUCCUCUCCCCACGGCCGCCUCCCUCCACCGACCAUCCUCUCCCGGCGGCCCCCCACCUCUCGGCCUCCACCCCGCCGGCAGGGGCGCCGGCCACCUCGGCCCCCCAUCUCGGCGGCCGGCCCCUUCCGGGAGGUCCAUCUCCGGCGGCCCUCUCUACGGUGGCCGCCCCUCACCGUCGGCGGCUCCAUCUCCGGGGGGCCCUCCUCACCGGCUCCCCCUCGUCGGCACAUCACCACCAUCGGCACCGUCACCGCCUCCACGUCCGUCUCCACCGUCAACUACGUGCGAACUCCGGCUUCACCGGGCCGUCACGUCACCGUCGGUGAGCCCCUCCUCGGGCUCCUCCCACCGUGUCGAUCUCCUCGCCGCCCCGGUUCCGUUCCGGCAAACGGGGAUGAAAAAGAAUAAAUGGUGUAUUAGAUGCGUAUGUAUGUAUGUAUGUAUGUAUGAGAUGUGAUGUAUGUAUUUGUGUAUUUGGAUAUUUAGAGGAAUACGGUAUUUGCACGGAUAGGUAUCUAAUAAAAAUAAAUGAGAAAAUAACCUUAGGCCACUUACCGGUGGGGCCAAUGCACCGCUGUCAAUGACAGGGAGGCCCCACGCGAUGAUUAAAAAUAAUGUUUUUCUUAAAUAAAUAAAUAAAUAGAUAUAUUAGUUAAAAUAAUUAAUUAACAUAAUUAGAGUAUGACACGUGGGUCCCUCGUUGAAUUAAUCUGAUUAAUAAAUAAUUAAUCUUAAUAAAAACUUGUGCCUAUAACGUUCGGGACCCGCUGGUCAGUUGACCGGUCAAAUGUGAUGUCAGCCUGACAUCGCGAUGAUGUCAUAAUAGGAUUUUACUAAAUCUUUUAAAUCUGUUUUUAAUUCUUAAAUAAUUAAUAAAACUUUAAAAAUUAAUAUUAAAUAAUCCGUAAGUCAGAUCGAAAUAAUUUCAACAUGANNNNNNNNNNNNNNNNNNNNNNNNNNNNNNNNNNNNNNNNNNNNNNNNNNNNNNNNNNNNNNNNNNNNNNNNNNNNNNNNNNNNNNNNNNNNNNNNNNNNUGUACCCCCUACUUGAACAUGGUGCUUUAUGCUACAUAUUAUUAUCCAAUUAUGUGUUGCUAUCCUAUGAUGUUUGAGUAGAUUAUCGUUGUCCUAUCGGUGAUUGAUGAAUUGCUAUGAUUGGUUUAAUUUGCUUGUGGUUAUGUUGCUGUCCUUUGGUGCCCAUCAUAUGAUCGCGCGCGUGGAUCACACCAUAGGGUUAGUUGUAUGUUGAUAGGACUAUGUAUUGGCAGGCUAGAGUGACAGAAGCUUCAAACCUAGCAUAGAAAUUGAUGCAUAUGGGAUUGAAGGGGGACCAAUAUAUCUUAUUGCUAUGGUUGGCUUUUACCUUAAUGAACGUUAGUAGUUGCGGACGCUUGCUAAUAGUUCCAAUCAUAAGUGCAUAGAAUUCCAAGUAAGGGAUGACAUGCUAGCACAGGCCUCUCCCACAUGAUACUUGCUAUCGAUCUAGUAACAUAGUCAAUUGCUUAGGGACAAUUCCGCAACUCCUACCACCACUUUUCCACACUCGUUAGACACUCNNNNNNNNNNNNNNNNNNNNNNNNNNNNNNNNNNNNNNNNNNNNNNNNNNNNNNNNNNNNNNNNNNNNNNNNNNNNNNNNNNNNNNNNNNNNNNNNNNNNACCAUCUCCUCUCCAAUCCCUAGUUUAUCUCUUGUAACCAAUCUCGGUCUCACGACUCCGAUUGGUACUUGUAAGGUUGCUAGUAGUGUUGAUUACUCUUUGUAGUUGAUGCUAGUUGGAUUACUUGGUGGAAGAGCUUAUGUUCAGAUCCUUGAUGCUAUUCAUUACACCUCUGAUCAGGAUUAUGAUUAUGCUUUGUGAGUAGUUACUUUUGUUCCUGAGGACAUGGGAUAAGUCAUGCUGAUAAUAGUCAUGUGAAUUUGAUAUUCGUUCGGUGUUUUGAUAUGUUGUAUGUUGUUUUUCCUCUAGUGGUGUUAUGUGAACAUCGACUACAUAACACUUCACCAUAUUUGGGCCUAGAGGAAGGCAUUGAGAAGUAGUAAGUAGAUGAUGGGUUGUUGGAGUGACAGAAGCUUAAACCCGAGUCUAUGCGUUGCUUCGUGAGGGGCUGAUUUGGAUCCACUAGUUUAAUGCUAUGGUUAGACUUUGUCUUAAUNNNNNNNNNNNNNNNNNNNNNNNNNNNNNNNNNNNNNNNNNNNNNNNNNNNNNNNNNNNNNNNNNNNNNNNNNNNNNNNNNNNNNNNNNNNNNNNNNNNNNNNNNNNNNNNNNNNNNNNNNNNNNNNNNNNNNNNNNNNNNNNNNNNNNNNNNNNNNNNNNNNNNNNNNNNNNNNNNNNNNNNNNNNNNNNNNNNNNNNNNNNNNNNNNNNNNNNNNNNNNNNNNNNNNNNNNNNNNNNNNNNNNNNNNNNNNNNNNNNNNNNNNNNNNNNNNNNNNNNNNNNNNNNNNNNNNNNNNNNNNNNNNNNNNNNNNNNNNNNNNNNNNNNNNNNNNNNNNNNGCGAAUCAUAUGAACAUGAUGAAACUAGCAUGACAGAAAUUCUCGUGUGUCCUCGGGAGCGUUUUUCCUCCUAUAAGACUUUGUUCAGGCUUGUCCCUUGCUACAAAAGGGAUUGGGCCACUUGCUGCACCGUUGCUACUACUUGUUACUUGUUACUCUUUGNNNNNNNNNNNNNNNNNNNNNNNNNNNNNNNNNNNNNNNNNNNNNNNNNNNNNNNNNNNNNNNNNNNNNNNNNNNNNNNNNNNNNNNNNNNNNNNNNNNNUUCACACUGCCUACAUGAUUCCUCAAAGGCCAUAGUGUAUGCCGAUUUGACAGUGAAAACACCAGUCAUUGUUGGACCCCAAGCAAGCACAUCAUCGCCUAGCCUUGGUGAAGCUCUAAUUUUCAGAAUUUCAUUAACAUCACAGGGAAGAAAGGCUUCUUGAAGAAGAUUCUCAUUCCAUGAACCGUUAUCUCUAAGGAGUUGGGAGACCCACCGGUACUUGCAAGACCCUUGCACCGAAUUGGCAUAUAUAUAUGAGAAGGGCCUGGGUAUCCAUGGAUCACGCCAAAUACGGAUGUUAUAUCCAUUGCCCACUCUCCAUAUCAAACCUUUCUUGAGUAGAUCGAGGCCAUGACUGAUAGCAGUCCAAGUUGAGGAAGCACUACCCGAGAAGAUUGUGUCCUCUAGUCUGCCAUUAGGAUAGUACUUGCACUACAACAACCUUGCACACAGACUAUCAGGUCUUGUUAAAAGUCGCUAGGCUUGACGAACGAGAAGGGCUUGGUUGAAAAUGCGAAAAUCAUGGAAGCCUGCACCACCCUUGCUCUUAGGUUGUUGAAGUUUCUGCCAAGAUUUCCAAUGAACCUUCCUUUUCCCUUUUGUAGCUCCCCAAUAAUAAUUCCUGACCAUCUCCGUGAGAUCAUCAUAAACAGAAAAGGGUAGUUUAAAGACACCCCAUAACAAACACCGGAAGAGACUCAGCCACAGAUUUAAUCAAAACUUCUCUACCUGGUUGAGCAAGAUGCCCAUCUCCCCACUGAAUCAGUCUUUUCAUGACUUUUGCGUGCAGAUUUUGAAAUUUCCCUUUCGACAUUCUGCCAUUGGGUGUUGGAAUCCCUAAAUACUUCUCUUCAAAUACCAAACUUGUGACAUUUAAGGACAUCCGCACCUCAUCUUGGGCAUCGGCCGAGCAACUCUCUCCAAACAUAAUGGAGCAUUUGUCAUAGUUCAGGUGUUGGCCUGUAGCACUUGCAUAAAGAUCAAGGCAAGAUUUAAUUUGUUCAGCCUGAGCACGUAAUGCAUCAAAUAAUAACAAUGUAUCAUCCGCAAAUAGAAGGUGUGAUAUGCCAGGAGCACGUGUGCAAAUCUUUACUGGAGAAAUCAAGCCUUCUUGAACAUUCUGUCUCAAUAUAGCAUAUAGCCCAUCAGCCACAAACAAAACAAGAACGGGAAGAGCGGAUCACCUUGCCGAAGUCCACACGUCGGUGCAAAUGAAUCCAAGUGGGUUCCAUUGAAUUUAACAGAGCACCUCACUGAUGUGACACAGGAAAUAAUCCAGUCAAUCCAUCGAUGAGAAAACCCCAACUUUUGCAUCGCUUGCCUCAAGAAGAUCCAGUCAACCCGAUCAUAAGCUUUAGACAGAUCAAGCUUAUAUGCACAAAAGCUUUUUGUGGGAUCCUUUUCUUGCUUUAUGUGGUGGAUACACUCAAAGGCGAUUAACGCAUUAUCAGCGAUCAUCCUACAGAUAUGAAGGCACUAUGUUCAGGGGAGAUAAUGUCAUCUAGAAGAGGUCGUAAUCUGUUUACAGGACAUUUAGAAACCACCUUGCAGAUUACAUUGCAAAGACUGACGGGUGAAAAUUCAGAUACCUUCACAGGGUUAGCAACUUUAGGAAUUAGCAUAAUAUAUGUAUCAUUAACUCCAUCUGGCAUGACGCCUGUUCUAAAGAAUUCCUUUACCGCUCUGGUAAUAUUUUCCUUCAGAAUCUCCGAGUUGCACUGAAAAAAUCUAGCAGGAAAGCCAUCAGGACCAGGUGCCUUUAAUGGCCCUAUUUGGAAGAGAGCAUCCGAAAUCUCCUGGUUAGUGAAAUCUGCACAAAGCUCCACAUUAUCAUCAUCAAUAAUCACCGUAUUGAUCAACUCCACGACUCCCGAUGCAUCGAGCGAUGAGUCCGCCAUGAAUAUGUUAUGAAAAUAUGAAGACACCAUGUUGCACAUAGUGCUAGUGUUUGUAAACACAUUGCCAUCAUUAUCAUGCAACUCUCUUAUUUGGUUUUUCCUUGCCCCUAGACCGCCUUGCCAUGAAAAAAUGUAUUUCUAUCUCCCUCUUUCUGCCACAUGAUGCGAGACCUUUUAAGCCAAAGCAUAUCUUCCUUAUACAGUAAUUCAUUAAGCUUAUCAGAGACUUCUCUUAUUUCCUGUCUAUCAACAUUCAUUCUCAUCAACUCUUCCAAACGGCUACUCGAUUUAUGAAUGUCCUUCGCGAUGUUUCUGUAUCUCUUAUUACUCCAAGAACGCAGGGAUGACAUGGUGGAGUUCAAGGACUCACUGACCUGGCCCAAAUUAUCCAUUGCGCCGAAUGCCGACCAUGCCUUCUGAACAAUUUCCGGUAGCUCUAAGUCCCGUUCCUACAAAACUGCAUAUCGUUGAGCCUCAUUCCUGGGUUUCUCCUGUUCUGCUGUAAAUCUAAGCAACAAUGGAAUAUGAUCCGAACUGGAGGAUGCAAGGUGUUGCACCGUCGAGAAUGCAAACAUAUUCCUCCAUUCGUUUGAAGCAAUCGCACAAGCAAGCGAACAAGAACAUUUGCACCUCCUGGGCGCAUAUUAUCAUAUGUGUAUGAGAUGCCUCAAAACCCUAGAUCAACCAACUCACAAUCCAUCAAUACAUCUUGAAAUGCAGCCAUUUUGGAUUCAGGUCUAGGUGAUAAGGACAUGUGCUAGAAACUCCAAAGCACCUCAUUAAAGUCUCCGAUAACUACCCAUUGUAGAUCAGACUAUUGCUUCAAAGCUUCUAACUUAGACCACAUCAAGUGUCUAUUCUCGACCCUGGGUCCCCAAAGAGCAUAGUAAGUCACCACUGGUCUCCACUAGGUGAAGAUACGCACACAUCAGUGAACCGCUGGUGUGUUCCCAAAACCGUGACUUGGAAUGAUUCAUGCCAGAAAAGAGCCAGCCCACCACUUAAACCAACGCUAUCAACACCUUCAAACCCUUGAAGACCAAGACGCCCUCUUAUUCUCCUCAUCUUACUUGCUUUUUGCCGGGUCUCACACAAGAACACGAACAUGGGGGAAUACGACUGCACUAGCGUCGCUACAUCACGAAUUGUCCGAGGAUUCCCCCCACCCCGGCAGUUCCAAUUGAGUAGAUUCAUUGGGACGGGUGGUCCUCCACCACGGAGGCCGCCGUUGUAUUAGUUGUGUUGCUAUUAAUGGCCACACUAUCAUCAGUCCUCAACUUUUUCUGAUUAGUAUUUUUUUGAGGAGUACCACCACCAUUGAGGGGGCUGGGUAUAUCAUAACCUUCAAACUGACCCACUCGGUCCACUGUGAUCCCCAUCGGAACAAUAGUGCCCACGCACACAUCCAUGCCCCCUUGAUCAACAACGUUGAUAGGUGCGCACGAGUCAUUAGCCACCCUUUUGCCCAUGUUAAGUGCAUCUUCCGUCUACCCAGGCUGAGUCUCAUCAGCGCCGGUAUCCAUCUCCACACUAGGAACAUAUAGUGCGUUUGUCGCAUUGAAUCGCCAGCUUUUUUGCAUGAACUGCCUUUGUUCACUGGCAUCAACUAAACCUAGGUCCUUAGCGUGCAUCUCUGCAGUCUGCACAACACUUGGAUCAAAGUUUCGAUGAUCGUAGCCACGGCCACAUCCAUGAGUUCUACCUACACCCCUGCCCCUGGCAUAGGCAUUACCAGCAUCCUCAUCACCAAAUACCCCAACAUCUCGCUCAGAUCUUCGACCAAAGCCUCUCCUAGCACUACGGUUAGCAUUAGCUAUCCUACGAGAAGCAAGGAUAAAGGGUCCCCACUCCAUAUAUUUUGGGUCGUGAUCACCUGACCUACACUCUUCAUGCCAAUGGCCGAACAAACCACACAUGUAGUAGAAGACCGAUAGUUUCUCAAAUUUAACUUGGUAAUAUCCAGUUGACCCAGCCUUGGUGAAGCCAAUAAACCUUGUCAGCUUUUUAGUAAUGUCAAGCUUAACUCUAACCCGUAUGAACUUACCAAUGAAGCCAUUAGGAAGAACAAUAUGUACCUCCACUACCUCCCCGAUGCGUUGUGCCCUUUUCCUCACAAAUUGUUCCCUCUUAAGCACCAUAUCUGGAAGACGAUGGAUCUGGCACCAUGUCUUGAUUUUAUCCAGCUUGACUGAUUUUGGAUUCUUAAACCCAUCAUAUUCAUCAAUGACCAGGGCCAUGCCCUUGAAAUCCCACGGCCCUUCAUGUAGAGCCUUGUUCCAGUCUGCUAGACAGUUGAAUUGAACAGAGAACAGGUUGGGGUUGAUUCUUCUCCACACCACUUCUUUCGCAGGGUUCCAAGCUGCUUUCAUGUCGGAAAUCAACGCCCCUUGACCGAAGGACUUGGUUGUCAAAACCCUAGCUAGCACUAGCGACUUUGGCUUCUCAUCUGGUUCAUCCGCUUCAUGCUCCCAAACUAUAUUAUCCAACUCAUCUUCCUCCAGAUGCAAACGUUCCAACAAGACGCUAGGAUCUUCUGUAGGUUUUGGUCACGACCCACUAGCCUCCGUAGGCGCAGCCAUCACGAACAAUGGUAAAACCCUAACCGCUCGCACCCGAAGAAGGCGCAGACUUGGCGGCAAGGGGAAAGACGGGAGGUGUGAUCGACGCUAGGCCUGUUCAACGACAGGGGAACUCACAACGCGGCCGCCGGAGGACAAAGGAACCCUAGCUUUUCAUGAGAGGGAUAAUAAUUACCAACAUGAUCAGAGAUUCAUAGUUUAGUCGAAGUUGUUUACAUACAUGAGCAUACAAUCAUCCUUAUAAAGAUACACAAAUGCACGUCAUAGUCGUCAGAAACGUCUUCUCUGACUAAAAUGAAGUUGUUCACAUACAUGAGCGUGCAUUCACCCUUAUAAACGCACACAAAUGCACAUCAUAGUCGUCGAAAACGUCUCCUCUCAUUGAAUGCAUAUCAUCGAAAGGCCUAAAAUAAACCUAGAAAAAUGCAAGCACCAAUAUCAAGUCUGGAACUUAAACUCUGAUGGAUAAGGGAUACUAUUGUUUCCCUAACCAUCCAACUACAGAUUGGUUCACACUCGAGUAGGUUUGUGAAAUAUACAUACAAAGGUAGUCAAGUCUGUGCAUGUGUAUGAAUAAUGGUGCCGCUACCUCAAAAAAAAUUCAGUCUAAUCGCACUUUAUUAACCAACAAUAUUCAUAGGGAUACAAUAGGGAUACUUUCUCGCUGCUUCAAUCUGAUUGUGGGCUUUCUACCAACAGUAUUUCAUGUUAGAAAAUUAGAUAAUGCAAAGAAGAUGUUUUCCAGAAUUUUUCUUGUACUCCCUCCGCCCCGAAUUGCUUGUUGUACAUUUAUCUAGAUGCGGAUGUAUCUGAACAUGUUUUGAUAUUACAUACAUUCAUAUUGAGAUAAAUCUAAAAAAAGUAAUUCGAGACAUAGGUAGUAGUUCAUAGUUAUUUUUAGAGAAUUGUAUUCGAUAUCAACUUAAUAAAUAAAUUCAUACGCAAACGUCAUCCAAUAAACGACAAUUACAAACAGAGUGCAAGGCUCAACAUGCCAGAUAUAGAUCAACACAAGUUCACUCAAAAGGCCAUUAAGCUAAAAGAGAAAAGCAUGGUUAGUGCUGAGCCGUAGGCUGAGCAAGUGUGCUAGCAAUAGCUUGAAUCUUGGAAAUGAUCAUAACGAUGGCGAAGCUAUACACAACCUUAAAUAGGGGCCUCCACUACUGUAUAAAGGCCGCAACCCUCCCUCGUCGCACCCGUAGGCAACACGGAGGGCUCCCCCGUCGCACCCGUCGGUCCCCUUUCCCCGCACUCCUCCCUUGUUGUCGCCAGAAGGUGUGGCCACGCAACGGCUGGCUCGCGUCGGCGGCGGGCGGGGGGGGGGGGUUAUUCCUUCUUGCUCGGGGGUGCUGCGGCAGGGCGACAUCCUCGCACCAGGGCGGCGCUCCGACAUGGGGCGCGGCGAGGACGAUGGCACUCAGUGCCCCUGCGAUGGCGGGUACGGGUAGGUGGCGGCCUAGAGUGCCUCGUGGUGGAGGGGCGUGCGUGCACCGUUGCCGGUCUGGAUCAGCAUCUGGCAACUAAUCUGGAUCAAGGGGGCUGCUGAUACGUCUCCAACGUAUCUACUUUUCCAAACUCUUUUGCCCUUGUCUUGGACUCUAAUUUGCAUGAUUUGAAUAAAACUAACUCGGACUAACGCUGUUUCCACGAGAACUGCCAUGGUGUUGUUUUUGUGCAGAAAUAAAAGUUCUUGGAAUGACCUGAAACUUACGAGGAUUUUUUAUGGAAUAUAUAAAAAAUCAGAGAAAGAAUCAACUGAAGUUACGCUGCCAGUGGGCCACGAGCACUGCAGGCGCCCCCCCCCCUUCCCAGGGCGCGCCUAGCAGGCUCGUGGGGCCCACGUGGCUCCCCCGACUUCAUCUCCAACUCCAUAUAACCUCUCUCGCCCAAAAAAAAGGAGAGAAGAGUUCAUCACGUUUCACGAUACGGAGCCGCCGCCACCGCUUGUUCUUCCUCGGGAGGGCAGAUCUGGAGUCCGUUCUGGGCUUUGGAGAGGGGAAAUCGACGCUGUCGUCAUCAUAAACCAUCCUCCAUCGCCAAUUCCAUGAUGCUCUCCAUCGUUCGUGAGUAAUUUUAUCGUAGGCUUGCUGGACGGUGAUGGGUUGGAUGAGAUCUAUCAUGUAAUCGCGUUAGUUUUGAUGGGGUUUGAUCCAUAGUAUCCACUAUGUUCUAAGAUUGAUGUUGCUACUGCUUUGCUAUGCUUAAUGCUUGUCACUAGGGCUUGAGUGCCAUGAUUUCAGAUCUGAACCUAUUAUGUUUUCAUCAAUAUAUGUGUGUUCUUGAUCCUAUCUUGCAAGUUGUAGUCACCUACUAUGUGUUAUGACCCGGCAACCCCGGAGUGACAAUAGCCGGAACCACUCCCGGAGAUGACCAUAGUAUGAGGAUCCCAUGUAUUCACUAUGUGCUAAUGCUUUGUUCCGAUUCUCUAUUAAAAGGAUACCUAAAUAUCCCUUAAUUUCCAUUAGGACCCCGCUGCCACAGGAGGGUAGGACAAAAGAAGCCAUGCAAGUUCUUUUCCAUAAACACGUAUGACUAAAUACGGAAUACAUGCCUACAUUACAUUGACGAACUGGAGCUAGUUACAUAUCACCCUAUGUUAUAACUGUUACAUGAUGAAUGCCAUCUGACAUAAUUAUCCAUCACCGAUCCAAUGACUACGAGCUUUUCCUAUACUGGUCCUUGCUAAGUUACUUUACCGCUACUGCUGUCACACUUGCUAUACAAAUUACUACUGCUACUGUUACCGCCGCUACCAUUACUAUCAUACUACUUUGCUACUAAAACUUUAUUGCAGAUACUAAGUCUUUCAGGUGUGGUUUAAUUGACAACUCAACUACUAAUACUCGAGAGUAUUCUUUGGCUCCCCUUGCGUCGAAUCAAUAAAUUUGGGUUGAAUACUCUACCCUCGAAAACUGUUCCGAUCCCCUAUACUUGUGGGUUAUCAAGACCUUUUUCUGGCGCCAUUGCCGGGGAGCAUAGCUCCAUUCUCUGAGUCACUUGGGAUAUAUAUCUGUUGAUCACUAUGAGGAAUCCGAGAGAUCCAAUAACUAAAGUCUUGCCCUCAACUAUGAGGACAGGUAAGGAACUGCCAUCUAGCUUUGCACUUGAUUCACCUACUGUUAUGAGUAAAUUUGCGACACCACCACCUACUAGUAAUUCUGAUAUGUCUCUUGUGCUUGAUGAUUGAUGACCCACAAGUAUAGGGGAUCGCAUCAGUUUUUGAGGGUAGAGUAUUCAACCCAAAUUUAUUGAUUCGACACAAGGGGAAGCCAAAGAAUAUUCUCAAGUAUUAGCAGUUGAGUUGUCAAUUCAACCACACCUGAAAGAUUUAGUAUCUGUAGCAACGUAUCAGUAGCAGAGUAGUAUGAUAGCAACAAUAGCAACAAUAACCAGUAGCAGCAAAGUGACAGCAGUAGCAGCAAAGUAACAGUAGCAGCAGCAGAGUAACAGUAGCAGAAGUGACAGCAGUAGCAGCAAAGUAACGUAGCAAGGACAAGUAGGAAAAAGACUCGUAGGCAUUGGAUCGGUGAUGGAUGAUUAUGCCGGAUGCUAUUCAUCAUGCAACAGUUAUAACACGGAGAGAUAUGUAACUAGCUCCAGUUCGUCAAUGUAAUGUAGGCAUGUAUUCCGUAUGUAGUCAUACGUGCUUAGGGAAAAGAACUUGCAUGACAUCUAUUGUCCAUCCCUCCCGUGGCAGCGGGGUCCUAAUGGAAACUACGGGAUAUUAAGGUUCUCCUUUUAAUAAAGAGACGGACCAACGCAUUAACACUUGGUGAAGACAUGAACUACUCAUAAUAUGGUCAUCUCCGGGAGUGGUUCCGGCUAUUGUCACUCCGGGGUUGCCGGGUCAUAACACAUAGUAGGUGACUACAACUUGCAGGAUAGGAUCAAGAACACACAUAUAUUGGCGACAACAUAAUAGGUUCAGAUCUGAAAUCAUGGCACUCGGACCCUAGUGACAAGCAUUAAGCAUGGCAAAGUAGUAGCAACAUCAAUCUCAGAACAUAGUGGAUACUAGGGAUCAAUCACCGUCAAAACUAACUCGAUUACAUGAUAGAUCUCAUCCUGCAAGCCUACGAUGAGAUUACUCACGAACGGUGAAGAGCUUCGUGGAAUUGGCGAUGAAAGAAGGUUCGUGAUGACGAUGGCGAGGAUCUCCCCUCUCCGGAGCCCAGAACGGACUCCAGAUCUUCCCUCGAGAGGAAGAACAGGAGGUGGCGGCGCCUCCGUAUCGUAAAACGCGAUGAACUCUUCUCCUUGAUUUUUUUCCGGAUGAAAGAGGCUAAAUAGAGCUGAGAUUGGAGGCGGUGGAGCAACGUGGGCCCCACAAGCCUGCCAGGCGCGGCCAGGGGGGCCACGCCUGGUGGGCUUGUGGACUCCACGCUCCACUUCCUCCGUUGAUUCUUGCGCCAACUAUUUUUAUAUAUUCCACAAAAAUUCUCCGUAAAUUUCCAGGUCAUUCCAAGAACUUUUAUUUCUGCGCAAAAACAACACCAUGGCAAUUCUGCUGAAAACAACGUUAGUCCGGGUUAGUUCCAUUCAAAUGAUGCAAAUUAGAGUCCAAAACAAGGGCAAAAGAGUUUGGAAAAGUAGAUACGAUGGAGACGUAUCAACUCCCCCAAGCUUAAAACCUUGCUUGUCCUCAAGCAAUUCAGUUGACAAACUGAAAGAGACAAAAGAAAAACUUGUACGAACUCUGUUUGAUCUUGUUGUUGCAACUAUGUCUAACUCAUAUCCAGAAUUUCAGCAAGAUCACAAGCUAACCACAUAAGCAAAUGACAUCUAGGUCUCAUGGUAAACUCAUAUCAAUGGCAUAAUCAACUAGCGAGCAAAUAAUAAAAAGUUUCAAAUGUUAACACAUCAAUCAAAACAAUCAUGAAGCAGUACGAAUAGAUGGUAUCUCGCUAGAUCUUUCUGAGACCGCAAAACAUAAAUGCACAGCACCUUCGAAGACCAAGGGCUGACUAAAUAUUGUAAUUCAUGGCGAAGAAGAUCCAGUCACAGUCAUACUCAAUCACAGUUAAAAGCAAAGCAUAAAAAUGACAUAGGUGCUCUCUAAUUGGUGCUUUUAGAAGAAGAGGAUGACUCAACAGGAACAUAAAUAGACAGGCCCUUCGCAGAGGGAAGCAUUGAUUUGCAGAGGUGCCAGAGCUCAAGCUUUGAAAACAGAGAUAAUAACUUUGGGUGGCAUGCUUUCAUUGUCAACGCAAUAACUAAGAGUUUUCACCAUCUUCCACGCUACACAUGCUAUAGGCGGUUCCCAAAUAGAAAAGUAAAGUUUUGACUCCCCCACCACCGAUCAAUCACACUCCACGGCUAGCCGAAUACUCGGGUGUCGUCCAUACCAACAUCAAUCCAGGGGGAGUUUUGUUUCCAACUAUCUUUUCGAUUUGAGCAUGGAACUGGCAUUCCAAUUGCCGCCCCCUUUCUCAUGAAUGAUAGUGAAUAAGCACAUACUGAGGAUAACAUGCCUAGCAUGGAAGAUACUGAUAGCCCCCUGUCACCACAUGAGCGGUUCGGGCAUGCAAAACAGAUUAUUUCUUGAAGAUUUAGAGAGUGGCACAUGCAAAUUUACUUGGCACGGCAGGUAGAUACCGCAUAUAGGUAGGUAUGGUGGACUCAUAUGGAACAACUUUGGGUUUAUGGAAGUGGAUGCACAAGCAGUAUUCCCGCUUAGUACAAGUGAAGGCUAGCAAAAGACUGGGAAGCGACCAACUAGAGAGCGACAACAGUCAUCAAAAUGCAUUGAGAUUAACCAACAAUGAGUGCAAGCAUGAGUAGGACAUAAAUCACCAUGAACAUGAAUAUCAUUGAGGCUAUGUUGAUUUUGUUUCAACUACAUGCAUGAACAUGUGCCAAGUCAAGCCACUUGAAUCAUUCAAAGGAGGAUACCAUCCUAUCAUACUACAUCACAAUCAUCUCAAAAUUCAUGUUGGCAUCCAAGACAAACCAUUAUAAGCUCUUAGCUAAUUAAGCAUGGCAUCAGAAACCAUGGUCUCUACGUUGUCAUUGCAAACAUGUUUCUCUCACAACAAAGCUGAAUCAGGAACGAUGAGCUAGUCAUAUUUACAAAAACAAAAUAGAUCGAGUUCAUACCAGCUUUUCCAGGCUCAGUCACUUAAUCAUAUAUCGUCAUUAUUGCCUUUCACUUGCACGACCGAAUGAUGUGAACAAUAAUAAGAGUGCUCGUGUAUUGGACUAAGCUGGAAUCUGCAGGCAAACACAAAGGAGAAGACAAAGUAAUAUGGCUCUUUGACAGAUAAACAGAUAUGCAUGCGAGAGCCAUUAAACAUUGUAACCAUGGUCUUCUACCUUGACCCAAAGAAAAGAAAACUAUUUACACGGGAAAACUCCCAACAAGCAAAAGAAGAAUGAGAAAUCUUUUUGGGUUUUUCUCAAACUAGACAAACACACGAAAAGAAAACAAGAAAAGGAAAAUAAACUAGCAUGGAUGAUACAGUGGCAAAGUGUGAACACCGACUAACAAAGUGAAAGUGUAAGCAAGAAUAUAAAGUCGGUGAGAAACACGUACUCCCCCAAACUUAGGCUUUUGGCCUAAGUUGGUCUACUCCCAAGGAGGGAAAUAACCAUCUCCGGGGUACUCCGGAGUGUACUGAGGGUGCCAUUGCUGUGUGAGCUCCUCUGGCUCCCACUGAUAAACUAGCGUCUGGUACUCGACUGAUGGCUCGGGCAUGGGCACCUGUGGUUGGGCUAUGCCCCAAUAUGCGCAGAUGUCCGAGGGCAUAAUAAUGUACCUGCCUGCAUGAAGAUUGAACAAAGAAGGAGCAGGCAAAGUAAUAGUCUCACGAGUACCCUAACUAAAUACCAGGUUAUAAAUCGUCCUUCUAUUUAUAUCUCUAUCAAGAAAGUCAUGGCGAACCAUGCUAUCAUAAUCUAGAUAUCUCUCGGGAAGAAGAAUCUCUUCUUCCUCGUCCAGUCUAAUAGGUAUCUCAAAGUGUCUAGCAAGACGAGUAGCAUAGAUACCUCCAUAAACAACGCCUUUAGAACGGUUCGUGUUCAACUGUUGAGCUACUAUAGCGCCCAAGCUAUAAGUUUUAUCUUUAUAAAGGGCUUCGCGCAAGACCGCAAGAUCCGGGGAGCUAAGGGAGCUAGCUUUCCCACGGCCAAUUAAACAUUUUCCCAUGAAUAGUGAGAAGUACCGAAGCACGGGAAAAUGUAUGCUAGCAGCUCUAGCGCAAGACACUCCUCUGUCCUCUUCUACAACAAUAGUAUCUAUGAAAGCCUCCAAGUCCCGUGGACGAGGUUCAUGAAUAUCCCCAACAAAAGGAAAUUUGCAAACAUUGCAAAAAAUCCUCGAGUGACAUGCGCUGGGGGAUAUCAUAUAAUUUUAACUCAACCAUAGGAGGAUUCUUCCUUGGAUAGAAAUUAAAGCUUUGCACGAAAAUAUUAGUGAGGAGGAGGUAUUGCGGACACUUAUCUUCAACGAAGGCAGUAAGGCCUGCGUUCUCCACCAAGUAAUAAAAAUCCUGAUAAAGUCCGGUGGCACGUAAGAACACAUCGCUUGGCCAUUCACACGCUUGAACUUCUGCAACUCGGGGGACCGGAUACUUGGGUUUCUUCUUCUCAUUCCCAUCAUCCUUGGGGUCACGGCUUGAAGAGCCUCUUAAGAACCUCCUCAUCUUUUCCCUUUUCUAUCUCUGAAAAUUUCUGAAAUUUUAGUGACUCUCAGGAAAACUGAAUAAGGCCCAACGAAACUCGUAGCAACUACUCCCACAAGUGCCUAGAGCCAUAUCACGCAUCAAAACUACUUGGGACCAGCUAAAAUUAGCAUGCAAAGCUCAAGAACAAGGUCACCAAGGCAGCAAAAAUACGCGAAGUAUAAGGCAUUAGAGCGAAAACUAAUUGGACCAAUGGAGGAGUCACUUACCAAGGAGUAAUUUCCCCUAAACAACUUGGUGAAUGGUGCUUUGCACAAGGAGAUCGAAAAUCCCAGCAAGAAGAGCAAGAACACGGGUUUUAGCUGCGAAACGAUUUUUUUCUGGAGGUAGGAGAAGCAGAUGGCAGGUAGAAUGAGUGGAGGGGCUAUACGUGGGCCCCACAAGCCUGGAUGGCGCGGCCAGGGGGGUGCCCGCGCCUCCACGGCUUGUGGCCCACUGGUGCAGCCCCCUGAUUAGCUCUUCGUCUCAGUAUUUUUCAAAAAUUCUAGAAAAAAAUCAUACUUGAUUUUCAGGACAAUCGGAGAACUUUAAUUUUUGGGGUACUUUUCUACGGGACGCUAAAAGCAGAAAACAGGGAAAACUAAACUAAAUCUAUCAUUUUUCUUCUAAGCUACCGAAGUUGAAAGCUUGGAACAAAGGUUUGUGACUGCUCGAUUCAUCCAUCUCAUGGUUAUCGAAAGAAAUCUGUCAAUGAGGUUGAUCAAGUCUCCUUGACAAACUUUUUUCGAAUCGCAAAAGAAGACGGAGAAUUUUCAAAUAGUCACUAAAUUACCUCAAUGGGGAUGUGGAUAUCCCCAACAAGCAAAUCAUACUUCAUCUUAACAGUAGGUAUAGGGCAUUCAAAGCUCCCAAUAAGAAUCCAUGAAGUUUUUUCGAUAGCAUUGAUGCAAUGUACUCGAUAUUGUUUCUUCGGAAAGUGCAUAGUAUGCUCAUUACCGAAAGUGAAAUUGCCUUUGUUGCAAUCUAUAACAGCCCCUGCAGUGUUUAGAAAGGGUCUUCCAAGGAUGACCGCCAUGGCAUCAUCCUCGGGAAUAUCCAGAAUAACAAAGUCUGUUAAGAUAGUGACAUUCGCAACCACAAUUGGCACAUCCUCGCAAAUGCCGAUAGGGAAAGCAGUUGCUUUGUCGGCCAUUUGCAGAGAGAUUUCAGUGGGUGUCAACUUAUCCACUUCAAGCCUACGAUAAAGAGAGAGAGCCAUAACACUAACACCGGCUCCAAGAUCGCAUAAAGCAGUUCUAAUUGGACCAAUGGAGGAGUCAUUUACCAAGGAGUAAUUUGCCCAAAACAGCUUGGUGAAUGGUGCUUUGCACAAGGAGAUCAAAAAUCCCAGCAAGAAGAGCAAGAACACGGGUUUUAGCUGCGAAACAAUUUUUUCUGGAGGUAGGAGAAGCAGAUGGCAGAUGGAAUGAGUGGAGGGGGUAUACGUGGGCCCCACAAGCCUGGAUGGCGCGGCCAGGGGGUGCCCGCGCCUCCAACGCUUGUGGCCCACUGGUGCAGCCCCCUGAUUAGCUCUUCGUCUCAGUAUUUUUCAAAAAUUCCAGAAAAAAUCAUACUUGAUUUUCAGGACAUUCGGAGAACUUUUAUUUUCGGGGUACUUUUCUACGGGACGCUAAAAGCAAAAAACAGGGAAAACUAAACUAAAUCUAUCAUUUUUGUUCUGAGCUACCGAUGUUGAAAGUUUGGAACAGAGGUUUGUGACUCCUCGAUUCAUCCAUCUCAUGGUUAUCGAAAGAAAUCUAUCAAUGAGGUUGAUCAAGUCUCCUUGACAAACUUUUUUCGAAUCGCAAAAGAAGACGGAGAAUUUUCAAAUAGUCACUAAGUUACCUCAAUGGGGAUGUGGAUAUCCCCAACAAGAAAAUCAUACUUCAUCUUAACAGUAGGUAUAGGGCAUUCAAAGCUCCCAAUAAGAAUCGAUGAAGUUUUUUCGAUAGCAUUGAUGCAAUGUACUCGAUAUUGUUUCUUCGGAAAGUGCACAGUAUGCUCAUUACCGUUGACAUGGAAAGUGACAUUGCCUUUGUUGCAAUCUAUAACAGCCCCUGCAGUGUUUAGAAAGGGUCUUCCAAGGAUGACCGCCAUGGCAUCAUCCUCGGGAAUAUCCAGAAUAACAAAAUCUGUUAAUAUAGUGACAUUCGCAACCACAAUUGGCACAUCCUCGCAAAUGCCGAUAUCUGUCAUACUUAGCAUACAGAGACAUUUUGAGCAUAUCUGUCAAACACAUUUGCAAGAAGACAAGUCUAAUCAUUUCAACAAAUCGCUCAAAAUCCUCAUCAUCCUUUUUCUUUGAUGGUUUGGGAGGAAAGGGCAUGGGUUUCUGAACCCAUGGUUCCCUUUCUUUACCAUGCUUCCUAGCAACGAAGUCAUUCUUAUCGUAUCUUCUAUUCUUUGGCUGUGGGUUAUCAAGAUCAACAUGUUCAAUCUCCACAUCCUUAUCAUUGCUAGGUUGAGCAUUAUCAUGAACAUCACUAUUUAUAUUAUCAUUAGGCUCAUGUUCAUCACCAGAUUGCGUUUCAGCAUCAGAGACAGAGACAUCGUUUGGACUCUCAGGUGUAGCAGCAACAGGGUUGCUAGCGUGCAAAUCCCUAUCAUCUUUCUUCUUCUUAUUAGGAUGACUAGGUGCAUUAGUGCUAACUCCUUGAGAAUCUUGUUCAAUUCUCUUAGGAUGACCCUCAGGAUACAAAGGUUCCUGAGUCAUUCUACCGCCUCUAGUGACGACUCUAACAGAAUUGUCAUUCAACUAAUUGAGCAAGUCAUUCUGAGCCUUAAGUACUUGUUCUACUUGAGUAGUAACCAUAGAGGCAUGUUUACUCAGAAGCUUAAGAUCAUUGACAUUUCUGUCCACACAAGCACUUAAAUGACUAAGCAUACGAGCAUUCUGUUCCAAUUGUCUGCUAACAUAAUCGUUGAAACUUUGUUGUUUGGCAACAAAGUUAUCAAAUUCAUCCAAGCAUAAGCUAGCAGGUUUAUCAAAAGGAAUAUCACUCUCAUAGAAUCUACGUAGAGAAUUUACUUCUACUACCUGUAUCGGGUUAUCAAGACCAUGGAUCUCUUCGAUAGGUGGUAGAUUUUUGACAUCUUCAGAUUUAAUGCCUUUCUCUUUCAUAGAUUUCUUAGCUUCUUGCAUAUCUUCAGGAGUGAGGAAUAGAAUACCUCUUUUCUUCGGAGUUGGCUUCGGAGGUGGUUCGGGAAUAGUCCAAGCAUUCUCAUUGCACAAGAUAUUAUUCAAUAGGAUCUUAGCUUGUUCUACAGUUCGUUCCCUAAAAACACAACCAACACAACUAUCUAGGUGGUCUCUAUAAGCAUCGGUGAGUCCAUUAUAGAAGAUAUCAAGUAUUUCGUUCUUCUCAAGAGGGUGAUCAGGCAAAGCAUUCAGCAGUUGGACGAGCCUCCCCCAAGCUUGUGGGAGACUCUCUUCUUCAACUUGUGCAAAGUUGUAUAUUUCAUGCAAGGCAGCUUGCUUCUUAUGGGCAGGGAAAUAUUUUUCAGAGAAGUAGUAGACCAUAUCCUGGGGGCUACGCACACAACCAGGAGCAAGAGAAGUGAACUAGGUCUUACCAUCAUCCUUUAGCGAGAAAGGAAACAUCUUGAGGAUAUAGUAGUGGUGGAUCUUUUCCUCACUCGUGAAUAGGGUGGCUAUAUCGUGCAGUUUGGUAAGAUGGGCUACAACCGUUUCAGACUCAUAACUGUGAAAAGGAUCAUAUUCGACCUGAGUGAUUAACUCAGGGUCGACAGAGAAUUCAUAAUCCUUAUCGGUCACAAAGAUAGGCGAAGUAGCAAACUUCGGGUCGUAUUUCAUCCUAGCGUUCAGAGAUUUUUCUUUCCACUUGAGCAGUAAUUUCUCAACAUCAUAGCUAUCCUUACAAGCAAGAAAGUCCUCAGCUAUCUCUCCCUCCAUAACAUAACACUCAGGCAUACCAGGCAAUUCAUGUCUAGGAGAGCUAGUUCCAGCAGGCAAAAUAGCAGGUUCUACUUCAAUAGUAUCAGCAGUUUCAGAAGUAUCAUCACAUCUAGCAGCAACUCUAGCAAUUUGUGCAUCAAGGAAUGCACCUAGUGGCAAAGCAGUAUCAAGCAUAGCAUCAUCAUAAGCAUCAUGGGCAGCAGAAGUAGCAUCAUCAAGCACAGGCGACAUAUCAAUAUUUCUAGCAGGAGGUGGUGUCGCAAACUUACUCAUAACUGAAGGUGAAUCAAGUGCAGAGCUAGAUGGCAGUUCCUUACAUGUCCUCAUAGUUGAGGGCAAUACUUUAGUUCUUGGAUCUUUCAGAUUCCUCAUAGUGACCAGAAGACGUAAAUCCCAAGUGAGUCAGAGAAUAUAGGUAUGCCUCCCCUGCAACGGCGCCAGAAAAAGGCACAUUGACAGGAGAAUAUUCUUGACUUGGCUUCCCCGGCAAUGCCACCAAAAAAAGGUCUUGAUAACACACAAGUAUAGGGGAUCGCUACAGUUUUUCAGGGUAGAGUAUUCAACCCAAAUUUAUUGAUUCGACACAAGGGGACGCCAAAGAAUAUUUUCAAGUAUUAGAAGUUGAGUUGUCAAUUCAACCACACCUGAAAGAUUUAGUAUCUGCAGCAAAGUAUCAGUAGCAGAGUAGUAUGAUAGCAACAUUAGCAACAGUAACCAGUAGCAGCAAAGUGACAUCAGUAGCAGCAAAGUAACAGUAGAAGCAGCAGAGUAACAGUAGCAUUAGUGAGAUCAGUAGCAGCAAAGUAACGUAGCAAGGACCAGUAGGAAAAGACUCGUAGGCAUUGGAUCGGUGAUGGAUGAUUAUGCUGGAUGCUAUUCAUCAUGCAACACUUAUAACGCGGAGAGAUAUGUAACUAGCUCCAGUUCGUCAAUGUAAUGUAGGCAUGUAUUCCGUAUGUAGUCAUACGUGCUUAGGGAAAAGAACUUGCAUGACAUCUAUUGUCCAUCCCUCCCGUGGCAGCGGGGUCCUAAUGGAAACUACGGGAUAUUAAGGUUCUCCUUUUAAUAAAGAACCGGACCAACGCAUUAACACUUGGUGAAUACAUGAACUCCUCAUACUAUGGUCAUCUCCGGGAGUGGUUCCGGCUAUUGUCACUCCGGGGUUGCCGGGUCAUAACACAUAGUUGAUGACUACAACUUGCAAGAUAGGAUCAAGAACACACAUAUAUUGGCGACAACAUAAUAGGUUCAGAUCUGAAAUCAUGGCACUCGGGCCCUAGUGACAAGCAUUAAGCAUGGCAAAGUAGUAGCAAUAUCAAUCUCAAAACAUAGUGGAUACUAGGGAUCAAUCCCCGUCAAAACUAACUCGAUUACAUGAUAGAUCUCAUCCAACCCAUCACCGUCCAGCAAGCCUACAAUGAGAUUACUCACGAACGGUGAAGAGCAUCAUGGAAUUGGCGAUGAAGGAAGGUUGGUGAUGACGAUGGCGACGAUCUCCCCUCUCCGGAGCCCAGAACGAACUCGAGAUUUGCCCUCUAGAGGAAGAACAGGAGGUGGCGAUGCCUCCGUAUCGUAAAACACGAUGAACUCUUCUCCUUGAUUUUUUUUCUGGACGAAAGAAGCUAAGUAGAGCUGAGAUUGGAGGCGGUGGAGCAACGUGGGCCCGACAAGCCUGCCAGACGCGGCCAGGGGGGCGUGCCUGGUGGGCUUGUGGGCUCCACGCUCCACUUCCUCCAUUGAUUCUUGCGUCAGUAAUUUUUAUAUAUUCCACAAAAAUUUGCCGUAAAUUUCCAGGUCAUUCCGAGAACUUUUAUUUCUGCGCAAAAAUAACACCAUGGCAAUUCUGCUGAAAACAACGUUAGUCCGGGUUAGUUCCAUUCAAAUCAUGCAAAUUAGAGUCCAAAACAAGGGCAAAAGAGUUUGGAAAGUAGAUACGAUGGAGACGUAUCAAUGAUGCUACUUCUGCUAUCCAUGAUGUUUAUUAUGAUGCUUUGCUUGAUAAUGAUAUGCCACUGGGUGAAUUUCUUGAUGCAGAAAUUGCUAGAGUUAUUGCUGAAUCUGAUGAUACUUCUGAAACUGAUGAAAUUAUUGAAGUUGAACCUGCUGUGACACCUGUUAGACCUAGUUCUCCUAGAUAUGAAUUGCCUAAUAUACCUAAGGGUUAUGUUAUGGAGGGAGAGGUAGCUAAAGACUUUCUUUCUUGUAAGGAUAGCUACGAUCUUGAGAAUUUUUACGCAAGUGGAAAGAAAAAUCUCUGAAUGCUAGAAUGAAAUAUGAUCCUAAGUUUGCUACUUCACCCAUCUUUGUUACUGAUAAGGAUUAUGAAUUCUCUGUCGAUCCUGAGUUAAUCACUUUGGUUGAAUCUGAUUCUUUUCAUGGUUAUGAAUCUGAAACUGUUGUAGCACAUCUUACUAAACUGAAUGAUAUAGCCACCGUAUUCACUAAUGAGGAAAAAAUUCGCUAUUACUAUAUCCUUAAGUUGUUUCCUUUCUCACUAAAGGGUGAUGCUAAAACUUGGUUUACUUCUCUUUCUCCUGGUUGUGUGCGUAGUCCCUACGAUAUUAUAUACUACUUCUCUGAGAAAUAUUUUCCUACCCAUAAGAAACAAGCUGCCUUGCAGGAUAUAUAUAACUUUGUGCAAAUUGAAGAAGAGAGUCUCCCACAAGCUUGGGGGAGGUUUGUCCAGUUACUUAAUGGUUUACGUGAUCACCCUCUUAAGAAAAAUGAAAUACUUGAUAUCUUUUAUAAUGGACUAACAGAUGUUUCUAGGGACCACCUAGAUAGUUGUGUUGGUUAUGUUUUCAGGGAACAAACUGUGGAACAAGCUGAAAUUCUAUUGAAUAAUAUCUUGAGAAAUGAUAAUGCUUGGACUAUUCCCGAACCACCUACGAAGCCAACUCCAAAGAAAAGUGGUAUUCUAUUCCUCAGUCCUGAAGAUAUGCAAGAAGCCAAGAAAUCUAUGCAAGAGAAAGGUAUUAAAUCUGAAGAUGUUAAGAAUCUACCACCUAUUGAAGAAAUACAUGGUCUUGAUAACCCGACACAGGUAGUAGAGGUAAAUUCUCUUCGUAGAUUCAAUGAGAGUGAUAUUCCUUAUGAUAAACCUGCUAGCUUAUGCUUAGAUGAACUUGAUAACUUUGUUGCCAAACAACAAAGUUUUAAUGAUUAUGUUAGCACACAACUGAAACAAAAUGCUUGUAUGAUUAAUCAUAUAAGUGCUUGUGUCGAUAGAAAUGUUAAUGAUCUUAAGCUUAUGGGUAAACAUGCUUCUAUGGUCAAUACUCAAGUAGAACAAGUACUUAAGGCUUAAAAUGACUUGCUUAAUGAAUUGAAUGAUAAUUCUGUUGGAGUUGUUACUAGAGGUGGUAGAAUGACUCAGGAACCUUUGUAUCCCGAGGUCCAUCCUAAGAGAAUUGAACAAGAUUCUCAAGGAGUUAAUACUGAUGCACCUAGUCAUCCUGGUAAUAGGAAGAAAAAGAAAGAUGAUAGGAACUUGCAUGCUAGGAAACCUGUUGCUGUUACACAUGAGAAUCCAAAUGAUGUUUCUAUUUAUGAUGCCGAAACACAAUCUGGUGAUGAACAUGAGCCUAGUGAUAAUAUAGAUAAUGGUGUUCAUGUUGAUGCUCAACCUAGUAAUGAUAAUGAUGUGGAGAAUGAACCUGCUGUUGAUCUUGAUAACCCACAACCUAAGAACAAGAGAUAUGAUAAGAAUGAUUUUAUUGCUAGGAAGCAUGGUAAAGAAAGAGAACCAUGGGUUCAGAAACCCAUGCCCUUUCCUCCCAAACCAUUCAAGAAAAAGAUGAUGAGGAUUUUGAGCGCUUUGUUGAAAUGAUUAGACCUAUCUUUUUGCAAAUGUGUUUGAUUGAUAUGCUUAAAAUGUCUCCUUAUGCUAAGUACAUGAAAGAUAUUGUGACUAAUAAAAGAAAGAUACCUGAUGUUGAGAUUUCCACCAUGCUUGCUAAUUACACUUUUAAGGGUGGGACUCCGAAGAAACUAGGUGAUCCCGGGGUGCCCACUAUACCUUGCUCCAUUAAAGGAAAUUAUGUUAGAACUGCUUUAUGUGAUCUUGGAGCCGGUGUUACUGUUAUGCCUCUCUCUUUAUAUCGUAGACUUGAAUUGGAUAAGUUGACACCUACUGAAAUUUCUUUGCAAAUGGCCGACAAAUCAACUGCUUUACCUAUCGGCAUUUGCGAGGAUGUGCCUGUUGUGGUUGCGAACGUUACUAUCUUAACGGACUUUGUUAUUCUUGAUAUUCCCGAGGAUGAUGCCAUGGCGGUCAUCCUUGGAAGACCCUUUUUAAACAUUGCACGGGCUGUUAUUGAUUGCAACAAAGGAAAUUUCACUUUCCAUGUUAAUGGUAAUGAGCACACGGUGCACUUUCGGAAGAAACAAUAUCGAGUUCAUUGCAUUAAUGCUAUUGAAAAAUCUUCAUCUUAUUAUUGGAAGCUUUGAAUUCCCUAUACCUGCUGUCAAGAUGAAAUAUGAUAUACUUGUUAUUGGGGAUAUGCACACCCCCGUUGAGGUAACCUAGUGAUUAUUCGAAAAUUCUCCGGUUUUAUGUGAUUCAAAAAAAGUUUGUCAAGGAAACUUGAUCAACCUCAUUGACGGAUUUCUUUUGAUGACCAUGAGAUGGAUGAAUCUAGAAGUCACAACCUUCUGUUCCCAACUUUUACUUUCUGUUAUUUCGUAGAAAAAUAAUAAAUAUAGCAUUAUUUUCUUGUUUUCUGCAUUAUCCGUUCAAUAAAAAUGACCUGAAAAUAAAAGUUCUCCAAAUACCGUGAAAUUCAAGUAUGAUUUUUUCUGGAAUAUUUAAGAAUUUUUGAGAUAGAUAACUAGUCAGGGGGAUGCACCAAUGGGCCACGAGCCCAUGAGGCGCGCCCACCCCCUGGGCGCGCCUGGCAGGCUCGUGGGUCCCACAUGGCCCCCUCCACUUAUUCCAUCACCCAUCUUCUUCGUCUACCUCCAGAAAAAAUCAUUCCACAGCUCAAACCCGUGUUCUUUCUCAUUUUGCUGCAUUUUUCGAUCUCCUUGUGCAAAGCCCCAAUCACCAAACUGUUUUGGGGAAUUGUUCCUUCGUAUGUGACCCCUCCAUUGGUCCAAUUAGUUUUUAUUCUGGUGCUUUAUUCAUUGCAUAUUAUUGUUGCCUUGGUGACCCUGUUCUUGAGCUUUACAUGUUAAUUUUAGUUGCUCCCAAGUAGUUUUGAUGCAUGAUAUGGCCUCUAGGCACUUGUAGGAGUAGUUGCUAUGAGUUUUGUUAGACUUUGUUCACUUUUAUUUUGAGUCACUAAAAAUUUCAGAAUUAGUUCAUAAAAAGGAAUAUGUCUAGGAAGAACUAUCAUGGUGGUUUCUCAAGCAAAAGGGGUCCCUGUCUCGCGAUUCGGGAGCCCGAUCCUUAUCAGCCGAGGAACGCACCGGUGCAACCAUGUGAAUGGCCUUCAGAUGAACUCAUGAUUGAUGCAGGUUUCAAGGACGAGUUUGAUACAUUUGUUCGCAACGCCGGGCUCGAAGAAUUCAUCUCCAAUAAAUGUGAACAGUAUACUACAAUCAAUGCCUCUUUUGUUCGUAGAUUCAAAUUUUCAGUUGGCCGACACAUCCAUACUGUUUGAUCUUUAUGACAAAUCGUAUACUAUGGAUUUAGAGGAUUUUAAUAGAUUAUGCAAGAUACCUGAUUGGGGUAGUCCCAAUGACCCUCCUAAGUCUUCAGUUAGAGAUUUUAUUUCUAGUAUAACUGUUGGAGAAACUAGAGAUAUUCCGCAGGCUACCAUGGGGAGCAUUCAUUUUCCCACCUUACAUUAUUUUGCCCUCUUCAUAGGUAGAUGCAUUAACGGCAAGCAUGACCAUAGUCACCUCUGCGCACCUGACCUUCGUAUUCUAAAGAGCACAGUAACGGGUGAUAGAAGUUUCAACAUGGGAGCUAUAAUUGCUAGGAGCUAAAUAAUAAUGCUAAUGAAGGGGAUUUCUUCGGUGGGAUAUAUGCCACUUGCAUAGCAAAUUCUCUUGGAAUAGCCAUCCGCACACGAGAUCCCCCGCUCCACACAACUUUCCUUGAUCGCGCUGCGAUGAUACGUUAUCAGUUCCUUGAGAGGGAUAAUGAAUCCCUCCUGCCUUCCUUGACUUUCAGGGAAAACAUAGAUAUUACAUAACCAUAGGAGAGGCAAAGGAGUAUGAGAGGGAGGUGAAGGCUGCUCUCCUCCAUGAGGCAGCUAUUCAGGCGGUAGCUGCCGCGUCCCAGUACAACCCCCAUUAUGAUUUUGGAUAUCGCCCGGACCAACCGUGGAACUAGACCAACUUAGGCCAAAAGCCUAAGCUUGGAGGAGCAUGUGUCUCUCACCGACUUUAUAUUCAUGCUCACACAUUCACUUUGAUAGUCAGUGUUCACACUCUUCCAUUGUAUCAUUCAUGCUAGUUUAUUUAUUUUUCUUGCAUUCUUCUAGUGUGUUUGUUUAAAAAUGGGAAAAACAAAAAAAUAGUUGUAAGUUUACUUUCCAGCAUGCUUAGUGGUAAUUAAAAAGAAAACCCAAAACGAUUUCCCGUUCUUCUUUUGCUUGUUGGGAGCUUUCCCGUGUAAAUAGUUUUCUUUUUCUUUGGGUCGAGGUAGAAGACCAUGAUUAAAAUGAUUAGUGGCUCUCGUAUGCGUUAUUGUUUAUCCGUCAAAGAGCCAUAUUACUUUGUCUUCUCCUCUGAAUUUGCUUGCAGAUUCCAGCUUAGUCUAAUGCAUGAACACUCUUAUUAUUAUUCACAUCAUUCGGUCAUGCAAGUGAAAGGCAAUAAUGAUGAUAUAUGAUGUAGUGACUGAGCCUGGAAAAGCUGGUAUGAACUCGACCUUUUUUUGUAAAUAUGACUAGCUCAUCGUUCCUAAUUCAGCAUUGUUAUGAGAGAAACAUGUUUGCAAUGAUAACUUAGAGAUCAUAGUUUCUGAUGCCAUGCUUAAUUAGCUAGGAGCUUAUAAUGGUUUGUCUUGGAUGCCAACAUGAAUUUCAAGAUGAUUAUGAUGUAGUAUGAUAGGAUGGUAUCCUCCUUUGAAUGAUUCAAGUGGCUUGACUUGGCACAUGUUCACGCAUGUAGUUGAAACAAAAUCAACAUAGCCUCUACGAUAUUCAUGUUUAUGGUGAUUUAUAUCCUACUCAUGCUUGCACUCAACAUUGGUUAAUUUCAAUGCAUAUUGAUGAUUGUUGUCGCUCUCAGUUGGUCACUUCCCAGUCUUUUGCUAGCCUUCACUUGUACUAAGCGGGAAUACUGCUUGUGCAUCCACUUCCAUAAACCCAAAGUUGUUCCAUAUGAGUCCACCAUACCUACAUAUAUGCGGUAUCUACCUGUCGUUCCAAGUAAAUUUGCAUGUGCCACUCUCUAAAUCUUCAAAUAAUAAUCUGUUUUGUAUGCCCGAACCGCUCAUGUGGUGACAAGGGGCGGUCAGUAUCUUCCAUGCUAGGUGUCUUAUCCUCGAUACGUGUUUAUUCACUAUCACUCACGAGAAAGGGGUCGGUAAUCGGAAUGCCCAGUUCCAUGCUCAAAUCAAAUAAAAAAUAUAAUUGCAAACAAAACUCCCCCUGGAUUGUUGUUGGUAUGGACGGCAUCCGAGGAUUCGGCUAGUCGUGGAGUGUGAUUGAUCGGUGGUGGGGGAGUCAAACUUUAAUAUUCUGUUUGGGAACCGCCUAUAAUAUGUGUAGCAUUGAAGAUGGUGAAAACUCUUGGUCAUCGCGUUGACAAUGAAAGCAUGCCACCCAAAAUUAGUUAUCUCUGUUUGAAAAAGCUUGAGCUCUGGCACCUCUGCAAAUCAAUUCUUCCCUUUGCGAAGGGCCUAACUAUUUACGUUUAUGUUGAGUCAUCCUCUUCUUAUUAAAAAGCACCAGUUAGAGGGCACCUCCUUCAUUUAUAUGCUUUGCUAUUAAUUGAUAUUGAGUAUGACUGUGACUGGAUCUUCUUUGCCAUGAAUUACAAUUUCCAGUCGGCCUUUGGUCUUUGAAGGUGCUGUGCAUUUAUGUUUUGUGGUCUCAGAAAGGGCUAGCGAGAUACCAUUUAUUCAUAUUGUAUCAUGAUUAUUUUGAUUGCAGUGUUGAUGUUUGAAACUUAUUAUUAUUGCUCGCUAGUUAAUUACGACAUUGAUAUGAGUAUACCAUGACACCUAAAUGUCAUUGCUUAUGUGGUUAGCUUAUGAUCUUGCUGAAAAUCUGAAUAUGAGUUAGACAUAAUUACAACAACAAGAUCAAACAGAGUUCGUAAAAGUUUUUCUUUUGUCUCUUUCAGUUUAUCAACUGAAUUGCUUGAGGAAAAGCAAGGCUUUAAGCUUGGGGGAGUUGAUACGUCUUUAAUGUAUCUACUUUUCCAAACUCUUUUGCCCUUGUCUUGGACUCUAAUUUGCAUGAUUUGAAUGAAACUAACUCGGACUGACGCUGUUUUCAGCAGAACUAUCAUGGUGUUGUUUUUGUGCAGAAAUAAAAGUUCUCGAAAUGACCUGGAAACUUACGAGGAUUUUUUAUGGAAUAUAUAUAAAAUAUCAGAGAAAGAAUCAACUGAAGAUACGCUGCCAAUGGGCCACGUGCCCUACAGGUGCCCCCCUAGGGCGCGCCUAGCAGGCUCGUGGGGCCCAUGUAGCUCCCCCGACUUCAUCUCCAACUCCAUAUAACCUCUCUCGCCCAGAAAAAAUAGGAGAGAAGAGUUCAUCACGUUUCAUGAUACGGAGCUGCCGCCAUCGCCUGUUCUUCCUCGGGAGGGCAGCUCUGGAGUCCGUUCUAGGCUCCGGAGAGGGGAAAUCGACGCCGUCGUCAUCAUCAACCAUCCUCCAUCGUCAAUUCCAUGAUGCUCUCCAUCGUUCGUAAGUAAUCUUAUCGUAGGCUUGCUGGAGGGUGAUGGGUUGGAUGAGAUCUAUCAUCUAAUCGAGUUAGUUUUGAUGGGGUUUGAUCCCUAGUAUCCACUAUGUUCUAAGAUUGAUGUUGCUACUACUUUGCUAUGCUUAAUGCUUGUCGCUAGGGCCCGAGUGCCAUGAUUUCAGAUAUGAACCUAUUAUGUUUUCAUCAAAAUAUGUGUGUUCUUGAUCCUAUCUUGCAAGUUGUAGUCACCUACUAUGUGUUAUGACCAGGCAACCCCAGAGUGACAAUAGCCGGAACCACUCCCGGAGAUGACCACAGUAUAAGGAUCCCAUGUAUUCACUAUGUGCUAAUGCUUUGUUCCGGUUCUCUAUUAAAAGGAGACCUUAAUAUCCCUUACUUUCCAUUAGGACCCCGCUGCCACGGGAGGGUAGGACAAAAGAUGUCAUGCAUGUUCUUUUCCAUAAGCAUGUAUGACUAAAUAUGGAAUACACGCCUACAUUACAUUGACGAACUGGAGCGAGUUACAUAUCACCCUAUGUUAUAACUGUUACAUGAUGAAUGCCAUCCGUCAUAAUUAUCCAUCACCGAUCCAAUGCCUACGAGCUUUUCCUAUACUGGUCCUUGCUAAGUUACUUUACCGCUACUGCUGUCACACUUGCUAUACAAAUUACUACUGCUACUGUUACCGCCGCUACCGUUACUAUCAUACUACUUUGCUACUAAAACUUUGAUGCAGAUACUAAGUCUUUCAGGUGUGGUUGAAUUGACAACUCAACUGCUAAUACUCAAGAGUAUUCUUUCGCUCCCCUUGUGUCGAAUCAAUAAAUUUGGGUUGAAUACUCUACCCUCGAAAACUGUUGCGAUCCCCUAUACUUGUGGGUUAUCAGCUGCAUACGACGUGGGCGACAGUCAGGGCGGCGCCCCUGCCAUGCGGUGGCUGGAGUCUCCAUGGUCGGCGGUGUGGCGGCUGCAUGCACAUAGAUGGCUUUUUUGACCGUGGAUCUGGCGUCCUGUCCAGAUCCGUCUCGGUUUGGCCUUGGCCGACCGGUGGCGGGAGGGAGGACCGGUGAGGGGCGGGAGGAUCCCUGCCGGCAUGCCGACGGUGGCCCUCGACUCCGUGGCGAGUCUCCGUUCGGUUCCACAUAGCUGCGAGUUCGGGGUAACAUGACUUCCGAUAAAAAUCGCGCCGACUUCGGUCUUGGCGGACGAUCGCAACGUCUAGGACGUCGUUCUCUUCUCGAGGAGUCGUUGUUGCAAGUCGUGGCACCACACUCGGAUGAUGCUUCGGGGGAAAUCCUAGAUCUGGAUUUACUGUAUCAGACGAUGGUGGCACCUUCGAUGCCGUUGACCCUCCCGGGAGCAUCAUUUUGGAGCAAAUUCUGGUUGUACAUGACAAGCGAAGGAGCGGUGUCGCAUUCAUCGCGAGGCCGACGGCGGAUCCCGGUGGCAUGGCGAUGCGGAGGUUCGGUGACAGGAGCAUGUGGACGAAUACGUGCAGGAUGGUGGAGUUGUUUGGUGUCAUGGUGGCACUGACGACGGGCCACGCAAGGUCGAUGCGUCAGUUCCUGCUCUAGGGAUGGACCGACGGAAGAUGGAGGUGGCAGCCUCUGAGAGUGCGUAGGACUGGAUGGACCCAGUCCUGAUGUGUGGCUGGGCUGGGGCAUCCGGCUAUAGAUGUUAGGUUUUGGUGCGAUAUCUAUUUGGUAUUUGGCCCGGAUAUUCAGCACACCUUCAUCAAGGGAAUAUGAGUAGCAACAAGUGUUUUCUAGAUGGUGGUGAUACGUCUCCAACGUAUCUAUAUUUUUUGAUGGUUCCAUGCUAUUAUCUUGUCAAACUUUGGAUGUUUUGUAUGCCUUUUAUAUCUUUUUUGGGACUAACUUAUUAACUCAGUGCCAAGUGCCAGUUCCUGCUUUUUUCCGUGUUUUUGACCUUAUCAGAGGACAAUAUUAAACGGAGUCCAAAUGGAAUAAAACCACUGAAAAGAUUUUUUUCCGGAACAGAAGUUACGUAGUGAGCUUGAGAACCAAGGCAGAGGGCGCGAUGGGAGGCCACCAGCCCCCUAGCCGCGGCCUGGGGGGCGCGCCUAGCAGGCUUGUGGCCCCCCUGUGGCUCCUCUACCCUACUUCUUCCGCCUAUAAAUCCCCGAAAAAUCCAAAACCACGGGAGAGAUCCACGAAAAUACUUUUCCGCCGCCGCAAGCUUCUGUCUCCGCAAGAUCCCAUCUAGGGCACGUUCUGGUGCCCUGUCGGAGGGGGGGAUUCGGAUAUGGAGGGCUUCUUCAUCAACACCAUUGCCUCUCUGAUGAUGCGUGAGUAGUUCACCAUAGACCUUCGGGUCCAUAGCUAGUAGCUAGAUGGCUUCUUCUCUCUCUUGGAUCUUCAAUACAAAGUUCUCCAUCAUCUUCAUGGAGAUCUAUGCGAUGUAAUCUUCUUUUGCGGUGUGUUUCUCGAGAUCCGAUGAAUUGUGGAUUUAUGAUCAGAUUAUCUAUGAAUCUUAUUUGAGUUUCUUCUGAUCUCUUAUAUGCAUGAUUUCAUAUCCUUGUAAUUUUCUUCGAGUUGUGGGUUUUGUUUGGCCAACUUGAUCUAUGAUUCUUGCAAUGGCAGAAGUGCUUGGUUUUGGGUUCAUACCGUGCGGUGACCUCACCCAGUGACAGAAGGGGUAGCGAGGCACACGUCAUGUUAUUGCCAUCAAGGGUAAAAAGAUGGGGUUUAUAUCUAUUGCAUGAAUUUAUCCCUCUACAUCAUGUCAUCUUGCUUAAGGCGUUACUCUGUUUGUCAUGAACUCAAUACACUAGAUGCAUGUUGGAUAGCGGUCGAUGUAUGGAGUAAUAGUAGUAGAUGCAGAAAGUAUCGUCUACUUGUCUCAGACGUGAUGCCUAUAUGUAUGAUCAUUGCCUUAGAUAUCGUCAUGACUUUGUGUGGUUCUAUCAAUUGCUCGACAGUAAUUCGUUCACCCACCGUAAUAUUUGCUAACUUGAGAGAAGCCUCUAGUGAACACUAUGGCCCCCGGGUCUACUUCACAUCAUAUUUUCAGCCCUACACUUUUACUUUGUUGCACUUUCCGCCUUCAGAUCUCACCUUGCAAUCAAUCGUGAAUGGAUUGACAACCUCUUUGUAACGUUGGGUGCAAGUUUGUUGUUUUUGCGCAGGUACAUUGGUGCCUCAUCUUGAUACUCCUACUGGAUUGAUACCUUGGUUCUCAAACUGAGGGAAAUACUUACUGCUACUGUUCUGCAUCACCCUUUCCUCUUCAAGGGAAAAAAACAACGCAAGCUCAAGAGGUAAUAAGAAGAAUUUCCCGCGUCGUUGCCGGGGAGGAGGAUCAAGUCAAGAAUAGUCUCCCGUCAACGUGCCAAUUUCUGGCGCCGUUGCCGGGGAGCAUCAAGUGAAGCUUAUCCAAGUAACCGUCCCAAACCCAUCUCUUGCAUUUACUUUUUUGCCUCUCGUUUUCCUCUCCCCCACUUUUGAAAAACAAAAUUUACAAAAAUAUUUGCCUUUCCUUUGCCUAUGUGCUAUGUGCCUUCAAUAUGCUUGCAUCGUCGCUUGCUGAAAAUCUAGUGAUAUGGAUCCUCGCCCACAUGCUAAUCUCUUUAAGAGAUCCAAUUAUGUUGAACCAUUUGCUAGUGAGUUGAGUGCACUUGACUUUCUCUAUGGAGUUUUGCUUGAGAUGCGUGAAUCUGAAAAUCAUGAUGAAGAAAUUUAUGAAGUGAUUCACGAGGGCUCCUUGAAUGAAAAGCAUGAUUGCAAUGAUUUCAUUAUAAAUUCUAUUAAUGACAAUCAUGCUAAAAAUAUGCAAAACCCCAAGCUUGGGGAUGCUGGUUUUGCUAUGCCCACUACUUGUUGCAAUGAUCAUGAUUGGGGUAAUCAUUUUUCUUAUGAUCUUGAAAAUUUGUUUAAGCCUCAUGAUGAAUAUGAUACUUCCAAUGAUAUUGAAAGUGGGUUUGGAGAAGUCAUGACUUUAGUUGAUGAUAAUCCCACUAUUUUUGAAGAGCGUCAACUUUGCAUGCAUGUGGAUCAUGAAAAGAAUAUCCUAUGUGAUAGCUAUAUUGUUGAAUUUGAUUAUGAUCCCACAUGCAAUUGUUAUGAGAGAGGAAAAUAUUGUGGUAGAAACUUUCAUAUCACUAAAUUACCUCUCGUUAUGUUGAGAUUGAUGUUGUCUCUUUCUUCUUCCUUGCAUAUGGUAACUAUUGGUUGUCUUGACAAUCUGUUUUCCUAUAAAAUGCCUAUGCAUAGGAAGUAUGUUAGACUUAGAUGUGAUUUUCACAUGCUUUAUGAUGCUCUCGUUGUGCUUCAAUUCUUGUCUUUCGUGUGAGCAUCAUUGAAUUAUCAAUGCCUAGCUAAGGGUGUUAAACAAUAGCGCUUGUUGGGAGGCAACCCAAUGAAUUUAUCUUUGCUUUUUUGCUUUAUGUUUUGUUGUGUCCACACCAUCAUAAUUCUGUUAUGAUUGUGUUUUUUGUGUUUCUUUUUGUGUUUGAGCCAAGUAAAACAUUUAUGACUAGUUUUGGUGAUGGUUGAUUGAUCAUGCUGGAAAAAGACAGAAACUUUUCGCUCACGAAAUUAUUUUUCAUUUUUAUCUAGAAAGAGAUUUUGUGUUGAUUAUUUUUUAUGAUGGUUUAUAUGCCAAUUGCCCAAACUUUCAUAAUUUUUCAGUAUUUGUGAGAUAACAGAAGUAUACGAAGUAUACAGAUUGCUACAGACCGGUCUGUUUUUAACAGAUUCUGUUUUGUUGUGUUAAUUGCUUAUUUUGAUGAAACUAUGGAUAGUAUCGGGGGUACUAGCCAUGGAAACGUGAGAAUGCAGUAAUCUAGCACCAAUAUAAAUACAAAUCAAGUUUGCUACAGUACCUCAAGAGGUGGUAGUUUGUUUUCUUGUGCUAAUGAUAUCACGAGUUUCUGUUUAAGUUUUGUGUUGUGAAGUUUUCAAGUUUUGGGUGAUGUUCUCAUGGACAAAGGGAUAAAGAGUGGAAAGAGCUCAAGCUUGGGGAUGCCCAAGGCAUCCCAAGCCAAAUUCAAGGACACCAAACAUCCUAAGCUUGGGGAUGCCCCGUGAAGGCAUCCCCUCUUUCGUCUUCAAUCCAUCGGUAACAUUACUUGGAGCUAUAUUUUUAUUCUCAAAAUGAUAUGUGUUUUACUUGGAGCAUCGUGUAUUAUAGGAGUCUUUUAUUUUUGUUGUGUCACAAUCAUCCUUGCUGCACAACUUUUGAGAGAGACAUGCACUCAUCGUGAAUUUGCUAGAAUACUCAUUGAGCUUCGCUUAUAUCUUUUGAGUUAGGCAAUUUAGCUCACAUGUGCUUCACUUAUAUCUUUUGAGCUAGAUAACUUUGCUCUAAGUGCUUCACUUAGAUCUUUUAGAGCAGGGCGGUGUCACAUUUUGGAGAAAUAAGAACUGUCGAUCUUCACUUAUAUCUUUUUGAGAGUGCUCUCUCUCAGUAACUUGGUAGUUGGCUUGUGCUAUGAAAGUAGUCCCAAAGAUCAUAGGCAUCCAAAGAGGAUAGAAUAAAACUUCCAUAUUCAUGUGCAUUGAUUAGAAAGAGAGGUUUGAUUCCUCUCAAUUAGUUUUGAGACAUGGAUUUGGUAAUAUUAAGAGUUAUGUUAGUAGGGUGUUGUAAAUCUAGAAAUACUUGUGUUGAAGUUAGUGAUUCCCAUAACAUGCACGUAUGAUGAACCGCUAUGUUAGGAAGUCGGAGCAUAAUUGAUUUAUUGAUUCUCAUCCUUUGUGUUGCGGUCGGGAUCGCGUGAUGGUUAACACCUACCAACCCUUUCCCUGGGAGUAUGCGUUUAGCACUUUGUUUUGAUUACUAAUAAAAACUUUCGCAAUAAGUAUGUAGGUUCUUCAUGACUAAUGUGAGUGCAUGGUAUAGAUGCACUUUCACUUUCCACCAUUGCUAGUCUCUCUAGUGCCGCGCAACUUUCGCCGGUGCACAAACACACCAUAUACCUUCCUCAAAACAGCCACCAUACCUACCUAUUAUGGAAUUUUCAUAGCCAUUCCGAGAUAUAUUGCCAUGCAACUCCCACCGUUCCGUCUCAUGGCAUGUUUUUCCAUGAGAGUCCACCAUACCAACCUAUUUGCGGUAUCUACCUGCCGUUCCAAGUAAAUUUGCAUGUGCCAUUCUCUAAACCUUCAAGAAAUAAAUUUGUUUUGCAUGCCCGAAUCGCUCAUGUGGUGACAGAGGGCUAUUGGUAUCUUCCAUGCUAGGAGUGUUAUCCUCGACAUGUGUUUAUUCUCAGUCAUUCACGAGAAAGGGGCCGGUAUUUGGGAUGCCCACUUCCAUGCUUAAAUCAAAAACAUAACUGUAAAACAAGACUCCCCCCAGAUUGAUUUUAGUAUGGACGGUACCCGAGGAUUCGGCUAGCCGUGGAGUGUGAUUGAUUGGUGGUGGGGGAGUUAAAAGUUUACUUUUCUGUUUGGGAACCGCCUAUAGCAUGAGUAGCAUGGAAGAUAUUGAGAACUCUUGGUCAUUCCGUUGACAAUGAAAGCAUGCCACCCAAAAUUAUUAUCUCUGUUUUCAAAGCUUGAGCUCUGGCACCUCUACAAAUCAAUGCUUCCCUCUGCGAAGGGCCUGUCUAUUUAUUUUCCUGUCGAGUCAUCCUCCUCUUUUAUAAGCACCAAUUAGAGAGCACCUCUCUCAUUUUUAUGCUUUGCUUUUGAUUGAUAUUGAAUAUGACUAUGACUGGAUCUUCGUUGCUAUUAAUUACAAUGUUUUGUCAGCCCUUGAUCUUUGAAAGUGCUCUGCAUUUAUGUUUUGCGGUCUCAGAAAGAGCUAGCGAGAUACCACCUAUUCAUAUUGCUUCAUGCUUGUUUUGAUUGAAGUGUUGGUAUUUGAAAAUCAUUAUUAUUUGCUCGUUAGCUGAUUAUGCCAUUGAUAUUAGUUUACCGUGAGACCUUUGUGUCAUUUGCUUAUGUGGUUAACUUGUGAUCUUGCUGAAAUUAUGGUUAUGACUUAGACAUAGUUGCAACAACAAGAUCAAACAGAGUUUGUCAAAGUUUUUCUUUCUCUCUCAGUUUGUCAACUGAGUUGCUUGAGGACAAGCAAGGUUUUAAGCUUGGGGGAGUUGAUACGUCUCCAACGUAUCUACUUUUCCAAACUCUUUUGCCCUUGUUUUGGACUAUAAUUUGCAUGGUUUGAAUGGAACUAACCUGGACUGACGCUAUUUUUAGCGGAAUUGCCUUGGUGUUAUUUUUGUGCAGAAAUCAAAGUUCUCCAAACGUCCUGAAAAUUUACAGGGAGCAGUUUUGGAAACUAUCAAAAAUAUCUGCGCCAAGUUCCACCUCCGGGGGUGGGCCAGUGGGCCACAAGCCCCUGCUCCGCCACCACCCCACUGGUGGCGGUGGGCGGGCUUGUGGGGCCCACAGGCACCCGCCGCCCCCAAAUCCAGCUCUAUAAGUUGCCUUUCAUCCCAGAAAAAAUAAAAAGAGAAGUUUUCGUCGCGUUUUCGAUACGGAGGCGUCGCCACCUCCUGUUCUUCAUCUCGAGGGCAGAUCUGGAGUCCGUUUUGGGCUCCGGAGAGGGGAAAUCGUCGCCAUCGUCAUCAUCAACCUUCUUCCCUCUCCAAUUCCAUGAAGCUCUUCGUCGUUCGUGGGUAAUCUAUUCGUAGGCUCGCUGGGCGGUGAUGAGUAGGAUGAGAUCUGUCAAGUAAUCGAGUUAGUUUUGAUGGGGAUUGAUCCCUAGUAUCCACUAUGUUCUGAGAUUUGAUGUUGCUACUACUUUGCCAUGCUUAAUGCUUGUCACUAGGGCCCGAGUGCCAUGAUUUCAGAUCUGAAAUUAUUAUGUUUUCACCAAUAUAUGUGUGUUUUAGAUCCGAUCUUGCAAGUUGUAGUUACCUACUAUGUGUUAUGAUCCGGCAACCCCGGAGUGACAAUAACCGGAACCACUCCCGGUGAUGACCAUAGUUUGAGGAGUUCAUGUGUUCACCAAGUGCUAAUGCGUUGGUUCGGUUCUUUAUUAAAAGGAGAACCUUAAUAUCCCGUAGUUUCCUUUUGGACCCCGCUGCCAUGGGAGCGAUGGACAAUAGAUGUCAUGCAAGUUCUUUUCCCUAAGCACGUAUGACGACACACGGAAUGCAUGCCUACAUCACAUUGACGAACGGGAGCUAGCCACAUAUCUCUCCGUGUUAUAGCUGUUGCAUGAUGAAUAUCACCCAAACAAAUCACCGACCAUUGCCUACGAGUUUGUCCUGCUACUGUUGUUACUUGUCUUGCUCUGUUGCUACUACUGUUGCUACUCCUGUUACUUGUCUUGCUCUGCUGCUGCCACUGCUGUUGCUACUGCUGUUACUUGUCUUGCUCUGCUGCUGCUACUACUGUUGCUACUGUUGUCACUUGUUUUGCUCUGCUGCUGCUCUACUACUGUUGCUACUACUGUCGCUUGCUACUGUUGCUACUUGCUACUGCUGUCACUACUGUUGUUCCUUGCCACUGCUAUUGCUCGUUACACUGCUACUACCUGCUACACUGUUGAUUCGCUAGACGUUGACGGGAAUUGACAACUUCCGUCGACGCGCAACGAAGGCGCCAUUGACAAUUGUUAGGAAUAGUCUGCCGUCAACAGAUCGUUUCUCACAUCAUUGUUAUCAUACUACUUUGUUGUUACUACUGUGCUUGCAGAUACUAAUCUUUCAGGUGUGGUUGAAUCCAACAAAUUCAGCUGCUAAUACUCGAGAGUAUUCUCUCACCUCCUUCAGGCGAUCUACAAAUUUGGGUCGAAUACUCUACCCUCGAAAACUGCUGCGAACCCACGCGCUGGUGGGGCGUCAACAACAUUCUUCUAGUUUCAUUACCGGGGAGUGCUAUCAGCAUUCUUCUGGUGCCGUUGCAGGAGAAGGUUUGUUGUCAUAAGCAUUCGUCUAGCUAACGUGAGAGAUUGCGCGAUCACUCCUCUGCCCUACUUCUUCCGCCUAUAAAUCCCCUAAAAAAUCCAAAACCAUGGGAGAGAUCCACGAAAAUACUUUUGCGCCGCCGCAAGCUUCUGUCUCCGCAAGAUCCCAUCUGGGGCAUGUUCUGGUGCCCUGACGGAGGGGGGAUUCGGAUACGGAGGGCUUCUUCAUCAAAACCAUUGCCUCUCCGAUGAUGCGUGAUUAGUUCACCAUAGACCUUCGGGUCCAUAGCUAGUAGCUAGAUGGCUUCUUCUCUCUCUUGGAUAUUCAAUACAAAGUUCUCCAUGAUCUUCAUGGAGAUCUAUCCGAUGUAAUCUUCUUUCGCGGUGUGUUUGCCGAGAUCCGAUGAACUGUGGAUUUAUGAUGAGAUUAUCUAUAAAUCUUAUUUGAGUUUCUUCUGAUCUGUUAUAUGCAUGAUUUCAUAUCCUUGUAAUUCUCUUCGAGUUGUGGGUUUUGUUUGGUGAUACGUCUCCGUUGUAUCUACUUUUCCGAACUCUUUUGCCCUUGUUUUGGACUCUAAUUUGCAUGAUUUGAAUGGAACUAACCCGGACUAACGCUGUUUUUAGCAGAAUUGCCAUGGUGUUGUUUUUGUGCAGAAAUAAAAGUUCUCAGAAUGUCCUAAAAAUUUACGGAGAAUUUUUCCAGAAUUAAUGAAAUAUACGUGCGCAAAGAUCCACCGGAGGAGGUGGGCCAGUGGGCCACAAGCCCCUAGGCCGCGGCCACCCCCCCUGGCCGCGACGUGAGGGCUUGUGGGGCCCACAUGGCAGCACCGCCUCCAAACUCAGCUCUAUUUAUUCUGUCUCACUCGGAAAAAAAUCAGAGAGAAGGAUUCAUCGCGUUUUAUGAUAUGGAGGCGCCGCCACCUCCUGUUCUUCAUCUGGAGGGCAGAUCUAGAGUCCGUUCUGGACUCCGGAGAGGGGAAAUCAUCGCCAUCGUCAUCAUCAACCUUCCUCCAUCGACAAUUCCAUGAUGCUCUUCACCGUUCGUGAGUAAUCUCAUCGUAGGCUUGCUGGAUGGUGAUGAGUUGGAUGAGAUCUAUCAUGUAAUCGAGUUAGUUCUGAGAUUAAUGUUUCGAGUUAAUGCUUGUCACUAGGGCCCGAGUGCCAUGAUUUCAGAUCUGAACCUAUUAUGUUGUCGCCAAUAUAUGUAUGUUUUAGAUCCUAUCUUGCAAGUUGUAGUCACCUACUAUGUGUUAUGACCCGGCAACCCCGGAGUGACAAUAGUCGGAACCACUCCGGAGAUGACCAUAGUAUGAGGAGUUCAUGUAUUCACCAAGUGUUAAUGCGUUGGUCCAGUUCUUUAUUAAAAGGAGAAUCUUAAUAUUCCGUAGUUUCCAUUAGGACCCCGCUGCCACGGGAGGGAUGGACAAUAGAUGUCAUGCAAGUUCUUUUCCCUAAGCACGUAUGACUACAUACGGAAUACAUGCCUACAUUAGAUUGACGAACGGGAGCUAGUUACUUAUCUCUCCAUGUUAUAACUGUUACAUGAUGAAUCACAUCCGUCAUACUCAUCCAUCACCGAUCCACUGCCUACGAGUCUUUUACUACUGGUCCUUUCUACAUUACUUUGUCGCUACUAUUGUUGCUACUUCUGUUACUCUGCUGUUACUACUGCUGUUGCUGCUGCUGCUGCUGUCACUACUGUUGUUCCUUGCUACUGUUGUCACUACUGCUGUUACUUUGCUGCUACUUGUCGCAAUACUUUUCUGGAGCUGUUGCCGGGGAAGAAUAGUUCCCCGUCCAAGUGCUAUUUACUGGCGCCAUUGAUACAACAGUUAGGAAUAGUCUGCCAUCAACAGAUAUUUUUCUGACACCGUUGCUAUCAUACUACUUUGCUACUGAUACUUUGCUUGCAGACACUAAUCUUUCAGGUGUGGUUGAAAUUGACAAACUCAGCUGCUAAUACUUGAGAAUAUUCUUUUGCUUCCCUUUGUGUCGAAUCAAUAAAUUUGGGUUGAAUACUCUACCCUCGAAAACUGUUGCGAUCCCCUACACUUGUGGGUUAUCAAAACUAUUUUCUGGCACCGUUGCCGGGGAGGCACAACUAUAUUCUCUGAGUCACUUGGGAUUUUUGUCUGCUGAUCACUAUGAGGAAUCCGAAAGAUCCAAGAACUAAAAUCUUGCCUUCCACUACGAGGAGAGGUAAGGAACUGCCAUCUAGCUCUGCACUUGAUUCACCUUCAGUUAUGAGUAAGUUUGCGACAUCGCCUCCUGCUAGAAAUCUUGAUAUGUCGCAUGUGCUUGAUGAUGCUACUUCUGCUGCCCAUGAUGCUUAUGAUGAUGAUAUACUUGAUACUAUGCCUGAUGAUGCUAUGCUUGAUACUAUGCCUGAUGAUGCUAUGCUUGAUACUAUGCCUGAUGAUGCUAUGCUUGAUACUAUGCCUGAUGAUUCUACGCUUGAUACUUUGCCUGAUGAUGCUAUGCUUGAUACUAUGCCUAAUACUGCUUUGCCACUAGGUGCAUUCCUUGAUGCACAAAUUGCUAGAGUUGCUGAUAGACGUGAUGAUAUUUCUGAAACUACUGAUACUAUUGAAGUAGAACCUGCUACUAUGCCUGAAUUGCUUGUUAUGCCUGAGCGCUAUGUUAUGGAGAGAGAGAUAGCUGAGGACUUUCUUGCAUGUAAGGAUAGCUAUAAUGUUGAGAAAUUACUGCUCAAGUGGAAAGAAAAAUCUCUGAACGCUAGGAUGAAAUACGACCCGAAGUUUUCUACUUCGCCUAUCUUUGUGACCGAUAAGGAUUAUGAAUUCUCUAUCGACCCUGAGUUAAUCACUCUAGUCGAAUCUGAUCCUUUUCAUGGUUAUGAGUCUGAAACGGUUGUAGCACAUCUUACCAAACUACACGAUAUAGCCACACUAUUCACUAGUGAGGAAAAGAUUCGCCACGACUAUAUCCUCAAGUUGUUUCCUUUCUCGCUAAAGGAUGAUGCUAAGACCUGGUUCACUUCCCUUUCUCCUAGUUGUGUGCGUAGCCCCCAGGAUAUGGUCUACUACUUCUCUGAAAAAUAUUUCCCUGCCCAUAAGAAGCAAGCUGCCUUGCAGGAAAUAUACAACUUUGCUCAAGCUGAAGAAGAGAGUCUCCCACAAGCUUGGGGGAGGCUCAUCCAGCUACUUAAUGCUUUGCCUGAUUACCCUCUUGAGAAGAAUGAAAUACUUGAUAUCUUCUAUAAUGGACUUACCGAUGCUUCCAAAGACCACCUAGAUAGUUGUGCCAGUUGUGUUUUUAGGGAACGAACUGUAGAACAAGCUGAGAUCCUACUGAAUAACAUCUUGUGCAAUGAGAAUGCUUGGACUAUUCCCGAACCACCUCCUAAGCCAACUCCGAAGAAAAGAGGUAUUAUAUUCCUCAGUCCUGAAGAUAUGCAAGAAGCCAAGAAAUCUAUGCGAGAGAAAGGCAUUAAAUCUGAAGAUGUCAAAAAUCUACCACCUAUCGAAGAGAUCCAUGGUCUCGAUAACCCGAUACAGGUAGUAGAAGUAAAUUCUCUGCGUAGGUUUGAUGAGAGUGAUAUUCCUUUUGAUAAACCUGCUAGCUUAUGCAUGGAUGAAUUUGAUAACUUUGUUGCCAAACAACAAAGUUUCAAUGAUUAUGUUAGCAGACAAUUCGAAUAAAAUGCUCGUAUGCUUAGUCAUUUAAGUGCUUGUGUGGACAGAAAUGUCAAUGAUCUUAAGCUUCUCAGUAAGCAUGCCUCUAUGGUUACUACUCAGGUAGAACAAGUACUUAAAGCUCAAAAUGACUUGCUCAAUGAGUUGAAUGACAAUUCCGUUAGAGUCGUUACUAGAGGCGGUAGAAUGACACAGGAACCUUUGUAUCCUGAGGGUCAUCCGAAGAGAAUUGAACAAGAUUCUCAAGGAGUUAGCACUCAUGCACCUAGUCAUCCUAGAAAGAAGAAGAAAGAUGAUAGGAACCUGCAUGCUAGCAACCCUGUUGCUGCUACACCUGAGAGUCCAAACAAUGCCUCUGUCUCUGAUGUUGAAACACAAUCUGGUGAUGAACAUGAGCCUAAUGAUAAUAUCAAUAGUGAUGUUCAUGAAUAUGCUCAACCUAGCAAUGAUAAGGAUGUGGAGAUUGAACAUGUUGAUCUUGAUAACCCACAGCCUAAGACUAAGAGGUACAAUAAGAAUGACUUCGCUGCUAGGAAGCACGGUAAAGAAAGGGAACCAUGGGUUCAUAAACCUAUGCCCUUUCCUCCCAAACCAUCCAAGAAAAAGGAAGAUGAGGAUUUUGAGCAUUUCGUUGAAAUGAUCAGACCUGUCUUUCUGCAAAUGCGUUUGACAGAUAUGCUCAAAAUGUCUCUGUAUGCUAAGUACAUGAAAGAUAUUGUGACUAAUAAGACGAGGAUACCUGAGGUUGAGAUUUCCACCAUGCUUGCUAACUAUACCUUCAAGGGUGGAACUCCCAACAAACUAGGUGAUCCCGGUGUGCCCACUAGACCUUGUUCCAUUAAGGGCAACUACGUUGUAACUGCUUUGUGCGACCUUGGAGCCGGUGUUAGUGUUAUGCCUCUAUCUCUUAAUCAUAGGCUUGAACUGGAUAAGUUGACACCCACUGAAAUCUCUCUGCAAAUGGCCGACAAAUCAAUUAACUUCCCUAUCGGCAUUUGCGAGGAUGUGCCUGUUGUGGUUGCUAACAUCACUAUCUUAACAGACUUCGUUAUCUUGGAUAUUCUUGAGGACGAUGCCAUGGCGGUCAUCCUCUGAAGACCCUUUUUAAACACUGCAGGGGCUGUUAUAGAUUGCAACAAAGGCAAUGUCACUUUCCAUGUCAACGGUAAUGAGCAUACGGUGCACUUUCCGAAGAAACAAUAUCGAGUACAUUGCAUCAAUGCUAUCGAAAAAACUUCAUCCAUUCUUAUUAGGAGCUUUGAAUGCCCUAUUCCUCGUGUCAAGAUGAAGUAUGAUUUGCUUGUUGGGGAGAUUCACAUCCCCAUUGAGGUAACCUAGUGACUAUUUGAAAAUUCUCCGUUCUCUUUUGCGAUUCGAAAAAAGUUUGUCAAAGAGACUUGAUCAACCUCACUACCAGAUUUCUUUCGAUGACCAUGAGAUGGAUGAAUCGAGGAGUCACAAACCUCUGUUCCAAGCUUUCACCUUCGGUUGCUUAGAACAAAAAUGAUAGAUUUAGUUUAGUUUUCCCUGUUUUCUGUUUUAGCGUCCGGUAAAAAAAGUAACCCGAAAAUCAAAGUUCUCCGAACGUCCUGAAAAUCAAGUAUGAUUUUUUCUGGAAUUUUUGAAAAAUUCUGAGACAAAGAGCUUGUCUCGGGGCUGCACCAGUGGGCCAUAAGCCCUUGGGGCGUGGGCACCCCCCUGGCCAGGCCACCCAAACUUGUGGGGCCCUAAGGCACCCGCUCCACUCAUUCUUGCUCUCAUCUGGUUCUCCUACCUCCACAAAAAAUCUUUCGCAGCUCAAACCCGUUUUCUUGCUCCUCUUGCUGGGAUUUUCGAUCUCCCUGCUCAAAUCACCGUUCUCCGAACUGUUUUGGGGAAAUUACUCCUUGGUAAGUGACUCCCCCAUUGGUCCAAUUAGUUUUGAUCUAGUGCCUUAUACUCCGUGCAUUUUUGCUGCCUUGGUGACCAUGUUCUUGACCUUUGCAUGCUAAUUCUAGCCGGUCCCAAGCAGUUUUGAUGCGUAAUAUGGCCUCUAGGAACUUGUUGGAGUAGUUUCUACGAGUUUUGUUGAGCCUUGUUCACUUUUCCUUAGAGUCACUAAAAAUUUCAGAAAUUUUCAGAGAUAGAAAAGGGAAAAGAUGAGGAGGUUCUUAAGAGGCUCAUCAAGCCGUGACCCCAAGGAUGAUGGAAGUGAGAAGAAGCCCAAGUAUCAGGUCCCUCGUGUCGCAGAAGUUCGAGCGUGUGAGUGGCCAAGCGACGUGUUCUUACGCGCCGCUGGAAUUUAUGAGGACUUUUAUUACUUGGUGGAAAAUGCAGGCCUUACCGCCUUCGUUGAAGAUAAGUGUCCGCAAUACCUCCUCCUCACUAAUAUCUUCGUUCAAAGCUUUAACUUCUAUCCGAGGAAGAAUCCUCCUAUGGGUGAGUUUAAACUUUAUGAUAUCCCCCCAACACAUGUCACUCCAGGAUUUUUGCAAUGUUUGCAAAUUGCCUUUUAUUGGGGAUAUUCAUUAACCUCGUCCACGGGACUUGGAAGCUUUCAUCGAUACAAUUGUUGUAGGAGAGGAGAGAGGAGUGUCUUGCGCUAGAGCUGCUAGCAUUCAUUUUCCCGUGCUUCGGUACUUCUCAUUAUUUGUGGGAAAAUGUUUGAUUGGUCAUGGGAAAGCUGGGUCACUUAGUUCCCCAGAUCUUGCGGUCUUGUGCGAAGCCCUUUAUAACGAUAAAACUUAUAGCUUAGGCGCUAGCUACUGCGACAACAGACCUUCCCUCACAACGGCGCCAGGAAUCCUGCUUCUACGGCUACGCCUAUAGGGACUUCCUUGGCAAAUAUGCAAAGGGUUUCCCCCGCGGCCUUGGAGCCUUGCGUUGGUGUUCCCUUGAAGAGGAAAGGGAGAUGUAGCACAGCGGCGGUAAGUAUUUCCCUCAAUUUGAGAACCAAGGUAUCAAUCCAGUAGGAGGAGCGUUUCACAAGUACGUGCACAAACACAAGGAGCUUGCACCCAACGCUAUGAAGGGGUUGUCAAUCCCUUAUAGAUUGUUUGCAAAGUAAGAACUGAAAAGCAAAGAGUAAACAAAGCAAAGUAAAAGCGAAACUGGAAACGAUAGUUGUGAAUAGACCCGGGGGGCGUAGUGUUGACUAGUGGCUUCUCUGAUGAAAGUAAGUAGACGGUGGGUGAACGAAUUACUAUCAAGCAAUUGAUAGAACCGCAGAAAGUCGUGACAUUAUCUAAGGCAAUGAUUAUAUCUAUAGGCAUCACGUCCAAAACAACUAGACCGAUACUUUCUACAUCUACUAUUAUUACUCCACACGUCGACCGCUAUCCAGCAUGCAUCUAGUGUAUUAAGUCCAAAAGAACAGAGUAACGCCUUAAGCAAGAUGACAUGAUGUAGAUGGACAAUCUCAUAUCUAUGAUAAAAGCCCAUUAAUGACCCACAAGUAUAGGGGGUCAAUCGUAGUCCUUUCGAUAAGUAAGAGUGUCGAACCAAACGAGGAGCAGAAGGCUCUGAUAAACGGAUUUCAGCAAGGUAAUAACUGCAAGCACUGAAAGUAGCGGUAACAAGUGAUUGUGUAGCGAGGUGAAACGUAGCAAGCAAAGAGUAACAAGUAACAAGUAGUAGCAACGGUGCAGCAAGUGGCCCAAUCCCUUUUGUAGCAAGGGACAAGCCUGAACAAAGUCUUAUAGGAGGAAAAACGCUCCCGAGGACACACGGGAAUUUCUGUCAUGCUAGUUUCAUCAUGUUCAUAUGAUUCGCGUUCAUUACUUUGAUAGUUUGAUAUGUGGGUGGACCGACGCUUGGGUACUGCCCUUACUUGGACAAGCAUCCCACUUAUGAUUAACCUCUCUCGCAAGCAUCUGCAACUACAAAAGAAGAAUUAAGACAAAGUCUAACCAUAGCAUUAAACUAGUGGAUCCAAAUCAGCCCCUCACGAAGCAACGCAUAGACUGGGGUUUAAGCUUCUGUCACUCCAGCAACCCAUCAUCUACUUACUCCUUCCCAAUGCAUUCCUCUAGGCCCAAAUAUGGUGAAGUAUUAUGUAGUCUACGUUCACAUAACACCACUAGAGGAAAAACAACAUACAACAUAUCAAAACACCGAACGAAUAUCAAAUUCACAUGACUAUUAUCAGCAUGACUUAUCCCAUGUCCUCAGGAACAAAAGUAACUACUCACAAAGCAUAAUCAUAAUCAUGAUCAGAGGUGUAAUGAAUAGCAUCAAGGAUAUGAACAUAAACUCUUCCACCAAGUAAUCCAACUAGCAUCAACUACAAAGAGUAAUCAACACUACUAGCAACCUUACAAGUACCAAUCGGAGUCGUGAGACGGAGAUUGGUUACAAGAAAUGAACUAGGGAUUGGAGAGGAGAUGGUGCUGAUGAAGAUGUUGGUGAAGAUGCCUCCCCUCCGACGAGAGGAGUGUUGGUGAUGACGAUGGCGAUGAUUUCCCCCUCCGGGAGGGAAGUUUCCCCGGCAGGAUCGUCCUGCCGGAGCUCUAGAUUGGAUCUGCUCAAGUUCCGCCUCAUGGCGGCGGCGAAACCACGAAAAAGCUUCCUUCUGAUUUUUUUCCAUACUAGGAUGUUUCAUAUAGCAAAAGAGGGGGGCUAGUGGGCCUUCAGGCAGCCCACAAGCCUGCCCUCCGCCACCAGGGGGGUGGUGGCGGUGGGCAAGCUUGUGGAGCCCUGGUGACCCCCCUCCGGUAGUUCUUUCGCCUAGUAUUUUUAAUAUAUUCUAGAAAAAAUCCACGUAAAUUUUUAGGGAAUUUGGAGAUGUGCAGAAUAGUGGACUAGGAUUUGCUCCUUUUCCAGUCCAGAAUUCCAACUACCUGAAUUCUCCCUCUUCAAAUAAUCCUUGCAAAAUAAGAGAGAAAAGGCAUAAAUAUGGUACCACAAGUAAUAUAACAGCCCAAAAAGCAAUAAAUAUCAACAUGAAAGCAUGAUGCAAAAUGGACGUAUCAACUCCCCCAAGCUUAGACCUCGCUUGUCCUCAAGCGAAAACCAAGUUCCAUAAACAUGUCCACAUGUUGAGGGACGAAGGUGUCGAUAAAACAUAAUACGGACAUGAGGACAUCAUGAUCACACAUAGAACAGCAAUUCAUCAUAAAGAUUCUUAUGGGAAAGUAACAAUUCCUUCAGAAAGCAAAGCAUGAAGCAAAAAACCUUACCGAGAAGUAACCAAGAAUUGUCCAUAAUCAUUGAAGCAAUUGCAAUUUAUCACAACAUCAGAAAGAGUCAAAUAAGAGCUUGUAAGGCAAACCCACAUACUCAAUCAUCUCUUUUGUUUUCCACAAUUGUUACAACUUAUGUGGUACUCAUGGUGUCAAAGUUUCAGCUGGACACACAGGAAGAUAGGGGCUUAUAGUUUUUCCUCCCAACCAUUUACCUCAAGGGUAAAGUCAACAACAAUAAAGCAUGAAUACUCAACUCCAAGUUGAUAUAUGAAUAUAGAUCUUUCCCAAGCAUGUGACGGUAGCCAAGACAAAGGCAAAAAGGGAAUUGGUGAAGAUCACCAUGACUCUUACAAGGGUAAAAAGUAAAGGUACAAGAUAGGCCCUUCGCAGAGGGAAGCAGAGGUUGUCAUGCGCUUUUGAUGUUUGAAUGCUUGUCCUCUUAGUGCGGAGGAACGUCACUUUAUAUUGCCUCCUGUGAUAAAGAACUUUAUUAUGCAGUCUGUCGCUUUUAUGUAUUCCUCAUCAUAGGUUCGUACAAAGCUUAUUUUCCACACACUAAUAGAUCAUACAUAUUAGAGAGCAAUUUUUAUUGCUUGCACCGAUGACAACUUACUUGAAGGAUCUUAUUCAAUCCUUAGGUAGGUAUGGUGGACUCUCAUGGCAAAACUGGUUGAAGGUUUAUGGAUGCACAAGUAGUAUCUCUACUUGGUGCGGGAGUUUUUGCUAAUAUGAGGUGGAAGCAAUCGUCACAUGCUAAGGGAUCUCUAAUCAUAUAACAUUGUUUGGAACCAAGCAAACACAAUUCAUUAUGUUGUCUUCCUUGUCCAACAUCUACUCCUAGGCAUGUAAUAGUUUGGUGAGUGCUCACAAUUGUAAAAAGUUGUCUAAGAUGAUAUAUUUAUAUGUGAACCUCUAUUUCCUUAUUACUUCUUAUUAAUUGCAACAAUGACUGAGGUCUAUAUUGAUUUAUUCUCAACAAGUUUCAAUCAUCAUACGUGUCAUAAGUGAAGUUAUCACUUUCCAUAAGAUCGUCUCAUGAUCUUUCAUGCUAUCGUUCUUUUCAUAAUUUUGAUCAUGGCACAAAGCAAAGCCCUUUGACUAAGAAACUCUUUAUUAUAUAGCUCGUAAGCUCGAAUACAACGGGGGAGAGACAAAAGCAAAAGACUCAAACUAAAAACUAAAGACUUAGUCCUCUAAAAGAAGAAAUAAAAACUAAAAAGGAAAGAACUAAAACAAAGGUAAAAGCAAAAGAUAUAAAGGUGAUACAAUACCACGGCAACUCCCCCAAGCUUGGCAGAAGCCAAGGGGAUUGCCCAUACCAAUGCUUAGUUGUCUUCCUUUGGUGGUGAUGGUGGUGUUGUUGGAGUAGUCUGAUCCUCCGUCUUCCAAGGCAUAGGUGCUCCAUCAUGGCAGGAUGAACGAGUCACCGGAAUCCUCAAAUUUGCAGCCAACCUUAUUGAUUUAAAUCUGUACUCAUACUCACAGUUUUGAUUCUGCGGGUCAUAGAUCUGGCCCUGAAGUUGGUCAACCCUAUCGUAGAGCCUGGAGAGGUGUUUCCCAAUAUCAAUGGCAUCCAUCUUGUGAUUGCUAGUGAACUCCGUGAUCAUCGUGUGGUUGGCGUGGAGUCCACGCUCCACCAUCCCUUGGCACCUGAAGACUUGUUGCUCCAUUACUUCGAGCCUCGUCUCCACGCUUCCGGUCUUCUUAGGCCCCUCAACAUCACGGAUGUGCAACAUCCCCUCGCUCAUCUUGAUAGAUUGAGGGUGUUUCAACACUUCCGUGAGGUAGGGACUGAUGACCUUCUCGAAGAUCUUGUCCUUAGGAGCGUUUGGGGAAGUCAUGAUGAUCUAGAUCUGCGGCAGAAACAAGCUCGAAACGAAAACAGAGGAAAACUGCGUGAUACGGAGAUCAAAACCUUCGGGCAACUAUAUAUUGAUUUUUUCUGGGCCAGAAGGAGUCCUCUGCAAGAAAACAGAGUCCGGGAGGCACACGAGGUGCCCACAAGCUUGCCCACCGCCACCAGGGGGUGGUGGCGGAGUGGGCCCUUGUGGCUGCCUCUUUCGCUCUCCGGGCUGCUUUUUAUUUUCUAAUUUUCCAAAAAUUCCAAAACUGAGGAAAUUUCCUAUUGGAAAAGUAUCGGAGUCCAAUUUCUUGCCGAAACAGAUACAUCUUCGUUUUCAAGGUCUGAAACGGGCUGAUAAACAUCCCUUAUGUACUCCUCUGGAGUUAUGACAUUGAUGAUAUUGGUCUCAACAUUUAUGGGAGUACCACAGAUGUAAUGCUUGAUUCUUUGCCCAUUUACCACUCUAGGAAAAUUUCCUUCCGUGUUAUUGAUUUUGAUGGAACCGGAACGAUAUACUUCCUCGACAACAUAGGGACCUUCCCAUUUAGAGAGAAGCUUGCCUGCAAAGAAUCUCAAACAAGAAUUGUAUAGCAAGACAUAAUCACCUACAUUGAACUCUCUUUCUGUAUUCUUUUGUCGUGCCAUCUCUUAACCUUUUCCUUGAACAACCUGGCAUUCUCAUAUGACUGGGCUCUCCAUUCAUCUAACCAGCUAAUAUCAAACAACCGCUUCUCACCAGCAAGUUUGAAAUCAAAGUUGAGCUCUUUGAUUGCCCAAUAAGCUUUGUGUUCCAGCUCAAGAGGUAAAUGACAGGCCUUACCGUAAACCAUUUUAUACGGUGACAUGCCCAUGGGAUUCUUAUAAGCAGUCCUAUAAGCCCAUAGUGCAUCGUUAAGUUUGCUAGACCAGUUCUUUCGAGAUCUAUUGACGGUCUUUUGUAGGAUCAACUUGAUCUCCCUAUUACUCAACUCCACUUGACCACUAGACUGAGGAUGAUAAGGAGAUGCAACUCUAUGGUUGACAUCAUACUUAGCUAGCAUCUUGCGGAAAACACCAUGAAUGAAGUGUGAAUCGCCAUACGUCAUCAAGUAUCUAGGGACUCCAAAUCUUGGGAAUAUGACUUCUUUCAGCAUCUUAAUAGAGAUGUGGUGAUCAACAUUUUUAGUGGGGAUAGCUUCUACCCACUUAGUAACGUAAUCCACAGCAACUAAGAUGUGAGUGUACCCAUUGGAACUCGGGAAGGGUCCCAUAUAAUCAAAGCCCCAGACAUCAAAUGGUUCAAUGACAAGUGAAUAGUUCAUAGGAAUCUCUUGACGCUUACUGAUGUUCCCUAUCCUUUGGAAUUCGUCACAAGACAAGACAAACUUACGGGCAUCCUUGAAGAGAGUGGGCCAAUAGAAACCUGAUUGCAAUACCUUAUGGGCAGUUCUAUCUCCAGCAUGGUGUCCUCCGUAGGCUUCGGAAUGACACUUCUGUAGGAUCUGUCCCUGUUCAUGUUCAGGCACACAACAUCUAAUAACACCAUCUACUCCUUCCUUAUAAAGGUGAGGAUCAUCCCAAAAGUAGUGUCUCAAAUCAAAGAAGAAUUUCUUCUUUUGUUGAUAGGUGAAACUGGGUGGUAUGUAUUUGGCUACGAUAUAGUUUGCAUAAUCGGCAUACCACGAUGCACUAUGUGAAGUGCGGAUGACAUUUAAUUGCUCAUCAGGAAAGUUGCCAUCAAUAGGUAGUGGGUCAUCAAGGACACUCUCUAGCCUAGACAAGUUAUCUGCUACAGGGUUAUCAGCACCCUUUCGGUCAACGACGUGCAAAUCAAAUUCCUGUAGCAGGAGAACCCAUCUGAUUAGCCUAGGCUUAGCGUCCUUCUUCUCCAUGAGGUACUUAAUAGCAACAUGAUCAGAGUGAAUAGUGACUUUGGAGUCAACUAUGUAAGAUCUGAACUUUUCACACGCAAACACGACUGCUAAAAAUUCCUUCUCCGUAGUGGCAUAGUUUCUUUGGGCACUGUCUAGAGUUUUACUAGCGUAGUGAAUGACAUUCAACUUCUUGUCAACUCUUUGUCCUAGAACAACACCAACAGCAUAAUCACUAGCGUCGCACAUGAUUUCAAAGGGCAAGUGCUAGUCAGGUGGUUGAACAAUAGGUGCGGUUAUCAAAUCCUUCUUAUGUAUUUCAAAGGCUUCCUCACAAUCCUCAUCAAAAACAAAAGGAACAUCCUUCUGCAACAGGUUGGUAAGAGGCCUAGAAAUCUUAGAGAAGUCUUUAAUGAACCUUCUAUAGAAACCAGCAUGACCUAGGAAACUUCGUAUACCUCUGAUAUCUGUGGGGCAAGGCCUUUUCUCAAUUGCAUCAACCUUAGCCUUAUCAACUUCAAUGCCUCUUUCAGAGAUAUUGUGUCCUAAGACGAUACCUUCAUUAACUAUAAAGUGGCACUUCUCCCAAUUCAAGAGGAGGUUGGUUUCUUCGCAUCUCUGUAAGACUCAAUCAAGGUUGCUGAGGCAAUCAUCAACGGAAGGCCCGUAAACGGAGAAGUCAUCCAUGAAAACCUCGACGAUCUUUUCACAAAAGUCACAGAAUAUAGCCAUCAUACAUCUUUGGAAGGUGGCAGAUGCAUUACAUAAGCCAAAAGGCAUACGUCUAUAGGCAAAGGUACCGAAAGGGCACGUGAAAGUGGUUUCCUCUUGAUCAGAUUAUGCAACAGGUAUUUGCGAGAAACCUGAAUAACCAUCUAGAAAGCAGAAGUGUGUGUGUUUUGAUUGCCUUUCUAGCAUUUGGUCGAUGAACGGCAAAGGAUAAUGAUCUUUCCUGGUUUCCUUGUUCAGUUUCCGGAAGUCUAUCACCAUUCUAUAGCCGGUAAUAAUCCUUUGUGGGAUUAGUUCAUCCUUAUCAUUAGGAACGACGGUGAUACCUCCCUUCUUAGGUACGCAAUGUACUGGACUUACCCAAUCACUAUGAGCAACAGGAUAAAUGAUUCCUGCUUCCAGAAGCUUCAAUGUUUAUUUUCUAACGACCUCUUUCAUCUUAGGAUUCAAUCUCCUUUGAUGAUCAGCAACUGGUUUAAAGUCAGGAUCAGUUUUAAUCUUGUGCUGACAUAGAGUAGGACUAAUACCCUUAAGAUCAUCAAGAGUAUAUGCAAUAGCAGCGCGGUGCUUCCUUAGAGUUUUUAGUAACUUCUUCUCUUUGUGCUCUGAGAGGAGAGCACUAAUAAUGACAGGAUAUAUCUCCUUCUCAUCAAGAUAGGCAUACUUAAGAGUAUCAGGCAACUGUUUAAGCUCGAACACAGGAUCACCCUUUGGUGGGGGGAGAUCCCCAAGCAGUUCAACAGGCAGAUUAUUCUUGAGAACAGGAUAUUGUUCUAAGACAAUUUUAUCUAUCUCAUCUCUCUCCUCCAUAUGCAUAUCAUUUUCAUGCUCAAGCAGAUAUUGCUCUAAAGGAUCCGUAGGAGGUACGGCAAUAGAGGCAAGAGCAAUGAUUUCAUCUCUAAUAGACGACUCUCUUUCAUGGGGUUGUCUUCCAAACUUGCAGAAGUUAAAUUCAUGAGACACACCCUCGAAACUUACUGUGAUAGUCUGCUUAAUGCAAUCAAUGUGAGCAUUGAUAGUGUUGAGAAAGGGUCUACCAAAUAUGAUGGGACAAAAGCUAUCUUGUGCAGUACCAAGGACGAGGAAAUCAGUAGGAUACUUUGUCUUACCACACAGGACUUCUACGUCUCUCACAAUUCCCAGAGGGCAAAUAGUGUCUCUAUUAGCUAGCGUAAUAGUGACAUCAAUGGGUUCUAACUCAGCAGGUGAAAGGUCAUCUUUGAUUUCAUCAUAUAGAGAACGGGGUAUUGCACUAACACUAGCUCCCAUAUCACAUAAACCAUGGUAACAGUGAUCUCCUAUCUUAACAGAAACAAUGGGCAGGCCAACUACAGGUAUGUGUUUGUCUUUCGCGUGAGGUUUAGCAAUUCUAGCGGAAUCCUCACAUAAUUUGAUAACAUGCCCAUCUAUGUCUUCGGCUAAGAGAUCUUUGAUAAUAGCAACACUACGUUCAACUCUAAUCUCCUCAGGGGGUGCAAGUGGUCUAAUGUAUCCCCUACGUAUCACAGUUGGAGCUUUAGAACAAUCCUUUAUCCUAGCAGGGUAUGGUGGUUUCUCAGUGUAAGCACAAGGAACAACACGAUCACUAAAAGCUAUGAUUUUAUCCUCAACUAGAUUGGUUUUGGCUAUGUUGCUUUCUAUAGGAGGAUUAUAUUUAAACCACUUCUCUUUGGGAAGAUCAACAUGAGCAGCUAAAGAUUCACAUAGAGAAGCUACUACCUCAGAGUCAAGUCCAUACUUAGCGCUAAAAUCUCUAGAAGUGUUUGUCUCAACAAAAGAUUUAACGCAAUCAAACUGGAAAUUCAUACCUCACUCCUUAACUUCCUCCAGCUCCCAAUCUUCAGAGUUGCGUUUGAUUCUCUCCAAUAAAUUCCACUUGUGAUCAAUAUCCUUCUUCAUAAAAGAACCGGCACAAGAAGUGUCAAGCAUGGUACGAUCUUCAUGAGAAAGCCGAGCAUAAAAGUUUUGACUGAUGAUUUAUCUCGAGAGCUCAUGAUUGGGCCAUGAAUAUAGCAUUGAUUUAAGCCUCCCCCAAGCUUGAGCUAUGCUUUCCCUGUCACGAGGCCAAAAGUUAUAAAUAAAGUUCCGAUCACGAUGUACUAAAUGCAUAUGAUAGAACUUUUGAUGAAAUUCCAAUUUCAACCGAUUUUAGCCCCAUGAUCCAGCAUCAUCACAUAGCCUAUACCAUGUCAACGCAUUAUCCUUCAAAGAUAAAGGAAAUACUUUCUUCUUUACCUCAUCCUCGGGCAAAUCUGCAAGCUUAAAUAAACCACAAACUUCAUCUACAUAGAUUAGAUGAAAGUCUGGAUGUGAAGAUCCAUCUCCUGUAAAAGGAUUAGCCAGUAGUUUCUCAAGCAUACCCAAAGGAAUUUCAUAAAAGAUAUUUUCAGUAGGUACCUCAGGUUGAGGAGCAACUCCUCGUGCUUCCGUUCGUCGUGAAGAUACCCCAAACAAACUCCUCAAAGGAACAGUUUCCAUAGUGACAAGUGACAAUAAAUUUCAGCACAGUAUAUAAAUGUUUCCUUACCAAUUUCCACUUACCAAAGGCGCUUCAUUCCCCGGCAACGGCGCCGGAAAAGAGUCUUGGUGACCCACAAGUAUAGGGGAUCAAUCGUAGUCCUUUCGAUAAGUAAGAGUGUCGAACCCAACGAGGAGCAGAAGGCUGUGAUAAACGGAUUUCAACAAGGUAAUAACUGCAAGCACUGAAAGUAGCGGUAACAAGUGAUUGUGUCGCGAGGUGAAACGUAGCAACAAAGAGUAACAAGUAACAAGUAGUAGCAACGGUGCAGCAAGUGGCCCAAUCCCUUUUGUAGCAAGGGACAAGCCUGAACAAAAUCUUAUAGGAGGAAAAACGCUCCCGAGGACACACGAGAAUUUCUGUCAUGCUAGUUUCAUCAUGUUCAUAUGAUUCGCAUUCGUUACUUUGAUAGUUUGAUAUGUGGGUGGACCAGCGCUUGGGUACUGCCCUUACUUGGACAAGCAUCCCACAUACGAUUAAGACAAAGUCUAACCAUAGCAUUAAACUAGUGGAUCCAAAUCAGCCCCUCACGAAGCAACGCAUAGACUCGGGUUUAAGCUUCUGUCACUCCAACAACCCAUCAUCUACUUACUACUUCUCAAUGCCUUCCUCUAGGCCCAAAUAUGGUGAAGUGUUAUGUAGUCGAUGUUCACAUAACACCACUAGAGGAAAAACAACAUACAACAUAUCAAAACACCGAACGAAUAUCAAAUUCACAUGACUAUUAUCAGCAUGACUUAUCCCAUGUCCUCAGGAACAAAAGUAACUACUCACAAAGCAUAAUCAUAAUCCUGAUCAGAGGUGUAAUGAAUAGCAUCAAGGAUCUGAACAUAAGCUCUUCCACCAAGUAAUCCAACUAGCAUCAACUACAAAGAGUAAUCAACACUACUAGCAACCUUACAAGUACCAAUCGGAGUCGUGAGACCGAGAUUGGUUACAAGAGAUAAACUAGGGAUUGGAGAGGAGAUGGUACUGAUGAAGAUGUUGGUGAAGAUGCCUCCCCUCCGAUGAGAGGAGUGUUGGUGAUGACGAUGGCGGCGAUUUCCCCCUCCGGGUGGGAAGUUUCCUCGGCAGGAUCGUCCUGCCGGAGGUCUAGAUUGGAUCUGCUCAAGUUCCACCUCGUGGCGGCGGCGAAACCACGAAAAAUCUCCCUUCUGAUUUUUUUCCAGACCAGGAUGCUUCAUAUAGCAAAAGAGGGGGCUAGUGGGCCUUCAGGCAUCCCACAAGCCUGCCCUGCGCCACUAAGGGGGGUGGUGGCGGUGGGCAAGCUUGUGGAGCCCUGGUGUCCCACCUCCGGUAGUCCUUUCGCCCAGUAUUUUUAAUAUAUUCCAGAAAAAAUCCACGUAAAUUUUCAUGGCAUUUGGAGAUGUGCAGAAUAGUGGACUAGGAUUUGCUCCUUUUCCAGUCCAGAAUUCCAGCUGCCUGAAUUCUCCCUCUUCAAAUAAUCCUUGCAAAAUAAGAGAGAAAAGGCAUAAAUAUGGUACCACAAGUAAUAUAACAGCCCAAAAAGCAAUAAAUAUCAACAUGAAAGCAUGAUGCAAAAUGGACGUAUCACCCAUCUUGUUACCCUUGAUGGCAACAACACGAUGUGUGCCUUGCUGCCCUUCUGUCACUAGGAAAGGUCACCACACGGUAUGAACCCAAAACCAAGCACUUCUCCCAUUGCAAGAAUCAUAGAUCUAGUUGGCCAAACAAAACCCAAGACUCGGAGAGACUUACAAGGAUAUCAAAUCAUGCAUAUAAGAAAUCAGCAAAGACUCAAAUAUAUAUCAUAGAUAAUCUGAUCUCAAAUCCACAAUUCAUCGGAUCUCGACAAACACACCGCCAAAGAGGAUUACAUCGGAUAGAUCUCCAUGAAUAUUAUGGAGAACUUUGUAUUGAAGAUCCAAGAGAGAGAACAAGUCAUCUAGCUACUAACUACGGACCCGUAGGUCUGAAGUGGACUACUAACGAGUCAUUGGAGAGGCGGUGAUGUUGAUGAAGAAGCCCUCCAACUCCAAAGUCCCCUCCGGUAGGGCACCGGGAAGGGUCUCCAGAUGAGAUCUCGCGGAAGCGGAAGCUUGCGGCGGCGGAAAAGUGUUUUCGUGGAUGCCCUGAUUUUUUCUGGAUUUUUAGGGAAUUUAUAGGCCAAAGAGCUAGGGUAGGGGAGCGCCAGGGAGGCCACAAGCCUGGUUGCCGCGGGUCCCCCUAGCCACGGCAACAGGGCUUGUGGGCUCCCUGUGGGCCCCCUGCCUUGGCUCUCAAGCCUCCCGAUCUUCUUUCGUUCUGGAAAAAUUUAUUUCGGGGAUUUUAUUCCGUUUGGACUCCGUUCCAAAAUCAUAUCUGAAAAGAGUCAAAAACACAGAAAAAACAAGAACUGGGACUUGGCACUGGAUUAAUAAGUUAGUCCCAAAAAAGAUAUAAAAGGUAUACAAAACAUCCAAAGUUGACAAGAUAACAGCGUGAAACCAUCAAAAAUUAUAGAUACGUUUGAGACGUAUCAGCGCUAUAGUAGCUCAACGGUUGAACCUGAACCAUUCUAAAGGUGUUGUCUAUGGAUGUAUCUAUGCUACUCGUCUUGCUAGACACUUUGAGAUACCCAUUAGACUGGAGGAGGAAGAAGAGAUUCUUCUUCCCGAGAGAUAUCUAUAUUACGAUAGCAUGGUUCGCCAUGACUUUCUUGAUAGAGAUAUAAAUAGAAGGAUGAUUUAUAACCUGGUAUUUAGUCAGGGUACUCGUGAGACUAUUACUUUGUCUGCUCCUUCUUUGUUCAAUCUUCAUGCAGGUAGGUACAUUAUUAUGCCCUCGGACAUCUACGCAUAUUGGGGCUUGGCCCAACCACAGGUGCCCGUGCCCGAGCCGCCAGUCGAGUACCACACGCCAGUUUAUCAGUGGGAGCCAGAGGAGCUCAUACAGUAGUGGCAUCCUCAGUCCACUCCGGAGUACCCUAGAACUGGUUAUUUCCCUCCUUGGGAGUAGACCAACUUAGGCCAAAAGCCUAAGCUUGGGUGAGUACGUGUUUCUCACCGACUUCACAUUCUUGCUUAUGUUUUUACUUUGUUUGUCGGUGUUCACACUUUGCCACUGUAUCAUCCAUGCUAGUUUAUUUUCUUUUUCUCGUUUUCUUUUCGUGUGUCUGUCUAGUUUGAGAAAAACCAAAAAGAUUUUCUUUUCUUCUUUUGCUUGUUGGGAGCUUUCCCGUGUAGAUAGUUUUCUUUUUCUUUGGGUCAAGGUAGAAGAUAUUGGUUACAAUGUUUAGUGGCUCUUGCAUGCAUACCUAUUUAGCUUUCAAAGAGCCAUAUUACUUUGUAUUCUCCUUUGUGUUUGCCUGCAGAUUCCAGCGUAGUCCAAUGCACGAGCACACUUAUUAUUGUUCACAUCGUUCGGUCGUGCAAGUGAAAGGCAAUAAUGGCGAUAUAUGAUGAAGUGACUGAGCCUGGAAAAGCUGGUAUGAACUCGAUCUAUUUGUUUUUGUAAAUAUGACUAGCUCAUCAUGCCUGAUUGAGCUUUGUUGUGAGAAACACAUGUUUGCAAUGACAACUUAGAGAUCAUAGUUGAUUAUUCCAUGCUUACUUAGCUAGGAGCUUAUAAUGGUUUGUCUUGGUUGCCAACAUGAAUGUUGAGAUGACUAUGAUGUAGUAUGAUAGGAUGGUAUCCUCCUUUGAAUGAUUCAAGUGGCUUGACUUGGCGCAUGUUCACGCAUGUAGUUGAAACAAAAUCAACAUAGCCUCUAUUAUAUUCAUGUUCAUGGUGAUUUAUGUCCUGCUCAUGCUUGCACUCAAUGCUAGUCAAUCUCAAUGCAUUUUGAUGACUGUUGUCGCUCUCUAGUUGGUCGCUUCCCAGUCUUUUGCUAGCCUUCACUUGUACUAAGUGGGAAUACUGCUUGUGCAUGCACUUCCAUAAACCCAAAGUUGUUCCAUAUGAUUCCACCUUACCUACCUAUGUGUGGUAUCUACCUGUCGUUCCAAGUAAAUUUGCAUGUGCCACUCUCUAAACCUUCAAGAAAUAAUCUGUUUUGCAUGCCCGAACCGCUCAUGUGGUGACAGGGGGCUAUUGGUAUCUUCCAUGCUAGGCGUGUUAUCCUCGAUAUGUGUUUAUUCACUAUCAUUCACGAGAAAGGGGCCGGUAAUUGGAAUUCUCAGUUCCAUGCUCAAAUCGAAAAGAUAAUUGCAAACAAAACUCCCCCAGGAUUGAUGUUGGUAUGGAGGGUACCCGAGGAUUCGGCUAGCCGUGGAGUGUGAUUGACUGGUGGUGGGGGAGUCAAAACUUUACUUUUCUGUUUGGGAACCGCCUAUAGCAUGUGUAGCGUGGAAGAUGUUGAGAAGUCUUAGUCAUUGCGUUGACAAUGAAAGCAUGCCGCCCAAAUUAUUAUCUCUGUUUUAAAAGCUAGAGCUCUGGCACCUCUGCAAAUCAAUGCUUCCCUCUACGAAGGGCCUGUCUAUUUAUGUUCCUGUUGAGUCAUCCUCCUCUUAUAAAAGCACCAAUUAGAGAGCACCUCUGUCAUUUUUAUGCUUUGCUUUUAACUGUGUUGAGUAUGACUCUGACUGGAUCUUCGUUGCCUUGAAUUACAAUGUUUAGUCAGCCCUUGGUCUUUGAAGGUGCUCUGCAUUUAUGUUUUGUGGUCUCAAAAAGAGCUAGCGAGAUACCAUCUGUUCAUACUGCUUCAUGUUGUUUUGAUUGAAGUGUUGACAUUUGAGGCUUGUUAUUAUUUGCUUGCUAGUUGAUUAUGCCAUUGAUAUGAGUUUACCAUGAGACCUAGAUGUCAUUUGCUUACGUGGUUUACUUGUGAUCUUGCUGAAAUUCUAGUUAUGAGUUAGACAUAGUUGCAAUAACAAGAUCAAACAGAGUUCGUCAAAGUUUUUCUUUUGUCUCUUUCAGUUUGUCAACUGAAUUGCUUGAGGACAAGCAAGGCUUUAAGCUUGGGGGAGUUGAUACGCCUCCGUCGUAUCUACUUUCCGAACUCUUUUGCCCUUGUUUUGGACUCUAAUUUGCAUGAUUUGAAUGGAACUAACCCGGACUAACGCUAUUUUCAGCAGAAUUGCCAUGGUGUUGUUUUUGUGCAGAAAUAAAAGUUCUCGGAAUGUCCUGAAUAUUUACGGAGAACUUUUCUGGAAUUAAUGAAAAAUACCUACGCAAAGAUCCACCGGAGGAGGUGGGCCAGUGGGACACAAGCCCCUGGGCCGCGGCCACCCCCUGGCCGCGCCGUGAGGGCUUGUGGGGCCCACGUGGCACCACCGCCUCCAAACUCAGCUCUAUUUAUUCCGUCUCGCCCGAAAAAAAUCAGAGAGAAGGAUUCAUCGCAUUUUACGAUACGGAGGCGCCGCCACCUUCUGUUCUUCAUUUGGAGGGCAGACCUGGAGUCCGUUCUGGGCUCCGGAGAGGGGAAAUCGUUGCCAGCAUCAUCAUCAACCUUCCUCCAUCGACAAUUCCAUGAUACUCUUCACCGUUCGUGAGUAAUCUCAUCGUAGGCUUGUUGGACGGUGAUGAGUUGGAUGAGAUCUAUCAUGUAAUCAAGUUAGUUUUGACGAGGAUUGAUCCCUAGUAUCCACUAUGUUCUGAGAUUGAUGUUGCUACUACUUUGCCAUGCUUAAUGCUUGUCACUAGGGCCCGAGUGCCAUGAUUUCAGAUCUGAACCUAUUAUGUUGUCGCCAAUAUAUGUGUGUUUUAGAUCCUAUCUUGCAAGUUGUAGUCACCUACUAUGUGUUAUGACCCGGCAACCCCGAAGUGACAAUAGCCGGAACCACUCCCGGAGAUGACCAUAGUAUGAGGAGUUCAUGUAUUCACCAAGUGUUAAUGCGUUGGUCCAGUUCUUUAUUAAAAGGAGAACCUUAAUAUCUCGUAGUUUCCAUUGGGACCGCGCUGCCACGGGAGGGUUGGACAAUAGAUGUCAUGCGAGUUCUUUUCCCUAAGCAUGUAUGACUACAUACGGAAUACAUGCCUACAUUAGAUUGACGAACAGGAGCUAGUUACUUAUCUCUCCGUGUUAUAGCUGUUACAUGAUGAAUCACAUCUGUCAUACUUAUCCAUCACCGAUCCACUGCCUACGAGUAUUUUACUACUCGUACUUGCUACGUUACUUUGUCGCUACUACUGUUGCUACUGUUGUUACUCUGCUGUUACUACUUCUGCUGCUGUCACUAUUGUUGUUCCUUGCUACUGUUGUUCCUUGCUACCGAUGUCACUACUGUUGUUACUUUGCUACUACUUGUUGCAAGACUUUUCUGGAGCCGUUGCCGGGGAAGAAUAGUUCCCCGUCCACGUGUUAUUUACUAGCGCCAUUGAUACAACAGUUAGGAAUAGUCUGCCGUCAACAGAUCUUUUUCUGACACCGUUGCUAUCAUACUACUUUGCUACUGAUACUUUGCUUGCAGACACUAAUCUUUCAGGUGUGGUUGAAAUUGACAAACUCAGCUGCUAAUACUUGAGAAUAUUCUUUCGCUUCCCUUUGUGUCGAAUCAAUAAAUUUGGGUUGAAUACUCUACCCUCAAAAACUGUUGUGAUCCCCUACACUUGUGGGUUAAAAUUUGGCCAACUUGAUCUAUGAUUCUUGCAAUGGGAGAAGUAUUUGGUUUUGGGUUCAUACCGUGCGGUGACCUCACCCAGUGAUGGAAGGGGUAGUCAGGCACGCAUCGUGUUGUUGCCAUCAAGGGUAAAAAGAUGGGGUUUAUAUCUAUUGCAUGAAUUUAUCCCUCUACAUCAUGUCAUCUUGCUUAAGGCCUUACUCUGUUUGUCAUGAACUCAAUACACUAGAUGCAUGCUAGAUAGCGGUCGAUGUGUGGAGUAAUAGUAGUAGAUGCAGAAAGUAUCGGUCUACUUGUCUCGGACGUGAUGCCUCUAUGUAUGAUCAUUGCCUUAGAUGUCAUCAUGACUUUGCACGGUUCUAUCAAUUGCUCAACAGUAAUUCGCUCACCCACCAUAAUAUUUCUAUCUUGAGAGAAGCCUCUAGUGAACACUAUGGCCCCCGGGUCUACUUCACAUCAUAUUUUCAGCCCUACACUUUUACUUUGUUGCACUUUCCGCCUUCAGAUCUCACCUUGCAAUCAAUCGUGAAGGGAUUGACAACCCCUUUGUAGUGUUGGGUGCCAGUUUGUUGUUUUUGCGCAGGUACAUUGGUGCCUCAUCUUGAUACUCCUACUGGAUUGAUACCUUGGUUCUCAAACUGAGGGAAAUACUUACUGCUAGUGUGCUGCAUCACCCUUUCCUCUUCAAGGGAAAAACCACCGCAAGCUCAAGAGGUAGCAAGAAGAAUUUCUGGCGCCGUCGCCGGCGAGGAGGAUCAAGUCAAGAAUAGUUUCCCAUCAACGUGCCAAUUUCUGGCGCCGUUGUCGGGGAGCAUCAAGUGAAGCUUAUCCAAGUAACCGUCGCGAACUCAUCUCUUGCAUUUACUUUUUUUGCCUAUCGUUUUGCUCUCCCCCACUUCUGAAAAACAAAAAAUUACAAAAAUAUUUACCUUUUUCGUUUGCCUUUCCUUUGCCUGUGUGCUAUGUGCCUUCAAUAUGCUUGCAUCUUCGCUUGCUAAAAAUCUAGUGAUAUGGAUCCUCACCCACUUGCUAAUCUCUUUAAGAGAUCCAAUUAUGUUGAACCAUUUGCUAGUGAGUUGAGUGCACUUGACUUUCUCUAUGGAGUUUUGCUUGAGAUGCAUGAAUCUGAAAAUCAUGAUGAAGAAAUUUAUGAAGUGAUUCACGAGGGCUCCUUGAAUGAAAAGCAUGAUUGCAAUGAUUUCAUUAUAGAUUCUAUUAAUGACAAUCAUGCUAAAAAUAUGCAAAACCCUAAGCUUGGGGAUGCUAGUUUUGCUAUGCCCACUACUUGUUGCAAUGAUCAUGAUUGGGGUAAUCAUUUUUCUUAUGAUCUUGAAAAUUUGUUUAAGCCUCAUGAUGAAUAUGAUACUUCCAAUGAUAUUGAAAGUGGGUUUGGAGAAGUCAUGACUUUAGUUGAUGAUAAUCCCACUAUUUUUGAAGAGCGUCAACUUUUGCAUGCAUGUGGAUCAUGAAAAGAAUAUCCUAUGUGAUAGCUAUAUUGUUGAAUUUGAUUAUGAUCCCACAUGCAAUUGUUAUGAGAGAGGAAAAUAUUGUGGUAGAAACUUUCAUAUNNNNNNNNNNNNNNNNNNNNNNNNNNNNNNNNNNNNNNNNNNNNNNNNNNNNNNNNNNNNNNNNNNNNNNNNNNNNNNNNNNNNNNNNNNNNNNNNNNNNCGGGGAUGAUCCAACAGUUUGAGCUGAACCGCCAGUUUAUGCAAGGGCUCAUGGAUCAGUUCCAAAGGCCGAACAUGAACCAACCACAAGGCGUGACACUGCAAGACUUCUGCCGUCUCAACCCUGCGAUCUACCGCAGCUCAACUCAGCCUCUUGAUGCUGAUGACUGGCUCCGUGACAUUUCUUAUGAGCUAGAGUCUGCCAAUGUGCCCCUGGCGAGCUAUGUCAACUUUGCCGCCUACUUUCUGAAGGGUCCCGCUGCUCAAUGGUGGGACAGCCACAGGCGCUCUCAGCCCGAUGGAACUAUCAUCACUUGGGCAGAGUUCAAGGCUGCUUUCCGUGCUCGAUACAUUCCCCAGGGAAUCAUGGACCGGAAGAAGCGUGAGUUCCGCAACUUAGUCCAGGGCAACAAGACUGUGGAUGCUUAUCAGCGGGAAUUUCUGGAAUUAUCUCGCUAUGCUGAAGAAGACAUUGCGACUGAUGCACGCAGGCAGGAGAAGUUCCGUGAAGGCCUCCACCCUGAUAUCAAGCUGACACUCCUCGUUCAGGACUAUGCUGAUUUCGCCACCCUCGUGAACAAGGCUAUUCAGGUUGAGACUGGUCUGCAGGAAUACAAAGAUAGCAGCAAGCGCAACCGUGACAUGGGCUCAUCUUCGGGCUCAUCUGCACAGAAGCGGAAGAUCUGGAUUCCCAACAACAUGUACCAUGCACCUGCUCCUACUCCGAGGCCGUCCUAUGCUGCACCUCGCCUGCCUCCUCCACCGCCUAGGCAGCCGAGGCUCCCAGCUCCACCGCCUCGAGUUCCUCCUUCCCGUCCUGAGGACGGGCUGUGCUUCAAGUGUGGCCGUCCAGGUCACCGUGCUAGAGACUGCAGGCAGAAUCAGAAUCAGCUGGCACUUCCCGCAACUGGCCGUGGCAACAACCAGAACCGCAACUUCAACACUAAGCCUGCUUAUGUUCGUGGUCAGGCCAACAACAUUGAUAUGGGUCAAGCUCAAGACCAGCCUGCUACCGUGAUGGGUACACUUCUCGUUAACUCAGUACCUGCUUCUGUAUUGUUUGAUACAGGAGCAUCGCAUUCCUUUAUGUCGGAAAAUUUUGCAUACAUGCAUGACAUUAGGAGCGAAGAGAUGAACCUCCCGAUAGUGGUAAACACCCCUGGGGGCGAAUGUCGAACCUCUGUGGUUUGCCCCCAUGUUCCAGUUGAAAUUGAAGGAUUAGAAUUCCUUGCCAACCCCAUCCUACUAAAGUCAUCCAACAUUGAUCUCAUAUUGGGGAUGGACUGGUUGAAAGCUCAUACGGCAUCGAUCGUUUGUGCCACCAAAACCGUCCACCUCCUACACCCUUCAGAUGAACUAGUAAGCUACCAGGCUCAUCUCGUCCGUAAUGCUGAGGCACGGCUGUAUGCCUUGAAUGCAUUAAAUGCGUCGCCUCUUGAAGGGAUUGAAAACAUUCCAGUGGUCCGAGAGUUCCAAGAUGUCUUUCCAGAAGAACUUCCGAGGAUUCCCCCUGCUCGAGCUGUCGAGUUUGUCAUUGACUUGGUACCCGGUACCACUCCUAUUGCCAAGCGUCCUUAUAAAAUGCCACCACAUGAACUCCUUGAACUUAAGCAAGAAAUUGACAACUCGCUCCGUCUGGGUUUCAUCCGUCCGAGUUCCUCUGCUUGGGGAGCACCUUCUCUCUUUGUUAAGAAGAAGGAUGGGACAAAUCGAUUGGUUCAAGACUAUCGUCCUAUCAACCAGGCCACUAUUCAAAACAAAUAUCCUCUCCCGCGGAUAAGUGAUUUGUAUGAUCAACUUGCUGGUUCCACCGUUUUCUCUAAGCUCGACUUGAGAUUGGGAUACCACCAGAUUCGUGUUCGCAAGGAGGAUAUUCCAAAGACCGCCUUUGUUACUCGAUAUGGAUCAUACGAGUACACCGUCAUGUCCUUCGGCUUAACCAAUGCACCGACAACUUUCUCUCGAUUGAUGAAUUAUAUAUUCAUGGACUACCUCGACAAAUUUGUCGUGGUAUAUCUGGAUGAUAUUCUGGUGUUUUCGAAGAACAAAGAAGAGCAUGCUGAACAUCUUCGUCUUGUACUGGAUAAGCUUCGGGAGCAUAAACUCUAUGCGAAGUAUUCCAAAUGUGAGUUCUGGCUAGACGAAGUGACUUACCUUGGUCAUGUGAUUUCCAAGGAUGGUAUUGCGGUCAACCCCGAACGAAUUCAAGCUAUUCUUGACUGGACUCCCCCGAAGAAUGUCAAGCAAGUCAGAAGUUUUCUCGGACUCGCCAGCUAUUGCCGUCGAUUCGUCGAGAACUUCUCCAAGAUUGCGAAGCCCUUAACCAACCUGCUUCACAAAGGUGUUAAGUAUGAAUGGACUGAUAAAUGUCAGGAAAGUUUCCAGGCACUCAAGGACAAACUGACAUCCGCUCCAGUACUUGCUCCUCCAGAUACGAAAAGGGAUUUCGUCAUAUACUGUGAUGCUUCUCGUCAAGGAAUAGGUUGUGUCCUAAUGCAGGAUCGCAAGGUGAUCGCUUAUGCUUCGCGUCAACUGCGUGCUCAUGAAGAGAACUACCCAGUUCAUGAUCUCGAGCUUGCCGCAGUCAUUCAUGCAUUGAAGGAAUGGCGACAAUACCUUGUCGGUAAUCGCUGUGAAAUCUACACCGACCAUCAAAGUCUGAAGUACUUGUUCACUCAACCGGAGCUGAACCUGCGUCAACAAAGAUGGAUGGAGCGUAUAGCAGAUUUUGACUGUAGUAUAUCAUAUACCCCUGGCAAGGCUAAUGUAAUGGCUGAUGCCUUAAGUCGCAAGUCAUAUGCAACCACCUCCAGGUUCAUCAGGUUCACGAUCGUCUGCAAGAGGAAUUCCGUAAGCUGAACCUCCACAUUGUUCCUCAGGGUUACCUUGUUCCUCCCCCUGAAGAGUAUCAAAAGAUGAACCUUCGUGUUGUUAAUCAGGGUUCCCUCAGUAACCUAGUGGUUGAACCAGAUCUUGUGAGCUCCAUAAAGAAUAUACAAAACUUUGACGAUGAUGUCGACAGGAUUAAGAGUUAUAUUGCGAAGGGUAAACCCUCCUUUUUCACUGUUGAUGAAGGUGGUGCCUUGUAUUUCAAGGGUCGCCUAUUCGUCCCAAAUAAGAAGGAAAAUCUCAUGAUGACUGGGAAGGUGAUGGAAGAAGCUCAUGACACACCAUUGUCUAUUCACCCGGGUAGUACCAAGAUGUACCAAGACAUCCGGCAAAGAUUCUGGUGGCCCAAUAUGAAACAAGACAUUGCACGCUAUGUGGCAGAAUGUGAUAUAUGCCGGCGUAUCAAAGCAGAACACCAAAAGCCUGCUGGAACUCUGCAACCUAUCUCUAUUCCCGAGUGGAAAUGGGAUCACGUUGAAAUGGACUUCGUCACUGGUUUUCCCAGGUCUCAGAAAGGUAAUGAUGCUAUUCUUGUCGUCAUUGAUCGACUGUCCAAAGUUGCACAUUUCCUGGCCGUCAAAGAAACGAUUAAUGCUAGUCAGCUGGCAGAUCUUUAUAUGUCAAGAGUUGUUUCACUUCACGGUAUUCCGUUGGUAAUCAGUUCGGACCGUGGCAGCUUGUUUACUUCAAAAUUCUGGGAAAGUUUUCAAAAGGCUAUGGGGACUCAUCUGUCCUUCAGCACUGCAUUUCAUCCUCAAUCCCAGGGACAAGUUGAACGAGUCAACCAAAUUCUCGAGGACAUGCUUCGAGCUUGUGUCAUUUCUUUCGGUAAGAAGUGGGAGGAAUCUCUCCCGUAUGCCGAGUUCUCGUACAACAAUAGCUAUCAAGCUAGUCUGAAGAUGGCCCCUUUCGAAGUAUUGUAUGGGCGAAGGUGUCGAACUCCUCUGAAUUGGUCAGAAACUGGGGAACGAUCACUCUUCGGUCCGGAUAUAAUUCAACAUGCCGAAGAUCAAGUCCGCAUUAUUCAUGAGAAUCUGAAGGCUGCUCAGUCUCGUCAGAAGAGUCAGUAUGACCGUCAUCAUCAAGAUAUGGUCUAUCAACCUGGCGAAAAGGCUUAUCUUCGUGUCACACCAAUGAGAGGUGCACACCGUUUCGGAAUCAAGGGCAAGUUAGCUCCUCGUUAUAUUGGUCCUUUCACUGUUCUUGAAAGGCGUGGAAGAGUGGCUUAUCAAUUGGAACUGCCGGCGAACCUUUCUCAGGUUCACGAUGUCUUCCAUGUUUCUCAACUCCGUCGCUGCUUCAAGGAUCCUAUUCGAGCAGUGGAUCACGAUAUGCUUGAGCUACAACAAGACCUCUCUUAUAAAGAGCACCCGGUCCGCAUUCUCGACCAAGCUGAACGUAAGACUCGUCGCAAGGUCACCAAGUUCCUUAAGGUGCAGUGGUCAAAUCACUCCGAAGAUGAAGCCACUUGGGAACGCGAGGAUCAUCUUCGUGAUGAAUACCCCGGGCUCUUUCCCUCUACCUCUUAAUUCUCGGGACGAGAAUUCUUGUUAGUAGGGGAGAAUUGUGACAUCCUCGACUUUUGCUACAGUAGUGAUUGUAAUUAAGCUACAGUGAUCAACCGCUAAUGAUGCCACGUCAUCGAAUUCCCAUCUCUGACCCGCGUGGAUUCGCGUCUGUCCGGAUCGAUGAUUUGAAAGCAAAGGAAAGCACUUUAUCGGUUCAUUACAAGUAUUAAAAGGAUAUAUAUAUAAGGGGGGGGGGAAGUAUUAAAGAAAUAAUAAUGAUAAAAGAAAGAAAAGAAAACUGAAAGAAAGGAUUAAUAAAAAGAAAAGGGAAAAGAGAAAACAAAAUAAAACAAAUCAAAAAAAAGAAGGGAAACAACCCCCCCGUGGCCCAACUGGGCUCAAGGCCCAGCCGGCCACCUCCCGCGCCCCCUCCCGCCAAACCCUAAUCGCCCUCCUGGGCGCCACCCCCCCCACUCGCUACUCCCUCCCUUUCCCACGCCGCCGCCGCCAGCCCCCCCCUCGUGGGGGGGCCCCACCCCACGCGCCAUCUCCUCCCCCUCUCUCGGCCCCCACCUCACGAGAGCCCCCCACCCCCGAGAUCCCGUCGCCCCCCUCUGCCCCUCUCGCCUCUCCCUCCCACGUCACCUCCACCUCGCCCCUCUCGCCUCUCCCUCUCACGUCGCCUCCACCUAGCCCCUCUCCCUCCCGCAGAUCCCCGGCGGCCUCCCCCCCGGCGGCCACUCCUCCUCCCACCGGCGGCCCCCCUCGGUCCCCCUCAUCACGCCGGCGGCCUCCUCUCCCCACGGCCGCCUCCCUCCACCGACCAUCCUCUCCCGGCGGCCCCCCCACCUCUCGGCCUCCACCCCGCCGGCAGGGGCGCCGGCCACCUCGGCCCCCCCAUCUCGGCGGCCGGCCCCUUCCGGGAGGUCCAUCUCCGGCGGCCCUCUCUACGGUGGCCGCCCCUCACCGUCGGCGGCUCCAUCUCCGGGGGGCCCUCCUCACCGGCUCCCCCUCGUCGGCACAUCACCACCAUCGGCACCGUCACCGCCUCCACGUCCGUCUCCACCGUCAACUACGUGCGAACUCCGGCUUCACCGGGCCGUCACGUCACCGUCGGUGAGCCCCUCCUCGGGCUCCUCCCACCGUGUCGAUCUCCUCGCCGCCCCGGUUCCGUUCCGGCAAACGGGGAUGAAAAAGAAUAAAUGGUGUAUUAGAUGCGUAUGUAUGUAUGUAUGUAUGUAUGAGAUGUGAUGUAUGUAUUUGUGUAUUUGGAUAUUUAGAGGAAUACGGUAUUUGCACGGAUAGGUAUCUAAUAAAAAUAAAUGAGAAAAUAACCUUAGGCCACUUACCGGUGGGGCCAAUGCACCGCUGUCAAUGACAGGGAGGCCCCACGCGAUGAUUAAAAAUAAUGUUUUUCUUAAAUAAAUAAAUAAAUAGAUAUAUUAGUUAAAAUAAUUAAUUAACAUAAUUAGAGUAUGACACGUGGGUCCCUCGUUGAAUUAAUCUGAUUAAUAAAUAAUUAAUCUUAAUAAAAACUUGUGCCUAUAACGUUCGGGACCCGCUGGUCAGUUGACCGGUCAAAUGUGAUGUCAGCCUGACAUCGCGAUGAUGUCAUAAUAGGAUUUUACUAAAUCUUUUAAAUCUGUUUUUAAUUCUUAAAUAAUUAAUAAAACUUUAAAAAUUAAUAUUAAAUAAUCCGUAAGUCAGAUCGAAAUAAUUUCAACAUGAAAGUUGAUCAGCAAAGCGAGACGAACCCGGAUACACGGUCCGUUCGUCUGUCACGCGUCCCUAGCAUAGCAAACAUGGGACUUUUCCAUCGUAUCCAUGUAACCGGUAGUAGCCCGAGACCCGGAAAAUAUCGUCAGAUAUUCUUCCGACCCGUCUAUGACGGAUGUUCCUGCGUUAGCUCAUGUCUAGCCUGCAUAUUUCCAUGUCAUGCUUUGUGUUGCAUCGGUGCUAUUAUUUAUUGUUUCUUCCCCCUCUUCUUACCGGUAGACCCCGAGACUGACGCUGCUGCCGGGUACAUCUACGACCCUGCCGAUCAGUCCUUUGCCGCAGAGCAGCAAGGCAAGCAAACCCCCUCUUGAUCAUUCCUAUAUCGCCUAUGUCUUUCUUCCUACUGCUUGCAUUAGUAUUUUGCUACUGUUGUAGUUAGCUCCUAUAUCUGAUGCAUAUCCUGUUUUUGAUGAACUGCUACUUUCAGUCCUGUACCUUUAACCUGCUUAGUAUAGGUGGAGCAGUCAUCCCCUCUGACCCCGUAGAUCAGUUGCCCCGCUUGUUUCCAAAUCUCGAUCUCUGAUCGACGAGCCAGACCCGACACAGCACGUUCACCCUCCUUCGUUGUACGACGCUACAGGGAUACUAUCGGGUACCGAGGGUGACACCUCGCUAAGUACUCCUGAUGAUAUCUCUGUAGUAUAGCUAGUCGGUCAUGGUUAUCGAGGGUGAUUCCUCUUUCACCAUUCCCGAUGACGUCUCUGUCGUGCCACCCCGCGAGUGUGGGACCCCCGAGGGUGAUUCCUCUAAGCCCACCUUGACGGGUACAUCGUUCGGAAUCCAACGAGGGUGAUUCCUCGGAUUCCCCUGAUGUUACAACCACACAGUUACUCGACCAUGUUACUGGGAUCUUCGGCGAUUAGUUGUAAGACGGGUGGAUUCCCGCGAGACUGUGUUGCUGGCCUAAUUAAGAUGCUAAUGGAUUUGGGUAUUUGAUCUGGGUUGGUCGGAGACCUUUUCGCACUAACCGGCUACGCGGAAAGAAUUAUGGGUACUCGGCGUCGCGGUAUCAGCCGAAGCUUUUCAGAUGCCAGCAGUGUAGCGGCGCGCGCCCGAGUGGUCCCGAGAUGCAUCGCGCUUGUGAUUAAGGGAUGCUAGGACUGACGUCGGCCGCCCACGCCACGUGCAGGAGCGUGAAGGGGAACUGGGCCCAUGAACCCUUUGUGCUUAGGAUUUAGACCGGCGGGCUGGCCUCUCUGAUUAGUCUUAGGUGGGGCUGCGACGUGUCGAUAUUCCGAGGCCGGGCAGGACCCAGAAAAGUAUGUCCGGCCAGAGUGUUAUCGAGCGUGACGGGACAUGUGGUGCACCCCUGCAGGGAUGAAAAUUAACUAUUCGGAUAGCCGUGUCCACGGUUACAGGACGACUUGGAGUUGUGCCCCGAUCUUAUACAACUACAAUUGUUACUUAACUGGAAUUAGUUUGCCUCGGGAUUGCUGCCUCGCAGGGAGUCGAGGGAGGAUCCUUAGGCGUGACCUCACUUUAAUAUUGCUGCAACAAUAUGACUAUUAAUGUGUUACCCCCCUGUUCUACUCUCGUCUAUUGCUGCAAGACCCUGAAGAUGCUAGUCUUCGAUAGGACUAGGCAUUCUCUCUCUUUUCUCGCAUUGCUGCAGUCAGUCCACAUAUAACCCCCUUCUUUGAUACUGAUGCAUUAUUAGAAUAGUUCUGAUGUAAGACUUGCGAGUACUUUGGAUGAGUACUCACCGCUGCUUUGCUCCCCCCUUGUUCCCUUGGUCCGUUUGCUGCGACCAGAUGAUGAAGCCCAGGAGAUGGAGGUCCCCGUCGCCGACGACUGCUACCCCGACGGUGCCUACUACUACGUGGAGGCCGCUGAUGAUCAGGAGUAGUUAGGAGGUUCCCAGGCAGGAGGCCUCGCCUCGUUCGAUCGUUGUAUCUUUUGUGCUAGCCUUCUCUAAGGCACCCCAUGUUUUAUGUCUGUACUCAGAUAUUUGUUGCUUCCGCUGACUCGUGUGUUUAUCGAGCUUUCGUAUUCUAGCCCUCGAGGCCCCUGGCUUGUAAUAUGAAGCUGAUGUUAUUUUAUUUGUGUCUAGAGUUGUGUUGUGAUAUCUCCCCGUGAGUCCUUGGGUUUGAUCGUACGCAUUUGCGUGUAUGAUUAGCGUACGAUUAAGCCGAGGGCGUCACAAGUUGGUAUCAGAGCCAACUGCCUGUAGGUAGCCCCCCUUUCCAACUCCUUGGCCGAAGUUGAGUCUAGUGUUUGAAAAAACUUACUAACGCUGAUGUUGUGGCUUACGGGCCCACAUCUCAAUUGGGUGGUAUUAGUAUCUUUUACUCCUUUCCUAUACUCUGGGCUCUACUGUCUCUUCUCUUUCGGGUCAAAGAUUUUACUAACUCUAACUUUAGGUUCUCGAAUCACAUCAAUCCGGAGCGCUGGACUAUCUACUCUUUUUCUCCUGAAUAUGUAUUACACACACUGUCAUUGACAUCCGUCAAUCUUAUUUUCAGAUGCGUCCCGCAAGACAGCACGUGCGCCUGACACAGGCCACCGAGACGACUGGGUUCCCGGCCAUUUUGGUCGAUCUCCUGACCAGGCUGGGAUAUCGCUGGUACCCUGAGUACACUGUGUUCGAGGAUUUCCGCGAGUACAACCAGUACCAGUACCAGGCUGAGGUUCGCAUCUUCGACCAGAGGGGCGGCGAGACCCUCGAGCGCCACGUGUUCUGUGGUAUUGGGGUGUCGGUCGAGAUGGCCGUCCACGAUGCGGCCUACAUCGCCAUCACCCGACUCCGUGGAGCGUACCCUCAUCUGGAGGAGAGCCCUUUCAGAUACAUCCCGCAUGCUCCUGCUGGGGAUGAGACUGGGUCUGAUCUCACUGCCUACGCUUCUGACGUUCGGGAGCGCAACGACCGUUCCUACGUCGCUGUCUGCGCCCCCUACGUGACGCGUCGCUACGACGCGCGGAUUCUGGUGCAGUACACUGAGGCAAUGGAUCGUGCUUUCCGAGCUCUGACUGUGGAGUUGUAUGCUACGCGUGCUCGUCUUUACGACGCGUUGACAGAGCUGCAGCCAUCACACUGUCCGAGGGUUCCACCUAUGCGCAUCCGCGAGCCGAGCAGGACAGAGCUACCAUCAGCUCUCGAGUGGACUGAUGUUGGGGGUAGAACCCCUGCACUUGGACCUCAGCUCCUCGACUGGAUGCGGUACCCUCACCAGAGUCACAACGGGACACAGGGUCCUGCCCCUACCUUCUAUCACCGCCAGCUACCAGGAUUCGAUCGUCCUCUCCGACGUUGAUGUAGCCUUAUCGCUACAUCUCGUUGUGGUACUCUUCCACCGCGUGCCUGCGCGCCGCCUAGUGAGUCCAGGGUAUCGUCAAAUGCGUCCGGGCUAUCGCCAAAUUUCGAGUUUUUAAUCGUUAGUCUGUAAUCGAACUUAUAUAUGGGUCUGUAUGUCGAACUCAACUACUAUGGAGUAUCUAUCGCAUUUCCCUUUCAUUAUGCUUGAUUACUUCAUGAAUGCGUGCGAUGCCUUUCGAUUACUUUAAGCUAAAAUACCCCUGCUAAAUAUUUAACAGGAUGGUUAGACCAGUUGGCCGUCCGCGUGGCCCUGCCAACGAUGCACCACCCCCCGCCUCCUGAGUAUAUGGCGGGGAUGAUCCAACAGUUUGAGCUGAACCGCCAGUUUAUGCAAGGGCUCAUGGAUCAGUUCCAAAGGCCGAACAUGAACCAACCACAAGGCGUGACACUGCAAGACUUCUGCCGUCUCAACCCUGCGAUCUACCGCAGCUCAACUCAGCCUCUUGAUGCUGAUGACUGGCUCCGUGACAUUUCUUAUGAGCUAGAGUCUGCCAAUGUGCCCCUGGCGAGCUAUGUCAACUUUGCCGCCUACUUUCUGAAGGGUCCCGCUGCUCAAUGGUGGGACAGCCACAGGCGCUCUCAGCCCGAUGGAACUAUCAUCACUUGGGCAGAGUUCAAGGCUGCUUUCCGUGCUCGAUACAUUCCCCAGGGAAUCAUGGACCGGAAGAAGCGUGAGUUCCGCAACUUAGUCCAGGGCAACAAGACUGUGGAUGCUUAUCAGCGGGAAUUUCUGGAAUUAUCUCGCUAUGCUGAAGAAGACAUUGCGACUGAUGCACGCAGGCAGGAGAAGUUCCGUGAAGGCCUNNNNNNNNNNNNNNNNNNNNNNNNNNNNNNNNNNNNNNNNNNNNNNNNNNNNNNNNNNNNNNNNNNNNNNNNNNNNNNNNNNNNNNNNNNNNNNNNNNNNUGACUUUAGUUGAUGAUAAUCCCACUAUUUUUGAAGAGCGUCAACUUUGCAUGCAUGUGGAUCAUGAAAAGAAUAUCCUAUGUGAUAGCUAUAUUGUUGAAUUUGAUUAUGAUCCCACAUGCAAUUGUUAUGAGAGAGGAAAAUAUUGUGGUAGAAACUUUCAUAUCACUAAAUUACCUCUCGUUAUGUUGAGAUUGAUGUUGUCUCUUUCUUCUUCCUUGCAUAUGGUAACUAUUGGUUGUCUUGACAAUCUGUUUUCCUAUAAAAUGCCUAUGCAUAGGAAGUAUGUUAGACUUAGAUGUGAUUUUCACAUGCUUUAUGAUGCUCUCGUUGUGCUUCAAUUCUUGUCUUUUGUGUGAGCAUCAUUGAAUUAUCAAUGUCUAGCUAAGGGCGUUAAACAAUAGCGCUUGUUGGGAGGCAACCCAAUAAAUUUAUCUUUUCUUUUUGCUUUCUCUUUUGUUGUGUCCACACCAUCAUAAUUCUGUUAUGAUUGUGCUUUUUGUGUUUCUUUUUGUGUUUGAGCCAAGUAAAACCUUUAUGACUAGUCUUGGUGAUGGUUGUUUGAUCAUGCUGGAAAAAGACAGAAACUUUUCGCUCACGAAAUUAUUUUUAAUUUUUAUCCAGAAAGAGCUUUUGAGUUGAUUCUUUUUGCUUAUGGUUGAUAUGCCAAUUGCCCAAACUGUCGUAAUUUUCAGUAUUUUUUAGAUAACAGUAGUAUACGAAGUAUACAAAUUGCUACAGACUGGUCUGUUUUUGAUAGAUUCUGUUUUUGUUGUGUUGAUUGCUUAUUUUGAUGAAACUAUGGAUAGUAUCGGGGGUACUAGCCAUGGAAAAGUGAGAAUACAGUAGGUACUAGCCAUGAAAAAGUGAGAAUACAGUAAUCUAACACCAAUAUAAAUAGAAAUCAAGUUUGCUACAGUACUUCAAGAGGUGGUAGUUUGUUUUCUUGUGCUAAUGAUAUCUCGAGUUUCUGUUUAAGUUUUGUGUUGUGAAGUUUUCAAGUUUUGGGUGAUGUUCUCAUGGACAAGGAGAUAAAGAGAGGAAAGAGCUCAAGCUUGGGGAUUCCCAAGGCAUCCCAAGCCAAAUUCAAGGACACCAAAGAUCCUAAGCUUGGGGAUGCCCCGGGAAGGCAUCCCCUCUUUCGUCUUCAAUCCAUCGGUAACAUUACUUAGAGCUAUAUUUUGAUUCACCACAUGAUAUGUGUUUUGCUUGGAGCGUCGUGUAUUAUAGGAGUAUUUUCUUUUUGUUGUGUCACAAUCAUCCUUGCUGCACAACUUUUGAGAGAGACAUGCACUCAUCGUGAAUUUGCUAGAGUACUCAUUGAGCUUCGCUUAUAUCUUUUAAGUUAGGCAAUUUAGCUCACAUGUGCUUCACUUAUAUCUUUUGAGCUAGAUAACUUUGCUCUAAGUGCUUCACUUGGAUCUUUUAGAGCACGGCAGUGUCACAUUUUGGAGAAAUAAGAACUCUCGAUCUUCACUUAUAUCUUUUUGAGAGUGCUCUCUCUGAGUAACUUGGUAGUUGGCUUGUGCUAUGAAAGUAGUCCUAAAGAUGAUAGGCGUCUAAAGAGGAUACAAUAAAACUUCCAUAUUCAUGUGCAUUGAUUAGAAAGAGAAGUUUGAUUCCUCUCAAUUAGUUUUGAGACAUGGAUUUGGUAAUAUUAAGAGUUAUGUUUGUAGGGUGUUGUGAAUCUAGUAAUACUUGUGUUUAAGUUAGUGAUUCCCGUAACAUGCACAUAUGAUGAACCGCCAUGUUAGGAAGUCGGAGCAUAAUUGAUUUAUUGAUUGUCAUCCUUUCUGUUGCGGUCGGGAUCGCGCGAUGGUUAACACCUACCAACCCUUUCCCUAGGAGUAUGCGUUUAGCACUUUGUUUCGAUUACUAAUAAAAACUUUUGCAAUAAGUAUGUGAGUUCUUCAUGACUAAUGUGAGUCCAUGGUAUAAAUGCACUUUCACUUUCCACCAUUGCUAGCCUCUCUAGUGCCGCGCAACUUUCGCCGGUGCACAAACCCACCAUAUACCUUCCUCAAAACAGCCACCAUACCUACCUAUUAUGGCAUUUUCAUAGCCAUUCCGAGAUAUAUUGCCAUGCAACUCCCACCGUUCCGUCUCAUGGCAUGUGCCGUCACUUUCAUAUUGCCAUUGCAUGAUCGUAAGAUAGCUAGCGAGAUGUUUCAACGUCAUAAGCCAAGCUAGAUCGUUGCACAUCCCGACACACUGUCGGAGGCAUUUCCUAUAGAGUCCUCAUCGUUCUAAGCAUUGAGCUGUGAGUAAAUUAAAGUGUGAUGGUCAUCAUUAUUAGAGAAUUGUCCCAUGUGAGGAAAUAAAUAAAUAAAUAAAUAAGAGGCCAAAGUUGCCCACACAAAGAGAGAGAGAGAGAGAGAGAGAUGGAAAGAGGCCAAAGAGCCCAAACAAAAUAAAAUAAAAAAGAGAGAAAAAAGAGAGAAGGGACAAUGCUACUAUCUUUUCCACACUUGUGCUUCAUAAUAGCACCAUGUUCUUCAUGAUUGAGAGUCUCUUGUUUUGUCACCACCAUAUGCUAGUGGGAAUCUUAAUUAUAUAACUUGGCUUGUAUAUUCCAAUGAUGGGCUUCCUCAAAAUUGCCCUAGGUCUUCGUCAGCAAGCAAGUUGGAUGCACACCCAUUAGUUCUCCUUUUGAGCUUUCACAUAUUUAUAGCUCUAAGUGCAUCCAUUGCAUGCCAAUCCCUACUCUUUCACAUUGAUAUCUAAUAAUGAGCAUCUCCAUAGACCUUUGAUACGCUGAGUCAAUGUAAUCAUAUCCUCCUUUUUGUCUCACAACCUCCACCACACUCUUUUUCACCUAUAGUGCUAUAUCCAUGGCUCACGCUCAUGUAUUGCGUGAGAAUUGAAAAAGGUUUGAGAAAGUAAGAGUGCGAAAACAAUUACUUGGCCAAUUCUGGGGUUGUGCAUGAUUUAAAUUCGUUGUGUGGGGAUGGUGGAGCAUAGCCAGACUAUAUGAUUUUGUAGGGAUAAAUUUCUUUGGCUUUGUUAUUUCAAAAGUUCAUGAUUACCUUGCUAGUUUGCUUGAAGUAUUAUUGUUUUCAUGUCAAUAGCAAACUAUUGUUUUGAAUCUUACGGAUCUGAACAUUCAUGUCACAUGAAAGAAGUUACAAAGGACAAAUAUGCUAGGUAAAAUUCCACAUCAAAAAUUCAUUCUUUAUCACUUCCCUACUCGAGGACGAGCAGGAGUUAAGCUUGGGGAUGCUUGAUACGUCUCCAACGUAUCUAUAAUUUUUUAUGGUUCCAUGCUAUUAUCUUAUCAAACUUUGGAUGUUUUGUAUGCCUUUUAUAUCUUUUUCGGGACUAACUUAUUAACUCGGUGCCAAGUGCUAGCUCCUGUUUUUUCGGUGUUUUUGACCCUUUUCAGAGGAGAAUAUUAAAUGGAGUCCAAACGGAAUAAAACCUCCGAAAUGAUUUUUUUUGGAACAGAAGAUACGCAAGGAGAUUGAGAACCAAGGCAGAGGGCGCCAAGGGAGGCCACAAGCCACCUAGACGCGGCCUGGGGGCACGCCUAGCAGGCUUGUGGGCCCCCUGUGGCUCCUCUGCCCUACUUCUUCCGCCUAUAAAUCCCCGAAAAAUCCAAAACCACGGGAGAGAUCCACGAAAAUACUUUUCCACCGCUGCAAGCUUCUGUCUCCGCAAGAUCCCAUCUGGGGCAUGUUCUGGUGCCCUGCCGGAGGGGGGAUUCGGAUACGGAGGGCUUCUUCAUCAACACCAUUGCCUCUCCGAUGAUGCGUGAGUAGUUCACCAUAGACCUUCGGGUCCAUAGCUAGUAGCUAGAUGGCUUCUUCUCUCUCUUGGAUCUUCAAUACAAAGUUCUCCAUGAUCUUCAUGGAGAUCUAUCCGAUGUAAUCUUCUUUUGCGGCGUGUUUGUCGAGAUCCGAUGAAUUGUGGAUUUAUGAUCAUAUUAUCUAUGAAUCUUAUUUGAGUUUCUUCUGAUCUCUUAUAUGCAUGAUUUUAUAUCCUUGUAAUUCUCUUCGAGAUGUGGGUUUUGUUUGGCCAACUUGAUCUAUGAUUCUUGCAAUGGGAGAAGUGCUUGGUUUUGGGUUCAUACCGUGCGGUGACCUCACCCAAUGACAGAAGGGGUAGCGAGGCACGCAUCGUGUUGUUGCCAUCAAGGGUAAAAAGAUGAGGUUUAUAUCUAUUGCAUGAAUUUAUCCCUCUACAUCAUGUCAUCUUGCUUGAGACGUUACUCUGUUGAACUCAAUACACUAGAUGCAUGCUGGAUAGCGGUCGAUGUGUGGAUUAAUAGUAGUAGAUGCAGAAAGUAUCGGUCUAUUUGUCUCGAACGUGAUGCCUAUAUGUAUGAUCAUUGCCUUAGAUAUCGUCAUGACUUUGCGCGGUUCUAUCAAUUGCUCGACAGUAAUUCGUUCACCCACCGUAAUAUUUGCUAUCUUGAGAGAAGUCUCUAGUGAACACUAUGGCCCCCCGGGUCUACUUCACAUCAUAUUUUCAGCCCUACACUUUUACUUUGUUGCACUUUCCGCCUUCAGAUCUCACCUUGCAAUCAAUCGUGAAGGGAUUGACAACCCCUUUGUAGCGUUGGGUGCAAGUUUGUUUUUUUUGCACAGGUACAUUGGUGCCUCAUCUUGAUACUCCUACUGGAUUGAUACCUUGGUUCUCAAACUGGGGGAAAUACUUAAUGCUACUCUGGUGCAUCACCCUUUCCUGUUCAAGGGAAAAAAACAACGCAAGCUCGAGAGGUAGCGGGUGGCUUCAGGAUGAGUGAUGUAUUACUUUGUAUGAUCUUUAUGAAUAAUUAAUAAAAUGGUUGCAUGCAUCAUCCACAUGCAAAGGCCGAGGAUUUAUCCUCCUUUUCUAAGAAAAACUAUUGUAUAAAGGAAAUCAAUUGACCAGGCCCUCAAGGUUUGUUAGGAAAGACAUGCUCAGCGGUAAACUUAUCAUGAGUCGUCCAAAGGACCCAACAAAGCACUACAAAAAACAUAGGUAGGCCAUAAUGAGUAGCGAGUGAAGGCAUGAGGUCAGAGAAGUUGUCCAGGUUCCAAUUAACACUAAGCCAAGAACAAACGCAUCUCCAUGCAAAUCUACAGUAGCUAAGACACACCUGAACAAGAUGUGUUAUACAGUAUGUUUCUGUUCUCUCGACAAAGAGAACAGGUCACCACAGCAUUGCCUAAUUUCCUGUCAAAGGAAGAUUUUGAUUUUAAGCUCGAUACAUGUCUUUCACACACCUUUGAAACUAUUCAAGCGAUGUCCUUCCACAUGCCCUUCCUCGUCAGCCGAGAGGCGAAGCCAAGGGAUGUGUUAUUCAUAACUUGGCUUCAAAGAGAGGUCCUUGUGCCAAAGGUUUCAUGUUCUAAAGAUAGCUGUUGAGGGUAACAACAUCGCAAAAAAGUGACAUGUUUAUUUAUUUUAUUUUUCAGAACAUAGACAAAAGAUUUUUCUCGUCCAUUAGCCAAGCCGAAGAGAGUUGUCCAAUUAAUUAACGUAAAACCGGACGAAAACCGUCACAAACUGUUGAGUGACACUCACACAAUACCCCACGCACACCUCACACAGAGUUCGUCAAGGUCACACACGACAUCAUCGUCAUCACCUCUCCCCAACAGACGUCAUCACCGUCCCUUAACUCCGAGCAAGCGAUUCGGACUUCGUGGAAGAUGAACGUCGACCCAACCCUUGCCAUAGAGGUUGUGCAUAAUGACUCACACUCAUCCACACUCAGCCACCCGCACGGAGAGCAGCGCAACUCUGACACUGGAGGAUAGGUUUGAAGAAGAACUAUGCAAGGUAGGCGUCGUGAAUGACCACCGAACAGACCAUCUUCUACCCAUCAUCGUCGCCACAGGAGCCCCGCCCCCGCAGCUCCGACUUCACCAUGACAAAACAAUCCGAGGUAAUCCCGCAAAUGCAUCAAAGAGCCGACUACCACAAACAUUGUCAUGUCUCCCACAUCACACUCUUUCAUCAUCAUUGCCACAAAAGCCUCGACGCCACAACCGCCGCCUACCAUCGAUCCUGCUUGCCGAUAUCGAGCUCCGAGACGAAGCCCCCAAGAGGGAAAACGACAUCAAAGUGUCGUCAUCGUUCGAUUAGAAGAUCAAGGGUUUCCCUUGGAGAGGCGGAGAUGACCGUAUCUGCGCAGGAGGGGUGUGGCAGCAACACAACAAUGCCUCCAGAAAGGCCAACGACAGCCACAGUCGCUGCCAUCACUGGUCAAAACACAAGGUCGAGAUAGGGUCUUCACCCCAGCUCCCACACCACCUCGAUCGCACAUCAUCUCGCAUCGGCGCUGACAAGCCCACCACCAAUGAACCAGCCUGCCAAGGAAGAAGCACUGAACCACACCCAUCGUAGCCAACCGCACCUCGCGGAGACCAACGACCAACACCCUGUGUAGAUCUAUCCACCGCCAACCAAAAACAGAGAUAUCGGACGCUGUUUGACCAGCUGUGCCUUGCCAAGCACCAUCACGGCAAAGGAACAAUGAAGAACUGCCCGAGACCGAAAACCACCACGUUUCCCAGCCACAGCGAUGAACCACACGCGCCAACGUGCACCAUGCGCGCCACCAGUGCCCAUCGUAGACCGGAAUAGAUCCGGCACAAUCACACCCUGCUCCAGCAUGCCCCGCACCUCCUAUCUGCCCAUGGGCCGCCGCCCAGCAUUGUGUGGCUCCGCACGCCCUUCAGCCAGCUGCAACUCUGCACCUUCCCCGGACGUUACAACAGAAGCGUCAUGGAGAGUUGUUCUUUCAUGUAUGAAAUAUUGACCUGUUUUGUCUGACUUAAAAAUGUAGGCGGAAUUGAUAUAUUAUAUGUGUGUGUGUUAUGUGACAAUCAAAUUGCAUUGGCAAACGACAUUACAUGAAAAGCAUGUCUAUUGUAUAUUGGAUGACAUAUGAAAAUUCAAUGAUUAUAUGUAUUUGUGUAUUGCGCAUGUGCAAUGAUGUGUGUUGUUGUGCUGUCGAGGCUACAUUGAUAGCAAUACUUGUAUUAUUAUUGGAGUAGUAGUGCAGCCCCAAUGUGCAAAAGCCAAUAUAAAGUCAUCAUCGACCAAGGUUUUGUCACUGUUGUUGAUCGUAUCAACCCAUCAUUGAUAGAAUUGUGAAAAAUAUCUCCGGCUGGCUAGGUAGAUACCUCACUUAUAGAGGUUUCUGUUGUGUGCUUGCAUUGUAAGUAUACCUACCUACCUGAUGAUUGUUUUGAAAUUUCCUAAAUGGGCAAUUAGUGCCAUCAAUUCUCAGAUGACUCAUUUUUUCUGGAGAAAUAUAGAAGACCAACAUAAAUACCAUCUAGCCCAUUGGGGACUUGUCUCAAGGAAGAAAGUCCUUGGUGACUGUACCCAACGUGAGAGACUUUAACAUGGCCCUUUUGGCGUCGUGGGGGAAUGCUUCUUUGAGAACAAUAAUAGUGAUUGGAAUAAACCGAUUGCUUUUAAAUAUAAUGUGUAAUCCCCAAAUAUAUUGUGGUCUAGGCAACAAGUUGGCUCUCCCUUCAGUGUGACUUGGGCUUUGAAUGCUGCCAAAACCUUUUAUCCCUAAAAAUUUAGGAGGGAAAUGAUAUUAGCUUUUGGCAUGACACUUGGGCGGGGGAUUAUUCCCUGAAAGUUAAAUUCUGGGACCUAUUUGACAUAUGUAAUCAGACUGAUUGCUCGGUACCCAGGUAUGGGAUGGGGCAACACUUAGACUAUUGUUUAGAGGAUGUGUUGAACAGAGGGGCAUGUCCAGCUGACUGCAACUUAUUGAACAUUUGACAAAGUUCCCUCUGGCUCACACAUAGGAUACUCGUGUGGGACUAAAAUCCAAUGGCAAAUACUCAGUAAAGUCUUUUUGUAGCAUCAUCAAUUUCGGAGGCGUGGUUUCUCCCUCUGGGGAUGCUUUAUGGAAAAAUUUAUGUCCACAAAAUAUACAUGUCUUCUUGUGGCUAUGCCUAAAUAACAAGACUUUGACCAGAGAUAAUUUAGCCAAGAGAAGACAUGUGAAGGAUAUGUCAUGCUUGUUCUCUAGUAAAACUCAAACCAUACAAUACUUGUUUUUUGAUUGCAUUAACACUAUAUGGGUGAUGGUGUAUGAGUUCUUUCAUAUACAUAAGAUUUCAUGCUUUGCUGAUGUAUGCAUGUUGUGGAAACUAAACAAGAGUAAACAUGUGCUUAUAUGGUGAUUGUUGCCUCCUUGUGGAGUGUUUGGAGAUUGAGAAAUGAGUUUUGUUUCUAGGGACGCACAUGAAGAGGGUUGGGCUACGGCCUUAUCAAACUAAAAGGAAUCUUGUAAUGCUGGAUGGCUCCGUGCGACGCUGUCUAGGCAGAUCUCCUUCGAUGCUUCGUCCUCCUGCUGGACAAACAUCGGGAAGAGCUCAUGAAGAUAGGCUGGGCCUGAUCGGUGAUUGGAUUCAUGUACUGGCUUGACAUAGGAAAAUGUAAUAAAUCUGUACUAGAUCUUUGAUCAGGUCUUCGAUACCUCCUACUGUGCCCUUUGGCGGUUGUUUUAGAUUGAUCCAGACAUCUAUGUGGUUUUGCCUGGAUCUUUUGAUUUGCUUUCUACUCCCUCUGUUUCUAAAUAUAAGUCAUUUUAGAGAUUUCACUAGAGGACUACAUACGGAGCAAAAGGAAUGAAUCUAUACUCUAAAAUAUAUCUACAUACAUCCAUAUGUAGUCCAAUAAUGGAACCUCUAAAAAGAAUUAUAUUUAGUAGCUGGUAGUAGGCUAUGAACUGAUCGUCUUUGUUUCUCGUUGCUGCUUCAUCAAUAAAAUAAGGCUGGGAAACCCCUCUUUCAAAAAAAAAUGUUCAUUGUAUCCUCGACGCCCACUGUGAAAACUUCACUGGCUGGCCAGCGGCCAGUGAUGGGAAAUCAUCAGUGAUCAGCCAAACAGCAUGUCUCACAGGGACAGAGAUCAGGUGACAUGUACGUUUUGCAUGUCAUCGUUUUGCAUGUCAUCGUGUGCCUUACUGCCUAAAUUCAAAUUUAAACACUACUAAAAAAUCUGAAAAAAAACAUGCAUGUUCACAGCACAUAUUAAGAUAACCCCUAAAAAAUUCAGAUCAAAAUUCGAAAUAUACAUCGAGAAACAAAAAAGAGAAAUCUCUCAUGAAUAGUUCGCGAAUGGUUCUCUGUAGGCUAUUCACAUCUGAGUUUCUCUUUUUUGUUUCUCGAUGUAUGUUUCGAAUUUUGAUCUGAACAUAUUAAGAGUUAUCUUAAUAUGUGUUGUGAACAUGCAUGAUUUUUUUAAAGUUUUUUACAAUGUUUAAAUUUAAAUUUAGACCGCAAGACACACGGUGACAUGCAAACGUGAUCUCUGUCCGUUUCACAGUCCGAGGUAUAUCAGCGAUGAUAUCUUUUGGCCGAUACUGAAAUACAUAUGCAACGUCGGUGAGAUGACAACUUAGAAAGGCACAAUCAACAUGGGCAUCGCCAUAUCUGGCACAGUCCCAGGUAAAUCAGCGAUGAUAUCUUUUGGCCGAUACUGAAAUACAUAUGCAACGUAGGUGGCAUGACAACUUAGAAAGGCACAAUCAACAUGGGCAUCGCCAUAUCUGUCACUCCAGUAUGCGCAUUUCAAUUAGGGGCGUUCACCGGGUGAUUUUUAAAAAUUAUCCGUCACCUAGUUAGCCGUCAGAUGCCGAUCUAACGUCCCGCAUCUCCGCUGCAUGGUCAGUAGUUAUUUCCUGAAACGACGCUCAAGUUACGGAAACUUUCGCUUUGUCGCAAGAAAUAAACUUUGGAUCCGUUAAUUCCUGAAACAACGGUCAAGUUUCAAAAACAAUUUGCUUGUUACAGAUUUUUUUCUUCGUCUUCAGGAAUUUUUGCAACGAAAGUCACGUUGCAGAAGCACUACCCAGUCGGGAUCCAUGCUCGACGGAGAGUCAGGCACGCGAGCUCGCCUUGGGAUGCUGCAGGAACAAGCAGGGAAGCUCCCCGACGACGGGAUCUGACCAGGGAAGGCGAGAUGCCGAUCUAACGUCCCGCAUCUCCGCCGCAUGGUCAGUAGUUAUUUCCUGAAACGACGCUCAAAUUACGGAAACUUUCGCUUUGCCGCAAGAAAUAAACUUUGGAUCCGUUAAUUCCUGAAACAACGGUCGAGUUUCAAAAACAAUUUGCUUGUUACAGAUUUUUUUCUUCGUCUUCAGGAAUUUUUGCAACGAAAGUCACGUUGCAGAAGCACUACCCAGUCGGGAUCCAUGCUUGACGGAGAGUCAGGCACGCGAGCUCGCCUUGGGAUGCUGCAGGAACGAGCAGGGAAGCUCCCCGGCGACGGGAUCUGACCAGGGAAGGCGGCGUGGUCCCGUUGCUUGCCGGACUGGAGAGGAGGCUGGUCCCGUUGCUUGCCGGACUGGAGAGGAGGCUGGUCCCGUUGCUUGCCGGACUGGAGAGGAGGCUGGUCCCGUUGCUUGCCAGACUGGAGAGGAGGCGGCCAGCGAGCUCUUGGCUUGAUCCAGUGGAAGUCGAUCGUCUCCACGCCUGGGUUCCCUCCUUUUGCGGUCAACUACUUCUAAGCUGCAUGAACAAAUUGUUUUAGGAAAACGGUCACGGCUCGUCCGUCCGGCCACGUGGCAAACAAAGGUGGCAGUGGACGCGAUAGCAGAAUCAGCCGGCUGGAAGGUAACGUUUCCCUUUCAAUUGAGUGCUGCACCCGCAGGUUUUUCCGCGAGGCUGACGAACAGCUGAUUUCUGAAACCAUUGACGCUAAAAAUAAACAGCUUCAGCCUUUAAUCUGUACAGAGCUGCACCCACUGCCUGAACCUGAAGCUACUUGUCAUGGGACAGAGCGUGCUCGGGCCGAUGUGUGAACUCAUAGUCGAGGUGGACGAAGGCGCGCUCGAUCUCGGGCAGGCACUCCAGCUUCUCCUGCAGGGCCUCACCGAUGUCGUGCGCCUCCUUCAGCGGCAUGCCCGCCGGCAGCACAAUGUCCACCUCCACAAAGUAGUGCGAGCCGAACGUGUAGGCGCGCACCGUGUCGAUGUGCCUCACGGCCUUGUGGUGGUUCCAGCAUAGGUAGGUCAGCUUCUGAAGGUACUCUGGCGAAGCCGACUGCCCGACAAGCGAGUGAACGUUUUCCAGCACCGUCAUCGACCAUGUCCUGAUGGUGUAGAUUGCUAGCUGCAAAUGAAGAACCAACUCAUGAUUAAUAUUUUUCUCUGAAAAUCAACUGUUAAUUUCAAAAUAGCACACUGUCCGCUCUUUCACUCGUGUUAUUCGGUUGUCGUCAUUUUUGGAGCCAGGCAACUGAAGGAAGUGAUCAAUAUUGGGAUGCAGCUUCGGAUACAGAAGGAAGAAGAGAUCAAUUGCCAUGAAAAUAAGACAGAAGAGAGGGAAGGGGAACCACUUACAAUAAUUGCACCGACUGGGUCGAUCCAUCCUUCAAAAUAAUUUGCUAGUAGUGCAGCCACAAGACCAAUUAUAUUAGUGAUCACAUCGAAAAUGUGAUCCUGUGCAUAAGCCUUGACAAUUUCAUUGGUGAAUGUGCGGCAAUAUAAAGCCAGGGCAAGUUUCACCAGCGUCACUGAGAGCAUGAUGUCCACAACCCACUUUUCCUGCUCAUUUGUCAAACUGAAUUCACCUCCCUAGAAAAUGAUAGGAUAAUAUGAGCAAACAAAAUUUAUAAUGGAAGAACUAAAGUUUGUAUCUAAGAGUCAUAGUUCCAGAGUAAGGGAUACAUAGAUGUGGUUCAAAAGGGAACUGCGCAGGAACAAAGGUUUUGCAAACUAUAUUGAUAAAAAAGGUACUCCCAGACCUACAUUUUUCAGAGGGAACUGUGCAGCAACAACAGUGGUUCAAAAGGGAGAAUUUCAGAAGCUCACAUUACAGCUGCCAUGGCCUACAUUUAGCUAAUUAUUUGCCAGACCACCAAAAAAAGAGAAUGUGAUAAGUCCGGGUACAACGUAACAAGAAAAGGUUUAGUAGGAAAAGUAUAGUGCUUAUAGCAAAAUCUUUAUUUCUUUUAAGGAGCAGAGUUGGCAAAAGCACACUGGUCAUGGCAACUGGGAAACUUAACUAGCCAAAAUCAACACAAGGCUUCUGUCUUCACAAUAAGGAUACAGAUCAAGGCUUUGACGAAGAAUUACUCUAUUAAUAAAUGGUAUCUAUGAUACAAAACCACGAAUAGCUGGAAGUACUGUUGAAAACGAAUCUAGUGACACCAAUUUCAUGUCAUAAAAUACACAUAUUAACAAAGCAAUUCCUGGGCAAGCCUUGUCUUAACGAAACCAAACAAGCAAUUAUUUAGUCAAUUCACAGUGUUGUCGUAGAAGUGAUUUAGCGAACUUAAAGUGGCAACAUAUGAAAUGUAUCAAAGUAUCAAAAAUACGAAACACUAGUACAAUGGGCAGAAUGAUUUUAAUAUGUCAUAAACCAAAAGGACAAACAUUUGACAUGAUCUAAAUCCAAAGAAGUUAUAAGAUAUGAAAUAAUGAAAGUACUUUUUGAGAUAAAUUUAUCUACACCAUUUUAAGGCGCCUCUAAAUACUUUCGAAUAUAUGUGUAAGUAGUUGAAGUUUGACUGUAAUCGUGUCCAAAAUAGCAGCAUUUAGUGAACAGGAGGGACUAUGUGUUAGUGAAUAGUGAUACUGAAAUAGCAAGGCUUCCACACAGCUAAUGUUGAAAAGCAGUACAGGAAAGUUAAUAAGCGAACAGUGUUCUGAUGCCCUGGUGAGUUGGGGGAGAUGCAAGUGCAACUCGUGAUUUUUUUUAAAGAAAUGUCCUUGGAGAAAUUUCUGCUAAAAAAGACAGUGAAGAUAAAAAAAAGUAUUUCGAAGCUGACAAAAACAGUGGACUUACAUCAGACAACAGUGAUCGAGUUGAUUCUAAGAUGAUCUGAAGGCCAAGCGUUGCCAUAACUGAGGCAAAGACAAGUAUUCCCUGGAGAAAGGUUAUCAUGAAGCUGUGAACAUACUGAAAAGUAAGCAAAAAAUGUGCAAUUCCUUACAGUACAAGAUGUGCCAGAACAAUUGUGAAUCUAAACCGGAAGGGUCGAAAGAAAGUAUAUUCUAUAGUUUUUAGGCUUACAAUUUCAUACUCCCUCUGUCCCAUAAUAUAAGAGCAUUUUUUACACUACACUAGUGUAAAAACCGCUCUUAUAUUAUGGGAUGGAGGGAGUAUACCACACCUAACUGGCAGCUAACGAAAACAAAAAUAAAUAAAAAUAGACAGGGUUACACUGGAACGCGCAGAGUGCCUUAGAAGUUAGAGCACAGUAUUAAGUCUUCUUAAAUCACAAAGCUGCAUCAUACGGUAUAAUUUCACCACUUCAUUCAAUCUUUUGCAUUAACUUAUUUUCUUUCCUGAUCUAAUAUCCGUUUGCAUUUCUUUUCAGAGUGCUACACAAAAUCACUGUUGAGAGUAAAAGUAGUAACUGAAGUAUGUAACACCUAUACUGAAUAGAACUAACUAAUAACACCAUUGAGACUGGUCAAAUGGAUUAUAAGAAUAGUUCCCUACAAAAGGAACUACAGGAAGUACAUGUUGAAACAGAACUCACCAGCGGCUGCAUACGCUUUUUACCAAUUGGGUAUCUGUAGGGAUUUGGUGUUUGCAUAGAAAAUGCAGUAAACCAUAAGAUGAACCCUGACAACAAGUCAAGAAGAGAAUCCAAAGUGGAAGCUAUAAUAGCAAGCGAGCCACUCCGUACUGAAGCAUACACUUUUGCAGCAAAAAGAACCAUGUUUGCAAUGUUUGAUAGCCGGAUGGCUAAGGUUUCACUCCUAGCAACCUGUUCACGCUCUUCCUGCAGGUAGAUAAGUUUCAUUUAAUUUUUAAGUUAGGUGUCCUCCCUAAUGUCACAACCUGAAGCUUAUUUAUAGAACAGACCUUGGACAUUCCAGGAAGAAAACCACGAUCGGUCAGCGCAUCCAUUUCAUUGAAACCCUCUAGCAUUUCCACUUGCUGUUGGUAGUAUUCAGCGACAACAUCCUCGGGAGCUUGACCUGCAGAUAGAAAUAAAGAUCUUAUAUGGAACCUUAGGUCAUCUCCAACGCGGAUCACCAAAUUUCCGCCCGUAAAUGCCCACGGACACAUCCGGCCAAGUGGAGGCCAUCCAACCAUGAUCACCAAAUGUCCACAUGAAAUUCGGACGAAAUUUAGCAAGUUCAAUAUAUUACAUGCAAAACGGAUGAAAUCUAACAAGUUCGAAAAUCGAAACAAACCUAGAGUAAACUAAACUAUGCAUAGUAGUGGGAAGUGACCUCAUAGGCGUGGCCGUUUGAGUUGUCGUCGUCGUCACACCAAUGGCGAAAGGACCGUUGGGCGUUGCAGCAUCCCCGCCCAGCCGCGGCGGCGCAAACGCUCGACCACAACCUCCACCGCCUGGCAUGGCUUGUCGGCGGCGGCUUGGAGGCCGUCAGCCCCGCAUGGAGGAGCUGGGUGUUGAGCUGGCUUUGACGACAGGCAUAUGACUCGAUGGUGGUCUUGGACCGGUAAAGGGACCAAGCGUCGGCAAGCAUGGGGUCCACAUGCACCCAGGCGACGCCACCCGAGUCUUGGUGAACGUCGCCUUGUGUUGUACCGCUCCCGACGGCACUCCUCCCCCAUGACUUUUCACUUGGACGACAACUUGGCGCCAGCGUCGCUACCUUUGAGGUAACAGUGGAGGCGUGGGUAGCUUGGACGGUAGUGGGGAGGACGGCUUAUCCUUGACGGCGGAAGGACCAGACGCCCGGUUGGCGAAGUGUUGGGGACGGUGGGGCCUCCUUCACACGGCGAUGUACGAUUUGGAUGUCAUGGUUGCACGAAGUGGGCGGCAAUGGCGGACCACGAUCGGUCAACGACCGGAACAAUGCCUCGUCCAUAUGUGUGGUGAACUCGUCAUCCAUAGACGCCACCGCACGAGCAAGGGCGGCUACUGCUCCUCUUGUCCCGAGGAGAUCGGCACCACCUUCAUGGUGGACAGAGCAAUGGACGACUACGGGCCUGGUAACCGUGGGCGACGUCCUGAGCUGGACCUGGAGCUGCCCCUGGUGACUGGUUGGAGCGGUAGCUGCCGAGCGGCCGCCAUGCCCCGAUCUUCUCAAUGUCCGUUCUUGCCCAUCGCAACGGCCGGAGGUGUGGGAGGGGAGGAGUGUGCAGAUAGGGUAGAGGGGGUGAGCCGAGUUUAUAGCCGGAGUAGGCUUCUCAGUCACCGUGCCGCCAAGAUUGUGGGUAUGGGGCAGGCCUGUCAGUCGGUAUGAUUACACCGAGGUUCUAGAGCCAGACAGUCGGAGAGGGUUUGUGGUGGGUCAGGGCUGUCAGAUUCCGAAGUGGUAGACGUCCAGACUCCCCCAAAGUACCCCUGAUUUGAGGCCAGGUAGCUGGAUUUUGGACAUUCGAACCAGUCAAACCCGAUUUGGUGACCCCGCAGGAGCUUUAAAAUUGUAUGAACUGAUUGGUCCGGACAUUUGCGGGCGUUUUGAUGAUCCGCGUUGGAGAUGCUCCCAUUCCAUUCCAUGUGCGUUAGAGCAAGUACAAUAGAGCUGAGUCAGCUGGCUAUAAGGAAUAAAGUAGUAUAUUUUUGCUUAGUUGGAGGAGAGAGAAGAGAGAAGGUAAGCGGGCUCUUAGUUAAGAGCCAGCUCUAGCACGUGCUCCUAGGCACUUUGUGAGAAUGGAUGGUGGGUCAUAUAAUAAAUAAGUAGUACACUCUUCUAACCAACUAUUGGACAUGUUAGCUAUAAGAUGGGCUAUAGGUGACAUGGCAUGAGCUUACAGCCCGCAGCCGGCUCUACUAUUAUACUUGCUCUUAAAAAGGGAAAGUCUCAAACAGCUCACGUGCUAUCCUAGUUAGAUCCUACAGUCCUUUUAUCCUUGUCAUCCAGUCCCCAACUACGAUAAUUCUGCUGACCUCACAUAGCACCUUCUUUUCAGGGAUAUGCAUGAGCAGUGCAAGACUGAAAGAACUGAACUUAAAAAAGCACAGAUUGCCCUUCCCACAUAUGGACAAUAUGCAAUAUCAGAGAAGCUCAAGAAGAAAAACAUCAACGGGAAACUACACAUUUCUGAUAAGCUAGCAUAGGAAGUCGAAUCUGGCGAACCACCACCGUCAGUAUCCAGAACCCAAUCUCCAUAUCCGAAAAGGACUGGUUAUAUCCUCUUACCAGGAACCAAAACAAAACAGAAAAGGGUUAAACUUUUACAUAAUCAUCACGAGUUGCAUAAAAGCAGCCGCCCCAUCGAGGAAACCAAGCUUGCCAAAUCACGAGACGCCAUGGACCAAGCACCAUGGACGCGCAUCGGCGUAUAAAGAGGGUAGCACGAGCACGCCAGUACGCCAGCACCAGUGUCAGGGAAAAGGAAGAGGUGUCCUACCUAUGACGCCGAGGCAGUGGUGGUGGAGCCGUCGGGCGGGCCUCUCCUGGCGCGCCUCAGGCGGGCGGAGGCCGUCGAAGUUGAGGCGCCAGGACUUCUCCUCCGCGGGCGCCGCGCCCGCCUCGACGGCGGCGAGCAGCCGCAGCUCCUCGCCCUCCCCGCCGGCCGCCAUUUCCGAACCCUAGCCGCCGCCGCCGCCGUUUCUGUCGACUUUCGCAACGGAGGCCGGGGAGGAAUGGAAGAGGUUGGGAGUUUGCGCCGUCGAGCAGAGCGAAUUAAGCGGCUACUAAAUGGAGUAGUGCGCGCGUCUCGAUGUGAUUGUGAUUGAAGACUGCGGGAGGCUCGGUGUCUUUCUUCUGGGCGCACCGGGUCUCUACGCCCGCGUCCUGGCGGGUGGACCCGGCAGGGAACAGCGGUUCACCGGUCUAGUGCAUCCGGUCUACGGACCGCUUUCGGUGGGCCGGCUACCCGGGGGGAAAGGUGGCGCCGUGGCAGGCAGGGGCGUGAUUUGAGAGGAUGCGAAUCAAUGGUCCGUCUGCGACAUGUUGAGGAUACGAAUCACUGGCCGUUUAUUAAUGUGAUAAUAAUAAUAAUAAUAAUAAUAUAGGAGUAUCUGCCAAGUGCAUGGUCAAUGAAUUUAUCCUUGAUCAUUUUUUGUUUAGGUGCUAAUAAUUGAACAGUACUCUUGUCUCUGCUGCUGCAUGUUGCCCAUAUGGUGAUACGGUCCGUGUGUUGUACUACCGCCUGCUUCUCCUCUUUGAGGCAGAAGAAACGAACAAGAUGAGCAUGACCACGGGACUCUCUCUUGUCUCGAUCCCAUGACUCCAAGAGAGUUCGUGUGCAACAUAGAAUUUUGUAGCAAGAAGUCAAGAAGGGCAAGGGAGGAAACAAACAAUCUGAAUAUCCGUAAGAAUGCCUCCGGGAACCAUUUUAGUAUAUCAAACUGGUACUACUAACCAUCUACCAAAAGCGGUCAAAUAUUCGAGUGGCGGAGUCAAGAAGAAGAGCAUUUGAUUGCACGAGGGCGGGUGCAGUUAGUUGGAGCCGUCAAGCAAACUCGCUUGCGGAAAAUGUUGCUUUCCAAGGGCCGAACGAGUGGACCACCACCGUCUCGCAUUUUUCUUCAGGUCCGUUUCUCUCGAGUCUCGGCCACACGGCGGCGUACUUCGUCGACGCCACCGGUUCUGAUUGAAACGUGUGGCCGAAGAUCGCCGGAGAUUCGCGCAUGCUACCGCAGAAUCGCGGCGAUCUUUCUCGUCGAAGGAGUGUUACUGACAGUGCUGCAAUCGAGCGACGGUCUGUUCUUAGGCUGGUUGUAGUGGAUGUAUAAUAUAUUAGUAUCAUACAUAUGAUACUAGUGUAUGAUACAACAACCGUAAUACAUAAUAUUAUAUGUUAGUUUAUUUAUUAUCAUGUAACAUAUAUACUCCUACUACUCUUAAAUAUAUGGGGUGUUUGUUUCCGGGGAUUUAUUGAUGUAGGGACUAAAAAAAGUCCAUUUUAAUUUCAUGUGAAACAAACAGGAGGGACUUUUAGAAACUAAAAGGAGGUAUUUGAUACUAAGUCUGGUUGUAAUGGGAGUAUCAUAAGUAGUAUCAUGCAUGUCAACUAGGCAUAUUUGAUGAGGUGACAUGGAAUUAAAUGAAGAAAGAGAGAGCUGAGUAUCAUAUUAUGAUACGUAUCAUAUUAAAUGUUGUGCUACUAUGUAUCAUGCAUGAUAAUAAAUGAACCGUUCUAUGAUACUAGCGCAUGAUACUAUGCAUUAGAGCAAGUAUAAUAGUAGAGCCGGCUGCCGGUUAUAAGCUCAUGCCAUGUCACCUAUAGCCCAUCUUAUAACUAACAUGUACUACAAUAGUCGGUUAGAAGCGUGUACUACUUAUUUAUUAUAUGACCCACCUUCAUUCUCAUAAAGUGUCUAGAAGCACGUGCUAGAGCUUACUCUUAACUAAGAGCGCGCUUACAUUCUCUCUCCUUCAACUAAGCAAAAAUAUACUAUUUUAUUCCUUAUAGCCAGCUGACUCAGCUCUAUUGUACUUGCUCUUACGGAUUAAUAUCAUACACUAGUAUCAUAUGCAUGAUACUAGUAUAUGAUACUUUCAAUACAACCAACCUAAAGGAAGAAGUCCUUUUGAGAGGGUUUUUUUUGAGACUUUUUUUACACUUUGUCCAACAGUGUCCUUACUUUUAGCAUAUCAUUUAAUAACUUCUAGUAGUACUAGAGGUAACAUGGCCUUUUUGUCUGUCAUUUAAUGACCUAUAGUCCCUGGUUAAUCCCUAAAAAACGAUAAAGACUAAGAAUUUUUUAGUUGAGACUAAAAAAAAGCCUAAAACUUUUUAAAGAAAACAGGGCCUACCUUGUCGACCGAAAGGAAGGUCCCGCUUGUUUCCGUCGCUACCGGGAACAGGCGGUGACCGCUGCGUCCCGGAGUGAUGGAUGGUGGCUGUGCCGGAGCCGGACCACUCGACGAGGACGCCAAACAACGUGGAUCGCGAGGAAUCGAGGAUAUUCCACGGGUGGAUGGGGUCGUUGAAGCCUGGAAGCCGGUGACAGAAAAAUCAAACAAGCUUUGUUGUAUAGUGCGUACAAGGUAGAACAGAAACAGAGGGUAACUUUGAAGAUGAUCGGGUUGGUGGAGCCAACAUUUCGGAUCAGCAACGCGUAUGCAUCCGUUGAAAACCAUGCUCGUUCUGAGAAUUAUAUACGGGCUCUGGUCCAACGGACUGCCUACGUGUUCAACGAGAACCGCAGGAAAAAGGAUACCGUCGGCCGAUCGACGAAAGCAUCCGGUCAUCCCCAUGAAAUCAGCUCCGCCGAGUCGGGAGCUCGCUUCAGAACACAAGUAGGAGUAGUCUCUUCAAAACACUUCUCCUGCAUUCUACUUACCACGACCGGCUGUUCAUGACGGUGAGGUUCUUGGCGAUGCGUGUCCGCUAUCUCCAUCUGGAGGCCAACAGUGAACUCUCCUGCACGGCCAGACUGACCGCAGCUGGACGUCGUCGUCCCCCGGGGAAUCGUGUGACCCGUCGGUAAUGACACGUCCUUGUCGGAAUCCUAUCGUACCUGCUGGGGAAGGGAGGUGACUGUAACGUUGGACUGUCGAGUCGUCGUCUCAGCUGUGCACGCACGGGAGAAGACGGAUUUAAAAACGUUUCUUGGAAGACUUGCGACCUAGCUUGAACCAGCGAUUAGAAAAUGUAUUGUGUGAUUCUGUCCAUCUACCAAGAAUGUGCCUUGUGCCAGACGCAUUCUCGUUGUGUCUGCACGCACAAAAUAAAAUAUGCUGUCGCCAUCCAGCAAAUGGAUAUAUCGUGUGUGUAACUGAGAAUAUGUUUUGGCUAAAAUGUUGUGAAAUUGUGGAAUCAUUUCCGUUGAGCCCCGGCAAUCAAUUGGAUCCACCUAUGUGCCCUCCUAGCUGUUGGUGUAUUAAAACAAGAGUUAGGCGUGGCUAUACGUAAGAGCAUGUGUAACAUACCCCGUAAAAGGAUGACUUGUAAAAUGGUUUUGCAGGACGUCGCGGAGCGAUUUUACGGGGUUAUUUCGUGCCCCAAACAUUGUAGCAUCUCUAGCAGACCCCUCCACAGAAGUUGUUUACAGUUCGCGAAAAACGGAUUUUACGGGCUGACGCGGGUGCGGACAGAGGCAGACCACCCAAAACGGGCCCCUAUAAAAGCAUAUUCGCAGAAGAUGCUGCUAUGCGGGGUCUGUUCGGGCGUCACCCUGUUGACCCGCAAACCGAAUAACCAGUAAAUCAGAAUUACUCAUCAUGUGCAAAAUAAGUAGAAUGUCAAUAUUACAAAUACAGUAAUCAUCCGAAAUACAAUAAUUAUUCAAAUCAUCAUAGCAAACUAAAUGAAUGUCACACAUGCAUAUAAAACUUGUCCCAUAAACAAAUCACACAUGAAUGAAAUGAAAAUGAAUGGAAAAAUGAAAUGUUACUAUUGCCCAGCCCUUUGCCAAUGGUGCUCGGUGAGAUCCUUCUGAAGUUGAUAGUGGGUGUUUGCAUUUUCAAUCUUCAUCUAGGUCUGAAGAAAAGCUCUGAUUCGGUUAGGGUUUCUAGCUGGUUUGACACGGCUGCCCACAUUAUCAUAUAAAAACUCUAAGUUCAUGCCUCUCUCAUCUUCGAGAAUCAUAUUGUGAAGAAUAACACAGCAUGGCAUGAUGUUUUUUAAGGAUCGCUUGUCCCAAAACCGAGCAGGACCACGAACAAUGGCAAACCUAGAUUGCAAAACCACAAAUGCUCUUUCAUUGUCUUUUCGGGUUGCCUCUUGUGCCCUUGCGAAUUCAGACUCUUUCCUACUUUGGGGGUCUUUGAUGCUCUUCACAAAUGUGCACGAAGAAGGGUAUAUACCAUCUGCAAGAUAGUAUCCUUUUGUGUAUGCAUGCCCACCGAUACUAUAGUUGCAAGCUAGAGCAUCACCACUAGCAAGUCUAGCAAGCAAAUGAGACCGUUGCAACACAUUGAUAUCAUUUAGAGUACCUGACAUACCAAAAAAGCAAUGCCAAAUCCAUAAAUCGUGUGAAGUUAUGGCCUCUAGCACAAUUGUUGCAUCACCAGACUUGCCAUAAUACAUUCACUGCCAUGCUUUUGGGCAAUUUUCCAAGUCCAAUGCAUGAAAUCUAUGCUUCCUAGCAUGCCAGGCCAACCUCUUCUUUCGCUAAAUGCCAUCAAUUUUUUGUGUCUUCCUCGUUCGGUGCCCAAAGAUAUUUAGGACCAAACACACGGACAACCAUUUUGGCAAACCUAGAUUAUUGACUCUAGUGCAAGUGGGAGACUCUUGAAAAUAUGCCCUAGAGGAAAUAAUAAAAUAGUUAUUAUUAUAUUUCCUAUUUCAAGAUAAUCGUUAUUAUCCAUGUUAUAAUUGUAUUGAAUGGAAACACAAAUGCCUGUGUGGAUACAUAGACAAAACACUGUCCCUAGUAAGCCUCUAGUUGACUAGCUCAUUGAUCAAAGAUGGUUCAGGUUUUCUAGCCAUAGACAAGUGUCGUCACUUGAUAACGGGAUCACAUCACUAGGAGAAUGAUGUGAUGGACAAGACCCAAACUAUGAACAUAGCAUGUGAUCGUGUCAUUUUAUUGAUACUAUUUCCUGCAUGUCAAUGUAUCUGUUCCUAUGACCAUGAGAUCAUACAACUCCCGGACACCGGAGGAAUACCUUGUGUGUAUCAAACGUCACAAUGUAACUGGGUUUGUCACUCCGUAUGACGGAGAGGUAUCUCGGGUCCCACUCGGUAAUAAAACAUCACAAACAAAGCCUUGCAAGCAAUGUGAUUAAAGAGUUAGCCAUGGGAUUUUGUAUUACGAAACGAGUAAAGAGACUUGCGGGUAACGAGAUUAAAAUAGGUAUAGAGAUGCCGACGAUCGAAUCUCGGACAAGUAACGUACCGAAGGACAAAGGGAAUGUGAUACGGGAUUAACUGAAUCCUUGACAUAGAGGUUCAACCGAUAAGAUCUUCGUAGAAUAUGCAGGAUCCAAUAUGGACAUCCAGGUCCCGCUAUUGGACAUUGACCGGAGAGUGUCUCAGUCAUGUCUACAUAGUUCUCGAACCCGCAGGUUCUUCACACUUAAGGUUCUGUGACGUUUCAGUAUAGUUGAAUUAUUGAUGUUGGUAACCGAAUGUUGUUCGGAGUCCCGGAUGAGAUCUCGGACGUCACGAGGGUUUCCGGAAUGGUCCGGAGACGAAGAUUGGUAUUGUAACGACUAAGAUGUGGCCCUUUCCUUAUUUGGGGGCGAGGCCUCAAAAGGGGAAAGAGGCGCAUCUAUGCGUUUCGCAAACAAGAUAAUCAUAGCAAUAUAAAUAACUGAAAGAGUGACAAGUAGGGCAUACACUUGCCAUCUGAUAAGGUACAUAGUCGUACAAUCAUACAUUAUUCAAAACAUGAGAUGGUCCGACUACGGACAAGAUAAACGACAAAAGCUAUGAUAUCCCGCAUAUUAGGCCCACGAUCACGACCACAGCCUCUAGUCCUCCGAAUAAGUCACAUACAAACCGCCGUUGUCCUCAUCAAACUCCCACUUUAGCUGAUUGUCAUCGGGAACUCCUGCAUCAGGGGUGCCUAUACCUGUGGGUGUUUGUAGUAAACCGUGAGCCACGAGGACUCGGCAAUCUCAUGACCUUGGCAUCUAAUCCAACUAAGUUAAAUGAGUGAGGUAGGUUAAGUGUUUGGGUUUACAGCAUUCUAAGCACAUAUGGUGGCUAUAUUACGAUGAACAACAAUUAGAUAUGGUAGUCUACGCAAGACGGUCGAAGACUAGGUUGAUCACUAAGUGAUCCUGAACACCUACUUACGUCAUUCAUAACCCCACCGUGUUACAGUCACGGUUAUGCACUUAGUUGGCGAGUUUUAUUUGAAUUACUUUAAGUUGUCUAGAACCGUAUGUUAACAAAGUAUCCAUGUUUGCCACAUAACCGCGGGCACGGCUUUCCAAAAGAUUAAACCCUGCAGGGGUGCUCCAACUAGUCCAUCACAAAUUACCACAGGUCGCAUAGCAAUUCUCUACCACGAAACUCGUGAUCUCGUCGGAUUCCUUAAAGGAAAACCUCCACUCCGAGAAGACCCAAAGUCUCACCGGAAUCCCAAUGCGCAAGAUAUUUCGUAAAAGGUAAGACUAAUCUAGCAAGGCCGCCCGUCGUGUCGACGAACCCGAUAGGAGCCGUGUAUCUCGUUCUCAGGACACGACGGAUGGGCAGGAUGUCGGGUUGGCUAAAUCCUGGGUGACCAGGGGGCGCCGGACAUCGCCGGGUUUGGACCAACACUCAUGAGGAGCACUGGCAUGGGUUGUUGAUUUAUUCCUCGGGGUAGCUAUUCCCUAUGCUUUUUAUUAAGUUGUUAGCAAGUUAACACCAAAGUUGGUCCUGGCUGGAAAAGCUUUAAUCGAAAAUGAAUUAUCAAGGCGGUCCCCAUACCAAUCCUGAACGUGUUAGGAGCGCUCAGUUAUGGAAUGGAACACCGGUAGUCGAAACUAAGGCGGCAACAACGGAACAAAUCACCCGGCAAAAGGCUAGGCCUUCCAUUAUUUACCAAGUAUACAGGUGCGUUAAUUAAAUAACAAUUAAUAUAAUGAUAUCCAAUUGCCCAUGUUAUCACAUGGAUGAGCUGGCACCUGCAACUAGCAACGCUAUCAAUUAGUAAUUGAGCAAGCCUAACUUAGCCAAACAAUAUUUGCUAGGAGGGGGAUGUGGUUGAGGUUUCAUGGCAAUGUUUGAUGGCCUAUAUAGCAUGUGGUAGGCAGCGGAGAUGUAACGAAGGAAACGUAACACUAAGCAUAACAAAGCUAGAAACAAUGUCAUGGUCACGAUCAUCUUCCGUGUGAUUUCUUCAGACCGACACUACUCUUGUUCUUCCUGCACGAACUCUCCGGACUCCUCAAACUCGUUUCCGUCCCCGGUAACUACCCAAAAUAAACAACAUCUAAUAAACACCAGCAACAAAUGAUGCAACAGACAAUAUAAUGCAUGCAUGCACUGCUCCAAACAAGCACAUAAAAUAACCCUACAUCGGUAAAACUAUUGCCACCUCACCACAAGGGGAUUUUCUACAGAGAUGCUCAAAAUCAGAAACCAACAACACCAUUGGAAUCAUUGGGAUUUUCUACCCCAAAUCCAUAUAUCAUACUCCCACCUUUGCAUACAGAAAAGCUCCACAAACAGCAAAAUAAAAAUAGCACAUGAUCAUACUUCAUCAUAUAGUCAAGAACAGAAACUGUUCUUGAGCCAGCCCAAAUUGGCAAGUCCAUAUCUGGACAUUUCCAGAAAUGGAAAUAUGCCAAUUUAGCACAAGUACAAAUCACAAACAAAAAUAAAAAUGACAGGGAAAAUAUUAGGUGGGGGUCCCACCUGGCAGUGGCCCCUCACUAGAUGACAUGUGGGUCCAGAGGGCCCACUGUCAUACCCACACACCACACUACACACACAGCCACACACACACACACACAUCUACACCAGAAAAAGAAAAUAGCCAGAGGGGGGUUUCAAACCCUGAACCUCAACCUUACAUCACCACACCUCUCCCACUGCGCUACUGCACCGCUACUGAUCAGAGAGGAGGACUAAUCUACCUAUUCUAGUUACUAAUGUGCAACAGGAGAAGAAAAAAAUCAAUAAAAAGGGGGGGUUGCGCUAUGCGGGACUCGAACCUAGGUUGACACGAUUUCAGAGACAGACACAUGCCACUGCGCUACGCUCACGAAUUCGACAGUGAGGGGUUCUUGCUCCUCUUGAGCAGGCCCCUCGGCACUGCACUCUACUCCGGCGACCGAAGCGGAGGUGUCGGUGUUUACUCACAACAUAAGCCAUGGGUAGGCUAAAGAUGGUGGGAAUCGAAGUGGCAACGGAGGGCGCUGGGAACGAGGAUGGUACAAGCAUGGAACGCACGAUGUACCCAGGCUCACGGCUCUCUGUAGAGAUAAUACCUUUAAUCCUACCAGAGUGUAUGAUGUAUGAAUGGGACUACAAAGUGCUCCUCGAGCUGUAUUGCGGAGGAGGAAGAAGGAGUUGUCGGCUCGCGUCUGCCUCUCCUAUGUGGUGUGUGUGUAUGCUUAGUUGACUGACCCUCUACAUGGAGGGGGGCCGGGGGGUUUUAUAGACGAACCCAUUGACCUACAAUAUGGAUAAAAGUACAAGAGUGGGACCCGGCUGGCAGCCUCGCCAGCUAGCCACGGGGCCCAUGGGGGUCUUGUCUUAUCGUUGGAGAGGCCCGCCGGCUGCGAGGUCCCGUCUGGCUGUGGGACCCGCCGGCUAGCCAAUAAGGAUCUCGCGUAAGGUUGAUGGAGGACACGUGUGGUACGUCCGGCGUCGUCCAGCGAGAAUCGUCAUGGGCAGACAGUACGGCCGUCUCCACUGUUCCCACGCCAAGUGCAGUAAUGGAGUGAGAGUUUGACGGGCCGACACUGUGCAGGGUGAUGGAUCGGAGCCGGAGGAGGUCAGCAGCGUGGCCGCCAACGCUGUACCUGCCGUGCACCCUGAUCCAGUACCUUUGGUGACGCGUAACCACCUUUAACCGUAGGGUUUCGUCAUGACCUAAGGUCUCAUGUGACUUGAGCUCCCUAGCCGGCUAGUCGCUUGACUAGCCGGCCUGGGCACGACCGCCUCGCCUCUAGCCGGCCGGCUUGGCCUAGGCAGCCAGAGGGAGGUAGCCAUCUCGCCUCUAGCCGACAGGUGCUUCCUGGAAGGCCAGAGAGUAUGCCGUUUCGCCCCUAGCUAGUAGGUGCUUCCUAGCAGGCCAAGGGGACUUGGGAUUUGUAGAAUGAUUCUUGCUAUUCCUUCUUGGUCGAAGGCAAAGGAGUAGGCCUGAUGAGCCUACCCUGGUGUUAUCGCCCCGACAGGAGGUGACGUCGGCAAACACACAGGCUACCAUCGGCGGGGAAGAAUAUCGACGAAUGUUGCAGAGCCCCUCGGGGUUCCAUUCCCGUGGCAAACGCACCGGGAGGUGAACCACGACGGCGGUGCAACGGAUCUGCACCUCCUUCUACUGAAGCUGUUGUUGCUCACCCAACAAGCACGCUGGCGACAACAGAGAAGCCCCGUGCUGCGAAGCCGCCUGACGCUAAACGGUUGCUGCUGCUACAACAGCGUGACGCAGAGCUGCUACCUACUAUUGUGUUGCUAACUACUGCAGCCGCUGCUAUCUACUGCAGCUACUGCUACUGCUGCGCUCUGCUGGAGAACAGAAGAACACCGACGACCGAAGCCUCUACUCAUCACGAGCCUCGGCUAGAGAGGGAAAAAGACGGGGGAGGUGAGGCGCUGCUCACCGAGUGACGCAGAGGGGAGAUCAGCGUGAUGGAAGAGGAGCCCGACGUCGAGACGGUGCAGGAGAGCUGCCGGAGAGGUAGAAGAGGACGCCGGACGUCGGGGUCGUCGUGGAAGAAGACUCCACUGUCGAUCUAUGCGAAAAUGUAACCCCAACUGGGUCCUCUUGCUCCUGGUGCUGACGGAGAGGAAGAAGACGGGCCGAUCACCUCGGUCCCAAGCUCCUACUCGAGCUGGCCAUGGUGGGAGGAGCUCGAGUUUCGCCCCCGGCGGCGCUAGGUAAGAGAGGAGGGAGAGAAAUGGAGGGAUAGGGUUGAGAGGAGGCCGGGGUUGCUCUUAAGGCCCUCGGAAGGCGAGCCAGCCGUCUGAUCAAGGGGAAACUUGAUUUGGUGGUGGCUAUGGUGUCGUAGUGCUCACGCAUGCGAGGAAGAAUACACACGCAAUGGUGGGAUGGGCCGAGACCAAGAGUUCUUGGGCUGCUCUCUCUCUUUCUCUCUCUCCCUCUAUCUCUCUCUCUUUCGGCUUGAAAUCUUUGGAAAAGAAAAACAAAUAACAACUGACUUAGAAUAAAUGCCACAGGAGAAAGAAAAAGAAUUUAACCAAAUUAAAAAUACAUUUGAUCUUCUAAAAUGUUGCCACUAAUUAUAAAAAUAACUCGGGCAUUUUAGGAGACCAAAGUAAAUGCCUUUAUUUUUUUUAAACGGAGCUCUGUUUUAAUUAAAACCCCAAGGAAAAUAUAAAAAGUAAACCAAAGGGUUUCACUCCACAAUAACAGGAUAAUUUUAGAAGAGGAGGAACAUUUUAUUGGGGCAAAACAAAAAACUUUUAAAUCUGCCACAAUUAAUUGGAAGGGAGGGAGUUUUUGGAAACUAUGCUGCAACAAGGGGUUUUUAAAUAGCUCUUGUUACACCCACACCACACUACCAAGAUCAGACAAACCACAAUCACUCACAUGAUCAUCAAGGUGGCAUCCAACACAAUAUUAAACAAGCAAGACAAAAGAAAAUAAAUUAAGAUAUGCAUGAUGCAUGAGAUGCACAUUAAAUGACAACACCAUCAGCCCCAUGAUACGUCUCCGUCGUAUCUGUAAUUUUUGAUUGUUUCAUGCCAAUAUUCUACAACUUUCAUAUACUUUUGGCAACUUUUUAUACUAUUUUUGGGACUAACAUAUUGAUCCAGUGCCAGUGCCAGUUCCUGUUUGUUGCAUGUUUUUUGUUUUGCAGAAUAUCCAUACCAAACGAAGUCCAAACGUAAUACAAACUUACGGGAUUUUUUUGGAAUAUUUGUGAUUUUUCAGAAGAAGAAUCAACGCGAGGCGAUGCAUGGAGUGCCCACAACCCUGUCGCCGCGGCCAGGGGGUGGGCUCACGGCAGGCAGGCUUGUGGCCACUCCUUAAGUCGGUUGCAGCCCUUCUUCCGCCACACAAAAGAUAAUAUUCGGAAGAAAAUCGUGUUAAAAUUUCAGCCCAAUCAGAGUUACGGAUCUCCGGGAAUUUAAGAAACGGUGAAACGCAGAAUCUCGGAGCGCAGAAACAAAAGGACACAGAGAGAGAGAUCCAAUCUCGGAGGGGCUCUCGCCCCUCCGCCGCCAUGGAGACCAUGGACCAUAGGGGAAACCCUUCUCCCAUCUAGGGAGAAGGUCAAGGAAGAAGAAGAAGGAGGGGGCUCUCUCCCCCUCUCUCCCCUGCAGCGCCGGAACGCCGCCCGGGACAUCAUCGUGUGAUGGCGAUCUACACCAACAUUUCCGUCAUCUUCACCAACAUCUCCAUCAUCUUCCCCCAUCUAUAUUCAGCGGUUCACUCUCCCGCAACCCGCUGUACCCCCUACUUGAACAUGGUGCUUUAUGCUACAUAUUAUUAUCCAAUGAUGUGUUGUUAUCCUAUGAUGUCUGAGUAGAUUAUCGUUGUCCUAUCAGUGAUUGAUGAAUUGCUAUGAUUGGUUUAAUUUGCUUGUGGUUAUGUUGCUGUCCUUUGGUGCCCAUCAUAUGAUCGCGCGCGUGGAUCACACCAUAGGGUUAGUUGUAUGUUGAUAGGACUAUGUAUUGGCAGGCUAGAGUGACAGAAGCUUCAAACCUAGCAUAGAAAUUGAUGCAUAUGGGAUUGAAGGGGGACCAAUAUAUCUUAUUGCUAUGGUUGGCUUUUACCUUAAUGAACGUUAGUAGUUGCGGACGCUUGCUAAUAGCUCCAAUCAUAAGUGCAUAGAAUUCCAAGUAAGGGAUGACAUGCUAGCACAGGCCUCUCCCACAUGAUACUUGCUAUCGAUCUAGUAACAUAGUCAAUUGCUUAGGGACAAUUCCACAACUCCUACCACCACUUUUCCACACUCGUUAGACACUCGUAGUUGUUUCUUUAUCUAACCAGCCCCUAGUUUUAUUUACGUGUUCUUUACUUUAUUGCAAGCCUAUCCUAUCACUCCUACAAAGUACUUCUAGUUUCAUACUUGUUCUAGGUAAAGCGAACGUAAAGUGUGCGUAGAGUUAUAUCGGUGGUCGAUAGAACUUGAGGGAAUAUUUGUCCUACCUUUAGCUCCUCGUUGGGUUUGGCACUCUUACUUAUCGAGAAAGGCUACAAUUGAUCCCCUGAACUUGUGGGUUAUCAAGACCUUUUUUCUGGCGCCGUUGCCGGGCAGAGAUAGCGUGGGGGUGAAUAUCCUCGUGUGUGCUUGUUUGCUUUAUCACUAAGUAGAUUUAUUUGCUGUUCUAAGUUGUUCUCUAUCUUUAGUUAUGGAUAUGGAACACGAAAUACCAAAAAAAUUAGGUGUACUUGCUACUCAUGGAGAUGGGGAACCUCCUAAAACCCUCGAGGCUCGUUAUGUGGAUAUUAUGCACUUCUUUAAUAAUCCUGAGAAAGCCCCAUUCAAUUAUAUAAUGGGAUACACGUUGGAUCAACGUGAAUACUUUAGGGAUUAUCGCUUGACUCAAAAAGGGAAACUUUUAUGGGAUCAAAUCCAUUUGUUGAAAUGGUAUGCUUGGGAACUAUGCGAGGGAUAUGGUGUUACUUGUUUCUCUAGGAUGAAGGCUCCAUACCUUCCCUUUUCUUGUGAAUUUAAUGAUCAUAGAACCUUGGCUUCUUAUGCUAAUGGUAUAUAUGAUUACUAUGAUGUGGAUCAAAUAGAAGAGUUUGUUGCUUUUAUGGGUGCUUAUGAAAUUGAGGCUCUGUUUAAAAGGUGUCAUGAUAAUGAUGAUGCUCCUUACCAAUCUGAAAAUUUGGCUAUGCUUCGUUAUUGUUAUACUAAUUAUGAAUAUAAUGCCCAUAUUGAACGAUUUAAGGAGAAAUCCUAUGCUGCCCAAGAAGAGACUAUUAUUUUGCAGGAAACUAAGGAAGAUCUGUAUAUGAUUCAACCACAAGGUUUUGUUGAUCCAGAAAAUGCUGACAAAGUAUGCAAAGUCCAGCGAUCCAUUUAUGGACUGGUGCAAGCAUCUCGGAGUUGGAAUCAACGUUUUGAUGAGGUGAUCAAGGCGUUCGGGUUUAUACAAGUUUUUGGAGAAGCUUGUACUUACUCUAAAUAUAGGAGGGGGGCUCUCUCCCCCUCUCUCCCGGCGGUGCCGGAACGCUGCCCGGGACAUCAUCGUGUGACGGCGAUCUACACCAACACUUCUGUCAUCUUCACCAACAUCUCCAUCAUCUUCCCCCAUCUAUAUUCAGCGGUUCACUCUCCCGCAACCCGCUGUACCCCCUACUUGAACAUGGUGCUUUAUGCUACAUAUUAUUAUCCAAUUAUGUGUUGCUAUCCUAUGAUGUUUGAGUAGAUUAUCGUUGUCCUAUCGGUGAUUGAUGAAUUGCUAUGAUUGGUUUAAUUUGCUUGUGGUUAUGUUGUUGUCCUUUGGUGCCCAUCAUAUGAUCGCGCGCGUGGAUCACACCAUAGGGUUAGUUGUAUGUUGAUAGGACUAUGUAUUGGCAGGCUAGAGUGAGAGAAGCUUCAAACCUGACAUAGAAAUUGAUGCAUAUGGGAUUGAAGGGGACCAAUAUAUCUUAUUGCUAUGGUUGGGUUUUACCUUAAUGAAUGUUAGUAGUUGCGGACGCUUGCUAAUAGUUCCAAUCAUAAGUGCAUAGAAUUCCAAGUAAGGGAUGACAUGCUAGCACAGGCCUCUCCCACAUGAUACAUGCUAUCGAUCUAGUAACGUAGUCAAUUGCUUAGGGACAAUUCCGCAACUCCUACCACCACUUUUCCACACUCGUUAGACACUCAUAAUUGUUUCUUUAUCUAACCAGCCACUAGUUUUAUUUAUGUGUUCUUUACUUGCUUGCAAGCCUAUCCUAUCACUCCUACAAAGUACUUCUAGUUUCAUACUUGUUCUAGGUAAAGCGAACGUAAAGUGUGCGUAGAGUUGUAUCGGUGGUCGAUAGAACUUGAGGGAAUAUUUGUCCUACCUUUAGCUCCUCGUUGGGUUCGACACUCUUACUUAUCAAGAAAGGUUACAAUUGAUCCCCUAUACUUGUGGGUUAUCAAGACCUUUUUCUGGCACCAUUGCCGGGGAGAGAUAGCGUGGGGUGAAUAUCCUCGUGUGUGCUUGUUUGCUUUAUCACUAAGUAGAUUUAUUUGCUGUUCUAAGUUGUUCUCUAUCUUUAGUUAUGGAUAUGGAACACGAAAUACCAAAAAAAUAGGUGUACUUGCUACUCAUGGAGAUGGGGAACCUCCUAAAACCCUCGAGGCUCGUUAUGUGGAAAAUAUUAUGCACUUCUUUAAUAAUCCUGAGAAAGCCCCAUUCAAUUAUAUAAUGGGAUACACGUUGGAUCAACGCGAAUACUUUAGGGAUUAUCGCUUGACUCAAAAAGGGAAACUUUUAUGGGAUCAAAUCCAUUUGUUGAAAUGGUAUGCUUGGGAACUAUGCGAGAGAUAUGGUGUUACUUGUUGCUCUAGGAUGAAGGCUCCACACCUUCCCUUUUCUUGUGAAUUUAAUGAUCAUAGAACCUUGGCUUCUUAUGCUAAUGGUAUAUAUGAUUACUAUGAUGUGGAUCAAAAAGAAGAGUUUGUUACUUUUAUGGGUGCUUAUGAAAUUGAGGCUCUGUUUAAAAGGUGUGAUGAUAAUGAUGAUGCUCCUUACCGAUCUGAAAAUUUGGCUAUGCUUCGUUAUUGUUAUACUAAUUAUGAAUAUAAUGCCCAUAUUGAACGGUUUAAGUAGAAAUCCUAUGCUUCCCAAGAAGAGACUAUUAUUUUGCAGGAAACUAUGGAAGAAGAAAAUGCUGAAAUUGUGAGCUCAUUAGAUGAAAAAGAUGAAGAGGAGAGCAAAGAACAAAAGGAGGAAGAGCGGACUAGCUACCUGUGUCCACCUUCUAAUGAGAGUAACUCUUCUACUCAUACAUUAUUUAAUUUCCCUUCAUUCUUACCGAAGGAUGAAUGCUAUGAUCCCUUGGAUUCAUUUGAAAUAUCCCUUUUUGAUGAACUUGAUGCUUGCUAUGCUUGUGGCCAUGAUGCCAUUAUGAAUGAUGCUUAUGAAGAUGAGCUAGCUAUAGUUCCUUAUGUUACACAUGAUGAUUUUGAUGAAUAUAAUAUGCAUGUGCUUGCUGCUCCUACUUGCAGUUAUUAUGAGAGAGGAACUACAUCUGCACCUCUCUAUGUUUCCAAUACGAUAAAAUUGCAAGAAACUGCUUAUGCUAUGUAUUGGCCUUCACUUGAUGUGCAUGAAUUGUUCUUUUAUGACAUGCCAAUGCAUAGGAAGAGAGUUAGACUUCGUCAUUGCAUGAUAUAUGUUACCUUGUGCGCACUACUAAAUUUCAAAUCAUUGCUAAUCAAAAUUGGCUUUGAUAUACCUUGGGAUCCGGGAGGAUCCAUUACUUGAGCACUUUAUGCCUAAAUUAAUGGCUUUAAAGAAAGCGCUGCCUGGGAGACAACCCAGAAGAUUUAGAGAGUCAUUUAUUUCUCUUGAGUGCUUUUAUUUAGUUUAAAAUAAUAAUAUAGAGGGGAACUUAAAACUUUUUCAAAAAGAGAAGCGAUUGAAAGGUGAUGCAUUGUGGAAGUGAGCGUCAACCUUGAACACUUGUGUUCAUGCUCAUGGAAACAAUGUAGAAUUUUUCAUGGAAGUUUCUCACAAAAACAAUUAUCCCCUUGUACAAUUCCUUUGUGUUUUUAAAAAUAAUGUGCCAAGCAAAGCCUUUACGAUUAGUUUGGGUGAUGGUUGUUUGAUCACGCUGAGAAAAGACAGAAACUUUCUGCUAACGAAAUUAAUUUUCAUUUUUACUCUGGAAGAUCUUUUGAGUUGAUUCUUUUUUCUGCUGAUUGAUAUGCAAAUUUUCCAGACGUUCGUAAUUUUUCAGAUGUUUUGAGAUAUCAGAGGUAUACGGAAUAUACAGAUUGCUACAGACUGUUCUGUUUUGACAGAUUUUGUUUUCUAUGCAUUGUUCUCUUAUUCUGAUGAAUCUAUGGGUAGUACCGGGGGGUAUAACCAUGGUGAAGUUGGAUUACAGUAGAUAUAAUGCUUAUAUGAAUUUAGAAUGGGUUCACAACAGUACUUGAAGUGGUGAUUUAGUUUAUUAUACUAACGGAUCUCACGAAGUUUUGUUGAGUUUUGUGUGAUUGAAGUUUUCAAGUUUUGGAUGAGAGCACGAUGGAUGAAGGAAUAAGGAGAGACAAUAGCCUAAGCUUGGGGAUGCCCGAGGCACCCCAAGGUAAUAUUCAAGGAAGACUCAAGCGUCUAAGCUUGGGGAUGCCCCGGAAGGCAUCCACUCUUUCGUCUACAAUCUAUCGGUAAUCUUACUCGGAGCUAUAUUUUAAUUCGUCACAUGAUAUGUGCAAGUGCUUGGAGCGUCUUUUGUGUUUAUUUUUCCUUUUCUUUUAUGCACCAUGCUGGUAUGAGAUAGUCCUUGGUUGUCUUUAUAGAAUGCUUAUUGUGCUUCACUUAUAUCUUUUGAAGUUUGGAUUGCCUGUUUCCCUACACAUAGAAAACCGCCAUUUGUAGAAUGCUCUUUUGCUUCACUAAUAUUUGUUAGAGCGGGGCAUAUCUUUUGUAGAAAGAAUUAAACUCUCAUGCUUCACUUAUACCUAUUUAGAGAGUUAACAGGAGUUUUCCAUUGACAUGGUUAGUCAUAAAAUCCUACAUAAAACUUGCAGAUCACUGAAUAUGAUAUGUUUGAUUCCUUGCAACAGUUUUGCGACAUGAAUAUGUGAUAUUGGAGUCAUGCUAGUGAGUAAUUGUGUUUUUUUAGAAAUACUUGUGUUAAGGUUUGUGAUUCCCGUAGCAUGCACGUAUGGUGAACCGUUAUGUGAUGAAGUCGGAGCAUGAUUUAUUUAUUGAUUUUCAUCCUUUGUGUGGAGGUCGGGAUCGCGCGAUGGUUAACUCCUACCAACCUUUCCCCUAGGAGCAUGCGUGUAGUACCUUGUUUCGAUGACUAAUAGACUUUUGCAAUAAGUAUGUGAGUUCUUUAUGACUAAUGUUGAGUCCAUGGAUUAUACACACUCUCACCCUUCCACCAUUGCUAGCCUCUCUAGUACUGCGCGACUUUCGCCGGUGCAUUACACCCACCAUAUAGCCUCCCUCAAAACAGCCACCAUACCUACCUAUUAUGGCAUUUUCAUAGCCAUUCCGAGAUAUAUUGCCAUGCAACUACCACCGUUCCGUCUCAUGACAUGUGCCACCACUUCCAUAUUGCCAUUGCAUGAUCGUAAGAUAGCUAGAAUGAUGUUUCCAUGGCUUGUCCGUUUUUUGAUGUCAUUGCUAUGCUAGAUCAUUGUCACGGUACACUACCGAAGGCAUUUCAUAUAGAGUCAUCAUUGCUCUAAGUAUUGAGUUGUAAGUGUGAUGAUCAUUAUUAAUAGAGCAUUGGCCCAUGUGAGGAAAUAAAAGAGGCCAUCGAAGCCCAUUUACAAAAAAGAGGCCAAAGAUGCCCACCAAAAAAAGAGAGGCCAAAGAGCCCACAAAAAAAUGAGAGAAAAGAGAGAAGGGACAAUUGCUACUAUCCUCUUUCCACACUUGUGCUUCAAAUAGCACUAUGAUCUUCAUGACAGAGAGUCUCCUAUGUUGUCACUUCCAUAUACUAGUUGGAAAUUUUCAUUAUAUAACUUGGCUUGUAUAUUCCAAUGAUGGGCUUCCUCAAUAUUGCCCUAGGUCUUCGUGAGCAAGCAAGUUGGGUGCACACACACUAGUUUCUUUUGUGAGCUUUCAUACACUUAUAAGCUCUAGUGCAUCCGUUGCAUGGCAAUCCCUACUCACUCACAUUGAUAUCUAUUGAUGGGCAUCUCCAUAGCCCGUUGAUACACUUAGUUGAUGUGAGACUAUCUCCUCCUUUUUAUCUUCUCCACAACCACCAUAUUCUAUUCCACCUAUAGUGCUAUGUCCAUGGCUCACGCUCAUGUAUUGCGUGAAAGUUGAAAAAGUUCGAGAACACUAAAGUAUGAAACAAUUGCUUGGCUAAAACCGGGGUUGUGCAUGAUUUAAAUACGUUGUGCGGGGAAUAUGGAGCAUAGCCAGACUAUAUGAUUUUGUAGGGAUAACUUUCUUUGUGUGACGCCCUCGGCUUAAUCGUACGCUAAUCAUACACGCAAAUGCGUACGAUCAAACCCAAGGACUCACGGGGGAGAUAUCACAACACAACUCUAGACACAAAUAAAAUAACAUCAGCUUCAUAUUACAAGCCAGGGGCCUCGAGGGCUAGAAUACGAAAGCUCGAUAAACACACGAGUCAGCGGAAGCAACAAAUAUCUGAGUACAGACAUAAAACAUGGGGUGCCUUAGAGAAGGCUAGCACAAAAGAUACAACGAUCGAACGAGGCGAGGCCUCCUGCCUGGGAACCUCCUAACUACUCCUGAUCAUCAGCGGCCUCCACGUAGUAGUAGGCACCGUCGGGGUAGCAGUCGUCGGCGACGGGGACCUCCAUCNNNNNNNNNNNNNNNNNNNNNNNNNNNNNNNNNNNNNNNNNNNNNNNNNNNNNNNNNNNNNNNNNNNNNNNNNNNNNNNNNNNNNNNNNNNNNNNNNNNNGUUCUUCGUAGCCAGAAUACAGUUAGUGAUUAUUUGGCUAAGUUUGCUAGAUCUCAGAAUAGAACUAUCGUUUGGCUUAACUCUGGCUUGUCAGAGAUUACUGAUCUUUGUAAUAUGGAGUGUGGCCGUACCACUUAAGUAAUACAAAGUUCAUUCGCAAAAAACUAGUGAAUCUGUGAUAGAGACGAGUCAUCCAUCCAAAAAAGAUUGGAGGUCGUAAAUAUUGAAUUAUGUAUUCAGCGACCCAGACCCUUUUUGUUAAUUGUAGUUGGCUAGACCGGUCAUUUUUUCCCUCUCGUAGUGGGCUAGACGGCCUCUUUUUCAAUCAUGUCUGGCUGUUAGCUAGGCGGUCUCCGCCAAUGCUACUGUCUCCAAGUCUGCAUGAGUUCAGCACGAGUGAACCGACCUACUUUCUUUAUUUUUAAAUUAUAAUUCUUUAAAUUUUUACUUAUAAACUAUAUAAGGAUGUAUAUAGUCAUGUUUAAAGUAUACUCAUUCAUUUCCAUCCAUAUGUAGUUCAUAAUAUUCUUUUUAAAAGAUUCAUAUUUAGAGACGGAGAGAGUAGUACUGUAUUACUACGCCCUUCUUUGCUGUAGCAUGCGGAUCCAUCACCAACAACUUGCGAGCCCGAAUGGAUAAGGUGAAUCAACAACACACACUUGGCUAGCUAAAGCUGGCACCACCAGUGGCUCAUGGCUUGCAACAAUCUGGCUGCCGCCUCCUACGCCAAGUAGCAGCACGUGAAGCACUACGAACACGGGACGGACAGCGGCCACAGNNNNNNNNNNNNNNNNNNNNNNNNNNNNNNNNNNNNNNNNNNNNNNNNNNNNNNNNNNNNNNNNNNNNNNNNNNNNNNNNNNNNNNNNNNNNNNNNNNNNUGUGCAUGUGUAUGAAUAAUGGUGCCGCUACCUCAAAAUUCAGUCUAAUCGCACUUUAUUAACCAACAAUAUUCAUAGGGAUACAAUAGGGAUACUUUCUCGCUGCUUCAAUCUGAUUGUGGGCUUUCUACCAACAGUAUUUUCAUGUUAGAAAAUUAGAUAAUGCAAAGAAGAUGUUUUCCAGAAUUUUUCUUGUACUCCCUCCGCCCGAAUUGCUUGUUGUACAUUUAUCUAGAUGCGGAUGUAUCUGAACAUGUUUUGAUAUUACAUACAUUCAUAUUGAGAUAAAUCUAAAAAGUAAUUCGAGACAUAGGUAGUAGUUCAUAGUUAUUUUAGAGAAUUGUAUUCGAUAUCAACUUAAUAAAUAAAUUCAUACGCAAACGUCAUCCAAUAAACGACAAUUACAAACAGAGUGCAAGGCUCAACAUGCCAGAUAUAGAUCAACACAAGUUCACUCAAAAGGCCAUUAAGCUAAAAGAGAAAGCAUGGUUAGUGCUGAGCCGUAGGCUGAGCAAGUGUGCUAGCAAUAGCUNNNNNNNNNNNNNNNNNNNNNNNNNNNNNNNNNNNNNNNNNNNNNNNNNNNNNNNNNNNNNNNNNNNNNNNNNNNNNNNNNNNNNNNNNNNNNNNNNNNNGAUCUAAAUCCAAAGAAGUUAUAAGAUAUGAAAUAAUGAAAGUACUUUUUGAGAUAAAUUUAUCUACACCAUUUUUAAGGCGCCUCUAAAUACUUUCGAAUAUAUGUGUAAGUAGUUGAAGUUUUGACUGUAAUCGUGUCCAAAAUAGCAGCAUUUAGUGAACAGGAGGGACUAUGUGUUAGUGAAUAGUGAUACUGAAAUAGCAAGGCUUCCACACAGCUAAUGUUGAAAAGCAGUACAGGAAAGUUAAUAAGCGAACAGUGUUCUGAUGCCCUGGUGAGUUGGGGAGAUGCAAGUGCAACUCGUGAUUUUUUAAAGAAAUGUCCUUGGAGAAAUUUCUGCUAAAAGACAGUGAAGAUAAAAAAAGUAUUUCGAAGCUGACAAAAACAGUGGACUUACAUCAGACAACAGUGAUCGAGUUGAUUCUAAGAUGAUCUGAAGGCCAAGCGUUGCCAUAACUGAGGCAAAGACAAGUAUUCCCUGGAGAAAGGUUAUCAUGAAGCUGUGAACAUACUGAAAAAGUAAGCAAAAAANNNNNNNNNNNNNNNNNNNNNNNNNNNNNNNNNNNNNNNNNNNNNNNNNNNNNNNNNNNNNNNNNNNNNNNNNNNNNNNNNNNNNNNNNNNNNNNNNNNNAGUUUUAUUACGUUUGGACUUCGUUUGGUAUGGAUAUUCUGCGAAACAAAAACAUGCAACAAACAGGAACUGACAGUGGGCACUGGAUCAAUAUGUUAGUCCCAAAACAGUAUAAAAGUUGCCAAAAUUAUAUGAAAGUUGUAGAAUAUUGGCAUGAAACAAUCAAGAACUAUAGAUACGACGGAGACGUAUCAACAUCCCCAAGGUUAAUUCCUGCUCGUCCUCGAGUAGGUAAAUGAUAAAAGAUAAUUUUGAUGUGGAAUGCUACCUAGCAUAAUCUUGAUCAUAUAAUCUAAUCUUGGCAUGAAUACUAAAACACGAGUGAUUCAAAACAAUAGUCUAUCAUUUGACAUAAAGACAAUAAUAUUUCAAGCAUACUAACAAAGCAAACAUGUCUUCUCAAAAUAUCAUGGCCAAAGUGUGACAUCCUCGACUUUUUGCUACAGUAGUGAUUGUAAUUAAGCUACUGUGAUCAACCGCUAAUGAUGCCACGUCAUCGAAUUCCCCAUCUCUGACCCGCGUGGAUUCGCGUCUGUCCGGAUCGAUGAUUUGAAAGCAAAGGAAAGCACUUUAUCGGUUCAUUACAAGUAUUAAAAGGAUAUAUAUAUAAGGGGGGGGGGAAGUAUUAAAGAAAUAAUAAUGAUAAAAGAAAGAAAAGAAAACUGAAAGAAAGGAUUAAUAAAAAGAAAAGGGGAAAAGAGAAAACAAAAUAAAACAANNNNNNNNNNNNNNNNNNNNNNNNNNNNNNNNNNNNNNNNNNNNNNNNNNNNNNNNNNNNNNNNNNNNNNNNNNNNNNNNNNNNNNNNNNNNNNNNNNNNAAAGCACGAGCGAUGUGCUGAUGUCWYUYCUUCUUGUAAUUAUUUUCUCGGGGACAGGUCGGUCAUGCGCACGAAAAGCACGAGCGAUGUGCUGAUGUCACUUUCCUUCUUGUAAUUAUUUUCUCGGGGACAGGUCGUGUUGCCUACCAGAUCCACCUCGCCGCUCGUUGGCCUUGCCUCGCAAGAUUCCAUCAUCUCUAUCGCCGGAUCUGCUACCAUCAACUCUUCUCGCCGGCCGGCGCCACCGAGGCAUCGUCGUUCUCCGCCAUCGUGGAUUAGCGUCGGUUCCCUGCUCUCGGCUUAGCGACGGAAUGAGGCCCUGUUUUUAAAAGUCUUAUAUUUUUAAUCUUAACUAAAAGUUCCUAGUUUUUYYAGAGACUAAAUAAAGAUUAGAGGUCAUUAAAUGACCUGCAAAAAGAUCAUGUUACCCCUACUAAUAUAUUAGAAAUUGUAAAAUGACAUGCUAAAAGUAGGAGCACUGUUGGAAAAAGUAUCAAAAAAGUAUCAAAAAAGACUCUUCCAUAACGACUUCUUCCUUUAGUCCCAAAGUACCUCUUUUAGUCCCUAAAAAUCCUUUUUUUAAUCCUUACAGUAAAAGUCCCUGUAAAGAAACACCCCGUGAAUGCCAUACACAACAAAUUUGCAACAGCGGGAUUUUUUACUCUGGUCAGGCAGGCAAAAGGAGGAGUACACAUUCAGAGAAGCAGGAAAAACACAGCACAGAACAAAAACAACCAACUGGUUUACACCUAACGUACCCACCGGCCACGGAAGAACACGUACGUACAUAAACACACCAGCGUGAAUGAACUAGACGUACGUCUUUCUACCAANNNNNNNNNNNNNNNNNNNNNNNNNNNNNNNNNNNNNNNNNNNNNNNNNNNNNNNNNNNNNNNNNNNNNNNNNNNNNNNNNNNNNNNNNNNNNNNNNNNNAGAACCUUGUGGAAGGUUCCUAGCCAGCUUUGGGACCUUCUAUAAUGUUUGAAACUCUUUUCUUUCCGGGUUUCUUUUGUGUGUGUUUCCUUUCUUAUUUGGUUAUUUAACUCAUAAAUUUAAACAUUGAUCGCAAUUACAUAACCAUUUUCUCAUGUUAAAAUUGUUUAAAUAUACAAAAAAUCAUAAAUAGUUUUCUUUUCAAUAAAAUGGUAGCAAUUUCAAAAUUUGACAUUAUUUUGGAACAAAUGUUCACUUUUUGAGAAUGUUUAAAUUUUAUUCCAAUUUGAACUAUUGUUCAUGAACAUUUUUCCAAAUCCUUGAUUCUUUUUGAAAUGCGCAAAUAAUUUUUGGAUUCAUGAACUUUUUUCAGAUUUGUGCGAUUAUUUUUAAUUCAUGAAUAUGCUUUAAAUUUAUGAUAAUUUUUCAAAUUCUAAUCAUUUUUGGAUUCAUGAAUAAGUUUUCACAUCGUUUAUCAUUUUUGAAUUCAUGACUAAUUUUAAAAUACAUAAUUUUUUAAAUGGGCAAGAAAUAUUUUAAAUACUAGAGAAAAAUUCUAAUUUCUGGAUUUUUUUUUCGAAUCGGAGAUUUUUUUUAGAAUUCAUGAGAUUUUUUUGAAAUACGCAAAUAAGUUUUAGAUUCAUGAACUUUUUUCAGAUUUGUGUGAUUAUUUUUAAUUCAUGAAUAUGCUUUGAAUUUACGAUUUUUUUAAAAAAAUUCUAGAACCUUUUCUGGAUUCAUGAAUAAGUUUUCAUAUCCUUUAUCAUUUUUUAAAUUCAUGACUAAUUUUAGAGUUCAUAAAGUAUUUUUUCAAUGGGCAAGAAAUAUUUUAAAUACUCGAGCAAUUUUGUAACUUGUGGACAGUUCUUGAUGCCACNNNNNNNNNNNNNNNNNNNNNNNNNNNNNNNNNNNNNNNNNNNNNNNNNNNNNNNNNNNNNNNNNNNNNNNNNNNNNNNNNNNNNNNNNNNNNNNNNNNNGCACGGUACCGAAUAGGCGAGCAAAAUAUGGAUGGUGGAAGUGCCAACACUCGAAUACUCACAUUAGUCCGAAGAACUCAUGCACUUAUCAUCGGUAACUCUCUAUCUAGUCAGGAGAUUCACAAAGAGACAAGUACCCCAAGGAGGAGUGUUUGGGGUUUGGUUAUCCUUGUGCAUCCUCGACCCAUGAUAACGUGAGAGUAGUCUAUAUAUUCCAACCCCUUCAGAGGUUAGCAAUCCAUCUAGUAGCUAGAGUUCUUAACUUUUUUGAAAAUACACAUGGAUUUCCCAAAAUACGACACUUAUCACUAAUAGGCUCAAGCUCUUGACACCAAAAGUCCAAACAUUACUCAAAUCAAUACCUCAAAACUAUUGCAAGUUACUACUAUACUUAAAUAGCAACCUCAUUUACCUACUCAUGCAAGACACACAACUCAGUGCAACAAGCCAACUCUCUAAACAAGAUAAGUAUGAUAACUCAAGAGAGUUCCAAAAGCAUCUAAAUAAAAUCUCUUAAAAAGAUAAAAGCGUGGAAAGUAAGAGCUAAGCAUGAUAGCAGCUAAUGAAAAGAUAAAGAACACACAAAAAGUUNNNNNNNNNNNNNNNNNNNNNNNNNNNNNNNNNNNNNNNNNNNNNNNNNNNNNNNNNNNNNNNNNNNNNNNNNNNNNNNNNNNNNNNNNNNNNNNNNNNNACCAAUUAUAUUAGUGAUCACAUCGAAAAUGUGAUCCUGUGCAUAAGCCUUGACAAUUUCAUUGGUGAAUGUGCGGCAAUAUAAAGCCAGGGCAAGUUUCACCAGCGUCACUGAGAGCAUGAUGUCCACAACCCACUUUUCCUGCUCAUUUGUCAAACUGAAUUCACYYCCUAGAAAAUGAUAGGAUAAUAUGAGCAAACAAAAUUUAUAAUGGAAGAACUAAAGUUUGUAUCUAAGAGUCAUAGUUCCAGAGUAAGGGAUACAUAGAUGUGGUUCAAAAGGGAACUGCGCAGGAACAAAGGUUUUGCAAACUAUAUUGAUAAAAAAGGUACUCCCAGACCUACAUUUUUCAGAGGGAACUGUGCAGCAACAACAGUGGUUCAAAAGGGAGAAUUUCAGAAGCUCACAUUACAGCUGCCAUGGCCUACAUUUAGCUAAUUAUUUGCCAGACCAAAAAAAAGAGAAUGUGAUAAGUCCGGGUACAACGUAACAAGAAAAGGUUUAGUAGGAAAAGUAUAGUGCUUAUAGCAAAAUCUUUAUUUUCUUUUAAGGAGCAGAGUUGGCAAAAGCACACUGGUCAUGGCAACUGGGAAACUUAACUAGCCAAAAAUCAACACAAGGCUUCUGUCUUCACAAUAAGGAUACAGAUCAAGGCUUUGACGAAGAAUUACUCUAUUAAUAAAUGGUAUCUAUGAUACAAAACCACGAAUAGCUGGAAGUACUGUUGAAAACGAUCUAGUGACACCAAUUUCAUGUCAUAAAUACACAUAUUAACNNNNNNNNNNNNNNNNNNNNNNNNNNNNNNNNNNNNNNNNNNNNNNNNNNNNNNNNNNNNNNNNNNNNNNNNNNNNNNNNNNNNNNNNNNNNNNNNNNNNGCACACCCGCACGCGCGGCGCGCCUCCUUCAGUUCGCGGGUGGAGACGGAGACGGCGAGGAGCGCAGGAGCGGAGCCGGGAUCGAGAGCGAGGACAUGGUCAGGAGCGGGGCAUUGCGCGAGGCGAGCGGGCGAGCGUGGAUUGGAUCUUGAGGGAGGGUGUUGGGUGGUGCUUACGUCGGCGGUGGAGCGGGGCGGGACGGGCGGGGGAGCUGACGAGGGUGCAGGGGACGAAACUCCCAGCACACAGCCUGGCCUCGUGCACAGCAACUUCGCCUGGAGCAGAAAUAGGUGGUGCCACGGUGACGAGCACACCGGCUCAAAAAUAAAAUGGCAGUGGUCGCGUUCGACGUGCUCGGCCACCACGGUGACCCGAUGUCGCGGUUCGCUAGGACCAGCGGCGAGGUGCGCGAGUUCGCGGGCGCGGGCGCCUACUGGAGCUGUGACGACUUUGUCGAGAGGGCCGACAUAGAGUGUUGGGGCACGUCGCAUGGGAAACAAAUUUCCUACGCGCACGAAGACCUAUCAUGGUGAUGUCCAUCUACGAGAGGGGAUUUCCGAUCUACGUACCCUUGUAGAUCGCACAGCAGAAGCGUUAAGAAACGCGGUUGAUGUAGUGGAANNNNNNNNNNNNNNNNNNNNNNNNNNNNNNNNNNNNNNNNNNNNNNNNNNNNNNNNNNNNNNNNNNNNNNNNNNNNNNNNNNNNNNNNNNNNNNNNNNNNAGCAACCUUACAAGUACCAAUCGGAGUCGUGAGACCGAGAUUGGUUACAAGAGAUAAACUAGGGAUUGGAGAGGAGAUGGUACUGAUGAAGAUGUUGGUGAAGAUGCCUCCCCUCCGAUGAGAGGAGUGUUGGUGAUGACGAUGGCGGCGAUUUCCCCCUCCGGGUGGGAAGUUUCCUCGGCAGGAUCGUCCUGCCGGAGGUCUAGAUUGGAUCUGCUCAAGUUCCACCUCGUGGCGGCGGCGAAAACCACGAAAAAAUCUCCCUUCUGUAUUUUUUUUUCCAGACCAGGAUGCUUCAUAUAGCAAAAAGAGGGGGCUAGUGGGCCUUCAGGCAUCCCACAAGCCUGCCCUGCGCCACUAAGGGGGGUGUGGCGGUGGGCAAGCUUGUGGAGCCCUGGUGUCCCACCUCCGGUAGUCCUUUCGCCCAGUAUUUUUAAUAUAUUCCAGAAAAAAUCCACGUAAAUUUUCAUGGCAUUUGGAGAUGUGCAGAAUAGUGGACUAGGAUUUGCUCNNNNNNNNNNNNNNNNNNNNNNNNNNNNNNNNNNNNNNNNNNNNNNNNNNNNNNNNNNNNNNNNNNNNNNNNNNNNNNNNNNNNNNNNNNNNNNNNNNNNGGGGGGGGGGGGGUUAUUCCUUCUUGCUCGGGGGUGCUGCGGCAGGGCGACAUCCUCGCACCAGGGCGGCGCUCCGACAUGGGGCGCGGCGAGGACGAUGGCACUCAGUGCCCCUGCGAUGGCGGGUACGGGUAGGUGGCGGCCUAGAGUGCCUCGUGGUGGAGGGGCGUGCGUGCACCGUUGCCGGUCUGGAUCAGCAUCUGGCAACUAAUCUGGAUCAAGGGGGCUGCUGAUACGUCUCCAACGUAUCUACUUUUCCAAACUCUUUUGCCCUUGUCUUGGACUCUAAUUUGCAUGAUUUGAAUAAAACUAACUCGGACUAACGCUGUUUCCACGAGAACUGCCAUGGUGUUGUUUUUGUGCAGAAAUAAAAGUUCUUGGAAUGACCUGAAACUUACGAGGAUUUUUUAUGGAAUAUAUAAAAAAUCAGAGAAAGAAUCAACUGAAGUUACGCUGCCAGUGGGCCACGAGCACUGCAGGCGCCCCCCCCCCUUCCCAGGGCGCGCCUAGCAGGCUCGUGGGGCCCACGUGGCUCCCCCGACUUCAUCUCCAACUCCAUAUAACCUCUCUCGCCCAAAAAAAAGGAGAGAAGAGUUCAUCACGUUUCACGAUACGGAGCCGCCGCCACCGCUUGUUCUUCCUCGGGAGGGCAGAUCUGGAGUCCGUUCUGGGCUUUGGAGAGGGGAAAUCGACGCUGUCGUCAUCAUAAACCAUCCUCCAUCGCCAAUUCCAUGAUGCUCUCCAUCGUUCGUGAGUAAUUUUAUCGUAGGCUUGCUGGACGGUGAUGGGUUGGAUGAGAUCUAUCAUGUAAUCNNNNNNNNNNCGUUAGUUUUGAUGGGGUUUGAUCCAUAGUAUCCACUAUGUUCUAAGAUUGAUGUUGCUACUGCUUUGCUAUGCUUAAUGCUUGUCACUAGGGCUUGAGUGCCAUGAUUUCAGAUCUGAACCUAUUAUGUUUUCAUCAAUAUAUGUGUGUUCUUGAUCCUAUCUUGCAAGUUGUAGUCACCUACUAUGUGUUAUGACCCGGCAACCCCGGAGUGACAAUAGUCGGAACCACUCCGGAGAUGACCAUAGUAUGAGGAUCCCAUGUAUUCACUAUGUGCUAAUGCUUUGUUCCGAUUCUCUAUUAAAAGGAUACCUAAAUAUCCCUUAAUUUCCAUUAGGACCCCGCUGCCACAGGAGGGUAGGACAAAAGAAGCCAUGCAAGUUCUUUUCCAUAAACACGUAUGACUAAAUACGGAAUACAUGCCUACAUUACAUUGACGAACUGGAGCUAGUUACAUAUCACCCUAUGUUAUAACUGUUACAUGAUGAAUGCCAUCUGACAUAAUUAUCCAUCACCGAUCCAAUGACUACGAGCUUUUCCUAUACUGGUCCUUGCUAAGUUACUUUACCGCUACNNNNNNNNNNNNNNNNNNNNNNNNNNNNNNNNNNNNNNNNNNNNNNNNNNNNNNNNNNNNNNNNNNNNNNNNNNNNNNNNNNNNNNNNNNNNNNNNNNNNGAGACGUUACUCUGUUGAACUCAAUACACUAGAUGCAUGCUGGAUAGCGGUCGAUGUGUGGAUUAAUAGUAGUAGAUGCAGAAAGUAUCGGUCUAUUUGUCUCGAACGUGAUGCCUAUAUGUAUGAUCAUUGCCUUAGAUAUCGUCAUGACUUUGUGUGGUUCUAUCAAUUGCUCGACAGUAAUUCGUUCACCCACCGUAAUAUUUGCUAACUUGAGAGAAGCCUCUAGUGAACACUAUGGCCCCCGGGUCUACUUCACAUCAUAUUUUCAGCCCUACACUUUUACUUUGUUGCACUUUCCGCCUUCAGAUGUCACCUUGCAAUCAAUCGUGAAGGGAUUGACAACCUCUUUGUAACGUUGGGUGCAAGUUUGUUGUUUUUGCGCAGGUACAUUGGUGCCUCAUCUUGAUACUCCNNNNNNNNNNNNNNNNNNNNNNNNNNNNNNNNNNNNNNNNNNNNNNNNNNNNNNNNNNNNNNNNNNNNNNNNNNNNNNNNNNNNNNNNNNNNNNNNNNNNNNNNNNNNNNNNCUGUUCUGCAUCACCCUUUCCUCUUCAAGGGAAAAAAAACAACGCAAGCUCAAGAGGUAAUAAGAAGAAUUUCCCGCGUCGUUGCCGGGGAGGAGGAUCAAGUCAAGAAUAGUCUCCCGUCAACGUGCCAAUUUCUGGCGCCGUUGCCGGGGAGCAUCAAGUGAAGCUUAUCCAAGUAACCGUCCCAAACCCAUCUCUUGCAUUUACUUUUUUGCCUCUCGUUUUCCUCUCCCCCACUUUUGAAAAACAAAAAUUUACAAAAAUAUUUGCCUUUCCUUUGCCUAUGUGCUAUGUGCCUUCAAUAUGCUUGCAUCGUCGCUUGCUGAAAAUCUAGUGAUAUGGAUCCUCGCCCACAUGCUAAUCUCUUUAAGAGAUCCAAUUAUGUUGAACCAUUUGCUAGUGAGUUGAGUGCACUUGACUUUCUCUAUGGAGUUUUGCUUGAGAUGCAUGAAUCUGAAAAUCAUGAUGAAGAAAUUUAUGAAGUGAUUCACGAGGGCUCCUUGAAUGAAAAGCAUGAUUGCAAUGAUUUCAUUAUAGAUUCUAUUAAUGACAAUCAUGCUAAAAAUAUGCAAAACCCUAAGCUUGGGGAUGCUAGUUUUGCUAUGCCCACUACUUGUUGCAAUGAUCAUGAUUGGGGUAAUCNNNNNNNNNNAAUUCUAUUAAUGACAAUCAUGCUAAAAAUAUGCAAAACCCCAAGCUUGGGGAUGCUGGUUUUGCUAUGCCCACUACUUGUUGCAAUGAUCAUGAUUGGGGUAAUCAUUUUUCUUAUGAUCUUGAAAAUUUGUUUAAGCCUCAUGAUGAAUAUGAUACUUCCAAUGAUAUUGAAAGUGGGUUUGGAGAAGUCANNNNNNNNNNNNNNNNNNNNNNNNNNNNNNNNNNNNNNNNNNNNNNNNNNNNNNNNNNNNNNNNNNNNNNNNNNNNNNNNNNNNNNNNNNNNNNNNNNNNGAUGUGUUGUUAUCCUAUGAUGUCUGAGUAGAUUAUCGUUGUCCUAUCAGUGAUUGAUGAAUUGCUAUGAUUGGUUUAAUUUGCUUGUGGUUAUGUUGUUGUCCUUUGGUGCCCAUCAUAUGAUCGCGCGCGUGGAUCACACCAUAGGGUUAGUUGUAUGUUGAUAGGACUAUGUAUUGGCAGGCUAGAGUGACAGAAGCUUCAAACCUAGCAUAGAAAUUGAUGCAUAUGGGAUUGAAGGGGGACCAAUAUAUCUUAUUGCUAUGGUUGGCUUUUACCUUAAUGAACGUUAGUAGUUGCGGACGCUUGCUAAUAGCUCCAAUCAUAAGUGCAUAGAAUUCCAAGUAAGGGAUGACAUGCUAGCANNNNNNNNNNGAGAAGCUUCAAACCUGACAUAGAAAUUGAUGCAUAUGGGAUUGAAGGGGACCAAUAUAUCUUAUUGCUAUGGUUGGGUUUUACCUUAAUGAAUGUUAGUAGUUGCGGACGCUUGCUAAUAGUUCCAAUCAUAAGUGCAUAGAAUUCCAAGUAAGGGAUGACAUGCUAGCACAGGCCUCUCCCACAUGAUACAUGCUAUCGAUCUAGUAACGUAGUCAAUUGCUUAGGGACAAUUCCGCAACUCCUACCACCACUUUUCCACACUCGUUAGACACUCAUAAUUGUUUCUUUAUCUAACCAGCCCCUAGUUUUAUUUACGUGUUCUUUACUUUAUUGCAAGCCUAUCCUAUCACUCCUACAAAGUACUUCUAGUUUCAUACUUGUUCUAGGUAAAGCGAACGUAAAGUGUGCGUAGAGUUAUAUCGGUGGUCGAUAGAACUUGAGGGAAUAUUUGUCCUACCUUUAGCUCCUCGUUGGGUUCGACACUCUUACUUAUCAAGAAAGGUUACAAUUGAUCCCCUAUACUUGUGGGUUAUCAAGACCUUUUUCUGGCACCAUUGCCGGGGAGAGAUAGCGUGGGGUGAAUAUCCUCGUGUGUGCUUGUUUGCUUUAUCNNNNNNNNNNNNNNNNNNNNNNNNNNNNNNNNNNNNNNNNNNNNNNNNNNNNNNNNNNNNNNNNNNNNNNNNNNNNNNNNNNNNNNNNNNNNNNNNNNNNUCACUAGCAAAUGGUUCAACAUAAUUGGAUCUCUUAAAGAGAUUAGCAAGUGGGUGAGGAUCCAUAUCACUAGAUUUUUAGCAAGCGAAGAUGCAAGCAUAUUGAAGGCACAUAGCACACAGGCAAAGGAAAGGCAAACGAAAAAGGUAAAUAUUUUUGUAAUUUUUUGUUUUUCAGAAGUGGGGGAGAGCAAAACGAUAGGCAAAAAAAGUAAAUGCAAGAGAUGAGUUCGCGACGGUUACUUGGAUAAGCUUCACUUGAUGCUCCCCGACAACGGCGCCAGAAAUUGGCACGUUGAUGGGAAACUAUUCUUGACUUGAUCCUCCUCGCCGGCGACGGCGCCAGAAAUUCUUCUUGCUACCUCUUGAGCUUGCGGUGGUUUUUUCCCUUGAAGAGGAAAGGGUGAUGCAGCACACUAGCAGUAAGUAUUUCCCUCAGUUUGAGAACCAAGGUAUCAAUCCAGUAGGAGUAUCAAGAUGAGGCACCAAUGUACCUGCGCAAAAACAACAAACUGGCACCCAACACUACAAAGGGGUUGUCAAUCCCUUCACGAUUGAUUGCAAGGUGAGAUCUGAAGGCGGAAAGUGCAACAAAGUAAAAGUGUAGGGCUGAAAAUAUGAUGUGAAGUAGACCCGGGGGCCAUAGUGUUCACUAGAGGCUUCUCUCAAGAUAGAAAUAUUAUGGUGGGUGAGCGAAUUACUGUUGAGCAAUUGAUAGAACCGUGCAAAGUCAUGAUGACAUCUAAGGCAAUGAUCAUACAUAGAGGCAUCACGUCCGAGACAAGUAGACCGAUACUUUCUGCAUCUACUACUAUUACUCCACACAUCGACCGCUAUCUAGCAUGCAUCUAGUGUAUUGAGUUCAUGACAAACAGAGUAAGGCCUUAAGCAAGAUGACAUGAUGUAGAGGGAUAAAUUCAUGCAAUAGAUAUAAACCCCAUCUUUUUACCCUUGAUGGCAACAACACGAUGCGUGCCUGACUACCCCUUCCAUCACUGGGUGAGGUCACCGCACGGUAUGAACCCAAAACCAAAUACUUCUCCCAUUGCAAGAAUCAUAGAUCAAGUUGGCCAAAUUUUAACCCACAAGUGUAGGGGAUCACAACAGUUUUUGAGGGUAGAGUAUUCAACCCAAAUUUAUUGAUUCGACACANNNNNNNNNNCAAAAGAAUAUUCUCAAGUAUUAGCAGCUGAGUUUGUCAAUUUCAACCACACCUGAAAGAUUAGUGUCUGCAAGCAAAGUAUCAGUAGCAAAGUAGUAUGAUAGCAACGGUGUCAGAAAAAGAUCUGUUGACGGCAGACUAUUCCUAACUGUUGUAUCAAUGGCGCUAGUAAAUAACACGUGGACGGGGAACUAUUCUUCCCCGGCAACGGCUCCAGAAAAGUCUUGCAACAAGUAGUAGCAAAGUAACAACAGUAGUGACAUCGGUAGCAAGGAACAACAGUAGCAAGGAACAACAAUAGUGACAGCAGCAGAAGUAGUAACAGCAGAGUAACAACAGUAGCAACAGUAGUAGCGACAAAGUAACGUAGCAAGUACGAGUAGUAAAAUACUCGUAGGCAGUGGAUCGGUGAUGGAUAAGUAUGACAGAUGUGAUUCAUCAUGUAACAGCUAUAACACGGAGAGAUAAGUAACUAGCUCCUGUUCGUCAAUCUAAUGUAGGCAUGUAUUCCGUAUGUAGUCAUACAUGCUUAGGGAAAAGAACUCGCAUGACAUCUAUUGUCCAACCCUCCCGUGGCAGCGCGGUCCCAAUGGAAACUACGAGAUAUUAAGGUUCUCCUUUUAAUAAAGAACUGGACCAACGCAUUAACACUUGGUGAAUACAUGAACUCCUCAUACUAUGGUCAUCUCCGGAGUGGUUCCGACUAUUGUCACUCCGGGGUUGCCGGGUCAUAACACAUAGUNNNNNNNNNNNNNNNNNNNNNNNNNNNNNNNNNNNNNNNNNNNNNNNNNNNNNNNNNNNNNNNNNNNNNNNNNNNNNNNNNNNNNNNNNNNNNNNNNNNNCACUUGUGGGUUAUCAAAACUAUUUUCUGGCACCGUUGCCGGGGAGGCACAACUAUAUUCUCUGAGUCACUUGGGAUUUUUGUCUGCUGAUCACUAUGAGGAAUCCGAAAGAUCCAAGAACUAAAAUCUUGCCUUCCACUACGAGGAGAGGUAAGGAACUGCCAUCUAGCUCUGCACUUGAUUCACCUUCAGUUAUGAGUAAGUUUGCGACAUCGCCUCCUGCUAGAAAUCUUGAUAUGUCGCAUGUGCUUGAUGAUGCUACUUCUGCUGCCCAUGAUGCUUAUGAUGAUGAUAUACUUGAUACUAUGCCUGAUGAUGCUAUGCUUGAUACUAUGCCUGAUGAUGCUAUGCUUGAUACUAUGCCUGAUGAUUCUACGCUUGAUACUUUGCCUGAUGAUGCUAUGCUUGAUACUAUGCCUAAUACUGCUUUGCCACUAGGUGCAUUCCUUGAUGCACAAAUUGCUAGAGUUGCUGAUAGACGUGAUGAUAUUUCUGAAACUACUGAUACUAUUGAAGUAGAACCUGCUACUAUGCCUGAAUUGCUUGUUAUGCCUGAGCGCUAUGUUAUGGAGAGAGAGAUAGCUGAGGACUUUCUUGCAUGUAAGGAUAGCUAUAAUGUUGAGAAAUUACUGCUCAAGUGGAAAGAAAAAUCUCUGAACGCUANNNNNNNNNNCUAGAUGUGAUGAUACUUCUGAAACUGCUGAUACUAUUGAAGUAGAACCUGCUAUUUUGCCUGCUGGAACUAGCUCUCCUAGACAUGAAUUGCCUGGUAUGCCUGAGUGUUAUGUUAUGGAGGGAGAGAUAGCUGAGGACUUUCUUGCUUGUAAGGAUAGCUAUGAUGUUGAGAAAUUACUGCUCAAGUGGAAAGAAAAAUCUCUGAACGCUAGGAUGAAAUACGACCCGAAGUUUUCUACUUCGCCUAUCUUUGUGACCGAUAAGGAUUAUGAAUUCUCUAUCGACCCUGAGUUAAUCACUCUAGUCGAAUCUGAUCCUUUUCAUGGUUAUGAGUCUGAAACGGUUGUAGCACAUCUUACCAAACUACACGAUAUAGCCACACUAUUCACUAGUGAGGAAAAGAUUCGCCACGACUAUAUCCUCAAGUUGUUUCCUUUCUCGCUAAAGGAUGAUGCUAAGACCUGGUUCACUUCCCUUUCUCCUAGUUGUGUGCGUAGCCCCCAGGAUAUGGUCUACUACUUCUCUGAAAAAUAUUUCCCUGCCCAUAAGAAGCAAGCUGCCUUGCAGGAAAUAUACAACUUUGCUCAAGCUGAAGAAGAGAGUCUCCCACAAGCUUGGGGGAGGCUCAUCCAGCUACUUAAUGCUUUGCCUGAUUACCCUCUUGAGAAGAAUGAAAUACUUGAUAUCUUCUAUAAUGGACUUACCGAUGCUUCCAAAGACCACCUAGAUAGUUGUGCCAGUUGUGUUUUUAGGGAACGAACUGUAGAACAAGCUGAGAUCCUACUGAAUAACAUCUUGUGCAAUGAGAAUGCUUGGACUAUUCCCGAACCACCUCCUAAGCCAACUCCGAAGAAAAGAGGUAUUAUAUUCCUCAGUCCUGAAGAUAUGCAAGAAGCCAAGAAAUCUAUGCGAGAGAAAGGCAUUAAAUCUGAAGAUGUCAAAAAUCUACCACCUAUCGAAGAGAUCCAUGGUCUCGAUAACCCGAUACAGGUAGUAGAAGUAAAUUCUCUGCGUAGGUUUGAUGAGAGUGAUAUUCCUUUUGAUAAACCUGCUAGCUUAUGCAUGGAUGAAUUUGAUAACUUUGUUGCCAAACAACAAAGUUUCAAUGAUUAUGUUAGCAGACAAUUCGAAUAAAAUGCUCGUAUGCUUAGUCAUUUAAGUGCUUGUGUGGACAGAAAUGUCNNNNNNNNNNCAGUAAGCAUGCCUCUAUGGUUACUACUCAGGUAGAACAAGUACUUAAAGCUCAAAAUGACUUGCUCAAUGAGUUGAAUGACAAUUCCGUUAGAGUCGUUACUAGAGGCGGUAGAAUGACACAGGAACCUUUGUAUCCUGAGGGUCAUCCGAAGAGAAUUGAACAAGAUUCUCAAGGAGUUAGCACUCAUGCACCUAGUCAUCCUAGAAAGAAGAAGAAAGAUGAUAGGAACCUGCAUGCUAGCAACCCUGUUGCUGCUACACCUGAGAGUCCAAACAAUGCCUCUGUCUCUGAUGUUGAAACACAAUCUGGUGAUGAACAUGAGCCUAAUGAUAAUAUCAAUAGUGAUGUUCAUGAAUAUGCUCAACCUAGCAAUGAUAAGGAUGUGGAGAUUGAACAUGUUGAUCUUGAUAACCCACAGCCUAAGACUAAGAGGUACAAUAAGAAUGACUUCGCUGCUAGGAAGCACGGUAAAGAAAGGGAACCAUGGGUUCAUAAACCUAUGCCCUUUCCUCCCAAACCAUCCAAGAAAAAGGAAGAUGAGGAUUUUGAGCAUUUCGUUGAAAUGAUCAGACCUGUCUUUCUGCAAAUGCGUUUGACAGAUAUGCUCAAAAUGUCUCUGUAUGCUAAGUACAUGAAAGAUAUUGUGACUAAUAAGACGAGGAUACCUGAGGUUGAGAUUUCCACCAUGCUUGCUAACUAUACCUUCAAGGGUGGAACUCCCAACAAACUAGGUGAUCCCGGUGUGCCCACUAGACCUUGUUCCAUUAAGGGCAACUACGUUGUAACUGCUUUGUGCGACCUUGGAGCCGGUGUUAGUGUUAUGCCUCUAUCUCUUAAUCAUAGGCUUGAACUGGAUAAGUUGACACCCACUGAAAUCUCUCUGCAAAUGGCCGACAAAUCAAUUAACUUCCCUAUCGGCAUUUGCGAGGAUGUGCCUGUUGUGGUUGCUAACAUCACUAUCUUAACAGACUUCGUUAUCUUGGAUAUUCUUGAGGACGAUGCCAUGGCGGUCAUCCUCUGAAGACCCUUUUUAAACACUGCAGGGGCUGUUAUAGAUUGCAACAAAGGCAAUGUCACUUUCCAUGUCAACGGUAAUGAGCAUACGGUGCACUUUCCGAAGAAACAAUAUCGAGUACAUUGCAUCAAUGCUAUCGNNNNNNNNNNGAUUCUUAUUGGGAGCUUUGAAUGCCCUAUACCUACUGUUAAGAUGAAGUAUGAUUUGCUUGUUGGGGAUAUCCACAUCCCCAUUGAGGUAAUUUAGUGACUAUUUGAAAAUUCUCCGUCUUCUUUUGCGAUUCGAAAAAGUUUGUCAAGGAGACUUGAUCAACCUCAUUGAUAGAUUUCUUUCGAUAACCAUGAGAUGGAUGAAUCGAGGAGUCACAAACCUCUGUUCCAAACUUUCAACAUCGGUAGCUCAGAACAAAAAUGAUAGAUUUAGUUUAGUUUUCCCUGUUUUUUGCUUUUAGCGUCCCGUAGAAAAGUACCCCGAAAAUAAAAGUUCUCCGAAUGUCCUGAAAAUCAAGUAUGAUUUUUUCUGGAAUUUUUGAAAAAUACUGAGACGAAGAGCUAAUCAGGGGGCUGCACCAGUGGGCCACAAGCGUUGGAGGCGCGGGCACCCCCUGGCCGCGCCAUCCAGGCUUGUGGGGCCCACGUAUACCCCCUCCACUCAUUCCAUCUGCCAUCUGCUUCUCCUACCUCCAGAAAAAAUUGUUUCGCAGCUAAAACCCGUGUUCUUGCUCUUCUUGCUGGGAUUUUUGAUCUCCUUGUGCAAAGCACCAUUCACCAAGCUGUUUUGGGCAAAUUACUCCUUGGUAAAUGACUCCUCCAUUGGUCCAAUUAGAACUGCUUUAUGCGAUCUUGGAGCCGGUGUUAGUGUUAUGGCUCUCUCUCUUUAUCGUAGGCUUGAAGUGGAUAAGUUGACACCCACUGAAAUCUCUCUGCAAAUGGCCGACAAAGCAACUGCUUUCCCUAUCGGCAUUUGCGAGGAUGUGCCAAUUGUGGUUGCGAAUGUCACUAUCUUAACAGACUUUGUUAUUCUGGAUAUUCCCGAGGAUGAUGCCAUGGCGGUCAUCCUUNNNNNNNNNNNNNNNNNNNNNNNNNNNNNNNNNNNNNNNNNNNNNNNNNNNNNNNNNNNNNNNNNNNNNNNNNNNNNNNNNNNNNNNNNNNNNNNNNNNNUGUGCUUCAAUUCUUGUCUUUCGUGUGAGCAUCAUUGAAUUAUCAAUGCCUAGCUAAGGGUGUUAAACAAUAGCGCUUGUUGGGAGGCAACCCAAUGAAUUUAUCUUUGCUUUUUUGCUUUAUGUUUUGUUGUGUCCACACCAUCAUAAUUCUGUUAUGAUUGUGUUUUUUGUGUUUCUUUUUGUGUUUGAGCCAAGUAAAACAUUUAUGACUAGUUUUGGUGAUGGUUGAUUGAUCAUGCUGGAAAAAGACAGAAACUUUUCGCUCACGAAAUUAUUUUUCAUUUUUAUCUAGAAAGAGAUUUUGUGUUGAUUAUUUUUUAUGAUGGUUUAUAUGCCAAUUGCCCAAACUUUCAUAAUUUUUCAGUAUUUGUGAGAUAACAGAAGUAUACGAAGUAUACAGAUUGCUACAGACCGGUCUGUUUUUAACAGAUUCUGUUUUGUUGUGUUAAUUGCUUAUUUUGAUGAAACUAUGGAUAGUAUCGGGGGUACUAGCCAUGGAAACGUGAGAAUGCAGUAAUCUAGCACCAAUAUAAAUACAAAUCAAGUUUGCUACAGUACCUCAAGAGGUGGUAGUUUGUUUUCUUGUGCUAAUGAUAUCACGAGUUUCUGUUUAAGUUUUGUGUUGUGAAGUUUUCAAGUUUUGGGUGAUGUUCUCAUGGACAAAGGGAUAAAGAGUGGAAAGAGCUCAAGCUUGGGGAUGCCCAAGGCAUCCCAAGCCAAAUUCAAGGACACCAAACAUCCUAAGCUUGGGGAUGCCCCGUGAAGGCAUCCCCUCUUUCGUCUUCAAUCCAUCGGUAACAUUACUUGGAGCUAUAUUUUUAUUCUCAAAAUGAUAUGUGUUUUACUUGGAGCAUCGUGUAUUAUAGGAGUCUUUUAUUUUUGUUGUGUCACAAUCAUCCUUGCUGCACAACUUUUGAGAGAGACAUGCACUCAUCGUGAAUUUGCUAGAGUACUCAUUGAGCUUCGCUUAUAUCUUUUAAGUUAGGCAAUUUAGCUCACAUGUGCUUCACUUAUAUCUUUUGAGCUAGAUAACUUUGCUCUAAGUGCUUCACUUGGAUCUUUUAGAGCACGGCAGUGUCACAUUUUGGAGAAAUAAGAACUCUCGAUCUUCACUUAUAUCUUUUUGAGAGUGCUCUCUCUGAGUAACUUGGUAGUUGGCUUGUGCUAUGAAAGUAGUCCUAAAGAUGAUAGGCGUCUAAAGAGGAUACAAUAAAACUUCCAUAUUCAUGUGCAUUGAUUAGAAAGAGAAGUUUGAUUCCUCUCAAUUAGUUUUGAGACAUGGAUUUGGUAAUAUUAAGAGUUAUGUUUGUAGGGUGUUGUGAAUCUAGUAAUACUUGUGUUUAAGUUAGUGAUUCCCGUAACAUGCACAUAUGAUGAACCGCCAUGUUAGGAAGUCGGAGCAUAAUUGAUUUAUUGAUUGUCAUCCUUUCUGUUGCGGUCGGGAUCGCGCGAUGGUUAACACCUACCAACCCUUUCCCUAGGAGUAUGCGUUUAGCACUUUGUUUCGAUUACUAAUAAAAACUUUUGCAAUAAGUAUGUGAGUUCUUCAUGACUAAUGUGAGUCCAUGGUAUAAAUGCACUUUCACUUUCCACCAUUGCUAGCCUCUCUAGUGCCGCGCAACUUUCGCCGGUGCACAAACCCACCAUAUACCUUCCUCAAAACAGCCACCAUACCUACCUAUUAUGGCAUUUUCAUAGCCAUUCCGAGAUAUAUUGCCAUGCAACUCCCACCGUUCNNNNNNNNNNGCCGUCACUUUCAUAUUGCCAUUGCAUGAUCGUAAGAUAGCUAGCGAGAUGUUUCAACGUCAUAAGCCAAGCUAGAUCGUUGCACAUCCCGACACACUGUCGGAGGCAUUUCCUAUAGAGUCCUCAUCGUUCUAAGCAUUGAGCUGUGAGUAAAUUAAAGUGUGAUGGUCAUCAUUAUUAGAGAAUUGUCCCAUGUGAGGAAAUAAAUAAAUAAAUAAAUAAGAGGCCAAAGUUGCCCACACAAAGAGAGAGAGAGAGAGAGAGAUGGAAAGAGGCCAAAGAGCCCAAACAAAAUAAAAUAAAAAAGAGAGAAAAAGAGAGAAGGGACAAUGCUACUAUCUUUUCCACACUUGUGCUUCAUAAUAGCACCAUGUUCUUCAUGAUUGAGAGUCUCUUGUUUUGUCACCACCAUAUGCUAGUGGGAAUCUUAAUUAUAUAACUUGGCUUGUAUAUUCCAAUGAUGGGCUUCCUCAAAAUUGCCCUAGGUCUUCGUCAGCAAGCAAGUUGGAUGCACACCCAUUAGUUCUCCUUUUGAGCUUUCACAUAUUUAUAGCUCUAAGUGCAUCCAUUGCAUGCCAAUCCCUACUCUUUCACAUUGAUAUCUAAUAAUGAGCAUCUCCAUAGACCUUUGAUACGCUGAGUCAAUGUAAUCAUAUCCUCCUUUUUGUCUCACAACCUCCACCACACUCUUUUUCACCUAUAGUGCUAUAUCCAUGGCUCACGCUCAUGUAUUGCGUGAGAAUUGAAAAAGGUUUGAGAAAGUAAGAGUGCGAAAACAAUUACUUGGCCAAUUCUGGGGUUGUGCAUGAUUUAAAUUCGUUGUGUGGGGAUGGUGGAGCAUAGCCAGACUAUAUGAUUUUGUAGGGAUAAAUUUCUUUGGCUUUGUUAUUUCAAAAGUUCAUGAUUACCUUGCUAGUUUGCUUGAAGUAUUAUUGUUUUCAUGUCAAUAGCAAACUAUUGUUUUGAAUCUUACGGAUCUGAACAUUCAUGUCACAUGAAAGAAGUUACAAAGGACAAAUAUGCUAGGUAAAAUUCCACAUCAAAAAUUCAUUCUUUAUCACUUCCCUACUCGAGGACGAGCAGGAGUUAAGCUUGGGGAUGCUUGAUACGUCUCCAACGUAUCUAUAAUUUUUUAUGGUUCCAUGCUAUUAUCUUAUCAAACUUUGGAUGUUUUGUAUGCCUUUUAUAUCUUUUUCGGGACUAACUUAUUAACUCGGUGCCAAGUGCUAGCUCCUGUUUUUUCGGUGUUUUUGACCCUUUUCAGAGGAGAAUAUUAAAUGGAGUCCAAACGGAAUAAAACCUCCGAAAUGAUUUUUUUUGGAACAGAAGAUACGCAAGGAGAUUGAGAACCAAGGCAGAGGGCGCCAAGGGAGGCCACAAGCCACCUAGACGCGGCCUGGGGGCACGCCUAGCAGGCUUGUGGGCCCCCUGUGGCUCCUCUGCCCUACUUCUUCCGCCUAUAAAUCCCCGAAAAAUCCAAAACCACGGGAGAGAUCCACGAAAAUACUUUUCCACCGCUGCAAGCUUCUGUCUCCGCAAGAUCCCAUCUGGGGCAUGUUCUGGUGCCCUGCCGGAGGGGGGAUUCGGAUACGGAGGGCUUCUUCAUCAACACCAUUGCCUCUCCGAUGAUGCGUGAGUAGUUCACCAUAGACCUUCGGGUCCAUAGCUAGUANNNNNNNNNNNNNNNNNNNNNNNNNNNNNNNNNNNNNNNNNNNNNNNNNNNNNNNNNNNNNNNNNNNNNNNNNNNUGCGGCGUGUUUGUCGAGAUCCGAUGAAUUGUGGAUUUAUGAUCAUAUUAUCUAUGAAUCUUAUUUGAGUUUCUUCUGAUCUCUUAUAUGCAUGAUUUUAUAUCCUUGUAAUUCUCUUCGAGAUGUGGGUUUUGUUUGGCCAACUUGAUCUAUGAUUCUUGCAAUGGGAGAAGUGCUUGGUUUUGGGUUCAUACCGUGCGGUGACCUCACCCAAUGACAGAAGGGGUAGCGAGGCACGCAUCGUGUUGUUGCCAUCAAGGGUAAAAAGAUGAGGUUUAUAUCUAUUGCAUGAAUUUAUCCCUCUACAUCAUGUCAUCUUGNNNNNNNNNNNNNNNNNNNNNNNNNNNNNNNNNNNNNNNNNNNNNNNNNNNNNNNNNNNNNNNNNNNNNNNNNNNNNNNNNNNNNNNNNNNNNNNNNNNNUAAGCAUCAUGGGCAGCAGAAGUAGCAUCAUCAAGCACAUGCGACAUAUCAAGAUUUCUAGCAGGAGGCGAUGUCGCAAACUUACUCAUAACUGAAGGUGAAUCAAGUGCAGAGCUAGAUGGCAGUUCCUUACCUCUCCUCGUAGUGGAAGGCAAGAUUUUAGUUCUUGGAUCUUUCGGAUUCCUCAUAGUGAUCAGCAGACAAAAAUCCCAAGUGACUCAGAGAAUAUAGUUGUGCCUCCCCGGCAACGGUGCCAGAAAAUAGUUUUGAUAACCCACAAGUGUAGGGGAUCGCAACAGUUUUCGAGGGUAGAGUAUUCAACCCAAAUUUAUUGAUUCGACACAAAGGGAAGCAAAAGAAUAUUCUCAAGUAUUAGCAGCUGAGUUUGUCAAUUUCAACCACACCUGAAAGAUUAGUGUCUGCAAGCAAAGUAUCAGUAGCAAAGUAGUAUGAUAGCAACGGUGUCAGAAAAAUAUCUGUUGAUGGCAGACUAUUCCUAACUGUUGUAUCAAUGGCGCCAGUAAAUAGCACUUGGACGGGGAACUAUUCUUCCCCGGCAACAGCUCCAGAAAAGUAUUGCGACAAGUAGCAGCAAAGUAACAGCAGUAGUGACAACAGUAGCAAGGAACAACAGUAGUGACAGCAGCAGCAGCAGCAACAGCAGUAGUAACAGCAGAGUAACAGAAGUAGCAACAAUAGUAGCGACAAAGUAAUGUAGAAAGGACCAGUAGUAAAAGACUCGUAGGCAGUGGAUCGGUGAUGGAUGAGUAUGACGGAUGUGAUUCAUCAUGUAACAGUUAUAACAUGGAGAGAUAAGUAACUAGCUCCCGUUCGUCAAUCUAAUGUAGGCAUGUAUUNNNNNNNNNNNNNNNNNNNNNNNNNNNNNNNNNNNNNNNNNNNNNNNNNNNNNNNNNNNNNNNNNNNNNNNNNNNNNNNNNNNNNNNNNNNNNNNNNNNNAGUUUGUUGUUUUUGCGCAGGUACAUUGGUGCCUCAUCUUGAUACUCCUACUGGAUUGAUACCUUGGUUCUCAAACUGAGGGAAAUACUUACUGCUAGUGUGCUGCAUCACCCUUUCCUCUUCAAGGGAAAAAACCACCGCAAGCUCAAGAGGUAGCAAGAAGAAUUUCUGGCGCCGUCGCCGGCGAGGAGGAUCAAGUCAAGAAUAGUUUCCCAUCAACGUGCCAAUUUCUGGCGCCGUUGUCGGGGAGCAUCAAGUGAAGCUUAUCCAAGUAACCGUCGCGAACUCAUCUCUUGCAUUUACUUUUUUUGCCUAUCGUUUUGCUCUCCCCCACUUCUGAAAAACAAAAAAUUACAAAAAUAUUUACCUUUUUCGUUUGCCUUUCCUUUGCCUGUGUGCUAUGUGCCUUCAAUAUGCUUGCAUCUUCGCUUGCUAAAAAUCUAGUGAUAUGGAUCCUCACCCACUUGCUAAUCUCUUNNNNNNNNNNNNNNNNNNNNNNNNNNNNNNNNNNNNNNNNNNNNNNNNNNNNNNNNNNNNNNNNNNNNNNNNNNNNNNNNNNNNNNNNNNNNNNNNNNNNNNNNNNNNNNNNNNNNNNNNNNNNNNNNNNNNNNNNNNNNNNNNNNNNNNNNNNNNNNNNNNNNNNNNNNNNNNNNNNNNNNNNNNNNNNNNNNNNNNNNNNNNNNNNNNNNNNNNNNNNNNNNNNNNNNNNNNNNNNNNNNNNNNNNNNNNNNNNNNNNNNNNNNNNNNNNNNNNNNNNNNNNNNNNNNNNNNNNNNNNNNNNNNNNNNNNNNNNNNNNNNNNNNNNNNNNNNNNNNNNNNNNNNNNNNNNNNNNNNNNNNNNNNNNNNNNNNNNNNNNNNNNNNNNNNNNAAUAUCCUAUGUGAUAGUUAUAUUGUUGAAUUCGAAUAUGAUCCCACAUGUAAUUAUUAUGAGAGAGGAAAAUAUNNNNNNNGUUUUGCUAUGCCCACUACUUGUUGCAAUGAUCAUGAUUGGGGUAAUCAUUUUUCUUAUGAUCUUGAAAAUUUGUUUAAGCCUCAUGAUGAAUAUGAUACUUCCAAUGAUAUUGAAAGUGGGUUUGGAGAAGUCAUGACUUUAGUUGAUGAUAAUCCCACUAUUUUUGAAGAGCGUCAACUUUGCAUGCAUGUGGAUCAUGAAAAGAAUAUCCUAUGUGAUAGCUAUAUUGUUGAAUUUGAUUAUGAUCCCACAUGCAAUUGUUAUGAGAGAGGAAAAUAUUGUGGUAGAAACUUUCAUAUCACUAAAUUACCUCUCGUUAUGUUGAGAUUGAUGUUGUCUCUUUCUUCUUCCUUGCAUAUGGUAACUAUUGGUUGUCUUGACAAUCUGUUUUCCUAUAAAAUGNNNNUAUUGAAAGUGGGUUUGGAGACGUCAUGACUUUAGUUGAUGAUAAUCCCACUAUUUUUAAAGAGCAUCAACUUUGCAUGCAUGUGGAUCAUGAAAAGAAUAUCCUAUGUGAUAGNNNNNNNNNNNNNNNNNNNNNNNNNNNNNNNNNNNNNNNNNNNNNNNNNNNNNNNNNNNNNNNNNNNNNNNNNNNNNNNNNNNNNNNNNNNNNNNNNNNNUAGCAUCAAGGAUCUGAACAUAAACUCUUCCACCAAGUAAUCCAACUAGCAUCAAAUACAAAGAGUAAUUAACACUACUAGCAACCUUACAAGUACUAAUCGGAGUCGCGAGAUGGAGAUUUGUUACAAGAGAUGAACUAGGGUUUGGAGAUGAGAUGGUGCUGAUGAAGAUGUUGAUGGUGACGAGUCCCCUCCGAUGAGAAGAGUGUUGGUGAUGACGAUGGCGACGAUUUCCCCCCCGGGAGGGAAGUUUCCCCGUCAGGAUCGUCCUGCCGGAGCUCUAGAUUGGUUGUGCUCAAGUUCCGCCUCGUGGCGGCGGCGAAUCCUCGAAAAAGCCUCCUCCUGAUUUUUUUCGGAACAAAACCCUUCAUAUUGCAGAAGAGGGGGGCCAGUGGGCCAGCAGGGAGCCCACAAGCCCCUUAGACGCGGCCAGGGGGGUGGCCGCGCCUGCCAGGCUUGUGGCCCCCUGGUUGCGCUCCUCUCGCACUUCUUCGGCCUAGUAUUUUUUAUAUAUUCCAAAAAAAUGCACGUUGAUUUUCACGGUUUUUGGAGUUGCGCAGAAUAGGCAUCUCAAACUUGCUCCUUUUUCAGGCCAGAAUUCCAGCUGCCGGCAUUCUCACUCUUCAUGUAAACCUUGCAAAAUAAGAGAGAAAAGGCAUAAGUAUUGUACCGUGAAGUGAAAUAACAGCCCAAAAAGCAAUAAAUAUCAACAUGAAAGCCUGAUGCAAAAUGGACGUAUCAACUCCCCAAGCUUAGGCCUCGCUUGUCCUCAAGCGAAAGCCGAGCUCAAUAAAUAUGACCACAUGUUUAGGGAGAGGGGUGUCGACAAAACAAGAUACGAACAUGCAGGCAUCAUGAUCAUGAUCAGAACAGCAAUACCAACAUAUAAUCUCUCAUGCUAAAGUGACAAUUCCUUCACAAGGUAAAGUAUGGAUCAAGAACCUUACCGAGAAUUAACAACCGAUAGCCUUUAGUCAUUGAAGCAAUUGCAAUUUAUCACACCAUCAGAAAGAGUCAAAUAAGAGCUUGUAAAGCAAAUCCACAUACUCAAUCAUCUUUUCGUUCUCUACAAUUGCUACAACUCACGUGGUACUCAUGAGAUCAAAGUUUCAGCUGAACACGGAGAAAGAUAGGGGCUUAUAGUUUUGCCUCCCAACUGCUUACCUCAAGGGUAAUGUCAACAAUAAUAAUUCAUGAAUACUUACUUCCAAGUUGACAUAUGAAUAUAGAUCUUUUCCAAGCAUAUGACGUUAGCCAAGAUAAAGGCGAAACAAGGAAUUGGUGAAGAUCACCAUGACUCUUUCAAGGGCAAAAAGUAAAGGUACAAGAUAGGCCCUUCGCAGAGGGAAGCAGAGGUUNNNNNNNNNNGGGAUGCGUGUCCUCUUAGUGCGGAGGAAUGUCACUUUAUAUUGCCUCCUGUGAUAAAGAACUUUAUUAUGCAGUCUCUCGCUUUUAUGUCUUCCUCAUCAGAGGUUCGUACAAAGCUUAUUUUCCACACACUAAUAGAUCAUACAUAUUUGGGAGAAAUUUUUAUUGCUUGCACCGAUGACAACUUACUUGAGGGAUCUUGUUCAAUCCAUAGGUAGGUAUGGUGGAGUCUCAUGGCAAAACUGAGUUGAAGGUUUAUGGAUGCACAAGUAGUAUCUCUACUUGGUGCGGGAGNNNNNNNNNNAGCUAAUAUGAGGUGGAAGCAAUUGUCACAUGCUAAGGGAUCUCUAAUCAUAUAACAUUGUUCGGAACCAAGCAAACACAAUUCAUUAUGUUGUCUUCCUUGUCCAACAUCUACUUCUAGGCAUGCAAUAGUUUAGUGAGUGUUCACAAUCAUAGAUGGUGUCAAAGAUGAUGUAUUUAUAUGUGAACCUCUCCUUCCUUAUCACUUCCUAUUAAUUGCAACAAUGACCAAGGUCUACAUUUGUCUACCCUCAACAAGUUUCAAUCAACAUUCUUUUUAUAUGUGAAGCCAUCACUUCCCAUGAGAUCAUUACAUGAUCUUUCAUGCUUUUGUUCUUUUCUCACUCUUUUGAUCAUGGCAAGAUGCAAAUCCCUCAACUAAGACACUCUUUAUUAUAUGGCUCACGAGCUCGAAUACAUCGGGGGUGACACAAAGCAAAACUCAAGACUAAAACACUAAGACUUUUAUUCUACUAGAGAAAGAGAAAACUGAAAAGGAACAAACUAAAACAAAGGUAAAGGCAAGAGAUGUGAUGGUGAUACGAUACGGGGGCAACUCCCCCAAGCUUGGCAGAAGCCAAGGGGAUUGCCCAUACCCAUGCUCAGUUGUCUUCCUUUGGAGGUGAUGGUGGUGAAGUUGUUGCAGAGGUCAUGAGCUUGUUUGAUUUCCAGCUGAGCAUAAAAUUCUGCUCCCUCAGAUCAUCAUUUUCCUCUUCAAGCUUCAACACCCUUUGGCAUAAUUCCUGCUUACUCUCCUGCAAGAAACGAGAAGGGAUAAACAAAGUCUUAGGCUUCUUCCUUGAGUCAGGGAGGCUCGACUUCUUGAACUCCACAUGCGUGUGUCCAGGUUGAGGUAGAGGAGCCUCCUCUUCAUCGGAACUUGUUUGUUGCUUCCCCUUGGGAUCAUAAUCUUCUUCCUCAUCGGUGGUCCAGUGCUUCUUAUCAAACAACAACGCCAGAAAUUGACACGUUGACGGAGAUUGGGCUUGCGUUGGUUUUUCCCUUAAAGAGGAAAGGGUGAUGCAGCACAGGAGCAGUAAGUAUUUCCCUCAGUUUGAGAACCAAGGUAUCGAUCCAGAAGGAGGGUCUCGUCAAGUCGAGAGUACCUGUGCAAACACAAAAAAGCUUGCACCCAAUGCUUCAAAGGGGUUGUCAAUCCCUUCAAGAUUGUUUGCAAAGUGAGAUCUGAAGGCGGAAAGUGCAACAAAGUAAAAAGUGUAAGGCUGAAAAUAUGGUGUGGAGUAGACCCGGGGGCCAUAGUGUUCACUAGAGGCUUCUCUCAAAAUAGCAAAUAUCACGGCGGGUGAACAAAUUACUGUCGAGCAAUUGAUAGAACCGCGCAAAGUCAUGACGAUGUCUAAGGCAAUGAUCAUACAUAUAGGCAUCACGACCGAGACAAGUAGACAAAUACUUUUUGCAUCUACUACUAUUACUCCACACAUCGACCGCUAUCCAUCAUGCAUCUAGUGUAUUGAGUUCAUGACGAACAGAGUAACGCCUUAAGCAAGAUGACAUGAUGUAGAGGAAUAAUCUCAAACCAAUGAUGAAAACCCCAUCUUUUUACCCUUGAUGGCAACAACCUGAAGCGUGCCUCGCUACCCCUUUUGUCACUGGGUGAGGUCACCGCACGGUAUGAACCCAAAACUAAGCACUUCUCCCAUUGCAAGAAUCAUAGAUCUAGUUGGCCAGACAAAACCCACAACUCGAAGAGAAUUACAAGGAUAUGAAAUCAUGCAUAAGAGAGAUCAGAAGAAACUCAAAUAAGAUUCAUAGAUAAUCUGAUCACAAAUCCACAAUUCAUAGGAUCUCGACAAACACACCGCAAAAGAAGAUUACAUCGGAUAGAUUUCCAUGAAGAUCAUGGAGAAAUUUGUAUUGAAGAUCCAAGAGAGAGAAGAAGUCAUCUAGUUACUAGCUAUGGACCCGUAGGUCUAUGGUGAACUACUCACGCUUCAUCGGAGAGGUCAUGGUGUUGAUGAAGAAGCCCUCUGUAUCCGAAUCUCCCCUCCGGCAGGGCACCAGAACGUGCCCCAGAUGGGAUCUUGCGGAGACAGAAGCUUGCGGCGGCGGAAAAGUACUUUCGAUGAUCUCCUGAUUUUUUUGGGAUUUUUAGGGAAUUUAUAGGCGCAACCCCUAGGACAGAGGGCGCCGAGGGGGCCCACAAGCCUGUGGGCCGCGGCCUCCCCCCUAGUCGCGGGGUGGGGGCUUGUGGGGCCCCUGAGGCUCCCCUACCUUGGCUCUCAAGCUUCCCGAUCUUCCGUUCCAGAAAAAAAUCUUUUCGGGGAUUUUCUUCCGUUUGGACUCCGUUUCAAAAUCUCCUCUCAAAGGGGUCAAAAACAUGGAAAAAACAGGAACUGGAACUUGGCACUGAGUUAAUAAGUUAGUCCCAAAAAAUAUAUAAAAGACAUGCAUAACAUCUAGAUUUUGACAAGAUAAUAGCAUGAAACCAUAAAAAAUUAUAGAUACGUUGGAGACGUAUCAUCCAGCCAUAAGGAUCCAAGUCCCCAUAGAUCUUGGGGUCAGCAAGGUAAUCUGCCAAUAGCUCUCCCCCUCUGAAUCUUGAGAAGAUAUCUUGCCUUAAAUCUGCGGCAGAAAACAGGCUCGAAACGAAAACAAAGGAAAUGUGGGUGAUGCGAGGGUCAGACCUUACGGGAGAAUAUAUAUUGAUUUUUUCCAGACCAGAAGGAGUACUCCGCACGAAAACGGAGUCCGGGAGGCACACGAGGUGGCCACAAGCCCCGCCCCCCCAGGCACGGCCAGGGGGUGGGCCCGCGCCUGGCAGGCUUGUCGCCUCCUCGCGCGCUUUCCGGACUACUUCCAAUUUUUCUAUUUUUUCAAAUAUUCCAAAACGGAGAAAAAUUCCUACUAGAAAAGUUUUGGAGUCUGUUUUCUUACCGAAUCACAUACCUCUUUGUUUUCGGAGUCUGAAACAGGCUGAUAAAUAUCCCUUAGGUAUUCUUCCGGAGUUNNNNNNNNNNNNNNNNNNNNNNNNNNNNNNNNNNNNNNNNNNNNNNNNNNNNNNNNNNNNNNNNNNNNNNNNNNNNNNNNNNNNNNNNNNNNNNNNNNNNAUGGUGACGAGUCCCCUCCGAUGAGAGGAGUGUUGGUGAUGACGAUGGUGACGAUUUCCCCCUCCGGGAGGGAAGUUUCCCUGGCAGGGUCGUCCUGCUGGAGCUCUAGAUUGGUUCUGCUCAAGUUCCGCCUCGUGGUGGCGGCGAAACCACGAAAAAGCUCCUCCUUGAUUUUUUUUCCUGGAUGAAACCCUCCAUAUAGAAAAAGAGGGGAGCAAGUGGGAUAGUGGGCUGCCCACAAGCCCCCAUGGCGCGGCCUGGGGGGUGGCUAAUGACCCACAAGUAUAGGGGAUCAAUCAUAGUCCUUUCGAUAAGUAAGAGUGUCAAACCCACUGAGGAGUAGAAGGCUCUGAUAAACGGAUUUCAGCAAGGUAAUAACUGCAAGCACUGAAAGUAGCGGUAACAAGUGAUUGUGUAGCGAGGUGAAACGUAGCAAGCAAAGAGUAACAAGUAACAAGUAGUAGCAACGGUGCAACAAGUGGCCCAAUCCCUUUUGUAGCAAGGGACAAGCCUGAACAAAGUCUUAUCGGAGGAAAAACGCUCCCGAUGACACACGGAAAUUUCUGUCAUGCUAGUUUCAUCAUGUUCAUAUGAUUCGCGUUCGUUGCUUUGAUGGUUUGAUAUGUGGGUGGACCGGCGCUUGGGUACUGCCCUUACUUGGACAAGCAUCCCACUUAUGAUUAACCUGUCUCGCAAGCAUCCGCAACUACAAAAGAAGAAUUAAGACAAAGUCUAACAAUAGCAUUAAACUAGUAGAUCCAAAUCAACCCCUCACGAAGCAACACAUAGACUGGGGUUUAAGCUUCUGUCACUCCAGCAACCCAUCAUCUACUUACUACUUCCCAAUGCCUUCCUCUAGGACCAAAUAUGGUGAAGUGUUAUGUAGUCGACGUUCACAUAACACCACUAGAGGAANNNNNNNNNNGCAUAUCAAAAUAUCGAACGAAUAUCAAAUUCACAUGACUAUUAUUAACAUGACUUAUCCCAUGUCCUCAGGAACAAAAGUAACUACUCACAAGACAUAAUCAUAAUCAUGACCAGAGGUGUAAUGAAUAACAUCAAGGAUCUGAACAUAAACUCUUCCACCAAGUAAUCCAACUAGCACCAACUACAAAGAGUAAUCAACACUACUAGCAACCUUACAAGUACCAAUCGGAGUUGCGAGACGAAGAUCGGUUACAAGAGAUGAACUAGGGAUUGGAAAGGGAGAUGGUGCUUAUGAAGAUGUUGAUGAAGAUGCCUCCCCUCCGACGAGAGGAGUGUUGGUGAUGACGAUGGCGACGACUUCCCCCUCCGGGAAGGAAGUUUCCCUGGCAGGAUCGUCCUGUCGGAGCUCUAGAUUGGAUCUGCUCAAGUUCCGCCUCGUGGCGGCGGCGAAACCACGAAUAAGCUCCCGAUUUAUUUUUUCCAGACCAGGAUGCUUCAUAUAGCAAAAGAGGGGGGUAGUGGGCCUUUAGGCAGCCCACAAGCCUGCCCUGCGCCACCAGGGGGGUGGUGGCGGUGGGCAAGCUUGUGGGGCCCUGGUGGCCUCCCUCCUUUAGUUCUUUCGCCCAGUAUUUUUAAUAUAUUCCAGAAAAAAUCCAUGUAAAUUUUCAGGGCAUUUGGAGAUGUGCAGAAUAGUGGACUAGGAUUUGCUCCUUUUCCAGUNNNNNNNNNNAUCAUGAUCAGAGGUGUAAUGAAUAGCAUCAAGGAUAUGAACAUAAACUCUUCCACCAAGUAAUCCAACUAGCAUCAACUACAAAGAGUAAUCAACACUACUAGCAACCUUACAAGUACCAAUCGGAGUCGUGAGACGGAGAUUGGUUACAAGAAAUGAACUAGGGAUUGGAGAGGAGAUGGUGCUGAUGAAGAUGUUGGUGAAGAUGCCUCCCCUCCGACGAGAGGAGUGUUGGUGAUGACGAUGGCNNNNNNNNNNGAGAAUUCCAACUGCCUGAAUUUUCCCUCUUCAAAUAAUCCUUGCAAAAUAAGAGAGAAAAGGCAUUAAAAUGGUACCACAAGUAAUAUAACAGCCCAAAAAGCAAUAAAUAUCAACANNNNNNNNNNAUCUGCUCAAGUUCCGCCUCAUGGCGGCGGCGAAACCACGAAAAAGCUUCCUUCUGAUUUUUUUCCAUACUAGGAUGUUUCAUAUAGCAAAAGAGGGGGGCUAGUGGGCCUUCAGGCAGCCCACAAGCCUGCCCUCCGCCACCAGGGGGGUGGUGGCGGUGGGCAAGCUUGUGGAGCCCUGGUGACCCCCCUCCGGUAGUUCUUUCGCCUAGUAUUUUUAAUAUAUUCUAGAAAAAAUCCACGUAAAUUUUUAGGGAAUUUGGAGAUGUGCAGAAUAGUGGACUAGGAUUUGCUCCUUUUCCAGUNNNNNNNNNNNNNNNNNNNNNNNNNNNNNNNNNNNNNNNNNNNNNNNNNNNNNNNNNNNNNNNNNNNNNNNNNNNNNNNNNNNNNNNNNNNNNNNNNNNNUUCAAUACAAAGUUCUCCAUGAUCUUCAUGGAGAUCUAUCCGAUGUAAUCUUCUUUCGCGGUGUGUUUGCCGAGAUCCGAUGAACUGUGGAUUUAUGAUGAGAUUAUCUAUAAAUCUUAUUUGAGUUUCUUCUGAUCUGUUAUAUGCAUGAUUUCAUAUCCUUGUAAUUCUCUUCGAGUUGUGGGUUUUGUUUGGUGAUACGUCUCCGUUGUAUCUACUUUUCCGAACUCUUUUGCCCUUGUUUUGGACUCUAAUUUGCAUGAUUUGAAUGGANNNNNNNNNNCUGUUUUUAGCAGAAUUGCCAUGGUGUUGUUUUUGUGCAGAAAUAAAAGUUCUCAGAAUGUCCUAAAAAUUUACGGAGAAUUUUUCCAGAAUUAAUGAAAUAUACGUGCGCAAAGAUCCACCGGAGGAGGUGGGCCAGUGGGCCACAAGCCCCUAGGCCGCGGCCACCCCCCCUGGCCGCGACGUGAGGGCUUGUGGGGCCCACAUGGCAGCACCGCCUCCAAACUCAGCUCUAUUUAUUCUGUCUCACUCGGAAAAAAAUCAGAGAGAAGGAUUCAUCGCGUUUUAUGAUAUGGAGGCGCCGCCACCUCCUGUUCUUCAUCUGGAGGGCAGAUCUAGAGUCCGUUCUGGACUCCGGAGAGGGGAAAUCAUCGCCAUCGUCAUCAUCAACCUUCCUCCAUCGACAAUUCCAUGAUGCUCUUCACCGUUCGUGAGUAAUCUCAUCGUAGGCUUGCUGGAUGGUGAUGAGUUGGAUGAGAUCUAUCAUGUAAUCGAGUUAGUUCUGAGAUUAAUGUUUCGAGUUAAUGCUUGUCACUAGGGCCCGAGUGCCAUGAUUUCAGAUCUGAACCUAUUAUGUUGUCGCCAAUAUAUGUAUGUUUUAGAUCCUAUCUUGCAAGUUGUAGUCACCUACUAUGUGUUAUGACCCGGCNNNNNNNNNNNNNNNNNNNNNNNNNNNNNNNNNNNNNNNNNNNNNNNNNNNNNNNNNNNNNNNNNNNNNNNNNNNNNNNNNNNNNNNNNNNNNNNNNNNNNNNNNNNNNNNNNNNNNNNNNNNNNNNNNNNNNNNNNNNNNNNNNNNNNNNNNNNNNNNNNNNNNNNNNNNNNNNNNNNNNNNNNNNNNNNNNNNNNNNNNNNNNNGGUUCUUUAUUAAAAGGAGAACCUUAAUAUCCCGUAGUUUCCAUUAGGACCCCGCUGCCACGGGAGGGAUGGACAAUAGAUGUCAUGCAAGUUCUUUUCCCUAAGCACGUAUGACUACAUACGGAAUACAUGCCUACAUUACAUUGACGAACUGGAGCUAGUUACAUAUCUCUCCGCGUUAUAAGUGUUGCAUGAUGAAUAGCAUCCAGCAUAAUCAUCCAUCACCGAUCCAAUGCCUACGAGUCUUUUCCUACUGGUCCUUGCUACGUUACUUUGCUGCUACUGAUCUCACUAAUGCUACUGUUACUCUGCUGCUUCUACUGUUACUUUGCUGCUACUGAUGUCACUUUGCUGCUACUGGUUACUGUUGCUAAUGUUGCUAUCAUACUACUCUGCUACUGAUACUUUGCUGCAGAUACUAAAUCUUUCAGGUGUGGUUGAAUUGACAACUCAACUUCUAAUACUUGAAAAUAUUCUUUGGCGUCCCCUUGUGUCGAAUCAAUAAAUUUGGGUUGAAUACUCUACCCUGAAAAACUGUAGCGAUCCCCUAUACUUGUGUGUUAUCAAGACCUUUUUUUGGUGGCAUUGCCGGGGAAGCCAAGUCAAGAAUAUUCUCCUGUCAAUGUGCCUUUUUCUGGCGCCGUUGCAGGGGAGGCAUACCUAUAUUCUCUGACUCACUUGGGAUUUACGUCUUCUGGUCACUAUGAGGAAUCUGAAAGAUCCAAGAACUAAAGUAUUGCCCUCAACUAUGAGGACAUGUAAGGAACUGCCAUCUAGCUCUGCACUUGAUUCACCUUCAGUUAUGAGUAAGUUUGCGACACCACCUCCUGCUAGAAAUAUUGAUAUGUCGCCUGUGCUUGAUGAUGCUACUUCUGCUGCCCAUGAUGCUUAUGAUGAUGCUAUGCUUGAUACUGCUUUGCCACUAGGUGCAUUCCUUGAUGCACAAAUUGCUAGAGNNNNNNNNNNCUAGAUGUGAUGAUACUUCUGAAACUGCUGAUACUAUUGAAGUAGAACCUGCUAUUUUGCCUGCUGGAACUAGCUCUCCUAGACAUGAAUUGCCUGGUAUGCCUGAGUGUUAUGUUAUGGAGGGAGAGAUAGCUGAGGACUUUCUUGCUUGUAAGGAUAGCUAUGAUGUUGAGAAAUUACUGCUCAAGUGGAAAGAAAAAUCUCUGAACGCUAGGAUGAAAUACGACCCGAAGUUUGCUACUUCGCCUAUCUUUGUGACCGAUAAGGAUUAUGAAUUCUCUGUCGACCCUGAGUUAAUCACUCAGGUCGAAUAUGAUCCUUUUCACAGUUAUGAGUCUGAAACGGUUGUAGCCCAUCUUACCAAACUGCACGAUAUAGCCACCCUAUUCACGAGUGAGGAAAAGAUCCACCACUACUAUAUCCUCAAGAUGUUUCCUUUCUCGCUAAAGGAUGAUGGUAAGACCUAGUUCACUUCUCUUGCUCCUGGUUGUGUGCGUAGCCCCCAGGAUAUGGUCUACUACUUCUCUGAAAAAUAUUUCCCUGCCCAUAAGAAGCAAGCUGCCUUGCAUGAAAUAUACAACUUUGCACAAGUUGAAGAAGAGAGUCUCCCACAAGCUUGGGGGAGGCUCGUCCAACUGCUGAAUGCUUUGCCUGAUCACCCUCUUGAGAAGAACGAAAUACUUGAUAUCUUCUAUAAUGGACUCACCGAUGCUUAUAGAGACCACCUAGAUAGUUGUGUUGGUUGUGUUUUUAGGGAACGAACUGUAGAACAAGCUAAGAUCCUAUUGAAUAAUAUCUUGUGCAAUGAGAAUGCUUGGACUAUUCCCGAACCACCUCCGAAGCCAACUCCGAAGAAAAGAGGUAUUCUAUUCCUCACUCCUGAAGAUAUGCAAGAAGCUAAGAAAUCUAUGAAAGAGAAAGGCAUUAAAUCUGAAGAUGUCAAAAAUCUACCACCUAUCGANNNNNNNNNNUGAUAACCCGAUACAGGUAGUAGAAGUAAAUUCUCUACGUAGAUUCUAUGAGAGUGAUAUUCCUUUUGAUAAACCUGCUAGCUUAUGCUUGGAUGAAUUUGAUAACUUUGUUGCCAAACAACAAAGUUUCAACGAUUAUGUUAGCAGACAAUUGGAACAGAAUGCUCGUAUGCUUAGUCAUUUAAGUGCUUGUGUGGACAGAAAUGUCAAUGAUCUUAAGCUUCUGAGUAAACAUGCCUCUAUGGUUACUACUCAAGUAGAACAAGUACUUAAGGCUCAGAAUGACUUGCUCAAUUAGUUGAAUGACAAUUCUGUUAGAGUCGUCACUAGAGGCGGUAGAAUGACUCAGGAACCUUUGUAUCCUGAGGGUCAUCCUAAGAGAAUUGAACAAGAUUCUCAAGGAGUUAGCACUAAUGCACCUAGUCAUCCUAAUAAGAAGAAGAAAGAUGAUAGGGAUUUGCACGCUAGCAACCCUGUUGCUGCUACACCUGAGAGUCCAAACGAUGUCUCUGUCUCUGAUGCUGAAACGCAAUCUGGUGAUGAACAUGAGCCUAAUGAUAAUAUAAAUAGUGAUGUUCAUGAUAAUGCUCAACCUAGCAAUGAUAAGGAUGUGGAGAUUGAACAUGUUGAUCUUGAUAACCCACAGCCAAAGAAUAGAAGAUACGAUAAGAAUGACUUCGUUGCUAGGAAGCAUGGUAAAGAAAGGGAACCAUGGGUUCAGAAACCCAUGCCCUUUCCUCCCAAACCAUCAAAGAAAAAGGAUGAUGAGGAUUUUGAGCGAUUUGUUGAAAUGAUUAGACUUGUCUUCUUGCAAAUGUGUUUGACAGAUAUGCUCAAAAUGUCUCUGUAUGCUAAGUAUGACAGAUAUCGGCAUUUGCGAGGAUGUGCCAAUUGUGGUUGCGAAUGUCACUAUNNNNNNNNNNNNNNNNNNNNNNNNNNNNNNNNNNNNNNNNNNNNNNNNNNNNNNNNNNNNNNNNNNNNNNNNNNNNNNNNNNNNNNNNNNNNNNNNNNNNCCAGGCUUGUCCCUUGCUACAAAAUGGAUUGGGCCACUUUGCUGCACCGUUGCUACUUUUGUUACUUGUUGCUCGCUACGAUUCAUCUCACCACAAUAUCACUUGUUACCGACAAUUUCAGUGCGUGCAGAUUUUUCCUUGGUGAAAACCACUUGUCAGAUCCUUCCGCUCCUCGUUGGGUUCGACACUCUUACUUAUCGAAAGGACUACGAUUGAUCCCCUAUACUUGUGGGUCAUCAAGACUCUUUUCUGGCGCCAUUGCCGGGAGUGAAGCGCCUUUGGUAAGUGGAACUUGGUAAGGAAACAUUCAUNNNNNNNNNNUAGAUAUUACCUUGCUGAACACCACUUGUCAGAUCCUUCUACUCCUCGUUGGGUUCGACACUCUUACUUAUUGAAAGGACUAUGAUAGAUCCCCUAUACUUGUGGGUCAUCAAGACUCUUUUCUGGCGUCGUUGCCGGGGAGUGAAGCGCCUUUGGUAAGUGGAACUUGGUAAGGAAACAUUCAUAUAGUGUGCUGAAAUUUAUUGUCACUUGUCACUAUGGAAACUAAUCCUUUGAGGGGCUUGUUCGGGGUAUCUUCACCUCGAACGGAAGCACAAAGAGUUACUCCUCAACCUGCUGCACCUACUGAAAAUAUUUGCUUUGAUUUUCCUUCAGGUAUGCGUGAGAAACUGCUAGCUAAUCCUUUUAGAGGAGAUGGAACUUCACAUCCAGACUUGCAUCUAAUCUAUGUAGAUGAAGUUUGUGGUUUAUUUAAGCUNNNNNNNNNNNNNNNNNNNNNNNNNNNNNNNNNNNNNNNNNNNNNNNNNNNNNNNNNNNNNNNNNNNNNNNNNNNNNNNNNNNNNNNNNNNNNNNNNNNNAUUUGGAGAUGUGCAGAAUAGUGGACUAGGAUUUGCUCCUUUUCCAGUCCAGAAUUCCAACUACCUGAAUUCUCCCUCUUCAAAUAAUCCUUGCAAAAUAAGAGAGAAAAGGCAUAAAUAUGGUACCACAAGUAAUAUAACAGCCCAAAAAGCAAUAAAUAUCAACANNNNNNNNNNNNNNNNNNNNNNNNNNNNNNNNNNNNNNNNNNNNNNNNNNNNNNNNNNNNNNNNNNNNNNNNNNNNNNNNNNNNNNNNNNNNNNNNNNNNNNNNNNNNNNNNNNNNNNNNNNNNNNNNNNNNNNNNNNNNNNNNNNNNNNNNNNNNNNNNNNNNNNNNNNNNNNGGUGUCGAUAAAACAUAAUACGGACAUGAGGACAUCAUGAUCACACAUAGAACAGCAAUUCAUCAUAAAGAUUCUUAUGGGAAAGUAACAAUUCCUUCAGAAAGCAAAGCAUGAAGCAAAAAACCUUACCGAGAAGUAACCAAGAAUUGUCCAUAAUCAUUGAAGCAAUUGCAAUUUAUCACAACAUCAGAAAGAGUCAAAUAAGAGCUUGUAAGGCAAACCCACAUACUCAAUCAUCUCUUUUGUUUUCCACAAUUGUUACAACUUAUGUGGUACUCAUGGUGUCAAAGUUUCAGCUGGACACACAGGAAGAUAGGGGCUUAUAGUUUUUCCUCCCAACCAUUUACCUCAAGGGUAAAGUCAACAACAAUAAAGCAUGAAUACUCAACUCCAAGUUGAUAUAUGAAUAUAGAUCUUUCCCAAGCAUGUGACGGUAGCCAAGACAAAGGCAAAAAGGGAAUUGGUGAAGAUCACCAUGACUCUUACAAGGGUAAAAAGUAAAGGUACAAGAUAGGCCCUUCGCAGAGGGAAGCAGAGGUUGUCAUGCGCUUUUGAUGUUUGAAUGCUUGUCCUCUUAGUGCGGAGGAACGUCACUUUAUAUUGCCUCCUGUGAUAAAGAACUUUAUUAUGCAGUCUGUCGCUUUUAUGUAUUCCUCAUCAUAGGUUCGUACAAAGCUUAUUUUCCACACACUAAUAGAUCAUACAUAUUAGAGAGCAAUUUUUAUUGCUUGCACCGAUGACAACUUACUUGAAGGAUCUUAUUCAAUCCAUAGGUACGUAUGGUGGACUCUCAUGGCAAAACUGGGUUGGAGGUUUAUGGAUGCACAAGUAGUAUCUCUACUUGGUGCGGGAGUUUUGGCUAAUAUGAGGUUGAAGCAAUCGUCACAUGCUAAGGGAUCUCUAAUCAUAUAACAUUGUUUNNNNNNNNNNNNNNNNNNNNNNNNNNNNNNNNNNNNNNNNNNNNNNNNNNNNNNNNNNNNNNNNNNNNNNNNNNNNNNNNNNNNNNNNNNNNNNNNNNNNCCGCUAUUGGAUAUUGACCGAGGAGUCUCUCGGGUCAUGUCUACAUAGUUCUCGAACCCGCAGGGUCUGCACACUUAAGGUUCGACGUUGUUUUAUGCGUAUUUGAGUUAUAUGGUUGGUUACCGAAUGUUGUUCGGAGUCCCGGAUGAGAUCACGGACGUCACGAGGGUUUCCAGAAUGGUCCGGAAAGGAAGAUUGAUAUAUAGGAUGACCUCAUUUGAUUACCGGAAGAUUUUCGGAGUUACCGGGAAUGUACCGGGAAUGACGAAUGGGUUCCGGGAGUUCACCGGGGGGGCAACCCACCCCGGGGAAGCCCAUAGGCCUUGGGGGACACACACCAGCCCUUAGUGGGCUUGUGGGACAGCCCACAAGUGCCUUAUGCGCCAAGUAGAAGAAAAUCAAGAGAGGAAGAAAAAAAAGGAGGAGGUGGGAAGGAAGGGGGACUCCCUCCCACCAAACCUAGUCCAACUCGGUNNNNNNNNNNGGUGGGACAGCCCACAAGUGCCCUAUGCGCCAAGUAGAAGAAAAUCAAGAGAGGAAGAAAAAAAAAGGAGGAAGUGGGAAGGAAGGGGGACUCCCUCCCACCAAACCUAGUCCAACUCGGUUUGGGGGGGAGAGUCCUCCCCCUUGGACUCGGCCGACCCCCUUGGGGCUCCUUGAGCCCCAAGGCAAGGCCCCCUCCCUCCCACCUAUAUAUACAGAGGUUUUAGGGCUGAUUUGAGACGACUUUUCCACGGCAGCCCGACCACAUACCUCCACGGUUUUUCCUCUAAAUCGCGUUUCUGCGGAGCUCGGGCGGAGCCGUGCUGAGACAAGGUCAUCACCAACCUCCGGAGCGCCGUCACGCUGCCGGAGAACUCUUCUACCUCUCCGUCUCUCUUGCUGGAUUAAGAAGGCCGAGAUCAUCGUCGAGUUGUACGUGUGCUGAACGCGGAGGUGCCGUCCGUUCGGCACUAGAUCGUGGGACUGGUCGCGGGACGGUUCGCGGGGCGGAUCGAAGGACGUGAGGACGUUCCACUACAUCAACCGCGUGCACUAACGCUUCUGCUGUACGGUCUACAAGGGUACGUAGAUCACACAUCCCCUCUCGUAGAUGGACAUCACCAUGAUAGGUCUUCGUGCGCGUAGGAAAUUUUUUGUUUCCCAUGCGACGUUCCCCAACAAAAUAUACUUCUUCGACUUUGCCAGCCUUCUUAUCUACCAAGUAUCUAGGGUAGCUCCGCCUCAGUGACCGUUCCCCUUAUAACAGAAGCACUUAGUCUCGGGUUUGGGUUCAAUUUUGGGUUUCUUCAUUAGAGCAGCAACUGGUUUGUCAUUUCAUGAAGUAUCCCUUCUAGCCCUUGCCCUUCUUGAAACUAGUGGUUUUACUAACCAUCAACAAUUGAUGCUCCUUCUUGAUUUCUACUUUCGCAGUGUCAAACAUUGCGAAUCACUCAAGGAUCAUCAUAUCUAUCCUUUAUUUGUUUAUAGUUCAUCACUAAGCUCUAGCAGCUUAGUGGCAGUGACUUUGGAGAACCAUCACUAUCUCAUCUGGAAGAUUAACUCCCACUUAAUUCAAGCGAUUGUUGUACUCACACAAUCUGAGAACAUGCUCAAUGAUUUGAGCUUUUCUCCUUUACUUUGUAGGCAAAGAAUCUUUUCGGAGGUCUUAUACCUCUCAACAAGGGCACGAACAUGAAACCUCAAUUUCAUCUCUUAGAACAUCUCUUAUGUUCCGCGACGUUUUCAAAACGUCUUCGGCGCCUUGCUUCUAAGCCAUUAAGUAUUGCGCACUGAACUAUCACGUAGUCAUCAAAAACGUGUAUGUCAGAUGUUCGCAACAUCCACAGAUGACGCUCGAGGUGCAGCACACUGAGUGGUGCAUUAAGGACAUAAGCCUUCUGUGUAGCAAUGAGGACAAUCCUCAGUUUUACGGACUCAGUCCGCAAAGUUGCUACUAUAAACUUUCAACUAAAUUUUCUCUAGGAACAUAUAAAAACAGUGGAGCUAUAGCGCAAGCUACAUCGUAAUUCGCAAAGACCAUUAGACUAUGUUCAUGAUAAUUAGUUCAAAUAAUCAUAUUACUUCAGAACUCCCACUCAAAAAGUACAUCUCUCUAGUCAUUUGAGUGGUACAUGAUCCAAAUCCACUAUCUUAAGUCCGAUCAUCACGUGAGUCGAGAAUAGUUUCAGUGGUAAGCAUCUCUAUGCUAAUCAUAUCAACUAUAUGAUUCAUGCUCGACCUUUUGGUCUCAUGUGUUCCGAGGCCAUGUCUGCACAUGCUAGGCUCGUCAAGCUUAACCCGAGUGUUCCGCGUGCGCAACUGUUUUGCACCUGUUGUAUGUGAACGUUGAGUCUAUCACACCCGAUCAUCACGUGGUGUCUCGAAACGACGAACUGUAGCAACGGUGCACAGUCGGGAGAACACAAUUUCGUCUUGAAAUUUUAAUGAGAGAUAACCUCAUAAUGCUACCGUCGUUCUAAGCAAAAUAUGGUGCAUAAAAGGAUUAACAUCACAUGCAAUUCAUAAGUGACAUGAUAUGGCCAUCAUCACGUGCUUCUUGAUCUCCAUCACCAAAGCACCGGCACGAUCUUCUUGUCACCGGCGCCACACCAUGAUCAUCCAUCAACGUGUUGCCAUCGGGGUUGUCGUGCUACUUAUGCUAUUACUACUAAAGCUACAUCCUAGCAANNNNNNNNNNNNNNNNNNNNNNNNNNNNNNNNNNNNNNNNNNNNNNNNNNNNNNNNNNNNNNNNNNNNNNNNNNNNNNNNNNNNNNNNNNNNNNNNNNNNUGAGGGGCCCGCCGGCUGCAUGGUCUCGAUUGCUGGUGGGACCCGCCGGCUGGCCAAUGGGGCUCCCGCGUAAGGUUGACGCUGAGCACGCGCUGUCCGUCGAGCGUCGCCCCGCGAGAUUCUUCAUGGGCAGGCAGUACAACCGCCUCCACUGUUCCCCACUCCGAGUGCAGUAAUGGAGUGGGAGUGUGACGGUCCGACAUCAUGCUAGGUGAUGGAUCAGAGCCGGGGUAGGUCAGCGGCGUGGCCGCCGACACUCGUACCUGCCGGGCGCCCUGAUUCAGUACCUUUGCUGACGCGUAGCUACCUUUAAUCGUGAGGUCCUUUCCUGACCUACGAUCUGAUGUGACUGGUGAUCCUCGGCCGGCUAGCCUGCUUGGUCAGCCGACUUGCGGGUGGCCGCCUCCUCCCGAGUCCGUCUAGCGGGACCAGGCCGACUCUGAAGGAGAGGCCGCCUGCAUUCUAGCCGGCAGGGGCUGCCUGGCCGGCUAGAGAGGUGGCCGCCUCGUCUUCCAACCGGCAGGCGAUGCCUAGNNNNNNNNNNNNNNNNNNNNNNNNNNNNNNNNNNNNNNNNNNNNNNNNNNNNNNNNNNNNNNNNNNNNNNNNNNNNNNNNNNNNNNNNNNNNNNNNNNNNUGGCUUCUUCUCUCUCUUGGAUCUUCAAUACAAAGUUNNNNNNNNNNUUUUUCCCGAACGGAAGAAGAUCAGGGGGCUUGAGGGCCAAGCCAGGGGAGCUAUAGGGGGCCCACAAGCCCUGUAGCCGCCACCAGGGGGCGACGGCUAGCAGGCUUGUGGCCUUCCUAGCGCCCCCCUGACCUAGCUCCUUCGCCUACAUAUUCCCUAAAAUACAAAAAAAAAUCAGGGAAUCCACGAAAACACUUUUUCGCCGCCGCAAGCUUCCGUUUCCGCGAGAUCUCAUCUGGAGACCCUUCCUGGUGCCCUGCCGGAGGGGACUUUGGAGUUGGAGGGCUUCUACAUCAACAUCAUCGCCCCUCCAAUGACUCGUGAGUAGUUCACUUCANNNNNNNNNNCUCUUUGGUGGUGUGUUUUUCAAGAUCCGAUGAAUUGUGGAUUUGUGAUCAGAUUAUCUAUGAUAUAUAUUUGAGUCUUUGCUGAUUUCUUAUAUGCAUGAUUUGAUAUCCUUGUAAGUAUCUCCGAGUCUUGGGUUUUGUUUGGCCAACUAUAUCUAUGAUUCUUGCAAUGGGAGAAGUGCUUGGUUUUGGGUUCUUACCGUGUGGUGACCUUUCCCAGUGACAGUAGGGGCAGCAAGGCACACGUCGUGUAGUUGCCAUCAAGGAUAACAAGNNNNNNNNNNNNNNNNNNNNNNNNNNNNNNNNNNNNNNNNNNNNNNNNNNNNNNNNNNNNNNNNNNNNNNNNNNNNNNNNNNNNNNNNNNNNNNNNNNNNUUGCUCCCAACGCUAUGAAGGGGUUGUCAANNNNNNNNNNUGAAGCGUAAAGGGUGAUGUAGCGCAGCGGUGGUAAGUAUUUCCCUUAGUUUUGAGAACCAAGGUAUCGAUCCAGUGAAGGAGUAUCACAAGUGCUUGCACAAACACAAAAAGCUUGCUCCCAACGCUAUGAAGGGGUUGUCAAUCCCUUAUAGAUUGUUUGCCAAGUGAGAACUGAAAGCAACAAAGUAACAAAGCAAAGUAAAAGCGAAACUGGAAACGAUAGGUGUGAAUAGACACGGGGGCCGUAGUGUUUACUAGUGGCUUCUCUCAUGAAAGCAAGUAGACGGNNNNNNNNNNGCGAAAGUGGAAAAGAUAGGUGUGAAUAGACCCGAGGGCCGUAGUGUUUACUAGUGGCUUCUCUCAUGAAAGCAAGUAGACGGUGGGUGAACAAAUUACUGUCGAGCAAUUGAUAGAACCGCGCAAAGUCGUGACGUCAUCUAUGACAAUGAUUAUAUCUAUAGGCAUCACAUCCAAAACAAGUAGACCGAUACUUUCUGCAUCUACUACUAUUACUCCACACGUCGACCGCUAUCCAGCAUGCAUCUAGUGUAUUAANNNNNNNNNNNNNNNNNNNNNNNNNNNNNNNNNNNNNNNNNNNNNNNNNNNNNNNNNNNNNNNNNNNNNNNNNNNNNNNNNNNNNNNNNNNNNNNNNNNNGAAUUCUCAAGGCGGAGCUUGAUCUGUCGCCUGAUGGCUCAUUUAUGUCCUCUGAAGAUCGCUGAACUUUGUCUUUGUUCUGCGGUGGUAUCAGCUUGGUGAUGGCAUGCGGCCUCAUCCGGUGGUGGUGAGCGCUCUGAAGAUGAUCUGCGCCGUCGUGCCUAGCUGGAGAGUCAUCCCUGCUCCAGAUCAGCUCGACAAAGUCUGCAAAGAUCCCCAGUUCAAGAAAGAGGUAAUGUAAAACCAUCGACACGGACAACCAUUCAUCUAACGUUGAGAUAUGCGCAAGAUUUCAUAGUUAUUUCAACGUUAGGAAGAAACCCUUUCAAAAUAAAAAGGGACCCCUAUAUCCUCCACACGUUCGGUCAGCGGAAAUCUUUUGAGUUUUCAAUUUUUAAAAUAUUUUAUCUUUUGAAUAAAAAAUCAAUUAAAACAUCAUUUUCAUCAUUAAAUCUUUCGCGAUAAUUUUUUUAAAACUAGAUCUCAUAUCGAUAUGUUUCGACGACUUUUUUGGGUUGAAAUUUUUCAUGUCUAUUGCACAUAAAUUGCCAUGGUGUUUACAGUGUCACAAUCCUUGAAAUAAUUUUGUCAUAAUUCACAAUUAAAAAGAGAUCUGGCGUCAAUUACUUGAAAAAUGCAUGGCCAAUGACUCAAAUUGGGCAUUAAUCAUAAACUAAAAUUGUCAUGAUGAAUUAAUUGAAUUUUUCAUAAUCCAUGCACUAAAUCAUGGUUGAUACAAAAAUAAUAAUUACCAUGGUAAAAUAAAAUAAAAUCAUUAUGGUCAAAAUACUAAAAUUGCUAUGAUGUGUAAACUAAAAUCGUCAUAAUCUAUAAACUAAAUUUGCCAUGAUGAAUUACUAAAAAUUGUCAUGAUCCAUGAAGUAAAUUUGUCAUGGUUAAUUACUAAAAAUUGUCAUGGUAAUUAAUAAAAUUUGCUAUAAAAUAGUUGAAAUACAAUUAUAGAUUUAAAAUCUACAAAAUAAAUAAAUAAAACAUAUCAUGACAACUUUAGUGUAAACACUAUAACAACUUCAGCGUAAACACCAUGCUAACUUUUGGUCCUAAGAAAAGUUGUCCAAACAUAUCAAUAUGAGAUUUACCUUUGAAAAUCUCAUGGAGAUGGAUUUAAUGAUGAAAAUAUAUUUUUAAUCGGAAUUUUGAUUUAGGAGAUAAAAUAUUUAAAGUUCGAAAACCAAAAAAGUUAUGCUCACAUCACAUGUUCGGUUUGUAUGCAUGCAUGUGAUGAUGUGCCAAUAUAGGUGACUAUGAGAAAUUUUGUGCCAAAUUGCUUCUUGCCACACGUAUUACACUUAUCAUUUGGGAUAAAAAUACGUUAGGAAGAAACCUUUAAAAAAGUUAAGAAGAAACACUAUGUUUUUCUUGAUAUAAAACUAUUGACAUGGAAAACCAUUGAUUUAACAUUGAGAUAUGUGCAAGAUUUCAUAGUUUUUUUUAACUUUGGGAACAAACGGUACAACUUUUGUGCUAGGUAUGACACACUAUUACAAUCUGGUGAACAUUUUUAUAGAUUUGUAUAAACAUAUAUUUUUUUUGUAAAAUCGACCGGAUCUCUUUGACAACCUAUAGCAAAGAGACUUCUAUAACCCAGUGAACAUUAUUUUAUAGAUUUAUAAUGACAUAUUCCCAUAGUAAUCCCUGUGGUGUGCUACAUGUUAGAACGAAGUGUAUAAAUGGUUUGUGCUUGUUAUUUUCAUAAUAUUUUUUCUUUUCACAAUGUGAGAAACUUGUUGCAAACAUAGUCCACAAAGCUCUCCGGGGUUUCCUCUCCUUGCGGUACUUCAGUGCAAUGCAUGAAAAGCUAAAAAAGGCAUGAAAUUAUUGGAAAAACUCAACAAGGUGCAGAGGGAAUAAUACUCUAUUCUUGUCAAACGAAUGCUAAACAUGAGAGAAAAUCCCGUAGGAAUUCUCCAAGCCUAAUAAGUCCUCACUAUCUGGUUUUUCCUUUUUUGUUUCUCGACUCAUGUGUUGAAUUUUAAACUAAAAUUUUGUCGUAGGAAGGUGAGAUUCUUUUGUCCAACAAUUUGUUGUAGUAGUUUUAUUUAAGUAGCACAGAAGCACCUUAAGAGGAGGAAGCAUCAAAUAUGUUCUCACUCACUUCUCUGAAAUCUUUUACAGAUCCGUUCCAACCCAUACAUGUACAAGGGGAACAUCGCGUUGCAGACAGGCCACGAACUCCUCGCCGUCAGCCUAGACAUUGAGAAGAACAUGCAUGAGGUACAUUAGUAGAAGCCAAUAGUACCAUUCACUGGGUAAUUUGGUUUUCGCUCGUUUUUUUCUAAUUACCAGGGCAAUUCUAUUUUUCAUAUUGAAUGUAGGAAUCAUGUCAUUUCCAAGAAAAUAGUACCAUUGACGGAUCAUCAUCUUAAUCUUACUAUUGUGCUCGUGCAAUUCUGUGUGCUACUUAAUUGUGAGUAAUAUAAUUGUGUAGGUCACUUUGCCAUUCUUGGUGCUGCAAGGGGAGGACGACGUGGUGGCCGAUCCUGAGGGGAGCCGGCUGCUCCACGAGCGGGCGUCGAGUAGAGACAAGACCUUGAAGUUGUACCCCGGGAUGUGGCACGUCCUCAUGGCCGAGCCUCCGGCCGACGUCGAGCGUAUCUUUGUAGACGUGAUUUCAUGGCUCAAUGAAAGGGCGGUGAGCGCCAGCAAGUGAUGAAAUGUGUAUGUAGGUGGCCUUUGUUUGAGCUUCAGCUACUGAUUUCCGGAUUCUGGACCUUUCAAAAUCAGAAACUCAAACAAACACACCAGAUUCCACUUUAGCUGGCUAGAAUCGAUUCUAAGAACUGAACUACCAAGCAAGAGAAUCUGGAAGCUGCGAUUUGGAUGAUUCCACCGAUUUUGCAGCUUUCCACAAAAGAAAACGGUUCGCUUUGAACCCUUGCCCCUAUUACAGGUCGAAAUUACAACAGAACUGCCACCACGUCCUCAUCAGAGGAACCGUCCAAGCCGUUUCCUCCAGCCCGACGGAGGACCAGAUCGGGGCAACUGCAGGCCGGUCUGGUGAGGGACGACCAGGAGAGGAGGGAAUCGCCCAGCGGCGUGACGAAUUGGGCGAUGCGUGGACUCGGAGAGCGGCGGCCGAUCGGAUCAAGAGAAGGGCGAGCGAGCAUACGCGUUCUGUGUGCACGGCUGGAGAAGAUCAGCCGAGGUGCCUGCGAACGCGUGUCUGUGUGCGCGGCUAAAGAAGAACAUCCUAUGUGCACCCGUCGCCUGCGCUGAAUGUGCACGGACGUGUACAUGUGCUGAACUAGUGAAUUAGAUGAGGCGGGCGACAUACGCGUUCCAUACUACUCAAAAUACUCAGCAGUGAGGGGCAGUAAUGACAUUUCACAACCCCUCCAGUUCCUACAUCUAUCCAACAAACAACCAGCUUGUGAUUCUCAGGAAUCCACAGCUACAACUGAUUUUCAGGAAUCAAGAAUCAUAGUGAUUCUCAGAAUCUGUAGCCCAAACAAAGGGGGCCGUAGUGUAGGCGACUGCAUUGCCGAAUGCAGAGGUAUAACUUUUCUUUGAUAAUUUAUUGACUUAUAUUGUCCAUCGCUAUGUGUAUACAUUCACACUUUGCAUAACUAGAAUAUAUAAAACCAACAUCAACACACACACACAAAUAUAAAAAAACUGCCGAAAAAAAACAUAAGCAACAACGCCUUGGAACUAAGUGCCCCGCCUCCACCAUCCAUUAUACGUGCAUAGGCUUCACUCCUCGACGCCUUUGGUGGCGGUAAGGCGAGGAGGAGGAAGAAAAGGGAAUGACCUAGCAGCGGUGGCUAAGGUAUCCCCCAAGUCAUCAAAUGUAAAUCUGGGCAUGGACAUCCCGGCCCGGUGAUCCGGCCCGAGCCCGGCACAAAAAACUCGGGCCAGGCCGGGCCGGGCUUUCAAGCCCGGGCAGCAGUUAGGGCCGCACUCGGGCUUGCACAAAUCGCCAUUUUACACGGAGGUCCGGCCCGGCCCGGCCCGAAAAUCCUCUUUUUAGUUCGUUUUGUUGGGAAACGUUGCAUGGAAAAUAAAAAAAUUCCUACGCACACGAAGACCUAUCAUGGUGAUGUCCAUCUACGAGUGGAGAUUAGAUCUACGUAUCCUUGUAGAUCGCACAGCGGGAAGCGUUAAGGAACGCGGUUGAUGUAGUGAAACGUCUUCACGUCCCUCGAACCGUCCCACGAACCGUCCCUCGAUCCGUCUCGCGAUCCGUCCAACGAUCCGUCCCGAUCUAGCACCGAACGAACGACACCUCCGCGUUCAGCACAUGUACAGCUCGAUGACGAUCUCGGCCUUCUUGAUCUAGAAAGAGAGACGGAGAAGUAGAUGUGUUCUCCGGUAGCGUGACGGCGCGCCGGUGUUGGUGAUGAUCUAUUCCUGCAGGGCUCCGCCCGAGCUCCGCAGAAAUCUAAUCUAGAGGAAGAACUACGAGGUGUAGGUUUGAGUUGCACGUGGCAAAGUUGUGUCUCAAAAUCCCUAAACCUCUAGUAUAUAUAGGAGGAGGGGAGAGGCAGCCCUAGGCAGCCUUGGAGCACCAAGGAUUCCUCCUUGGGUCGGCUGAAGUGGGAGAGAGGGAGGAGUCCUUCUCCAAUCCCACUUGGAUUAGGACUCCUUCCUUAUUUUCCCACCUCUUUUGGAUUUUCCACUUUUUCCUCAUGGGUUUUUCUUGGAUGACUUUGUUAGCCCAUUAUACCUUACUAGUACAAAUGCCCGUGCGUUGCAACGGGCUAUAAAUUAGUAGAAUUUGGCCCUUGUAAUUUUUCUAUAAUUAAAUAAUUUCUAUGACUAACAGUUUCAUUUGCAAUUUUGUUUUGUUAAUUAAUGAUAGCAUAUGGAUUAGAACUUUUUUUAUCUUGCUGAUAUAUGUGUUUGCAUUUGUAAUCUAAGUGAGUCUUAAUUUGAUUGCAAACAUAUUAGACAGCUACAUAAAAAACAAUCAAUUUGUAAGUACAUGCAUACCAAAUGUUCCAGGUUGCGUAUCAAUAUCGAUAUUCUUAAAAAAAUAAUUAGCAAAACAGUUUAUAUAUAUGAAAAAUCAAAGCUCAGCUAUUUAUUUAUGUAAAGCUUGUAUAAACAACAUUGUAUAUUUUUUAUACAUUAGAAACAUUUUUUUGCGUGUGACAUCACAAAAAUUAUUGAGUUUUGAUGUCUAAUUUUUUUAAUAUGCAUUUUACAUAUUUUGUAUGCAUCAUGAAUAUUUUUUUAUAUACAUGUUUUACAUUAUUCAAAUACACGAUUAACAUUUUUGAAAAGUUCUAUUUUUUAUGUCUACUUUGUUCCAUAUACAUUAUAUAUUUUUGUAUAUGUUUUCUUAUACGCCGGAAACAUUUUCCUAUGCACAUUUAAAAUCUUUUAAAUACAUGAUCAAUCUUUUUCAAAAUAAAAGAAAUAUAUAUUAUUUAUUGUCCAUACGCAUUGUACACUUUUUUGUCUACAAAUUUAACAUUUAUUUAAUCCAUGAUUAACAUGUGUGCAAUGUUUAUCGAAAUAAAGGCAAAAGAGGAAAAAAUAGAAAAAGUGUGAAAUAGAAGAACACAAAGGGUUGUACAUUUUUUUAUUGUCCAUACGCAUUAUACAUUUUUUUAUGUGGGAACUUUUUUGUCUACAAAUUUGACAUUUCUGUAAUCCAUGAUUAACAUGUGUGCAAAGUUUAUCAAAAUAAAGGCAAAAGAGAAAAAAAAUAGAAAAAAUACAAAAUAGAAGAAAAAAAGGACUUACGUAUGCAAAGUUUAUCAAAAUAAAGACAAAAAAGGAAAAAAAAUAGAAAAAGUGCAAAAUAGAAGAACAAAAAGGGCUGUAAAAAAAUAGAAAAAAAUGCAAAAUAGAAGAACAAAAAGGGCUUACGUGUGCAAAGUUUAUCGAAAUGAAGGCAAAAGAGGAAAAAAUAGAAAAAGUGUGAAAUAGAAGAACAAAAAGGGUUGUACUUUUUUUAUUGUUCAUACGCAUUAUACAUUUUUUUUUUGUAUAUGUGGGAACUUUUUUGUCUACAAAUUUGACAUUUCUGUAAUCCAUGAUUAACAUGUGUGCAAAGUUUUUCCAGACGGAGGGAGUAGUUCUUUCGAAAAAAGGAUAGAAAAUGAAUCAAAUAUCUCAUCAACAAUACAUCUCUAUUACACACGAACAAAACCAGAAAGCUAUAACAAAAAUUGAAAAAGAUAAACUGAAGGAGAGUAGUACACGAGUACAACUACCAAUCCAGGGUUUAUUGCAGAGAUGUGAGCCGCUUGGCUUUGAGAAUCCUCACGCUCACAUGAGCAGAAGCACGCAAGUUCUAGAUGAUUGCAGCUAACUGGACAAACAAACUGGAGGUGACCAAUAGACGUCUUUUAUUCACCAGAGAAACAGAGAAAUACAUGAACACAAAUACGACCAAAUCGAGAGAUACACGGAUACAAACAGAGACCACCACCAAACCGGGAAUACAUACAACUUGGCUAGAUAGAUGAAACAACGUUUUCUUCAGAGGAAAAGUGUCGGGCACAUCAAUCUGACAAACCUUUCCUCCGCGUGCUCCGAGAUGAUCCACACGAGGGUCGUGAGCCCGCCACCUUCGCUGAGCUGCUUGGCAUGUGCCUCCCUGCUGCCCCGGAUGGACGCAUACAUGAGCAGAUGCACCCACGCUUUCAGGAUGAACUUUAACAUGUCGUUGUCAUUCAUGUCCUCACGAAGUUCCUGCAAGGUCUGAAUCCAGUACCCAAGUUUGCGCACACUUUUUUCAUCACAUUUCCAAUCAAACGAUGCUUUCCGUCAGACAGGAAUAAAGCGAUUUGAGUUCCUUCCCCGAGAGUACCAAGGCCCCAAAGACGAUUCUCCUUUAUUCCUCUGCUGAUAGCAAAACUUUUGUCCUCGAGAUGAUCCACGUUUUCCAGCAUCCACGUGGCGAGGUCCUUCGCCUUCUGUUCUUUUGUUGUUGUAUAACUACUGUUGGGUUUAUCCUCCUCUUUAAUUUUUCCUAUCUCCCUCAGGGUAGCUCGGGCUUUCUCGUACAGGCUGCGAAGCUUGAGGCCAGGCAGCAUGCUGGGUUGUUUGGCGAGGAGGAACAUCAUGUAAUCCGACAUCGCCUUGAUUGCCUUCUCAUCAUUUUGGGGCGCUGCUGGGACAACAUUGUGGUAACACGAGAGGAAAAGGUCUGUGACGAUGUACCAGAUGAGGAUGGCCUCUUGGAGCUCAAGAGGGAAAUCUGUGGACUUGAGGGAAGUGGCCUGCCUUUGGGGGUUGUUGAUGAGUGUGGACUGGCCAUGCAUGGAACCACUGCUUCAGUUCGUUCAUGACGGCACCCUCCGCGGCAAAUCUCGCUGCACCCUGCAAUCCACAGACGACGUUCAGUGAUAUGUUUAUGUAGUUCUACCAACACAGACAUGUAGUGCAGGCCAGGACAGCAAGCAACUCACCUGAUUCUUGGCCUGGCUCAGGUCUUCCAUCGUCAGUGGCCUAAGGUCGAUGAAUGCUUCCUUGUCACCUUCAGCCUUGGUUUCUGAACUAUCCUCUUUGCUUUCAGAACUGUCCUCUUUUCUAUCUGAUGAAUCCACCUUCUCUGAAUUGUUUUCUUUGUUAUCUAAACUCACCUUCUUGCUCUCUGACUUGUCUGAAUCCUCUACUGUCGCAGCGGUUUUCUGUUCCACCUAUGUUUUCCUUCUUUCCUGAGGCAUCAAAAUAGUAUAUAGGUGUUUGUUCAUGGUUGGGUCAGCAGCAAUUCAAAGACAUCAAACAGUAAAUGCAAAAAAGUUAAGAAGCAAAACAUUUUCUGAGUAACCUUACCAUCUCUUUCAACCGUUCUUUCUUGAGGAGCUCCGGAACCGGUCGGUAAGCAGCUCUAACACAAAGAUUCUAGGUGCAAAAGGAAAAUUAACAACUUUCAGUGAUUCAGUCAGAUUGACAGUAACUACCCAAUGAAUCAGGUUAAAUAAAAAUGCACAAACCUUAAGAUCACUGCUGUUGUAACCUUCGGUCAUAGCUGCAAGCCAAAAGGGACUGGGUGGGGGGCGGUGCUCACCUGCGCCACUCACGGAGGAGCGCACCCUCCUCCCUGCCCAUCUCGGCUAGCGGCGGCAGAACGGGGCCGUUGUCGUCCCCGCCCCGGAAGUCCGAGUCGGGGAAGAAGGGCGAGGGGGCGUACCCGCCGGAGACGUAGCGGACGGGGACCGCAGCGCCGCCGGAGUCCGCGGCGAUCUCCUCAUCCACCACCUCCUCCUCCUCCUCCUCGGGACCGGCGUCGGCGAAGGAGGGGUACCCGGCGUCCACGAAGGAGGCGUACCCUCCCGCGCUGCUGUCGGCCGCCACGGCGUCGGUGGUGUCAUCUUCAGUGUCGUCGAAGGGUGGGAGGCGGUGCGCUGGAGGUCGUCGGCGGCGCUGCCGUCGUCGGCGGCGAAGAAGGGGUCCAUGGUGAGCUCGAGAUGCGGCGGAUCUUGGAUAGGAUAGAUGGGGGCGCGACAGAGGAACCGUCAUGUUCUCAUCCACUUAUAGAGGGACUGCGGGUUGAAUACCCAAAAGUGGAGGGGCUUUUCUGCAAAGGUGCCGACGACGGACGACAGAAGCGCUACACGCUUUAUUAUUAGGGGAGAUUGUACAUCCAAUAAACCCACGUGGACACCUUGGGGCGUGGUGGGCCCACCCAGCGGGCCCCCGGAACCCAUUCGUCACUGCGAGUACACUGCCGGCAAUGCCCGAAAACUUUCCGGAAAUCCAAACACCAACUUCCUAUAUAUGAAUCUUCGUUUCUGGACCAUUUCGGAAACCCUCAUGAUGUCCGUGAUCUCAUCCGGGACUCCUAACAACCUUUGUUCACCAACACAUAUAACUCAACUAUACUAAAACACCAUCGAACCUUAAGUGUGCAGACCCUUUGGGUUCGAGAACUAUGUAGACAUGACCCGAUACACUCCUUGGUCAAUAUCCAAUAGCAGGACCUGGAUGCCCAUAUUGGAUCCUACAUAUUCUACGAAGAUCUUAUCGGUUGAACCUCUGUGUCAAGGAUUCAUAUAAUCCCGUAUAACAUUCCCUUUGUCCUUCGGUAUGUUACUUGCCCGAGAUUUGAUCGUCGGUAUCCAUAUACCUAUUUCAAUCUUGUUACCGACAAGUCUCUUUACUCAUUCCGUAAUACAAGAUCCCCGUGACUCACACUUGAGUCACAUUGCUUGCAAGGCUUAUAUGUGAUGUUGUAUUACCGAGUGGUCCCCGAGAUACCUCUCCGUCGCGCGGAGUGACAAAUCCCAGUCUUGAUCCAUGCUAACUCAACGGACACCUUCGGAGAUACCUGUAGAGCACCUUUAUAGUCACCCAGUUACGUUGCGACGUUUGAUACACACAAGGUAUUCCUCCAGUGCCAGUAAGUACAUGAUAUCAUGGUCAUAGGAAUGAAUACUUGACAUGCAGAAAACAAUAGCAACAAAAUAACAGGAUCACAUGCUACGUUUAUAAUUUGGGUCUUGUCCAUCACAUGAUUCUUCUAAUAAUGUGAUCCCGUUAUCAAGUGACAACACUUGCCUAUGGCCAGGAAACCUUGACCAUCUUUGAUCAAUGAACUAGUCAACUAGAGGCUCACUAGGGACAGUGUGUUGUCUAUGUAUCCACACAUGUAUUUGAGUUUCCAAUCAAUACAGUUCUAGCAUGGAUAAUAAACGAUUAUUAUGAACAAGGAAAUAUAAUAAUAACUAAUUUAUUAUUGCCUCUAGGGCAUAUUUCCAACACGUUCGGGCCGGGCUCGGUCCUGAUAUUUGGAUUUUUUGGUCGGGCCGAGCCGGGCUCGGGCCUGAGAUUUUUCGUUCGGGCUUUCCAAAGCCCGGCCCGGCCCUGUGUACGCCUAGGUUUACAUCAAAUGAAGGCGAUGCGGGUUUCACAUGCAUAGAGAUAACAUAUACAAUAUAUAUCUAAUCUAAUAAAUCAUUUUCACAUGCACGUAGUAUGCAGUUGUAUUUGAGAGAAUAAAACCAUAAAUCCAUGAUGAAAUAUAGACUUUGUGGGAGGGGGAGUCCUCACGCACAUAAAGUUGUCAUAGUUAUUGCACAUCUAUGUGACCUUGCACACAUCCCGAUGCAAAAUCGGCUAUCUUUUUCGGAUUUACAAAGUUUCUAAUUUGAAAAUCAUUCACAGAUUUGAAAAACGGUCAAGAAUGUGAAAAAAGUUCAUGAAUUUUAGAAAAAGUCACGACUUUCAUUUUUUCCUAAAAUUUUAAAAUGUGUGUCAAUUUGGAAAAAAGUUAAUGAACUUGAAAGAGCACAUAUUUGAAAACAGUUCAUGAUCUUGGAAUUGUUCACGGAUUUGAAAAAAAAUCAGUUGUAAGUGUAAAUGAAAAAAAAUGAAAAAGUAACACCGAUCUUCUCAAUGAUAUACUCCCUCCGUUCCUUUUUUUGCGGGGUAAUGAAGAGUUUUAUUCGUACGACAAGGCACGAGCACUAUCAGCCAUGAGGCUGGUUACCACCAAACUCGGGGGAGAGUCCAUCCAGCACUCCGACACCUCCAAUGUGCUUGCAUGUUUUGCAUGUCUCCUUACAUGAAAAAUAUCAAAAGAAAGAAAACUAGUAGCUAGCUCCUGAAUAUCUAAGAGUAACGACGCUAUAACAGAGCGCGAAGUCCGACGCGAGUUCUAGAGGUUCACCACUUCCAAACUAUUUGUCUCAAUCUGUACCCGCGCAAAUCCACAUAGCAGUGCCAUCACCAUGCCUUCACGUUGUGCAGAAGCCUACGAAACCAGAGGGUCCGUAAUCCCUGGGCAUUGUUUGCACGAAGCUGACACAAAUGACUAGGAUGACCGGGCCACACCACCAAUGUCCGCUCUGUGCUUCAUCACCGAGAUCCCAGCGUCAGUGUUGAUCUUGAUCACCUCUCCAUCUGGUGGUCUCCACCCUUGACCUGGUAGUAUGCUCGCUUGCUUGGAAGGAAGCUCUAGCACCGCAAGAGCAUCCCUAACCAACUUCAGUGGCUGAACCGGGUCCAUGGUUGCCUUGUCAUGAGUAAUGUUGUUCCGAGAAGUCCAGAUAGCCCACAUCACCGUGAUGAUCUUAGCUCAAUCCGGAGCAUGGAAGCGAGGAUCACAAAGAAUACCCCCUCGACCAUGUCAAUCCAUGCAAUUCCAGUAGCUUGAUGUUCAACCACUCACGCGCUUCUCUCUAGAAGCACUUUGCAUGGGUGCAUUGUAUCAAUGCAUGAUACAUGUCUUCAUCAGGUGCCAGGCAAACUUUGCACCUGGCUAGAUUCGUUAUAUGCCUGUACUUGAGGAUGCUCUCGACCGGGAGUAUACCUCGUAGCACACGCCACCAGAACACGCGGACUUUUGGUACCACAUUCAGCUUCCAAAGCCUUGUCCACAGCUGCUUGUUCGUCUCUGAAGAUUCUGUAGCCGACCCUUCUUCUAGAGCAAGAUGCUCGUUGCGAACAGGGACGGAUUCAGGGGGGCGAGACCCCCCCCAACCGAUCGUGACAUCCCGUGUCGUGAUGGGUUAUACGCUAAUCUUAUUUGUCUGCGCACUUGUCCGUAGCUUGCUUUGCCCCCUAUCUCUCUUGGGAAUUUGUUACUAACGUGAAGAAUCAGCCCAUCUGCUCAUGUAUAGUCCAUUGGCUACAGGCACAAAAUCCACAAACUGCCCAGCCUAAUCCACGAACAGGCCAUAUCCAGGAAUACCUUAGUUAGUUGCAGAACGGAGCCACGAUUACGCAGUACAUACGCACAUAUCGUCGCCUCGUUUCCAAACCGCCGCUGCGAUCGAGACGGAUGCCUAUUGCGACCGGAUCUCUCAUCUCUCCAUCGCGCAGCUAUAGAGUAGCAUAGAAGGGAAGCGGACGCCGCCACACGGGACAGGCUGGUGUUGAACUGUUGAUGCAUGGAGACGAUGCCGUUUGCCAGCAGACCGAGCAGCAAGCCAACAACAACAUAAGGGGAGAAGGUAAUUGAUUUUCACAUCAGAUUAGUUCGUGCCUUUAGAAAGUACUAUAGAAGUAUAAUCAUACAGACUAUAGUCAUUAAGAACAACUAAGGUAGGUUCAAACAAGGGGAUGAGGUAGUUGAUUUUCACAUUCCCAUUUAUUUACUUCUGCUUAUGUAAACACCAUGAAGAAGAACAAGAGCACAAUUAAUUCAUACUUUUUCAAACCAGUAGGUUCAAACUCUCAGCCAUCAAAACCAGGGACGGAUUCAUGGGGUCAAAGGGGUGUCAGUCUCCGUGUAACACUCUUCUUUAUUUGCUUCCACAUAAUCGCAUGCUUUCCCCGGUUAUGGUUUUGGGACUGGGUUAAAUCAGUGAGCUCCAUCUCGCCGAUUCCAAAAAUAAUAAUGAGAUAAUGUAAUGUAUUAUAUACCCAUGUUGCAUUACUACAAAUUAUUAUUUCAUGAAAUCAUUUUGUGUUUCUAGCGCUGUGAGUUUAUUUUGGCAUUUAUCAAUUUUAUUUAUGUUUUGAUCAUGUGAUUGCAAUGAAUAAAGAAGAAAGGGCAUGUUUGCACCAUGACAUCUCCAUUAGACCAGACCCUAAGUUUUUUUUACAACAUAGCCGUUGCUCAUGAGACUUAGUGUAAAACCACGCCCCCCCCCAUGAACAGAUCCUCGCUCCGUCCCUGGUUGCGAAUCAUGAGAGUUCGGUACGCCUAUUUUACAGUGUAGAUGCCUGCUUUCUCCGCUGACCAUGCCCAACUGUCCUCUCCUCCCAUGCGUCGCAAAGGAAUAUUAAGAAUAGCGUCUGCCUCACGAGAGAUGAAAUUGUUCCUCACAGUAUCUAUCUUCCACGUCCCAGACUCCGCAUGAAUCAGCUCCGAGACAGUGGUUAGGUUUGCUGUGCCAAGUUGUAAUGACGGCUUCAUAGAUAUAAACCCCGGAAUCCAUGUGUCCCUCCAGAUUGAGACUGUCGAACCAUCACCGAUCCUCUUGAUCAUACCGACCUCUAGUGCCUCUCUGCCUGCCAGAAUUGCGCGCUAGGUUGCUGAAGCAUGCGGGUGCACCGUAGCACUUAGGAAGUCAGUGUUCCGGAAAUACUUCCCUUUGAGCACUCAUGCACACAGCCACUCCGGACUCGUGACAAGUCUCCAACCAUGCUUUCCCAGAAGGGCCAGGUUUAAAAGCUGCAGAUCUCUGAAUCCCAUCCCUCCUUUUACCUUCGGGGUUGCAAGUGUGUCCCAGUCCAGCCAAUGCAUAGAUCGACGAUCAAGGGAACUGCUCCACCAAUAUCUCGCCAUACAUGAGGUGGUUCCCUUGAAUGCUUUCUUAGUUAAUUUGAAACGACUCAUAGAGAAUGCUGGGAUCGCCUGAGCCACCGACUUCAGGCGCACAUCUCCGCCUGCAGAUGAGAUCAUGCGCUCCAUACCUCCCUGCAACUUGCUUCAGAUUCUCUCUGUGAGAUGAUUAAAAGUUCCACUGGUGAUCCGCCCUGUUGCAGUACGUAAACCGAGGUAUCGCUCACUGAAGGCCUCGAUAGAAAUGCCAAGGGAGCCUUUCAAUCUUUGUCUAACUCGACCGGGUGUGUUUGGGCUGAAGAAAAUAGAGCUCUUUUUUCGAUUCACACUUUGUCCAGAGCAGUCCCCAUAUAUCCUUAGAACAAGGUUCAACCUUUGAGCACUUUCCUCCUUUGCAUUCAUAAAAAAUAGGAUGUCAUCUGCAAAGAGAAGAUGGUUGACCCAAGGUGAAUUAUUGCAUACUCUGAUUCCUCUAUUCACUUGUGCACCACCCAGGUUUUUCAAAAGCGUGGUAAAAUCUUCAGCGCAUAUCAGGAACAGAUAAGGUGAAUACAGGUCCCCCUGAUGGAGACCCCUAGAUGGGGUGAAGUAAGGCAGCAACUCCCCAUUCACACGCAGUGUAAACCUGACAGAGGUCACACAUUUCAUCGGCAGUCUAACAAAACUCGAGCUGAAACCCAAUCUUAACAUGAUAGCUUCCAGAUAGUGCCAUUCGACACGGUCGUACGCUUUCAUCAUGUCAAGUUUGACAACACACACAUGAUUGCUGCCCUUCUUCCUUCUCCUCGUCGCAUGGACGCUCUCAUAAGCAAUUAACACAUUAUCGGUGAUGUGGCGGCUAGGAAUAAAAGCACUUUGUUCUUUACUAACAAUUUCUCCGGGUAACUCCUUAACUCUGUUAGAUAUGCAUUUGGAAGCAACCUUAUACAAAACAGAGCAUAAUGAGAUUGGCAUGUAUUGGGAAAUACGUUGGGGGUACCUGACUUUGGGGAUGAGCGUUAUGGCUGUGUCAUUCAUACCCACUGUCAAUUCUCCACCAUUCAAGAAAUCCAGCAUAGUGAGCACUAUGUCGUCUUUGAGAAGAUCCUAAUGCCGCUUAAAGAAUCCCGUCGUGAAUCCAUCACCCCUCGUGCUUUGGAUGGGGCCAUCUGAAACAAGGCUGUAUGAACCUCCUCAGCCGUAAAUGGCUUGUCGAGGUGUUCAUUCAUAUGCUCCGUCAUCUUGGGCGGAACCAGGUCGAGCAGCUCUGGUUCUAAAUAUAACACAUUUUUAAAGAUUUUAAUAUGAACUACAUGCAUAGCAAAAUGAAUGAAUCUACGUUUUAAAAUGUGUUUAUAUGCAUCCAUAUAUAGUCCUUGAUGAAAUCUCCAAAAUGUCUUAUAUUUAAGAACGGAGAGAAUAGAACUUAGAUAUUGAAUAAUUUGGCCAUGCACUUUAGCAUAAUCGUUUUUUUUAACACAAAUAGAAAGAUUCCUCCCUCGCAAAAAAAAUAAAAAAAAAAUUCGAAAGAUUCCUGAAACUGGAUAAUCAGAAACUGCUGGUGCUAGUUAAGCCGGUGGGUGUAGCACGCGUCGGUGAUGUGCAUCCUAACUAACAAGCCUAACAAAGUUGUUGUUCUUUGCCUUGGAAAUAAAUUAAAGGAACGAAAGGGGAUCAUGGCAGUUCAGAUGAUUUGCUUCAGCCCCACGAAAAGCCACGAGAGCCCGCACCAGAUCCUAUACAACGCUCGAGACGUUGAUUCAGCAUCAAGAUUUGUACUACUACGAGAUCCAAAUCUCAUGGCCCCGCAUACGUGCAUAGGUCGGAGACCGAUUUGAAUAAUGCGGCCGCCUGCGCCUGGGUCGUGCGAGUGCAAGGGUCAGAUCUGAGGAGGGAGCCCGAACACACUUCUUCUCAAAGUCAAAGCGUCGAACGAUUCCGUCCUAUCGCGGUGAGACGUUUUUGCGUUUCACACCCUGCAUCUUCUCGAUAUUGUGUGGAAUAUUCGGAGCACGUGGACCGAGUUUAUCGGCAGUGACAGUUGAACGCAAGUUUUGGUUGCAACAGAUUUUUUUUUAGAAACACAACACACAGACAUACUCCGUUCGUUUUUAAAUAUAAAUCUUUUUAAAAAAAUUACGAAUGAAUUACAUACAAAUAUAUGUAGAUAUAGUCUUCUAAAAAAUAUCUUUAAAAAACUUAUAUUUAAGAACAAAGGAGUAAAUGUUUACAUACACACACGCACGCAUGUACAACACAACACAAAGAAGUUCAGUGAAAUAUCAAGGCUCCAGGCGAAGGGAAAAAUCAAGCCUAAUGGGCUGAGGUGGAGAUGCAAAAUACAACAUUUGAAGAUGUUACCUUUAGGAGAUGUAAAAUUGUCGACUAUGCGUCAAGGUUCAACUGCUUUCAGUAUCGUUUAGCCCGCUCGCAUGACGUCUGUCGCGUCGCCCGGGCCAUUGCCGACUCCGACGACUGUGUCGCCUUCUCCGCCGUAGCCAACCACCUCAUUGUAGCCUUCGCCGACGCCACCAACGUCCUCCAGGCCGCCGCCUUGGUUUUGCCCCGCCACAUCGGGUCGUCGUCACGGCUGCGUCGCCGGUGAAGAAGUAAUGGGCCGCCAAUCCCAGCGAUGGAGGUCUGAAGAGGCUAGCGGGGCGCAACCCAACGACAAACCCAUCUUGAGUGCCCAAAAAUUUGAAGGCGGUCACGGAUGUGUAGGUCGAUUCGUUGCUGCAUGUGGCCGUGGCGUCCACAUUCGGUCAAGGACCCCCUACUCCACAUCCUCUGUCGCAGUCGACGACCAUGAAGGAAGAUGUGAUCAUGCCCACGACCAUCACAUUCAACGUGUUCGACGAAAUGUCACGCGACCGACGGCCGGUUAUACAUCUCCACUUUGUAUCAUCAAUUGAAGUUGCACUUUUACAUCAUUAAUAUACAUCAUCUAUGAGAGUUGCCUUUCUUCAAGAUGUAAAAUAUAAUUUUUAAUAAUGAAAAUUUUACAUCUCCAAAUUUACAUCAAUUAUUCAAAAUGCUUUUAUAGUAAUAUCAGGAGCUUUGUAUGCGAUUCAUGGUGCGCUCGGCGGCUUCCUACCUGUGUGAGAAAUAGACUCCACAAUGUACGUAUACAAUAACGAGAAACAAAAUGUCUAUCACUGGAAGCUCACAAAACUUCAAUUCAUACCAUACAAAGAAUUAUGAAAAAAUCACCCCAGUUCACCGCAUUGUGUGAUCAUAUACACAUCACAUCUUAAAACUAAAACUAAUAGAAUCAACAACUUGAAAACCCUUACCAGCCAACGGUUGCUUUCCGUAGCACUAACAAAUAUCCAUGCACAAAGACAAGAAGGGGGAGCCUCUAGGGAUCAGACUACUGAUCCGUUGCUUCCAUCAGACUAGUGCAUGUCUGUAGGAUGAAAAGUUGAAUGACCGUCAGAUUUGCUAGUAGAAACCCCACACUCGUGUGUUGAAUUGCUUAAUUAAAGGGUAAUUCCCACUAAUUGCGGGAUUUCUACACUAGUGGUGUGUAAUUAGUUUUCUAACUACUCGUGAUUUCUUCCGACAAGCAAAUAUAAUUUUAUUUUUGCAGAUGAAUUUUUUGCGAGGAAAUAUGAUUUUUAAGAUUGUGAUAUGCUUCCAACAAACAAUACAAAAAAUAAUUAUUUCUGUAGAUGCAUCUUUUUCAUGGCAAAUAUUCAUGGACGCAUCACUUUUAUCAAGGGAAGCACCCUUUCACAUUGCGAUGGAAACAUAUAUCAUACAAUCAGAGAAGCAUUACUUUUUCUUGAUGUAAGCACCCUUUCAUGUUGUGAUGGAAAAAUAUUAUCCAAUCAUGUGCCAUAAAUCUUUUUAUUUUGUAUCCAUGGAAGCAUUAUUUCUAUGAUACAAAAGGAUUUUUUUUGUUGCUUUGGAAACAUUAUUUAGUGCACCAAAAAAUAAUAUUCACAGUUGAUUGAAACAUAUGUUUCACCAAAAAGGAAUCGUGUGGAAACACAAAUCAAGAAUAUACACCGCCCCAAAAUUCACCUGAUAAAAGUAAUAUACAAAUCUGCUUACAACAACAACACUAAUUUCACUUAUGUUUGUACAUGUAUGUUUUCAAUUAACCAAUCAUAGGACAGCUUCGCACAUGUCACGAGUUCUUCCUCAAUGAGGUAGCCUCCGAUUAGAAGUCAUGCCUAGUCUAGCACACUUAACACUAUUAGCAUUGUGUUGGAAAUGAAGACGCGUCGCUGAAUCAGGUGGAAAAAAUAUCGGUACAUGGAAACAUCAGAAAGAAGCAAGAAGCUAACAUCAGUAGUAGUUGAAAAAAAAUUGCUGCAAGAAGCAAAACACAUGUACAAUAAUAUCAUUGAAAGAAGACUCAUCGAUAUUGGUUGAAGUGCUCACCUGGUCGAACCAAUAUGUCUAGACAACAAUAGAACUACACAUUGGCAAUGGUUGAAGCCGGGAUUCACUGCCAUGGAAACAUCUAUGAGAAAACUUUAGAAACAUCUUGUAUGCUUUUCAUGGAAACAUCAAUGAGAAGUAAUGAAGCAUAAAUCGGUAGUGCUUCAAAAAAAAUUGGUGGAAGAAGAAAAUGUAUGAAUAAUAAUUUAUUAAAAGAAGCAACAUUCUCGUGGUUGUAGCACAAACUGAUAUUGGUUGAAGCACUUGAGGGGUGAUUCAGAAGUACAAUUUUGCAGGAACCAUGAAACUCCUAUUUACAUAUGACUCAUCUUAAUUGGAAGCAUAGAAAAUACAGCACUGUAAUGGAAAAUUGUUUUCUAGCCCAAAGAAACAUAGCUCAAUGAAAAAGAGAAAUGAAAGGAGAGCUCAAGGUACAGAAUAAGUGUCAUUUGGAAGCAUGGAAUUAUGAAAUUGGAACAAAUGAAUAUGAAGCACGAAAAGCGUGCUCUGGAUAAGGAAUUAUGGAGUAGGAUACAUUACAGUGUGCUAUGUCAAGAUGAGCCAACUUAACUGGAAGCAUAUUUUUUUAAAAUGACAAUGAAUCAAGGUAGCCACCAACAUUCAGAUGCAUGUUUGUCCCAACUAUACUAGAAAUUCAUCAAUAAAUGUUGAAGCAUUUCGAGGGAAAACUAUCUACACAUUUUUAGUAUACUUUGGAAGUUCCAUAUAUAUGAAGCAUGUAAAGGUCUAUCACAACAAUGGAAGCGUAGUAUACUCCCGAAGCUCCAUAUAUUAUUUCAUGGCAACUUUAUCAGGUGGAGAAUAAUCUAUGUACAAUGGAAGCAUCGUUAGUUUGCUUCCAAGUAUAUUUGUUUCCAAGCUUUAUUUUCUACCAUUUAAACGCUACAUCGGUUUGAAACAAAACUGAACCAUUGCUUCCAAAGAAUCUAGAAUAUGCAUUCACAAAAAGAAAAUUGGCUUCCAUAAGUAAAAUCUGGCAUCUGGGCACAAUUCAAACACCAGCGGGCUGAUGGUCAUCAUGAUUCGUAUCGAACUUGGUCGUGCACCCAUGCAAUUGUAGUAGUGCUUAUAUUUGAUGGUCGACGUACAUGCUUCCUUCCAAUGCUCGCCGUUGAUACGUCCAUUUGGCAUCAUGCUUUUAUAUCUAUAUUUAUUGCAUUAUGGCUUGUUAAUAGACAUUACGGUACAAUACUUAUGCAUUUUCUCUCUUAUUUUACAAGGUUUACAUGAAGAGGGAGAAUGCUGGCAGCGGGAAUUCUGGACCGGAAAAGGAGAAAAUCUGAGAGACAUAUUCUGCACAACUCCAAAAGUCCUGAAAACUUACGGAGAAUUAUUUUGGAUUAUAUAAAAAAUAUUUUGCAAAAGAAAUACAUCAGGGGACCCACCAGGUGGCCACAAGCAAGGGGGUGCGGCCUACCCCCUGGGCACGCCCUGCAGCCUUGUGGGCCCCUUGGCGGGCCUCUGGUGCGAAGCGCGGCCGUCUCGAGGCGGAACUUCGGCACAACCAAUCUAGAGCUCCGGUGGAGCUAUUCUGCUGGGGAAACUUCCCUCCGGGAGGGGGAAAUCGAAGCCAUCGCAUCACCAACGAUCCUGUCAUUAAGAGGGGGUCAAUCUCCAUCAACAUGUUCAUCAUCACCAUCUCCUCUCCAAACCCUAGUUUAUCUCUUGUAUCCGAUCUUUGUCUCAAAACCUCGGGGUUGCUAGUAGUGUUGAUUACUCCUUGUAGUUGAUGCUAGUUGGUUUACUUGGUGGAAGUUCAUAUGUUUAGAUACUCAAUGAUUAUUAAUACUCCUCUGAUUAUGAACGUGAAUAUGCUUUAUGAGUAAUUACGUUUGUUCCUGAGGACAUGGGAUAAGUCUUGUUAUAAGUAAUCACGUGAAUUUGGUAUUCGUUUGAUAUUUUGAUGAGAGGUAUGUUGUCUCUCCUCUAGUGGUGUGAUGUGAACGUCGACUACAUGACACUUCACCAUUAUUUUGGCCUAGGGGAAGGAAUUGGGAAGUAAUAAGCAGAUGAUGGGUUGCUAGAGUGAUAGAAGCUUAAACCCUAGUUUAUGCGUUGCUUCGUAAGGGGCUGAUUUGGAUCCAUAUGUUUCAUGCUAUGGUUAGAUUUAUCUUAAUUUUUCUUUCGUAGUUGCGGAUGAUUGCGAGAGAGGUUAAUAAUAAGUGGGAUGUUUGUACAAGUAAGGGCAGCACCCAAGCACCGGUUCACCCACAUACCAAAUUAUCAAAGUAACGAACGCAGAUCAUAUGAGCAUGAUGAAAACUAGCUUGACAGAAAUUCCCAUGUGUCCUCGGGAGCGCUUUGCUUUAUAUAAGAGUUUGUCGAGGCUUGUCCUUUGCUACAAAAGGAUUGGGCCACUUUGAUGCACCUUUUUACAUUUGUUACUUGCUACAUGUUAUGAAUUACCUUAUCACGAAACUAUGUGUUACCGAUAAUUUCAGUGCUUGCAGAUAAUACCUUACUGAAAACUGCUUGUCUUUUCCUUCUGCUCCUCGUUGGGUACGACACUCUUACUUAUCGAAAGGACUACGAUAUAUACCCUACACUUGUGGGUCAUCAAGUCUCUUUUCUGGCGCCGUUGUCGGGGAGUGAAGCGCCUUUGGUGAGUGGAACUUGGUAACGAAAAAUUUAUAUAUUGUGCUGAAAUUUACUGUCACUUGUCACUAUGAAAAAUAAUUCUUUGAGGGGCUUGUUUGGGGUAUCUUCACCCCGAGCGGAAGCACAAAGAGAUGCUCCUCAACCUACUGCGCCUACUAAAAAUAUUUAUUAUGAAAUUCCUUCGUGUAUGAUAGAACAACUGCUGGCUAAUCCUUAUGUAGGAGAUGAAACACUACAUCCUGAUUUGCAUCUAAUCUAUGUGGAUGAGGUUUGUGGAUUAUUUAAGCUUGCAGGUUUGCCCGAGGAUGAUGUCAAGAAGAAGGUUUUUCCUUUAUAUUUGAAGGAGAAGGCAUUGACGUGGUAUAGGCUAUGUGAUGAUAUUGGAUCAUGGAACUACUACCGAUUGAAAUUCGAAUUUCAUCAGAAGUUUUAUCCUAUGCAUCUGCUUCAUUGUGAUCGGAAUUAUAUUUAUGAUUUUUUGCCUCAUGAAAGAGAAAUAAUAGCUCAAGCUCGGGGGAGGCUUAAGUCAAUGUUAUAUUCAUGCCACAAUCAUGAGAUCUUGUAAUGAUCAAUCUAUGCUCGAUACUUCUUGUGUUGGUUCCUUUAUGAAGAAAGAUAUUGAAUUCAAAUGGGACUUAUUGGAAAGAAUUAAACGCAACUCUGAAGAUUGGGAACUCUACGAAGGUAAUGAGUCAGGUAUAGGCCUUAAGUUUGAUUGUGUUAAAUCCUUUAUAGACACCGAUGCUUUUCGUGAUUUUAGCACUAAAUAUGGACUUGACUCUGAGGUAGUAGCUACAUUUUGUGAAUCUUUUUCUACUCAUGUUGAUCGCCCCAAGGAGAAGUGGUUUAAACAUCAUUCUCCCAUUGAAGUUAAAGUGGUUGAACCUAUUAAAGUUGAAGAAGAAACUAUUAUUUAUAAUGCUGAUCAUGUUAUUCCUACUGCUUAUAUUGAGAAACCACCCAUUCCUAUUAGAAUAAAGGAACAUGCUAAAGCUUCAACUGUGGUUAGUAAGAGUUGUACUAGAACACCUAUACCUCCUGAACAAAUUAAAGUUGAACCUAAUAUUGCUAUGGUUAAAGAUAUUUUGGUUGAUAAUAUUGAUGGGCAUGUCAUUCAUUUGUUUGAUGAAGCUGCUAGAAUUGCUAGACGUGAUACUAAAGGUAAACAUAAACCUAUUGUUGACGUGCAUGUUGUUUCUGUCAAAAUAGGAGAUCAUUGUUAUCAUGGCUUAUGUGAUGUGGGUGCUAGUGUGAGUGCAAUUCCCUUUACCUUAUACCAAGAAAUUAUGAAUGAUAUUGCACCAGCUGAAUUAGAAGAAAUUGAUGUUACCAUCAAGCUUGCUAAUAGAGAUACUAUUGCACCAAUUGGGGUUGUUACAGAUUUUUGAAGUCUUGUGUGGGAAAACAAAGUAUCCUAAUGAUUUUCUUGUUCUUGAUUCCCCACAAGAUGAUUUUUGUCCCAUUAUAUUCGGUGGAGCCUUCUUGAAUACUUUUAGUGCUAAGAUUGAUUGUGAGAAAGAAACGGUUACUGUAAGUUUGGGGGAUGUGUCUCAUGAGUUCAAUUUCACUAAAUUUCGUAGACAACCUCAUGACAAAGAAUUGCCUAGUAAAUAUGAAAUUAUUGGUCUCGCUUCUAUCGCUAUGCCUCCUACUGAUCCCUUAGAACAAUAUUUGCUAGAUCAUGAAAAUGAUAUGCAUAUGAAUGAAAGCAAUGAAAUAGAUAAAAUUUUCUUUGAUCAACCGCCUAUUCUGAAACACACCCUGCCUGUUGAAAUACUUGGGGAUCCUCCUCCACCCAAGGGUGAUCCCGUGUUUGAGCUUAAAUAAUUACCUGAUACUCUGAAGUAUGCUUAUCCUGAUGAAAAGGAGAUAUAUCAUGUUAUUAUUAGUGCUAUCCUUUCAAAGCAUGAAGAAAAGAGAUUAUUGAAAACUUUGAGGAAGCACCGUGCCGCUAUUGGAUAUACUCUUGAUGAUCUUAAGGGCAUUAGUCCCACUCUUUACGAGCACAAAAUCGAUAUGGAGCCUGAUGCCAAACCAGUUGUUGAUCACCAACGACGGCUAAAUCCUAAAAUGAAAGGACUGGUAAGAAAUAAAAUACUAAAGCUUCUCGAGGCAAGUAUAAUUUAUCCUAUUGCUGAUAGUAGAUGGGUUAGUCUCGUUUAAUGUGUCCCUACAAAGGGAGGUAUUACCAUUGUUCCUAAUGAUAAAAAUGAAUUGACCCCGCAAAGAAUUGUUACGGGAUAUAGAAUGCUAAUUGAUUUUAGGAAAUUAAAUAAGGCUACUAGGAAAGAUCAUUACCCGCUACCUUUUAUUGAUCAAAUGCUAGAAAGACUAUCCAAACAUACACAUUUUUGCUUUCUAGAUGGUUAUUCUAGUUCCUCUCAAAUACCUGUGUCAAAAGAGGAUCAAGAUAAGACCACUUUUACUUGCCCUUUCGGUACCUUUGCUUAUAGGCGUAUGCCUUUUGGUUUAUGCAAUGCACGAAUACGUCCCAAACGUAUCUAUAAUUUCUGCUUGAUCCAUGCAAGUUUUGGGUGAUAUUGUUAUGUGCUUUGUACACUUUCAUACCUUUUCAACAUAUUUGGACUAACCUACUAACUCAGUGCUAGUUUAUGUCUGCUGAUGUGUGUGAAUUGCAGGUAUAUGCCCAUAUUUACAGUGCCCGAAAAAUCCACGGAAAAUAUAUAAAAAAUCAGCGUUCCAGAAGACUCCGUACGCCCGAAGGAGAGCCAGAGGGGGCCCGCCCCCACCCAGGCGGCCACUUGGCGCGGCCUAGGGGGUGGCCGCGCCACCAGGCCGCCUGGGCGAGUGGGACCUCCCCUGGUGCCCCCCUUUGGCCCUAUUUUUACCCCGUGGAGGAAACCCUGAUUCCGGAACCAUUUUCUCUAGAAGCAAUUUCGAUCUCCACCGCCAUCGCCAACAAGUUUUCGGGGGACCAGAAUUCCUGUGUCGGCACCCUACCGGGACAGGGAAGUGCCCACGUAUUCAUCUUCAUCGAUGUUGCUUCCUCCCUCCAUGAAGCGAGAGUAGUUCCUCCUCGGGGCUGAGGUCUUCUACAGUAGCUAUGUGGUUAAUUCUCUCUCCCAUGAUGUGAUCUUGAUUGUGAUCAUAGGCUAUGUUAACCUAGUUCGAUCCCAUGAUGUUUCCCAUUCUUCUAUGUAUUGUAUUGAUGUACUCACUUGAUCUUAUCUAGUAUAAUCCCUGAGACCAUGGUGACAGCGGUCUAUUGGACAUGGAUUAGAAGAAUAUUUUCAUGAGUGAUUUCCUCUUUUGUGAAUUGAUUGAAGAUUGAGAGUCUCUUGGUGCUUGUCUUUGACUAUCCUUGAGAUACAUUGUGGUGAUUGUGGUACUCUCUUUGGAUGGCCGCGAUGACAUUGGGAAAUCCAUAGAUGAGAAAUACGAACUCUGAGGUGUGCUUUUGUAGCCCUACAUAAUACUCGUCCUCUCUUGAUCACAAAGGAAUGACCUCCGAGUAUGUCACCAUUGCAUGUUUUAGUGGAAAUAUCAUGUGAUUAGACUAUGUUAAUGUUGUUGGGUGUUGCCACUGGUGAAAGUAUGAAGCCUAGGCCUUGUUUCUCACCAUUGUUACACCGUUUAUGCUCACUUUUGUCACUUGCUACCUUGCUGUAAUUUUUAUUACAGAUUUAUAUUACCUUGCUUUGCCACACCUAUCACCCAUAUUUUACCAUCUCUUCGCUGAACUAGUGCACCUAUACAAUUUACCAUUGUAUUAGGCGUGUUGGGGACACAAGCGGCUUCUUGUUUCUUAAUUGCAGGGUUGCUUGAGAGAGACCAUCUUCAACUUCUACUUCCCUGAGUUCGAUAAACCUUAGGUCAUCCACUUGAGGGAAAUUGCUGCUAUCCUACAAACCUCUGCGCUUGGAGGCCCAACAUAGUCUACAAGAAUAGAAGCAUGCGUAGACAUCAUGCACAUGCUACCUUUCAAAGAUGUAUGAUGGCUAUAUUAUAUGACUUUUGUGAAAAGAUUGUUGAGGUUUUCAUCGAUGAUUUUUCUGUUUACGGAACUUCUUUUGAUGAUUGCUUGAGCAACCUUGAUCGAGUUUUGUAGAGAUGUGAAGAAACUAAUCUUGACUUGAAUUGGAAGAAGUGCCACUUUAUGGUUAAUGAAGGCAUUGUCUUGGGACACAAAAUAUCUGAAAGAGGUAUUGAAGUUGAUAAAGCUGAAGUUGAUGCUAUUGAAAAAAUGUCGUGUCCAACAGAUAUAAAAUGUAUAAGAAGUUUCCUUGGUCAUGCUCGUUUCUAUAUGAGAUUUAUUAAAGACUUCUCUAAGAUUUCUAAGCCUCUCACUAAUCUUUUGCAAAAGGAUGUUUGAUACGUCCAUUUUGCAUCAUGCUUUCAUGUUGAUAUUUAUUGCUUUUUGGGCUGUUAUUUCACUUCACAAUACAAUACUUAUGCCUUUUCUCUCUUAUUUUGCGAGUUUUACAUGAAGAGGGAGAAUGUCGACAGCUGGAAUUCUAGCCUGAAAAAGGACCAAGUUUGAGAUGUCUAUUCUACGCAACUCCAAAAGCCGUGGAAAUCAACGUGGAUUUUUUUGGGAAUAUAUAAAAAAUACAAGGUCGAAGAAGUGCGAGAGGAGCGCAACCAGGGGGCACUGAUACGUCCAUUUUGCAUCAUGUUUUCAUGUUGAUAUUUAUCACUUCUUUGGCUGUUAUUUCACUUCACGAUACCAUUCUUAUGCCUUUUCUCUCUUAUUUUGCAAGGUUUAAAUGAAGAGGGAGAAUACCGGCAACUGGAAUUCUGGCCUGAAAGUGGAGCAAAGUUGAGAUACCUAUUCUGCGCAACUCCAAACGCCGUAAAAAUCAACGAGGAAUUUUUUCCUGAUUUAUCAAAAAUACCGGGCCAAAGAAGGGCCAGAGGGGCACCAUGGGGUGCUCACAAGCCUGCACGGCGCGGCCACCCCCCCAGGCGGCGCCAUGGGGGCUUGUGGGCAGCCCACUAGCCCACUUGCUCCCCUCUUUUGCUAUAUGGAGGGUUUCGUCCAGGAAAAAAUCAAGGAGGAGCUUUUUCAUGGUUUCGCCGCCGCCACAAGGCGGAACUUGAGAAGAACCAAUCUAGAGCUCCGGCAGGACGAUCCUGCCGGGGAAACUUCCCUCCCGGAGGGGGAAAUCAUCGCCAUCGUCAUCACCAACACUCCUCUCAUCGGAGGGGACUCGUCACCAUCAACAUCUUCAUCAGAACCAUCUCAUCUCCAAACCCUAGUUCAUCACUUGUAACCAAUCUCCGUCUCGUGACUCCGAUUGGUACCUGUAAGGUUGCUAGUAGUGCUGAUUACUCUUUGUAGUUGAUGCUAGUUGGAUUACUUGGCGGAAGAGUUUAUGUUCAGAUCCUUGAUGCUACUCAUUACCUCUCUGGUCAUGAAUAUGAUUAUGCUUUGUGAGUAGUUACUUUUGUACCUGAGGACAUGGGAUAAAUCAUGCUAAUAGCAGUCAUGUGAAUUUGGUAUUCGUUCGGUAUUUUGAUAUGUUGUAUGUUGUUUUUCCUCUAGUGGUGUUAUGUGAACAUCGACUACAUAACACUUCACCAUUAUUUGGGCCUAGAGGAAGGCAUUGGGAAGUAGUAAGUAGAUGAUGGGUUGCUAGAGUGACAAAAGCUUAAAGCCUAGUUUAUGGGUUGCUUCGUAAGGGGCUGAUUUGGAUCCACUAGUUUAAUGCUAUGGUUAGACUUUGUCUUAAUUCUUCUUUCGUAGUUGCGGAUGCUUGCGAGAGGGGUUAAUCAUAAGUGGGAUGCUUGUCCAAGUAAGGGCAGUACCCAAGCGCCGGUCCACCCACAUAUCAAACUAUCAAAGUAACGAACGCGAAUCGUAUGAACAUGAUGAAACUAGCAUGACAGAAAUUGCCGUGUGUCCUCGGGAGCGUUUUUCCUCCUAUAAGACUUUGUCCAGGCUUGUCCCUUGCUACAAAAGGGAUUGGGCCACUUUGCUGCACCGUUGCUACUUUUGUUACUUGUUGCUCGCUACGAUUCAUCUCACCACAAUAUCACUUGUUACCGACAAUUUCAGUGCGUGCAGAUUUUUCCUUGGUGAAAACCACUUGUCAGAUCCUUCCGCUCCUCGUUGGGUUCGACACUCUUACUUAUCGAAAGGACUACGAUUGAUCCCCUAUACUUGUGGGUCAUCAAGACUCUUUUCUGGCGCCAUUGCCGGGAGUGAAGCGCCUUUGGUAAGUGGAACUUGGUAAGGAAACAUUCAUAUAGUGUGCUGAAAUUUAUUGUCACUUGUCACUAUGGAUACUAAUCCUUUGAGGGGCUUGUUCGGGGUAUCUUCACCUCGAACGGAAGCACAAAUAGUUGCUCCUCAACCUGCUGCACCUACUGAAAAUAUUUGCUUUGAAUUUCCUUCGGGUAUGCUUGACAAACUGCUCGCUGAUCCUUUUACAAGAGAUGGAACAUGACAUCUAGACUUGCAUCUAAUCUAUGUAGAUGAAGUUUGUGGUUUAUUUAAGCUUGCAUGUGUGCCCGAGGAUGAGGUCAAGAAGAAGGUCUUUCCUUUAUCUUUGAAGGAUAAGGCGUUGACAUGGUAUAGGCUAUGUGAUGAUACUGGAUCAUGGGACUACAAUAGGUUGAAAUUGGAAUUUCAUCAAAAGUUUUAUCCUAUGCAUUUAGUACAUCGUGAUCGAGAUUAUAUUUACAAUUUUUGGCCUCGUGACAGAGAAAGCAUUGCUCAAUCUUGGGGGGGGGGCUUAAAUCAAUGCUAUAUUCAUGCCCCAAUCAUGAGCUCUCGAGAGAAAUUAUCAUUCAGAACUUCUAUGCUCGGCUUUCUCAUGAUGAUCGCAGCAUGCUUGACACUUCUUGUACUGGUUCUUUUAUGAAGAGAGAUAUUGACUUCAAAUGGAAUUUAUUAGAGAGAAUUAAACGCAACUCUGAAGAUUGGGAGUUUGAAGAAGGUAAGGAGUCAGGUAUGAAUUUCACGUUUGAUUGCGUUAAGUCCUUUGUUGAGACAAAUACCUUUAGUGAUUUUAGCGCUAAGUAUGGACUUGACUCUGAGAUAGUAGCUUCAUUGUGUGAAUCCUUUGUUGCUCAUAUUGAUCUCCCCAAAGAGAAGUGGUUUAAAUAUCAUCCUCCUUUAGAAGUCAAUGUAGUUAAACCCACUCCAGUUGAAGAGAAAGUCAUUGCCUAUAAUGAUCCUGUUGUUCCCAGUGCUUACAUUGAGAAACCACCUUUCCCUGUUAGGAUGAAGGAUCAUUCUAAAGCUUCAACUGUGAUACGUAGAGGCUAUAUUAGAACACCUACACCCCCUGAGAAAAUUAGAGUUGAACCUAGCAUUGCUAUUAUCAAAGAUCUUCUGUCUGAAGAAGUUGAGGGACAUAAUAUUCACUUCGGUGAAGAUGCUGCUAGAAUUGCUAAACCUCACACUAGAGACAAACAUAGGCCUGUUGUUGUCAUGCAUGUGGUUUCUGUUAAGAUAGGAGAUCAUUGUUACCAUGGUUUAUGUGGCGUGGGUGCUAGUUUUAGUGCAAUACCUCAAUCCUUAUACGAUGAAAUCAAAGAUGAGAUUGCACCUGUUGAGAUUGAUGCUAUUGAUGUCACUAUUCAGCUUGCCAAUAGAGAUACCAUCUGCCCUGUGGGAAUUGUUAGGGAUGUUGAAGUCUUGUGUGGUAAAACGAAGUAUCCUGCUGAUUUCUUCGUUCUUGCUACCGCACAAGAUAGCUUUUGUCCCAUCAUAUUUUCCAUACCUUUUCUCAAUACUGUCAAUGCUCAUAUUGAUUGUGAGAAGCAAACUGUCACUGUUGGCUUUGAAGGUGUGUCACAUGAGUUCAAUUUCUCUAAGUUUGGUAGACAACCUCAUAAAAGGAGUUGCCUAGUAGGGAUGAAACUAUUGCCUUAGCCUCAAUUGCCGUGCCUCCUACUGAUCCCUUAGAGCAAUACUUGCUUGAGCAUGAAAAUAAUAUGCAUAUGGAUGAAAGGGAUGAGAUAGAUAGAGUUGUAUUAGACCCAUAUCCUAUCCUUAAGAAUAACUUGCCUGUUGAAUUGCUUGGGGAUUCACCCCCACCAAAAGGGUGAUCAUGUGUUCGAGCUUAAACAGUUGCCUGAUACACACACACUUCUGCUUUCUAGUCGGUUAUUCUGGUUUCUCCCAAAUACCAGUUGCACAAUCUGAUCAGGAGAAAACCACUUUCACCUGCCCUUUCAGUACCUUUGCCUAUAGAUGUAUGCCUUUUGGCUUAUGUAAUGCACCUGCCACCUUUCAAAGAUGUAUGAUGGCUAUAUUCUUUGACUUUUGUGAAAAGAUUAUUGAGGUUUUCAUGGAUGACUUCUCCGUUUACAGGUCUUCCUUUGAAGAUUGCCUCAACAACCUUGAUCGAGUCUUACAGAGAUGCGAAGAAACCAACCUCGUCUUGAAUUGGGAGAAGUGCCACUUUACGGUUAAUGAAGGUAUCGUCUUAGGACACAAAAUUUCUGAGAGAGGCAUUGAAGUUGAUAAGGCUAAGGUUGAUGCAAUUGAGAAAAUGCCUUGCCCCACAGAUAUCAGAGGUAUACGAAGUUUCCUAGGUCAUGCUGGUUUCUAUAGAAGGUUCAUUAAAGACUUCUCUAAGAUUUCUAGGCCUCUUACCAACCUCUUGCAGAAGGAUGUUCCUUUUGUUUUUGAUGAGGAUUGUGAGGAAGCUUUCGAAAUACUUAAGAAGUCUUUGAUAACCGCACCUAUUGUUCAACCACCUGACUGGAACUUGCCCUUUGAAAUCAUGUGUGACGCUAGUGAUUAUGCUAUUGGUGCUGUUCUAGGACAAAGAUUUGACAAGAAGUUGAAUGUCAUUCACUACGCUAGUAAAACUCUAGACAGUGCCCAAAGAAACUAUGCCACUGCGGAGAAGGAAUUUUUAGGAGUCGUGUUUGCAUGUGAAAAGUACAGAUCUUACAUAGUUGACUCCAAAGUCACUAUUCACUCUGAUCAUGCUGCUAUUAAGUACCUUAUGCAGAAGAAGGACGCUAAGCCUAGGCUGAUCAGAUGGGUUCUCCUGCUACAGGAAUUUGAUUUGCACGUCGUUGACCGAAAGGGUGCUAACAACCCUGUAGCAGAUAACUUGUCUAGGCUAGAGAAUGUCCUUGAUGACCCACUACCUAUUGAUGCCAGCUUUCCUGAUGAGCAAUUAAAUGUCAUCCGCACUUCACAUAGUGCAUCGUGGUAUGCCGAUUAUGCAAACUAUAUCAUAGCCAAAUACAUACCACCCAGUUUCACCUAUCAACAAAAGAAGAAAUUCUUCUUUGAUUUGAGGCACUACUUUUGGGAUGAUGCUCACCUUUAUAAGGAAGGAGUAGAUGGUGUUAUUAGACGAUGUGUGCCUGAACAUGAACAUGGACAGAUCCUGCAGAAGUGUCAUUCUGAAGCCUACGGAGGACACCAUGCUGGAGAUAGAACUGCCCAUAAGGUAUUGCAAUCAGGUUUCUAUUGGCCCACUCUCUUCAAGGAUGCCCGUAAGUUUGCCUUGUCUUGUGACGAAUGCCAAAGGAUAGGGAACAUCAGUAAGCGUCAAGAGAUGCCUAUGAACUAUUCACUUGUCAUUGAACCAUUUGAUGUCUGGGGCUUUGAUUAUAUGGGACCCUUCCCGAGUUCUAAUGGGUACACUCACAUCUUAUUUGUUGUGGAUUACGUUACUAAGUGGGUAGAAGCUAUCCCCACUAAAAAUGCUGAUCACCACACCUCUAUUAAGAUGCUUAAAGAAGUCAUAUUCCCAAGAUUUGGAGUCCCUGGAUACUUGAUGACUGAUGGCGGUUCACACUUCAUUCAUGGUGUUUUCCGCAAGAUGCUAGCUAAGUAUGAUGUCAACCAUAGAGUUGCAUCUCCUUAUCAUCCUCAGUCUAGUGGUCAAGUGGAGUUGAGUAAUAGGGAGAUCAAGUUGAUCCUACAAAAGACCGUCAAUAGAUCUCGAAAGAACUGGUCUAGCAAACUUGACGAUGCACUAUGGGCUUAUAGGACUGCUUAUAAUAAUCUCAUGGGCAUGUCAUCGUAUAAAAUGGUUUACGGUAAGGCCUGUCAUCUACCUCUUGAGCUGGAACACAAAGCUUAUUAAGCAAUCAAAGAGCUCAAAUUUGAUUUCAAACUUGCCGGUGAGAAGCGGUUGUUUGUUAUCAGCUCGUUAGAUGAAUGGAGAGCCCAGGCAUAUGAGAAUGCCAGGUUGUUCAAGGAAAAGGUUAAGAGAUGGCACGACAAACGAAUACAAAAACGAGAGUUCAAUGUAGGUGAUUAUGUCUUGCUAUACAAUUCUCGUUUGAGAUUCUUUGCACGCAAGCUUCUCUCUAAAUGGGAAGGUCCCUAUGUUGUCGAGGAAGUAUAUCGUUCCGGUGCCAUCAAAAUCAAUAACAUGGAAGGAAAUUUUCCUAGAGUGGUAAAUGGGCAAAGAAUCAAGCAUUACAUCUCUGGUACUCCCAUAAAUGUUGAGACCAAUAUCAUCAAUGUCAUAACUCCAGAGGAGUACAUAAGGGAUGUUUAUCAGCCUGUUUCAGACCUUGAAAACGAAGAUGUAUCUAUUUCGGCAAGAAAUUGGACUCCGAUACUUUUCCAAUAGGAAAUUUCCUCAGUUUUGGAAUUUUUGGAAAAUUAGAAAAAUAAAAAGCAGUCCGGAGAGCGAACGAGGCAGCCACAAGGGCCCACUCCGCCACCACCACCCUGGUGGCGGUGGGCAAGCUUGUGGGCACCUCGUGUGCCUUCCGGACUCCGUUUUCUUGCGGAGGACUCCUUCUGGCCCAGAAAAAAUGAAUAUAUAGUUGCCCGAAGGUUUUGAUCUCCGUAUCGCGCAGUUUUCCUGUGUUUUCGUUUCGAGCUUGUUUCUGCCACAGAUCUAGAUCAUCAUGACUUUCCCAAAUGCUCCUAAGGACAAGAUCUUCGAGAAGGUCAAUAAUCCCUACCUCGCGGAAGUGCUGAAACACCCACAAUCUAUCAAGAUGAGCGAGGGGAUGUUGCACAUCCGUGAUGUUGAGGGGCCUAAGAAGACCGGAAGCGUGGAGACGAGGCUCGAAGCAAUGGAGCAACAAGUCUUCAAGUGCCAAGGGAUGGUGGAGCGUGGACUCAACGCCAACCACACGAUGAUCACGGAGUUCACUAGCAAUCACAAGAUGGAUGCCAUUAAUAUUGGGAAACACCUCUCUAGGCUCUACGAUAGGGUUGGCCAACUUCAGAGCCAGAUCUAUGACCUGCAGAAUCAAAACUGUGAGUAUGAGUACAAAUUUAAAUCAAUAAGGCUGGCUGCAGAUUUGAGGAUUCCGGCGACUCGUUCAUCCUGCCAUGAUGGAGCACCUAUGCCUUGGAAGAUGGAGGAUCACACUACUCCAACAACAACACCAUCACCACCAAAGGAAGACAACUAAACAUUGGUAUGGGCAAUCCCCUUGGUUUCUGCCAAGCUUGGGGGAGUUGCCCUGGUAUCGUAUCACCUUUAUAUCUUUUGCUUUUACCUUUAUUUUAGUACUUUCCUUUUCAGUUUUUAUUUAUUCUUUUAGAGGAAUAAGUCUUUAUUUUUUAGUUUGAGUCUUUUACUUUUGUCUCUCCCCCGUUGUAUUCGAGCUUACGAGCUAUAUAAUAAAGAGUGUCUUAGUCAAGGGCUUUGCUUUGUGCCAUGAUCAAUAGUAUGAAAAGAACGAUAACAUGAAAUAUCAUGAGACGAUCUUAUGGAAAGUGAUAACUUCACUUAUGACACGUAUGAUGAUUGAAACUUGUAGAGAAUAAAUCAACAUAGACCUCAGUCAUUGUUGCAAUUAAUAAGAAGUAAUAAGGAAAGAGAGGAUCACAUAUAAAUAUAUCAUCUUAGACACUUUUUACAAUUAUGAGCACUCACCAAACUAUUACAUGCCUAGGAGUAGAUGUUGGACAAGGAAGACAACAUAAUGAAUUGUGUUUGCUUGGUUCCAAACAAUGUUAUAUGAUUAGAGAUCCCUUAGCAUGUGACGAUUGCUUCAACCUCAUAUUAGCCAAAACUCCCGCACCAAGUAGAGAUACUACUUGUGCAUCCAUAAACCUCCAACCCAGUUUUGCCAUGAGAGUCCACCAUACGUACCUAUGGAUUGAAUAAGAUCCUUCAAGUAAGUUGUCAUCGGUGCAAGCAAUAAAAAUUGCUCUCUAAUAUAUAUGAUCUAUUAGUGUGUGGAAAAUAAGCUUUGUACGAACCUGUGAUGAGGAAGACAUAAAAGCGACAGACUGCAUAAUAAAGUUCUUUAUCAUAGGAGGCAAUAUAAAGUGACGUUCCUCCGCACUAAGAGGACACGCAUUCAAACCUCAAAAGCGCAUGACAACCUCUGCUUCCCUCUGCGAAGGGCCUAUUUUGUACCUUUACUUUUUGCCCUUGUAAGAGUCAUGGUGAUCAUCACCAAUUCCCUUUUUGCCUUUGUCUUGGCUAACAUCACAUGUUUGGAAAGAUCUUUAUUCAUAUAUCAACUUGGAGUUGAGUACUCAUGCUUUAUUGUUGUUGACUUUACCCUUGAGGUAAACCGUUGGGACCCAAACUAUAAUCCCCUAUCUUCCCUUGUGUCCAGCUGAAACUUUGACACCAUGAGUACCACGUGAGUUGUAACAAUUGUGGAAAACGAAAGAGAUGAUUGAGUAUGUGGGUUUGCCUUACAAGCUCUUAUUUGACUCUUUCUGAUGUUGUGAUAAAUUGCAAUUGCUUCAAUGACUAUGGAUUAUUGUUGGUUACUUCUCGGUAAGGUUUUUGCUUCAUGAUUUACUUUGUGAAGGAAUUGUUACUUUCCCAUAAGAAUCUUUAUGAUAUAUUGCUGUUCUAUGUGUGAUCAUGAUGCCCUCAUGUCCGUAUUAUUUUUUAUCGACACAUUCGUCCCUCAACAUGUGGACAUGUUUAUGGAACUUGGUUUUCGCUUGAGGACAAGCGAGGUCUAAGCUUGGGGGAGUUGAUACGUCCAUUUUGCAUCAUGCUUUCAUGUUGAUAUUUAUUGCUUUUUGGGCUGUUAUAUUACUUGUGGUACCAUUUUAAUGCCUUUUCUCUCUUAUUUUGCAAGGAUUAUUUGAAGAGGGAAAAUUCAGGCAGUUGGAAUUCUCGACUGGAAAAGGAGCAAAUCCUAGUCCACUAUUCUGCACAUCUCCAAAUGCCCUGAAAAUUUACAUGGAUUUUUUCUGGAAUAUAUUAAAAAUACUGGGCGAAAGAACUAAAGGAGGGAGGCCACCAGGGCCCCACAAGCUUGCCCACCGCCACCACCCCCCUGGUGGCGCAGGGCAGGCUUGUGGGCUGCCUAAAGGCCCACUACCCCCCUCUUUUGCUAUAUGAAGCAUCCUGGUCUGGAAAAAAUAAAUCGGGAGCUUAUUCGUGGUUUCGCCGCCGCCACGAGGCGGAACUUGAGCAGAUCCAAUCUAGAGCUCCGACAGGACGAUCCUGCCAGGGAAACUUCCUUCCCGGAGGGGGAAGUCGUCGCCAUCGUCAUCACCAACACUCCUCUCGUCGGAGGGGAGGCAUCUUCAUCAACAUCUUCAUAAGCACCAUCUCCCUUUCCAAUCCCUAGUUCAUCUCUUGUAACCGAUCUUCGUCUCGCAACUCCGAUUGGUACUUGUAAGGUUGCUAGUAGUGUUGAUUACUCUUUGUAGUUGGUGCUAGUUGGAUUACUUGGUGGAAGAGUUUAUGUUCAGAUCCUUGAUGUUAUUCAUUACACCUCUGGUCAUGAUUAUGAUUAUGUCUUGUGAGUAGUUACUUUUGUUCCUGAGGACAUGGGAUAAGUCAUGUUAAUAAUAGUCAUGUGAAUUUGAUAUUCGUUCGAUAUUUUGAUAUGCUGUAUGUUGUUUUUCCUCUAGUGGUGUUAUGUGAACGUCGACUACAUAACACUUCACCAUAUUUGGUCCUAGAGGAAGGCAUUGGGAAGUAGUAAGUAGAUGAUGGGUUGCUGGAGUGACAGAAGCUUAAACCCCAGUCUAUGUGUUGCUUCGUGAGGGGUUGAUUUGGAUCUACUAGUUUAAUGCUAUUGUUAGACUUUGUCUUAAUUCUUCUUUUGUAGUUGCGGAUGCUUGCGAGACAGGUUAAUCAUAAGUGGGAUGCUUGUCCAAGUAAGGGCAGUACCCAAGCGCCGGUCCACCCACAUAUCAAACCAUCAAAGCAACGAACGCGAAUCAUAUGAACAUGAUGAAACUAGCAUGACAGAAAUUUCCGUGUGUCAUCGGGAGCGUUUUUCCUCCGAUAAGACUUUGUUCAGGCUUGUCCCUUGCUACAAAAGGGAUUGGGCCACUUGUUGCACCGUUGCUACUACUUGUUACUUGUUACUCUUUGCUUGCUACGUUUCACCUCGCUACACAAUCACUUGUUACCGCUACUUUCAGUGCUUGCAGUUAUUACCUUGCUGAAAUCCGUUUAUCAGAGCCUUCUACUCCUCAGUGGGUUUGACACUCUUACUUAUCGAAAGGACUAUGAUUGAUCCCCUAUACUUGUGGGUCAUUAGCCACCCCCCAGGCCGCGCCAUGGGGGCUUGUGGGCAGCCCACUAUCCCACUUGCUCCCCUCUUUUUCUAUAUGGAGGGUUUCAUCCAGGAAAAAAAAUCAAGGAGGAGCUUUUUCGUGGUUUCGCCGCCACCACGAGGCGGAACUUGAGCAGAACCAAUCUAGAGCUCCAGCAGGACGACCCUGCCAGGGAAACUUCCCUCCCGGAGGGGGAAAUCGUCACCAUCGUCAUCACCAACACUCCUCUCAUCGGAGGGGACUCGUCACCAUCAAAAUCUUCAUCAGCACCAUCUCAUCUCCAAACCCUAGUUCAUCACUUGUAACCAAUCUCCGUCUCGCGACUCCGAUUGGUACCUGUAAGGUUGCUAGUAGUGUUGAUUACUCUUUGUAGUUGAUGCUAGUUGGAUUACUUGGUGGAAGAGUUUAUGUUCAGAUCCUUGAUGCUACUCAUUAUCUCUCUGGUCAUGAAUAUGAUUAUGCUUUGUGAGUAGUUACUUUUGUUCCUCAGGACAUGGGAUAAGUCAUGCUAAUAGUAGUCAUGUGAAUUUGGUAUUCGUUCGGUAUUUUGAUAUGUUGUAUGUUGUUUUUCCUCUAGUGGUGUUAUGUGAACAUCGACUACAUAACACUUCACAAUUAUUUGGGCCUAGAGGAAGGCAUUGGGAAGUAGUAAGUAGAUGAUGGGUUGCUAGAGUGACAGAAGCUUAAACCCUAGUUUAUGCGUUGCUUCGUAAGGGGCUGAUUUGGAUCCACUAGUUUAAUGCUAUGGUUAGACUUUGUCUUAAUUCUUCUUUCGUAGUUGCGGAUGCUUGCGAGAGGGGUUAAUUAUAAGUGGGAUGCUUGUCCAAGUAAGGGCAGUACCCAAGCGCCGGUCCACCCACAUAUCAAACUAUCAAAGUAACAAACGCAAUCAUAUGAACAUGAUGAAACUAGCAUGACAGAAAUUCCCGUGUGUCCUCGGGAGCGUUUUUCCUCCUAUAAGACUUUGUCCAGGCUUGUCCCUUGCUACAAAAUGGAUUGGGCCACUUUGCUGCACCGUUGCUACUUUUGUUACUUGUUGCUCGCUACGAUUCAUCUCACAACACAAUCACUUGUUACCGACAAUUUCAGUGUGUGCAGAUUUCUCCUUACUCAAAACCACUUGUCAGAUCCUUCUGGUCCUCGUUGGGUUCGACACUCUUACUUAUUGAAAGGACUAGGAUUGAUCCCCUAUACUUGUGGAUCAUCACCCACAAGCCUGGUAGGCGCGACCACCCCCCUGGUCGCGCCUAUGGGGCUUGUGGGCUCCCUGCUGGCCCACUGGCCCCCCUCUUCUGCUAUAUGAAGGGUUUCGUUCCAAAAAAAAUCAGGAGGAGGCUUUUUCGAGGAUUCGCCGCCGCCACGAGGCGGAACUUGAGCAGAACCAAUCUAGAGCUCCGGCAUGACGAUCCUGCCGGGGAAACUUCGGGAAAUCGUCGCCAUCGUCAUCACCAACACUCCUCUCAUCGGAGGGGACUCGUCACCAUCAAUAUCUUCAUCAGCACCAUCUCAUCUCCAAACCCUAGUUCAUCUCUUGUAACCAAUCUCCGUCUCGCGACUCUGAUUGGUACUUGUAAGGUUGCUAGUAGUGUUAAUUACUCUUUGUAGUUGAUGUUAGUUGGAUUACUUGGUGGAAGAGUUUAUGUUCAGAUCCUUGAUGCUACUCAUUACCUCUCUGGUCAUGAAUAUGAUUACUCUUUGUGAGUAGUUACUUUUGUUCCUGAGGACAUGGGAUAAGUCAUGCUAAUAGUAGUGAUGUGAAUUUGGUAUUCGUUUGAUAUUUUGAUGUGUUGUAUGUUGUUUUUCCUCUAGUGGUGUUAUGUGAACGUCGACUACAUAACACUUCACCAUUAUUUGGGCCUAGAGGAAGGCAUUGGAAAGUAGUAAGUAGAUGAUGGGUUGCUAGAGUGACAGAAGCUUAAACCCUAGUUUAUGUGUUGCUUCGUAAGGGGCUGAUUUGGAUCCACUAGUUUAAUGCUAUGGUUAGACUUUGUCUUAAUUCUUCUUUCAUAGUUGUGGAUGCUUGCGAGAGGGGUUAAUCAUAAGUGGGAUGCUUGUCCAAGUAAGGGCAGUACCCAAGCGCCGGUCCACCCACAUAUCAAACUAUCAAAGUAACGAACGUGAAUCAUAUGAACAUGAUGAAAACUAGCAUGACAGAAAUUCCCGUGUGUCCUCGGGAGCGCUUUUCCUCCUAUAAGAGUUUGUCCAGGCUUGUCCCUUGCUACAAAAGGGAUUGGGCCACUUUUCUGCACCAUUGCUACUUUUGUUACUUGUUGCUUGCUACGAAUCAUCUCACCACACAACCACUUGUUACCGAUAAUUUCAGUGCUUGUAGAUAUUACCUUGCUGAACACCACUUGUCAGAUCCUUCUACUCCUCGUUGGGUUCGACACUCUUACUUAUUGAAAGGACUAUGAUAGAUCCCCUAUACUUGUGGGUCAUCAAGACUCUUUUCUGGCGUCGUUGCCGGGGAGUGAAGCGCCUUUGGUAAGUGGAACUUGGUAAGGAAACAUUCAUAUAGUGUGCUGAAAUUUAUUGUCACUUGUCACUAUGGAAACUAAUCCUUUGAGGGGCUUGUUCGGGGUAUCUUCACCUCGAACGGAAGCACAAAGAGUUACUCCUCAACCUGCUGCACCUACUGAAAAUAUUUGCUUUGAUUUUCCUUCAGGUAUGCGUGAGAAACUGCUAGCUAAUCCUUUUAGAGGAGAUGGAACUUCACAUCCAGACUUGCAUCUAAUCUAUGUAGAUGAAGUUUGUGGUUUAUUUAAGCUUGCAGGUUUGCCUGAGGAUGAGGUCAAGAAGAAGGUCUUUCCCUUAUCUUUGAGGGAUAAGGCGUUGACAUGGUAUAGGCUAUGUGAUGAUACUGGAUCAUGGAACUACAAUCAGUUGAAAUUGGAAUUUCAUCAAAAGUUUUAUCCUAUGCACCUAGUACAUCGUGAUCAGAAUUAUAUUUAUAAUUUUUGGGCUCGUGACAGAGAAAGCAUCGCUCAAGCUUGGGGGAGGCUUAAAUCAAUGUUAUAUUCAUGCCCCAACCAUGAGCUCUCAAGAGAAAUUAUCAUUCAGAACUUCUAUGCUCGGCUUUCUCAUGAUGAUCGCACCAUGCUUGAUACCUCUUGUACCGGUUCUUUUAUGAAGAGAGAUAUUGACUUCAAAUGGAAUUUAUUGGAGAUAAUUAAAUGCAACUCUGAAGAUUGGGAGCUUGAUGAAGGUAAGGAGCCAGGUAUGAAUUUCAAGUUUGAUUGCGUUAAAUCCUUUGUUGAAACAAAUACUUUUUGUGAUUUUAGCGCUAAGUAUGGACUUGACUGUGAGAUAGUAGCUUCAUUGUGUGAAUCUUUUGCUACUCGUAUUGAUCUCCCCAAAGAGAAGUGGUUUAAAUAUCCUCCUCCUUUAGUUAAACCCAAUCCAGUUGAAGAGAAUGUCAUUGCCUAUAAUGACACUAUUGCUCCUAGUGCUUACAUUGAGAAACCACCUUUCCCUGUUAGGAUAAAGGAUCAUUCUAAAGCAUCAACUAUGAUACGUAGAGGCUACAUUAGAACACCUACACCCCUUGAGCAAAUUAGAGUUGAACCUAGCAUUGCUAUUAUCAAAGAUCUCAUGUCCGAUGAUGUUGAGGGACAUAAUAUUCACUUGUGUGAAGAUGCUGCUAGAAUUCCUAAACCUCACGCUAGAGAUAAACAUAGGCCUGUUGUUGGCACGCCUAUUGUUUCUGUUAAGAUAGGAGAUCAUUGCUAUCAUGGUUUAUGUGACGUGGGUGCUAGUGUUAGUGCAAUACCUCAAUCCUUAUAUGAUGAAACUAAAGACGAGAUUGCACCUGUUGAGAUAGAACCUAUUGAUGUCACUAUUCAGCUUGCCAAUAGAGAUACUAUGUGCCCUGUGGGAAUUGUUAGGGAUGUUGAAGUCUUGUGUGGUAAAACGAAGUAUCCCGCUGAUUUCCUCGUUCUUGCUACCACUCAAGAUAGCUUUUGUCCCAUCAUAUUUGGCAGACCCUUUCUCAAUACUAUCAAUGCUCAUAUUGACUGUGAGAAGCAAACUGUCACUGUUGGCUUUGAAGGUGUGUCACAUGAGUUCAAUUUCUCCAAGUUUGGUAGACAACCUCAUGAAAAAGAGUUACCUAGUAAGGAUGAAACUAUUGCCUUAGCUUCUAUUGUUGUGCCUCCUACUGAUCCCUUAGAGCAAUACUUGCUUGAGCAUGAAAAUGAUAUGCAUAUGGAUGAAAGGGAUGAGAUAGAUAGGGCUGUCUUUGAACAAUAUCCUAUCCUUAAGAAUAAUUUGCGUGUUGAACUGCUUGGGGAUCCACCCCACCAAAGGGUGAUCCUGUGUUCGAGCUUAAACAGUUGCCUGAUACUCUUAGGUAUGCUUAUCUUGAUGAAGAAGAGAUAUAUCCUGUUAUUAUUAGUGCUAGCCUCUCAGAGCAUGAAGAAAAGAAGUUACUAAAAACUCCGAGAAAGCACCGUCCUGCUAUUGGAUAUACUCUUGAUGAUCUUAAGGGCAUUAGUCCCACUCUAUGCUAGCACAAGAUUAAAACUGAUCUUUAUUCUAAACGAGUUGUUGAUCAUCAACAGAGAUUAAAUCCUAAGAUGAAAGAGGUAGUAAGAAAAGAAAUACUAAAGCUCCUGGAAGCAGGUAUUAUCUAUCAUGUUGCUCGUAGUGAAUGGGUGAGUCCGGUGCAUUGCGUCCCUAAGAAGGGAGGCAUUACCGUUGUCCCUAAUGAUAAGGAUGAAUUGAUCCCACAUAGGAUUAUUACUGGCUAUAGGAUGGUGAUCGAUUUUAGGAAAUUGAAUAAAGCCAGUAGGAAAGAUCAUUACCCUUUGCCUUUUAUCGACCAAAUGCUAGAAAGACUGUCUAAACACACACACUUCUGCUUUCUAGACGGUUAUUCUGGUUUCUCCCAAAUAACAGUUGCACAAUCUCAUCAGGAGAAAACCACUUUCACCUGCCCUUUCGGUACCUUUGCUUAGAGACGUAUGCCUUUUGGUUUAUGUAAUGCACCUGCCACCUUUCAAAGAUGUAUGAUGGCUAUAUUCUCUGACUUUUGUGAAAAGAUUGUUGAGGUUUUCAUGGAUGACUUCUCUGUUUAUGGGUCUUCCUUUGAUGAUUGCCUCAGCAACCUUGAUCGAGUCUUGCAGAGAUAUAAAUACACCAAUCUUGUCUUGAAUUGGGAGAAGUGCCACUUUAUGGUUAAUGAAGACAUUGUCUUAGGACAUAAAAUUUCUGAAAGAGGUAUUGAAGUCCAUAAGGCUAAGGUUGAUGCAAUCGAGAAAUGCCAUACCCCACAGAUAUCAAAGGUAUAAGAAGUUUUCUUGGUCAUGCUGGUUUCUAUAGAAGGUUCAUUAAAGACUUCUCUAAGAUUUCUUGGCCUCUUACCAAUCUCUUGCAAAAGGAUAUUCCUUUUGUUUUUGACGAUGAUUGUGAGGAAGCCUUCGAAAUACUUAAGAAGGCUUUGAUAACUGCACCUAUUGUUCAACCACCUGAUUGGAACUUACCUUUUGAAAUCAUGUGUGAUGCUAGCGAUUAUGCUGUUGGUGUUGUCCUAGGGCAAAGAGUUGAUAAGAAGUUGAAUGUUAUUCACUUUGCUAGUAAAACUCUAGACAGUGCCCAAAGAAACUAUGCUACUACAGAAAAGGAGUUUUUAGUAGUCGUGUUUGCAUGUGAAAAGUUCAGGUCUUACAUAGUUGAUUCCAAAAUCACUAUUCACACUGAUCACGCUGCUAUUAAGUACCUCAUGGAGAAGAAGGACGCUAAACCUAGACUUAUCAAAUGGGUUCUCUUGCUACAAGAAUUUGAUUUGCACGUUGUCGACACGAAGGCUGCUGAUAACCCCGUAGCAGAUAACUUGUCUAGGUUAGAGAACAUUCUUGAUGACCCACAACCUAUUGAUGAUAGCUUUCCCGAUGAGCAACUCAAUGUCAUCAAUACUUCACAUAGUGCACCGUGGUAUGCUGAUUAUGCAAACUAUAUCGUUGCCAAAUAUAUACCACCUAGUUUCACAUACCAGCAAAAGAAUAAAUUCUUCUUUGACUCCAGACAUUACUUUUGGGAUGAUCCUCACCUUUAUAAGGAAGGAGUAGAUGGUGUUAUUAGACAUUGUGUACCUGAACAUGAACAGGGACAAAUCCUACAGAAGUAUCACUCUGAGGCCUACAGAGGACACCAUGUGGGAGACAGAACUGCACACAAGGUAUUGCAAUCAGGUUUCUAUUGGCCCACUCUCUUCAAGGAUGCCCUUAAGUUUGUCUUGUCUUGUGACAAAUGUCAAAGAAUAGGUAAUAUCGGUAAACGUCAGGAAAUGACUAUGAACUAUUCACUCGUCAUUGAACCAUUUGAUGUCUGGGGCUUUGAUUAUAUGGGACCUUUUCCAAAACCCAACGGGUAUACUCAUAUCCUAGUUGUUGUUGAUUACGUCACUAAGUGGGUAGAAGCUAUCCCCACUAGUAGUGCUGAUCACAACACCUCUAUCAGGAUGCUUAAAGAAGUUAUUUUCCCAAGAUUUGGACUCCCUAGAUAUCUAAUGACCGACGGUGGUUCACAUUUCAUUCAUGGUGCUUUCCGUAAAACGCUUGCUAAGUACGAUGCCAACCAUAGAAUUGCAUCUCCCUAUCACCCUCAGUCCAGUGGUCAAGUAGAGCUAAGCAAUAGAAAGAUUAAACUGAUUCUGCAAAAGACUAUCAACAGGUCUAGAAAGAAUUGGUCUAAGAAGCUCGAUGAUGCACUGUGGGCUUAUAGAACUGCCUAUAAGAAUCCCAUGGGCAUGUCUUCGUACAAAAUGGUGUACGGUAAAGCAUGUCAUUUACCUCUUGAGCUAGAGCAUAAAGCUUAUUGGGCAAUCAAAGAGCCCAACUUUGAUUUCAAACUUGCUGGUGAGAAGAGGUUAUUUGACAUUAGCUCGCUUGAUGAAUGGAGAGCUCAGGCAUAUGAAAAUGCCAAGUUGUUCAAAGAAAAGGUUAAGAGGUGGCAUGAUAAGAGGAUACAAAAGCGUGAGUUCAAUGUAGGUGAUUAUGUCUUGCUAUAUAAUUCUCGUUUAAAAUUUUUUGCAGGCAAGCUUCUCUCUAAAUGGGAAGGUCCCUAUAUUGUUGAGGAAGUAUAUCGUUCCGGUGCUAUCAAGAUUAACAACACGGAAGGUAAUUGUCCGAGAGUUGUAAAUGGGCAGAGAAUCAAGCAUUAUAUCUCAGGUACUCCCAUAAAUGUUGAAAGCAAUAUCAUCAAUACCAUAACUCCGGAAGAAUACCUAAGGGAUAUUUAUCAGCCUGUUUCAGACUCCGAAAACAAAGAGGUAUGUGAUUCGGUAAGAAAACAGACUCCAAAACUUUUCUAGUAGGAAUUUUUCUCCGUUUUGGAAUAUUUGAAAAAAUAGAAAAAUUGGAAGUAGUCCGGAAAGCGCGCGAGGAGGCGACAAGCCUGCCAGGCGCGGGCCCACCCCCUGGCCGUGCCUGGGGGGGCGGGGCUUGUGGCCACCUCGUGUGCCUCCCGGACUCCGUUUUCGUGCGGAGUACUCCUUCUGGUCUGGAAAAAAUCAAUAUAUAUUCUCCCGUAAGGUCUGACCCUCGCAUCACCCACAUUUCCUUUGUUUUCGUUUCGAGCCUGUUUUCUGCCGCAGAUUUAAGGCAAGAUAUCUUCUCAAGAUUCAGAGGGGGAGAGCUAUUGGCAGAUUACCUUGCUGACCCCAAGAUCUAUGGGGACUUGGAUCCUUAUGGCUGGAUGAUACGUCUCCAACGUAUCUAUAAUUUUUUAUGGUUUCAUGCUAUUAUCUUGUCAAAAUCUAGAUGUUAUGCAUGUCUUUUAUAUAUUUUUUGGGACUAACUUAUUAACUCAGUGCCAAGUUCCAGUUCCUGUUUUUUCCAUGUUUUUGACCCCUUUGAGAGGAGAUUUUGAAACGGAGUCCAAACGGAAGAAAAUCCCCGAAAAGAUUUUUUUCUGGAACGGAAGAUCGGGAAGCUUGAGAGCCAAGGUAGGGGAGCCUCAGGGGCCCCACAAGCCCCCACCCCGCGACUAGGGGGGAGGCCGCGGCCCACAGGCUUGUGGGCCCCCUCGGCGCCCUCUGUCCUAGGGGUUGCGCCUAUAAAUUCCCUAAAAAUCCCAAAAAAAUCAGGAGAUCAUCGAAAGUACUUUUCCGCCGCCGCAAGCUUCUGUCUCCGCAAGAUCCCAUCUGGGGCACGUUCUGGUGCCCUGCCGGAGGGGAGAUUCGGAUACAGAGGGCUUCUUCAUCAACACCAUGACCUCUCCGAUGAAGCGUGAGUAGUUCACCAUAGACCUACGGGUCCAUAGCUAGUAACUAGAUGACUUCUUCUCUCUCUUGGAUCUUCAAUACAAAUUUCUCCAUGAUCUUCAUGGAAAUCUAUCCGAUGUAAUCUUCUUUUGCGGUGUGUUUGUCGAGAUCCUAUGAAUUGUGGAUUUGUGAUCAGAUUAUCUAUGAAUCUUAUUUGAGUUUCUUCUGAUCUCUCUUAUGCAUGAUUUCAUAUCCUUGUAAUUCUCUUCGAGUUGUGGGUUUUGUCUGGCCAACUAGAUCUAUGAUUCUUGCAAUGGGAGAAGUGCUUAGUUUUGGGUUCAUACCGUGCGGUGACCUCACCCAGUGACAAAAGGGGUAGCGAGGCACGCUUCAGGUUGUUGCCAUCAAGGGUAAAAAGAUGGGGUUUUCAUCAUUGGUUUGAGAUUAUUCCUCUACAUCAUGUCAUCUUGCUUAAGGCGUUACUCUGUUCGUCAUGAACUCAAUACACUAGAUGCAUGAUGGAUAGCGGUCGAUGUGUGGAGUAAUAGUAGUAGAUGCAAAAAGUAUUUGUCUACUUGUCUCGGUCGUGAUGCCUAUAUGUAUGAUCAUUGCCUUAGACAUCGUCAUGACUUUGCGCGGUUCUAUCAAUUGCUCGACAGUAAUUUGUUCACCCGCCGUGAUAUUUGCUAUUUUGAGAGAAGCCUCUAGUGAACACUAUGGCCCCCGGGUCUACUCCACACCAUAUUUUCAGCCUUACACUUUUUACUUUGUUGCACUUUCCGCCUUCAGAUCUCACUUUGCAAACAAUCUUGAAGGGAUUGACAACCCCUUUGAAGCAUUGGGUGCAAGCUUUUUUGUGUUUGCACAGGUACUCUCGACUUGACGAGACCCUCCUUCUGGAUCGAUACCUUGGUUCUCAAACUGAGGGAAAUACUUACUGCUCCUGUGCUGCAUCACCCUUUCCUCUUUAAGGGAAAAACCAACGCAAGCCCAAUCUCCGUCAACGUGUCAAUUUCUGGCGUUGUUGUUUGAUAAGAAGCACUGGACCACCGAUGAGGAAGAAGAUUAUGAUCCCAAGGGGAAGCAACAAACAAGUUCCGAUGAAGAGGAGGCUCCUCUACCUCAACCUGGACACACGCAUGUGGAGUUCAAGAAGUCGAGCCUCCCUGACUCAAGGAAGAAGCCUAAGACUUUGUUUAUCCCUUCUCGUUUCUUGCAGGAGAGUAAGCAGGAAUUAUGCCAAAGGGUGUUGAAGCUUGAAGAGGAAAAUGAUGAUCUGAGGGAGCAGAAUUUUAUGCUCAGCUGGAAAUCAAACAAGCUCAUGACCUCUGCAACAACUUCACCACCAUCACCUCCAAAGGAAGACAACUGAGCAUGGGUAUGGGCAAUCCCCUUGGCUUCUGCCAAGCUUGGGGGAGUUGCCCCCGUAUCGUAUCACCAUCACAUCUCUUGCCUUUACCUUUGUUUUAGUUUGUUCCUUUUCAGUUUUCUCUUUCUCUAGUAGAAUAAAAGUCUUAGUGUUUUAGUCUUGAGUUUUGCUUUGUGUCACCCCCGAUGUAUUCGAGCUCGUGAGCCAUAUAAUAAAGAGUGUCUUAGUUGAGGGAUUUGCAUCUUGCCAUGAUCAAAAGAGUGAGAAAAGAACAAAAGCAUGAAAGAUCAUGUAAUGAUCUCAUGGGAAGUGAUGGCUUCACAUAUAAAAAGAAUGUUGAUUGAAACUUGUUGAGGGUAGACAAAUGUAGACCUUGGUCAUUGUUGCAAUUAAUAGGAAGUGAUAAGGAAGGAGAGGUUCACAUAUAAAUACAUCAUCUUUGACACCAUCUAUGAUUGUGAACACUCACUAAACUAUUGCAUGCCUAGAAGUAGAUGUUGGACAAGGAAGACAACAUAAUGAAUUGUGUUUGCUUGGUUCCGAACAAUGUUAUAUGAUUAGAGAUCCCUUAGCAUGUGACAAUUGCUUCCACCUCAUAUUAGCUAAAACUCCCGCACCAAGUAGAGAUACUACUUGUGCAUCCAUAAACCUUCAACUCAGUUUUGCCAUGAGACUCCACCAUACCUACCUAUGGAUUGAACAAGAUCCCUCAAGUAAGUUGUCAUCGGUGCAAGCAAUAAAAAUUUCUCCCAAAUAUGUAUGAUCUAUUAGUGUGUGGAAAAUAAGCUUUGUACGAACCUCUGAUGAGGAAGACAUAAAAGCGAGAGACUGCAUAAUAAAGUUCUUUAUCACAGGAGGCAAUAUAAAGUGACAUUCCUCCGCACUAAGAGGACACGCAUCCCAACCUCAAAAGCGCAUGACAACCUCUGCUUCCCUCUGCGAAGGGCCUAUCUUGUACCUUUACUUUUUGCCCUUGAAAGAGUCAUGGUGAUCUUCACCAAUUCCUUGUUUCGCCUUUAUCUUGGCUAACGUCAUAUGCUUGGAAAAGAUCUAUAUUCAUAUGUCAACUUGGAAGUAAGUAUUCAUGAAUUAUUAUUGUUGACAUUACCCUUGAGGUAAGCAGUUGGGAGGCAAAACUAUAAGCCCCUAUCUUUCUCCGUGUUCAGCUGAAACUUUGAUCUCAUGAGUACCACGUGAGUUGUAGCAAUUGUAGAGAACGAAAAGAUGAUUGAGUAUGUGGAUUUGCUUUACAAGCUCUUAUUUGACUCUUUCUGAUGGUGUGAUAAAUUGCAAUUGCUUCAAUGACUAAAGGCUAUCGGUUGUUAAUUCUCGGUAAGGUUCUUGAUCCAUACUUUACCUUGUGAAGGAAUUGUCACUUUAGCAUGAGAGAUUAUAUGUUGGUAUUGCUGUUCUGAUCAUGAUCAUGAUGCCUGCAUGUUCGUAUCUUGUUUUGUCGACACCCCUCUCCCUAAACAUGUGGUCAUAUUUAUUGAGCUCGGCUUUCGCUUGAGGACAAGCGAGGCCUAAGCUUGGGGAGUUGAUACGUCCAUUUUGCAUCAGGCUUUCAUGUUGAUAUUUAUUGCUUUUUGGGCUGUUAUUUCACUUCACGGUACAAUACUUAUGCCUUUUCUCUCUUAUUUUGCAAGGUUUACAUGAAGAGUGAGAAUGCCGGCAGCUGGAAUUCUGGCCUGAAAAAGGAGCAAGUUUGAGAUGCCUAUUCUGCGCAACUCCAAAAACCGUGAAAAUCAACGUGCAUUUUUUUGGAAUAUAUAAAAAAUACUAGGCCGAAGAAGUGCGAGAGGAGCGCAACCAGGGGGCCACAAGCCUGGCAGGCGCGGCCACCCCCCUGGCCGCGUCUAAGGGGCUUGUGGGCUCCCUGCUGGCCCACUGGCCCCCCUCUUCUGCAAUAUGAAGGGUUUUGUUCCGAAAAAAAUCAGGAGGAGGCUUUUUCGAGGAUUCGCCGCCGCCACGAGGCGGAACUUGAGCACAACCAAUCUAGAGCUCCGGCAGGACGAUCCUGACGGGGAAACUUCCCUCCCGGGGGGGAAAUCGUCGCCAUCGUCAUCACCAACACUCUUCUCAUCGGAGGGGACUCGUCACCAUCAACAUCUUCAUCAGCACCAUCUCAUCUCCAAACCCUAGUUCAUCUCUUGUAACAAAUCUCCAUCUCGCGACUCCGAUUAGUACUUGUAAGGUUGCUAGUAGUGUUAAUUACUCUUUGUAUUUGAUGCUAGUUGGAUUACUUGGUGGAAGAGUUUAUGUUCAGAUCCUUGAUGCUACUCAUUACCUCUCUGGUCAUGAAUAUGAUUAUGCUUUGUGAGUAGUUACUUUUGUUCCUGAGGACAUGGGAUAAGUCAUGCUAAUAGCAGUCAUGUGAAUUUGGUAUUCGUUCGGUAUUUUGAUAUGUUGUAUGUUGUUUUUCCUCUAGUGGUGUUAUGUGAACGUCGACUACAUAACACUUCACCAUUAUUUGGGCCUAGAGGAAGGCAUUGGGAAGUAGUAAGUAUAUGAUGGGUUGCUAGAGUGACAGAAGCUUAAACCCUAGUUUAUGCGUUGCUUCGUAAGGGGCUGAUUUGGAUCCACUAGUUUAAUGCUAUGGUUAGACUUUGUCUUAAUUCUUCUUUCGUAGUUGCGGAUGCUUGCGAGAGGGGUUAAUCAUAAGUGGGAUGCUUGUCCAAGUAAGGGCAUUACCCAAGCGCCGGUCCACCCACAUAUCAAACUAUCAAAGUAACGAACGCGAAUCAUAUGAACAUGAUGAAAACUAGCAUGACAGAAAUUCCCGUGUGUCCUCGGGAGCGCUUUUCCUCCUAUAAACUUUGUCCAGGCUUGUCCCUUGCUACAAAAGGGAUUGGGCCACUUUGCUGCACCAUUGCUACUUUUGUUACUUGUUGCUUGCUACGAAUCAUCUCACCACACAACCACUUGUUACCGAUAAUUUCAGUGCUUGCAGAUAUUACCUUGCUGAAAACCACUUGUCAGAUCCUUCUGCUCCUCGUUGGGUUCGACACUCUUACUUAUCGAAAGGACUACGAUAGAUCCCCUAUACUUGUGGGUCAUCAAUGUUCCAUUCGUUUUUUAUGAUGAUUGUGUAGAAGCAUUUAAAAUUCUUAAGAGAGCCUUGAUCACUGCACCUGUUGUUCAACCACCUGAUUGGAACCUACCCUUUAAAACUAUGUGUGAUGCCAACGAGUAUGUUGUUUUUUGUGUAGAAAAUGCAAGUUCUCGGAAUCGCGUGAAACUUUUUGGUGAUUAUUUAUGGAACAUAUGAGCAACAUUUGAGCGUAGAACCACUGGAUAGGGUCUCCCUGUUGGCCACAAGCCAACAAGGUGGGCCCGGGGAGGGGGUGGGGGGUCAAAGGGCCCCGCUAGCUUGUGGGCCCCUCAUAACUCUAUUUUGGGUGAUUCCAACGCCACAAAAUCCUAUAAAUAGAGAAACCCUCAUAAAUUAGGAGAGACUCUCCACCUCACCGCUACAACUCUGUGUAUCGAUGAAAAACCAAUGUGGAGAGAAAUCAGUAGAGAAAACAGGAGACAAAUAGAUAGAGAGAUCCAAUCUCGAAGGGGCUCUCGCCCCAUCGGGAGACAUGGAGGCCAAGGAUCAGAGGGGACAACCUCUACCCAUCUAGGGAGAGGCCAUGGUGGAGGAAUACUAAAGGGGGGGAAUCUUUCCCACUCUCUCGGUGGCGCCAGAGUGCCACUAGGGGAACCAUCGUCGUAGUGAUCGUCUUCUCAACAUCACCGUCUCUUUUCAACGGUCAACUCUCCCACACCCCGGUCCAAUCCCCUACUUGAACUUGGUGUUUCAUGCCACAUAUUAUUAAUCAAUGAUGUGUUGGCAUCCUAUAAUGUUUUAGUAGACUUAUGUUGUCCUUUGGGUUGAUUGAUGAUAUUGAUUGGUUUGAGUUUAUGUUUUAUAUUUGUAUUGUCCUAUGGUGCUCUCUGUGUCGCGCACACAUGAGGAAUUCUCGUUGUAGGGUGUUGCAAUAGAUUCAUGAUUCGCUUAUAGUGGGUGGCUAGAGUGACAAAGGCUUACACCAGAGUAAGGGGAUUGUUGCGUAUGGGAGUAAAGGGCACUUGGUGUUUAACGCUAUGGUUAGGUUUACCUUAAUGAUUUCUACUAGUUGGAGAUUAUUACUAGAGGUAUAAUCAUAAGUUCAUAUGUUCCAAGUAUUGAAAGUAUGUUAUCUCAUGCAUCUCCCUCAUAUAAAAUUGCAAGAAUGAUUACCGAUCUUGUUAUUAAUUUCUUAUGAAAAUUCCGCACACCAUAUUGUUAUUAUUCCACACCUGCUAUUUGUAAUAUAUUGUAAUAUAUUCUAACACUAUUUAGGCAAUGACUAUUUUCAUAUAUUUUUCUCCAAUAUGAUGCUAAGCUAUCCUCUUUAUACCCACAACACAAUUUUAUUUCUCAUUACUAGAUAGAAGCAACCGCUCGAUGUAUGUAGAGUCGUAUCGGUGGUAGAUAGGACUUGAAAGAAUAUUGAUCUUACCUUUAUCUCCUUCUAGGUUCGACACUCCAUACUUAUCACUUACAUCUUUGGAAAGUGCUAUGAUGAUUCCUUGCACUUGGGGAUUAUCAAGCUCUUUUCUGGCGCCGUUGUCGGGGAGCAAUAAUGUGGGGUUAAUAUUUCCGUUCAUGCUUGUUUGCUUGUAACACUAAGUAGAUUUUAUUUUUCUUUUGUUCGUGUUUUCUUAUUUUAUUUAUUUAUUUGUGGUGAAACAAACAAAAGAUUUAAAAAUUAAAAACACAUUUUUUACGUGUCUCUUAAAAGUGAAGCGAUUUUGGAAAGUUAUGCAUUGAAGAAGUGAGGGUCAACCUUGAACACUUGUGUUCAUGCUCAUGGAAACAAUGUAUAAUUUUUCAUGGAAGUUUCUCAUAAAAUAAUCAUUCCCUUAUAUUUACCACUGUAUCAUAAUAAUAAUAUAUUUUAUAAUAUUCAUGAUGGUCGUUUGCAUGUUUCAUCUACUAUUCUUAUGUGAGCAUCAUUGAUAUUAUCAUGCCUAGGUAAAAGGAUUUAAAUAAAAUCACUUAUACUUUCUUCUUUUGUGUGUUCAAAUGAUUAAGAUACUGUAGUAAUCAUGUUUUGCGUAUUUUAUUUCAAUAAUGUGCCAAGUAAAGCAUUUGGGAUGAUUUGGAUGAUAAUAGAUUUGAUCAUGUGCAAAAACAUAAACCAUUGCAUCUAGUGCAAAAUUUCUCUCAUUUCACCGGAACGUCUUUUUGAUCUGAAUUUUUUACACAGUAUAGGUAUACAAAUUCCCCGAUUUUUCCUAAUUUUUUAGAAUGUUUGGAGUUACAUAAGUAUUGUUUUUGUGAUGACCAUUAUAGAAUGUUCUGUUUUAGAUAGAUUAUGUUUUUGCUUGCAUAGUUUGCUUAUUUUGAUGAUGCUAUGGAUUAUAUCGGGGGGUAUAAGCCAUGGGAAAGUUAUAAUUUAGUAACUACUUAAAUAAUAAAUAUGAAUCAAUUUAUAACAGUUCCUAAAGUUUAUGAUUUGCCUCUUAUACUAACGGAUCUCAAGAGGUUUCUGUUUAGUUUUGUGUGAUUGAAGUUUUCAUGUUUUGGGUGAGAUACCAAUAUGAGGAGAAUAAGGAGUGUAAAGACCCUAAGCUUGGGGAUGCCCAAGGCACCCCAAGGUAAUAUCCAAGUAAUACCCAAGCGUCUAAGCUUGAGGAUGCCCCGGAAGGCAUCCCCUCUUUCAUCUCCAGCAUUAUCGGUAUAUCUUACUUGGAGCUAUAUUCUUAUUCACCACAUAAUAUGUGUUUUGCUUGGAGCGUCAUUUUAAUAUAUAUUUUUUAAAUUUGCUUGCUAUUAUUUAUAAUCCUGUUUUAAGUGAAAAGUUCCAAGAAUUGCCUUUAGAAUGCAUCAAUUGCAUGUGUGAGGGGUGCUGUAUGAAAACAUAAUUUUUUGUUGUAGUAUUUGAAUUAUAAGAUUUCAUUGGAACGUGGAAAGUUUCUGAAGUUUUUACACAGUAUUUUCAUACAAAUUAUUUAGCUUUUAAUAAAGUUUUAGAAAUUUUGGAGAUACAUAAGUACACUUUUUAAACCGAUUAGUACAUACUGUUCUGUUUGGACAAAUUGUUGUCAUAGUUUUGUUAUCUACUUAUCCUAGAGUUUUUAUGGCUUAUAUUGGUAGAUAUAAAUUGUGAAAAUGAUAGUAUACAAUAGCUAGUAUUUGAAAAUGAUUAUGAAACUUAUCUUGGGAGUACAUGAAGUGUUGAUUUAUUCUUUAUAUGUACUAACCUAUCUCAUGAAUUCUUUUCAAGUUUUGUGUGGAUGAAGUUUUUGAAACUUAGGUGAAACCGGGACAUGAGAGGAUUGAAAGGGAUACAAAAGCUCAAGAUUGGGGAUGACCAAGGCUCCCCAAUUAGAUAUUACAAGAAGUAUCAAGCAUCUAAGCUUGGGGAUGCUACGCAACCCUCCUCUCCUUGUCAAUAAUUAUCGCUUAGCUAAUGUUGAUCCUAAUUUUUCAUUCAUUCACAUGUGCUAUUCUUGGAACAUAUUUUGUGUUUAUUAUUCCCUUUUAUUUAUGCACCAUGCUGGUAUGAGAUAAUCCUUGGUUUAUUUAUAGAAUGCUUCGUGUGCUUCACUUAUAUAUUUUGAGCUUGGAUAUUGAUCUCUCUAUAUUCAUUGAAGAAGGCUCUAUGAACUUCACUUAUAUCUUUUUUAGAGUAGUUUGAUGAUCACUCUUGUGUUUCACUUAUAUCCUAAGAGAAAAUGUUGAAUGAAUUGAAUGUUAUAAAAUGUGAAAUUAUGUAUGCGUCGUAUGCUUGACCCAUGGGGAGUAGUGACUUCACAUGCUAAGAGUAUAAUCAAUAAAAUUUAUUGGAGGUUAGCAAACAUAGCAUUGGUCACUUGAACAAUUCAUGAAAGAAUAUUGAAGGAAGAUAUAUUUCACAUAUAAAUAUAUUAUCUUGGACAUCUUCUAUGAUUGUGAGCCCCCAUUAAUUAUUUUCAAACUUGAACAAGUAGUUGUCGUUGGACAAGGAAGACAACAUAAUGGUUAUGUUUGCUUAUAUUCACAUAGAAGUUAUAUUGUAAUGGAUCCUCUAACAUGUGGUUCUUGCUUUAGAUCCUUUGCUAGACCAAAAAUUCGCACUAAGUAGAGAUACUACUUGUGCAUCCAUAACCCUUAAGCCCAAUUUCUUGCCAUGAGAGUCCACCAUACCUACCUAUGGAUUGAAUAAGAUCCUUCAAGUAAGUUUUUGUUUGUGCACAAAGCAAUAAAAUUUGCUCCUAAACAUGCAUGAUCUUUUAUUGUAAGGGAAAAUAAGCUUUGUAUGAUCUUGCGAUGUUAAAGAAAUAAAAGCGACAGACUGCAUAAUAAAGUUUGCUAUCACAAGGGGCAAUAUAAAGUGAUGUUUCUUUUCAUUAAGAGAUUGCACAAAAAGCGCAUGACAACCUUUGCUUCCCUGUGCAAAGGGCCAAUCUUUUACUUUUAUGUAUUUAUACUUUUAAUUUUAUGCAAGAGUCAAUAAUGUUCAUCCCUACUCUAAUCUAUUAAUUCUUUAGUUGUCAAGCAUCAUGUAGUAGGGAAAUAUCCAGGCACAUAUCCAGUUGGAUAUAGGUGAUCAUGAUUCAUUAGACUUGACAUUAUCCCCGAGAUAAGUAAGUUGGGAGGCGGAACAUUAAACCCCUAUCUUCCUAUGUGUUUGAUUGAAAUUGCUUGUUCUAAAAUUAUGCUUUGAGUGUCAACAAUCAUGGAAGACUAAAUGAUAGUUGAGUAUGUGGAAUUCGCUAAAUCAAAGCUCUUACAUAGACCCUUCGUGAAAUAAGAUGAAUUGUAAUCAUUUGAUGAGUGUUGUCGGGGGGAUAACCCCGGGGUAGGCUCAUCAACCCUGUUCCUUCAUUUCCGGCCCAAUAGACAUAAAGAUAUGGAGAUUCCCAAGGACCAAGUCUUCUGACCGGCUAGGCAUCGCCUGCCGGCUGGAAGACGAGGUGGCCACCUCUCUAGCCGGCUAGGCAGCCCCUGUCGGCUAGAAUGCAGGCGGCCUCCCCUUCAGAGCCGGCCUGGUCCCGCCAGCCGGACUGGGGAGGAGGAGGCCACCCGCAAGCCGGCUGACCAAGCAGGCUAGCCGGCCGAGGAUCACCAGUCACAUCAGAUCGUAGGUCAGGAAAGGACCUCACGAUUUAAGGUAGCUACAUGUCAGCAAAGGUACUGAAUCAGGGCGCCCGACAGGUACGAGCGUCGGCGGCCACGCCGCUGACCUACCCCGGCUCUGAUCCAUCACCUAGCAUGAUGUCGGACCGUCACACUCCCACUCCAUUACUGCACUCGGCAUGGGGAACAGUGGAGGCGGUCGUACUGCCUGCCCAUGAAGAAUCUCGCGGGGCGACGCUCGACGUACAACGCGUGCUCAGCGUCAACCUUACGCGGGAGCCCCAUUGGCCAGUCGGCGGGUCCCACCAGCAAUCGAGACCAUGCAGCCGGCGGGCCCCUCAUCGACAAGACAAGACCCUUGUGGGCCCCUGGCAUCAGCACGGCUCCCGGCAAGGCCUCCAUAGGCGUUGGCGAGCCCUCUGCGGCCGCCGCUGAUACUCUUCGGGAUGCCAUCACCGGCCGGAAGACACCGGUCACCGCUUCCGCCGAUCCUGCAGACGCUCGGGCCUCACUGGAGGAGGCUCGCAAGCGUAUCUUGGAUGAGGGCAUCGCCGUGGCCUUGGCGAAACGUCGGUUGGAGGCUACACAUCGUGAGUAUAACUCCGCAUACGGUCUUACUCCGAUUUCCGAGGCCCCCAGCCAGCUUGGAUCGGUCCGCAGCCGUGGACGGUUUGUCACCGAGGUUCUAGGCGGGGAGCUGCCCACCUACGAGACUCCUGCGGCCAACAUGCGGGCAGCGCAGGCGGCCAUGGAGGAGAUGGCAAGCCUGGAAGGUGAGGAGAGCGCCUUCCAUGAGAAGCGUGUCAAGGAUCUCCUUGACGCCGCUAACCAGCAGCACGCUCGGUUCGACCCCGGCCAGGCUCAUCCAGAGUCCCCGGGACCGAACUCGGGGGCUCACCGCAACCCUAGCAGCCAGCACCACGUCGAAGGAUCUUCCUCGCAUCGCCCUUCCGGCGGGAGGGGCGAGGGAAGCCAAGGCCGGCGCUCGCAGCACCAGAGCGAGCACACUUCGGGCUUACGUCGCGGAGGCGACGAGGGCGACUCGGAGUACGGGGAUCUUCCCCCGCGAAGAACUCACGCCUCCGGCUCCCGAGGCGCCUCCCCUCUCGCCACCGGGGCUGGCGCCCCCGCCUCCUAGGACGAGCGGGACGCCCGCCGACGUAUCAUCGCCCUGGCCCAUUCGGCCCUCCUAGAGGAAUACGGACCCGUCGGUCCGGCUUGCUUCGGCCCCCGGAUCCGAGGGGAGCUGUUCCCCCGAGGUUUCACCCUGCCUCGGGAUACGCCGAAAUACAACGGCACGGCCAAGCCAAAAGACUGGUUGAUCGACUACACCACGGCCGUAGGCAUCGCCAGGGGCAACAAGCGCGUAGCGGUUUGCUAUGUGCCACUCAUGCUGGCUGGCACGGCCCGGACCUGGCUUAACAGCCUCCCGGUCGGCAGCGUCAACUCCUGGGUGGACUUCGAGGAGGCGUUCGUCCGCAACUUCACCGGCACCUACAAGCGCCCUGGUCGGCCCCGCGAGCUGGCCAUGUGCGUCCAGAAGGCUGACGAACCUCUCCGCGACUACGUCACCCGGUGGACGGAGCUCUACAACUCCUGUGAGGGGGUGCAUGAGGUACAAGCCAUCCAGUACUUCAUUGACGGAUGCCGAGACGGCACCCUCCUCAAGCACAAGCUCAUGUGCGCCGAGCCCACCUCUUUGGCGGUGCUCAUGGCCAAGGCGGACAAGUACGCCACGGCCGACUCCGCAAUGCGCAUCAAGGUGACCGCCUUGGACAAGGUUGUGCCUGCGCCGACUAAUCCCAAGCCGGCUGGGGACAACCGAGGCGGCCAGAACAACUACAAGCGCAAGGCGGAUCAGAUGGAUCCCCACUCCAACAACAAGCUAGUGGCCAACGUGGAGGGCGAGGCGUCGGCUUCCCAAGCCGGCCCUCCACGAAAGCGUUGCAAUCAGGGCAACCCCAACUGGCUGCCCAAGCAGUCUCUCGAGCAGCUGCUCGACGCCCCCUGCAAGAUACAUUCAGGGGCGACGCCGUCUACCCAUACCCUUCGACAGUGCAGCAUCGCACGCUGGCUGUCGCAAGGGGAGGGCAUGCCGGCUCCUCCGGGUGCGCACGCGGUGCCCCAUGCACCGGCUCCCCAUCACGCUCCGCUUCCGCCACCGCCGCCUCUCAAUGACGGUCCUCACCCUGAAGACUAUCCACAUCAAGACAGAGCGUUCGUCGUCUUCACCAGUGAAGGCGGCGACAAGCACAGCCUGCGCCAAAGGCGGCGCGAGGUAAACGCCACUGUCCCCGGUUCCCCAGUACAUGCAUUGGUCUGACAAACCAAUUACAUGGAGCCGGGUGGACCACCCGGCGGUGAUGCCCAAUCCAGGGUCAUACGCACUCCUCCUCGACCCCACCUUCGCCUCCAAGAGGCUCACCUGCCGAUUCUCCUGGUGCUGGUCGAUGGCGGCAGCAGCAUCAACAUCCUCUACCUCGACACUCUCCGCAAGCUCGGGCUCAAGGAGACGGACGUCCUGCCAACCAGCAUUGUCUUCCAUGGCAUCGUGCCUGGGCAGUCAUGCUCACCCGUUGGCAAGAUCCAGCUGGACGUCCUCUUUGGCGACAAGGCUCACUUCCGCCGAGAGUCCAUAUGGUUCGAGGUAGUGGACCUCAGUAGCCCGUACCACGCGCUGCUGGGGAGACCAGCUCUGGCCAAGUUCAUGGCUAUUCCGCACUACGCCUACCUAAAGAUGAAGAUGCCGGGUCCCAAGGGCAUCAUCACUGUCGUUGGCGACUACAAGAACUUGCUCGAUUGCGCCCAAGAUAGCAGCCGCCUCGCCGACGCCUUGGUGAUUGCCGAGGAGAAGCGGCGGAUCGACCGGCUCGUGGCCCAGGCUACCGAGCAGCCGGCGAUUCCUUCUCCUCCGUCCCAAUCGGCCGGCGAGGGCUCUUUCAAGCUGGCUAAAGAGACCAAGCAGGUCCCACUCGACCCUACCAACCCAAAGUAGUGCGUCACCAUCGGGGCUGGCCUCAGCCCCAAAUAGGAAGGCGAGCUCGUUGACUUCCUCCGUGAGAACCAGGACAUCUUUGCAUGGUCCCCCAAGGACAUGUCGGGCGUUCCGAGGAAGUACGCCGAGCACAAACUUCACGUGCGGCCGAAUGCAAAGCCGGUGAAACAACCUUUGCGCCGCUUCGCCGAGGUGAAGCGGCGCACAAUCGGAGAAGAGAUCACCCGGCUCCUUGCAGCCGGCUUCACCAUGGAGGUUUUCCACCCGGACUGGCUGGCGAACCCAGUCCUGGUGCUGAAGAAGAACAACACAUGGCGAAUGUGCAUCGACUACACUAGCCUGGAUAAGGCCUGUCCGAAAGACCCUUUCGCGUUUCCUAGGAUAGAUCAAGUGAUCGACUCCACUGCAGGCUGCGAACUGCUGUCAUUUCUGGAUGCUUAUUCAGGCUACCAUCAAAACAAGCUGGAUCCAGCUGAUCGCCUGAAGACCUCCUUCAUCACGCCCUUCGGGGUCUACUGCUACACCACCAUGACGUUCGGUCUGAAGAACGCAGGUGCGACGUUUCAACGCUGCAUGAGCAGUGCCUGCUGCCACAGAUUGGCAGAAACAUCCACGUCUAUGUGGAUGACAUCGUCGUCAAGACGAAGCAGCACUUCAGCCUCCUCGACGACCUGCGGGAGACAUUCGCCAAUCUGCGCGAAUACAAGAUCCGGCUCAACCCUGAGAAGUGCGUCUUCGGGGUCCCAUGCGGCAAACUCUUGGGGUUCUUCGUAUCCGCCCGCGGCAUCGAGGUGAACCCUGAGAAGAUCAACACCAUCGAGCGGAUGGUGUGGCCGGCUCGGAUCCUCGACGUCCAGAAGUUUGCCGGCUGCUUGGCAUCCCUCAGCCGGUUCGUCAGCCGGCUUGGCGAGAAGGCCCUUCCACUCUACCAGCUCAUGAAGAAUACGACGAAGUUCGAGUGGAGCGACCAAGCGGACGAAGCCUUCCGCGACCUCAAGCGGGUAAUCUCAAGCUUGCCAAUCUUGGCAGCCCCAUCUGAAAGGGAACCCAUACUCAUAUAUAUCGCGGCGACCACUCGCGUGGUCAGCGUAGUGUUGGUAGUUCAGCGUAAAGAGGAAGGCAAGGCCCUACCAGUACAGCGCCCUGUCUACUACCUUAGCGAGGUCUUGUCCGCCUCUAAGCAUAACUACCCUCAUUAUCAUAAAAUGUGUUAUGGCGUUUACCUUGCUGCAAAGAAAUUAAAACAAUACUUCCAAGAGCAUGCCAUCACUGUGGUGAGCACGGCUCCACUCUCAGAGAUCAUGGGCAACCGUGAUGCCACGGGCAGAAUUGCCAAAUGGUCCAUCGCCAUGGCGGACCAUGACAUUCGGUACGAGCCUCGCACCGCCAUCAAAUCACAGGUGGUGGCCGACUUCUUAGUCGACUGGGCCGAGACCCAGUUCGAGCCACCACCUCCAGACUCCAUGCAUUGGCGGAUGCACUUCGACGGUUCGAAGAUGCGGACAGGACUGGGAGCCGGCAUCAUCUUGACGUCCCCGAAAGGGGACCAGCUCAAGUACGCUCUCUAGAUCCAUUUCGCCGCCUCCAACAACGUCGCUGAGUACGAAGCACUAGCUCACGGCCUCCGGCUUGCCAAGGAGAUUGGCAUCCGGCGGCUCAUAUGCUUCGGUGAUUCGGACUUAGUGGUGCAGCAGGUCUCUGGCGAAUGCGACGCCAGGGACGCCAACAUGGCAAGCUACCGCUUCCUCAUCCAGCAACUCAGCGGCCCCUUCGAGGGUUGUGAGUUCCACCAUGUUCCAAGGGCGGAAAAUGAGGUGGCAGAUAUGCUGGCAAAGAUCGGCUCCACGAGGCAGGCCAUCCCAGCCGGCGUCUCCCUCGAGCAACUCCACAAGCCGUCUCCUGAGUCAGCAUCAAUCUUCGUACCGGCCGACUCUACAAUACAAGCGCCACCGGCUCCGCCAGUUAUGUCGGCCGUGGACCCCACGUCGGCUGCACUGACGGCACCGGCUCCAAAUGCGGCACCGACUGAAUCUAUGGUGCAAGCGUCGUCGGCUCCACCAACUACGCCGGCUUCGGAUCCUAAUCCGGCUCCAUUGGUCCAACCGACUCCAACAACGGCACCAGCUACAACGACAACCCCGGCUCUGCCCGGGCUCGAAUCCUCCUAGUGGGUGGACAUCAUGGAGAUAGACGAUGAGCCACCUGCAGCAAUAGCACCGGAGACGCCGUCAAGCUCGGGGGCUGCAGAAGCCCCCAACAGUCAAGACGAAGCAGAGGUGACCCUUGUGUCUGCUCCUUCAUGGGCUCAGGCCAUUCUGGCCUUCCUUCUUUGCGGCGAACUUCCUCAGAAUGAGGCGGAGGCGAGACAGACCCAGCGCAGGUCCGCCGCUUAGGCCAUCAACAAUCGCGAGCUGGUGCGACGCAGCACGACCGACGUGUUCCAACGCUGCGUCGAAUCAUAAAAAGGGCAGGAGAUCCUCAGAGACAUCCACCAGGGGGAGUGUGGGCAUCACGCCGCCUCCAGAACCCUGGUGGCCAAAGCAUUCCCCCAUGGAUUCUACUGGCCCACGGCCCUCGAGGAGGCUGUGGAUUUGGUGGGAAAAUGUGAAGGCUACCAACACUUCAGUGCACAAAGCCAUAUGCCGCCUUCAGCGCUGAAAACCAUUCCCUUAUCAUGGCCAUUCGCCGUCUGGGGGCUGGACAUGGUAGGGCCCUUCAAGACGGCUCGCGGAGGGAUGACACAUCUUCUGGUAGCCGUCGACAAGUUCACCAAGUGGAUCAAAGCCAGGCCUAUCAAGAAGCUUGACAGACCCACUACUGUCAGGUUUAUCACGGACAUCUCUGUCUGAUAUGGCGUUCCCCACAGCAUCAUCACCGACAACGGCACCAACUUCGCCAAGGGCGCCCUGCACUCUACUGUUCCAAGGUAGGCAUCCGGCUCGACCUGGCCUCAGUGGCACACCCUCAGUCAAACGGCCAAGCGGAGAGGGCCAACGGCCUGAUCCUAGCCGGCAUCAAGCCAAGACUGGUGGCACCACUGGUCAGGUCAGCCGACUGCUGGAUUGAAGAACUGCCGGCUGUACUAUGGAGCCUCCGCACCACGCCCAACUGGUCGACCGGCUUCACUCCAUUCUUUCUGGUAUAUGGGUCCGUGGCUAUUAUCCCCACAGAUGUCGAGUUCGACUAGCCUCGGGUCACCCUAUACACAGAGACAGAGGCGAAGGAGGCUAGAGAAGAUGGUGUGGAUCUCCUCGAAGAAGCGAGGGACUUGGCUUUGAGCCGGACGGCCAUCUACCAACAGAAGCUGAGGUACUACCACGGCAAAAGGAUCAGGCCUCUCUCUUUCACAGAGGGAGAUUUGGUCCUCAGAAGAAUCCAGCGCACUACCGGCCAACACAAGCUCUCACCCCCCUGGGAGGGACCCUUCAUCAUCAGUAGGGCGCUACACAACAACGCUUACUACCUGAUUGACGCCCAGAAGCCAAGGAAGCGCAAGAGGGACGACUCUGGCCAAGAGACGGAGCGCCCAUGGAACGCGGCGUUGCUUCGCCCAUUCUAUUGCUAAAAGGCAGAAGACAAGCAAAGGAAAGAGCAUGCACAUGUAUCUUCCUCCCUCUUCAGGGAACAACAAAGGCAAUAAAAAGAACAUGCUCCAUGUUUCUUUUUGUCAAGAGUUUUCACUCAGUGUACGGGCUACACAGCGUACCACCUCUUGCCGGCUUAAUCAAGCUCGGAGGCUACACAACGCGGCCCCUUGCUAGCUUUAAACAAGCUCGGGGGCUCGCCAGCCGCCUGAAUGGUCCACCCUUGUAGUCGGGCACAUAGUGUACCGGCUGAAUCCUGGUCCUUCACUUGAGCCUGCGGGCUGGCUCCGGUCGCUCGGUUCGCGAAGUGACGCCAGGUCAGGCCGAAUACAUGCACAGUCCGGCUAUACUUGGGACGACCGGCUCGGGCCGGCUCGAUCGUACAUACGAUCUCAUUCAAGACUCAAGACGGCCUCUGACUGCCGGAAACAACAAAUAUGAUUAAAAAACAGGCUCCAUGCUUUCUCUUGCUAAAACAGUUUUCACUCAGUGUACGGGCUACACUGCGUACCACCUCUUGCUGGCUUAAUCAAGCUCGGAGGCUACGCAACGCGGCCCCUUGCCAGCUUUAAACAAGCUCGGGGGCUCGCUAGCCGCUCGGACGGUCAAUCCUUGUAGUCAGGCACAUACUGUACCGGCUGAUUCCCGGUCCUUCGCUUGAACCUGCAGGCUGGCUCCGGUCUCUCGGUUUGCGAUGUGACGCCGGGUCAGGUCGAAUACAUGCACAGUCCGGUUAUACUAGUGACGACCGGCUCGAGUUGGUUCAUUCAAGCCGGCCUCCGAUUGGCUUAUGUCUUGUUCUUUACGUCUUGAUGGCUUCGGAUAAGAGAAGUCAACCAGGAAUCAAAAGACGGGAUCAUAAGACAACACGCUUGGUGACAAAUAUAAUGCUGAAUAUAUACAUUCAUAAAAAGCAUUGGCCCACGGCCCACGUUCGUUACAUCCCUCCGGGGGUAGAACCAAAAACACAAAAGGGCGCCAGUUACGGGACAGCGGCCUCAGGGGUCGUCUUGGCUGCUGCUCCUGAUGUGGUAGCAUCGCCGCCUCCGGCUCCUCCCGAGGUGGAUGCGCCGUCUCCCCCGUUGCGGCCCCUGGCUCCGCUUAUCCCGGAAUCGGCGUACACCCCACCGCUGGAGGCGGCUGCAGAUUCCGCAGCCCGGACCACCUCAUCGGAACUGCCGUCGGCGUCAUAGGGCUGAAGGCCGUGCAGAUCUUCAGCGAUCACACCGCCGUCUUCACCCCGCUCCAAGACGAAGUCAUCCCAGGUUGCGUAAUCGGCGACGGCGCUGGCUCUCACCCGGAGCUCCUCCUCCAUGCCUUGCAGCUCCGCCUCUGAGCCGUCGCGCUAGGCAGCCAGCUUGCCCAAGUUCAAAUUGCGAUACCAUGACUUGGCCAAGCGCAGGGCCAUAUAAGCCCCAGACCGCGCUACGGAGGCACGCCAGGCGUCCAGGCGCUCUCCACCCACUACGAGCCAGCGGGCAAGCUGGCUCAUGGUCGUCGGCUCCACACCCUCCGGCCACACGACCGCCACCAUCGACGAACCUGCAACCUGGAGCCGAGUCACACACUCGCCCAGGACGUGCAGGCGGGCCUGAAGGCCCACCCCGAUCUCCUCUAUGCUCCAGCCGGAGGUAGUAUCCACCUCCUGCCCAGCCCGCGGCGCUCCUCACGGCACACCUCAACAGCGGUGUCAGCUGCGACCUGCGUCUCGGAGAAGAGAUCUGGGGUAAAGGCAGCCGGACGUAAGAACACAGCAAGAGGAGGAGACAGCCAAAAGACCAAACACAAAACAAGGAAAAGAGACUCACGCUAGAAGGCGUCGUCGGUCUCAUGAAAGACCUCGAGGACCUUGCGCUCCCGCACCUCACUUGCAUGAGUGAGGCGGGCGAUUUCCUCCUGGAGGGUCGCGGCGGACGCCAGCGCCUUAGCCAGCUGCGCUUGCUUCUGGGUAAGGGCUUCGUCCUUCACCCUCAAGGCGGCGUCCUUGAGGUUCGCCUCCUCAAGUUGGAGCGACUCGAGGCGGUACACGUCGGCAGAGUAGGAGGCCUCCUUCUCCUGCAGCAUGGCCCGCAGCCGCUCCAACUCGACCCGGCCGACCGCCUCGAGCUCCUUCUUCUCCGCCUGAAGAAGGUCCAGCUGCUCUUGGAGCCGGCCGCCGGCUUCGCGCAGGGCAUCACGCUCCGUGGCAGCCUCACCCAGCCGGGCUUCAAGCUCGGCGAUCCGGCUAUCAGCCCCCAGGUGCUGGUCCCGAAGCUCGUUGUACGCCUGUACCUGAGCAUCGUAAAGCGCCUGCCAAAGGGGAGAGAAAGGAAACAGGAGUAAGAUUCGACCUGGUUAAAAGCAUAACCAACCCGAUUCUUGGGGGCUACACCCAGUGGGUGCGCUUGCGCGCCCCCACUGAAGAAAAAUAUGCAGAGAAAAAGGCCUCCAAGAGAUUCGGACCGGUUGGCAAUCAACCCGCCUGAUUCUCGGGGGCUACACCCAGUGGGUGCGCUGUCGCGCCCCCACUGACGUCAAGAGAAGAGAAAAAAGCGCAAAUAAAAACAGGCAAGGCAUACCUCGGUGUGGGCUUCCAGGCGCUCCAUGUCGCCGCAUACCACGUGGGCCGCCUGCUCCACCUUCGAUCGGCCGCUGUCAAAGAGUGUCACCAGCUCCGGCAUGUCGGAAAGAACGGUGCCGGCGGGCAUUCGCAGGCAGGCCGAGUUCGCCGCCCACCAUGACUUCAUGGGCCGGCUCUCAGGCCGGUCCCCUGCCCUCGGCGCGUCAGGGCCCUGCUGGGGGACGACGAUGGCGCCGGCUCGAGCGCCGUCCCAGCCGGCGCUACCUCCUCCGCAGGAGGCGGAUGAGCCGCGUCCAACGCACCCAUGGUCUCCCCUGGGACAUCAGGGGCCGCGUCUGGCGUGGUCAGAUCCAGCACCGGCGCGUCAGGAGCUGCUUCGACCCGGGGAGAAACCGGGAUCAUCUCCGGGUCCACCUGCUCCGGGGCUGCCGGCUCAGAUGGAUGGGCCCCUUCGGUCCUCGGGGCCGGCCUGGAGGCGGCCUCGCUAGCUGGCUCCUCCACACGGGCAUGUGCGGAGGGGUCCUGUCUAUCCUUCGCACGCUUCUCCGUCGGCCUCUCGACCCGGCUAGGGCAAGGCUGACCUACGGCGGUCUUCCGUGCGGCCGUGUCCCACCUGUGCUUGGAUUCUAUCUCGAGCUCCCUAUCGGCAGCAUCAGCUGCUGCCCAGCCGGCCCGCUCGGCUGCGGAGGCGGUGUCUUCAUCCGCAUCCUCCGCUUCCCUGUCAAGCCAAGCUUCUCAGGAACAAAGUUCAUCUCAAAAUAUGAAAGGGAGAUGAGGAGGAAACCAUACCCUGCAACUACCGGGACCUGCCUCCGGCCACCGCCACGGCGCCUCUUGGCGCCGUCUGCUCGCUGCCCAGCUGGAGGACCCAGCGCCAGUCACUUAGAGGCCGGCCGGGAAGCUGUGGCACCCUUGCCCUUCUUCACGGUUGCCUCGUCAGCAGCGGUCGCUCCGCCACCUUGACGCCGGCCGCGCGACGGUAGUGGGCCGGUGACCACCUCCACCUCGUCGGGGUCUCCCUCAAAGGCUGCAUCAGAGCAGAAUGAGGCUUCCUCAUCGUCGUCCGUCUAGUCUGCUAGGGCGUGUCGUGGGUACUCACCAGACGGCUCGGUCCCUUCCGACUCCAGGGGAUCUCCCGUGCCGGCGGAGGAGUCUGAGCGGGGCUCCAUCGCAUCCUCAUCCUCCAUCUCGGAGGCGCCGGACGCCUCCACGUCAGGAGCAGGCUGAGGAAGGGACCCCUGCAGGGUCUUGAACAUCUACAAGAAAGGAAUUCAACCAGGCUCAGCAAAUGCCACCGACUUCAAAACAAAACGACAGAAAAGACGGGAGUAAGGCUACCAUCGGAGGCGGAUGAGCCCGGUUGAACGGGGACAUCCCCCAUGUCCAGUCCCCGCCCUCAUCCAUGCGGGCGGUGGAGAUCAGGUUCACCCUUCGCGCUACCGCACCCGGGAUGAACCUCUUGAUGGACAGCUGGCAUGGAUCAAGCCGACCGCUCAUCUGGCAGACCAGAUGCGGCCGCCUCUGCAGAGGCAGAAUCCGGCGGACCACCAUGGUGGCGAGAAGGUCAUGGCCGAGGAGGCCGCUCUCCCUCAAGAUAUCGAGGUGGGCGCGAAUAAGCUCCACCUCAGGAUGCGGCUUGGGAGUCUUCGCGUCCCAGUUCUGCCGCGUCGGAGGGGCGAUGGCGAACGGGGGCAUGUUGAGGGCGUCCUGGGCCGGGUCGGUGCUCCUCACGUAGAAGAACCCCUUCUGCCAAUGCUUGAUGGAGUCCUGCAAAUGUAUCUGGGGGAAGCCGGACUUCGGGCGGUGAUGCACCAAUGCGGCCCCUUGAGCUUCUCCACCUCGGAUUUCUCCAUGGCGAUGGAUUGCUGCUUAAAUAAGAACAGGCUGCGCCACAGAUCGACGCGAGGCUCGAUCCCCACGAAGCCCUCGCACAGGACCACGAAGGCGGCCGGCUGCAGUAUGGCGUUCGGCGCCAGAUGAUGCGGCUGCAGGCCGAAGAACUGGAGCCACUCAGCGAAGAAAGAGCUAGCCGGGAGCCUGAAACCCCGGUAGAAGUGCUCGGCGAAGACCACAACCUCUCCCGCGACAGGUGCGGGAGAGGCCUCGGAGCCAGGAAGGCGCACCGACACUUGGGAGGCCGGGGGCAGCAGACGAUGAUGACAGAGCGCAUCGAUGAGCUCCUCGUCGACAUCGCUGCCCAGCCAGGCCCCCUGCAAGGACGCCUGCUGCGCAGACGACUUCUUCGAGGAAGAUCCAUCGGCCAUGGUUGCGGGUGGUGAGAGCUCGAAGCCGUCGGCGGAGGUCUCGGCGGCAAAGAAGCAGGAGACGAAGGGCGCGAGCUCUUCUUCUCAGGACACAAGGAGGAAGAAAGCACGGAGCAGGGCGAGAAGAGGGGGCGAAUGGCCUCCUCGAAACCCUCGCGUCCCAUUUAAACCCCACGAAGCAUCGUGGGGAGGGGAUCCGGUGCGCGCCGGGCCCCAUUAAUUCCGUGUAUUACGGGUGGUAACGCCCCCCUAAGCCCAACCGUCGCGGAGUAAAUCUGCAGAAGAUCUCCCGCGCGGAGGCCGAGAGGGCGUCGUAGCAGGACACAGGGCCCAGGCCCGGUCCGGUCAGCAGUAAUCGCCAUCAUUACGCCAGGCGGGGCCUGGCACGUGGCGUACUUCGGGCCUGUUACGACCGAACGAGGCGUCGCUUCGAAGCUACCCGGCUCCGAAGUCGGCGUCCUUCGCCGCAAACAACAGCCAAAGUAUCAAGACAAGACAACAAGCCGGUGAGGCCGCCCGCCCGCAGGCGGCAGACCUCGCCAGCUUCGGGGACUACUGUCGGGGGGAUAACCCUGGGGUAGGCUCAUCAAGCAUGUUCCUUCAUUUCCGGCCCAAUAGACAUAAAGAUAUGGAGAUUCCCAAGGCCCAAGUCUUCUGACCGGCUAGGCAUCGCCUGCCGGUUGGAAGACGAGGCGGCCACCUCUCUAGCCGGCCAGGCAGCCCCUGCCGGCUAGAAUGCAGGCGGCCUCUCCUUCAGAGUCGGCCUGGUCCCGCUAGACGGACUCGGGAGGAGGCGGCCACCCGCAAGUCGGCUGACCAAGCAGGCUAGCCGGCCGAGGAUCACCAGUCACAUCAGAUCGUAGGUCAGGAAAGGACCUCACGAUUAAAGGUAGCUACGCGUCAGCAAAGGUACUGAAUCAGGGCGCCCGGCAGGUACGAGUGUCGGCGGCCACGCCGCUGACCUACCCCGGCUCUGAUCCAUCACCUAGCAUGAUGUCGGACCGUCACACUCCCACUCCAUUACUGCACUCGGAGUGGGGAACAGUGGAGGCGGUNNNNNNNNNNNNNNNNNNNNNNNNNNNNNNNNNNNNNNNNNNNNNNNNNNNNNNNNNNNNNNNNNNNNNNNNNNNNNNNNNNNNNNNNNNNNNNNNNNNNNNNNNNNNNNNNNNNNNNNNNNNNNNNNNNNNNNNNNNNNNNNNNNNNNNNNNNNNNNNNNNNNNNNNNNNNNNNNNNNNNNNNNNNNNNNNNNNNNNNNNNNNNNNNNNNNNNNNNNNNNNNNNNNNNNNNNNNNNNNNNNNNNNNNNNNNNNNNNNNNNNNNNNNNNNNNNNNNNNNNNNNNNNNNNNNNNNNNNNNNNNNNNNNNNNNNNNNNNNNNNNNNNNNNNNNNNNNNNNNNNNNNNNNNNNNNNNNNNNNNNNNNNNNNNNNNNNNNNNNNNNNNNNNNNNNNNNNNNNNNNNNNNNNNNNNNNNNNNNNNNNNNNNNNNNNNNNNNNNNNNNNACCCCCCCCCCCCCGGCCGCCCCCCAUGCAAGGAGGCCGAUCACUUGCCAGUCAUUCAACACUACACACUCACCAACCAACAGAGAGCGAGGUAGAGACGAGCCGGCUGCUCCCCUCUUCCUCCUCCCAACACAGCUCCAGGAGCAACCUUGUACUCUGUUCCCAUACAUCAAACACACCAGCAGGAUUAGGGGUAUUAUCUCUACGGAGAGCCCUGAACCUGGGUACAUCGUACGUCCCAUGCGUGUACCAACCUCGUUCCCAGCGCCCACCUUUGUCCCUACGGUUCUCAUCGACUUUAGCCUACCUAUGGCAUAUGUUGUGAGUAUUCACCGACAAGUGUAAACAUAGUUUGCUAGUUUUCAAGAAAGUUUAUGGUCUAUAGUUUAACAUGUGAAUAGCUUGUUACUUGAUCAUGAGAGUUCCAUGAGAAAAGAGUUGCUCUUUUAUGAUGCUAGAAAAAGUGAUUGGAAAUAAGAUUGAUCAAACUUAUAUACUAUGCUAGCAUUCACACUUCAUAAAUUAUUUCUUUUAUCAUUUACCUACUCGAGGACGAGUAGGAAUUAAGCUUGGGGAUGCUGAUACGUCUCCAAUGUAUCGAUAAUUUAUGAAGUAUUUAUGAAAUAUUCACCUAUAUUUACAAUACUUUUAUAUGACUUUGAUGCACUUUUGUGAUUUAAUUACAACUAACCCGGACUGACAUUGUUUUCAGUAGAAUUAUCAUGGUGUCAUUUUUUGUGCAGAAAAUGAAAGUUCUCAUAAUCAUCCAAAACUUUUUGAUGAAUUUUUUUGGAACAUAUGAGCAGCAUUCGUGUGGCCAACACAACACCCACAUGGGGUCAAAGUGCCAUGUGAAAGGACGUGGAUGUCGCCUAGAGGGGGGGUGAAUAGGCGCUUUAAAAUAAUUAUGGUUUAGGCUUGAACAAAUGCGGAAUAAAACUAAGGUUUAAUUUGUCAAGCACAAAACCUACAACAACUAGGCUCACCUAUGUGCACCAACAACUUAUGCUAAGCAAGAGAAUUAACUAAGUGAUAGAAAGAUAUAUGACAAUAAACAAUAUGGCUAUCAUAAAGUAAAGUGCAUAAGUAAAGGGUUCGGGUAAGAGAUAACCGAGGCACACGGAGAUGAUGAUGUAUCCCGAAGUUCACACCCUUGCGGAUGCUAAUAUCCGUUGGAGCGGUGUGGAGGCACAAUGCUCCCCAAGAUGCCACUAAGGCCACUGUAAUCUCCUCACGCCCUCGCACAAUGCAAGAUGCUGUGAUUCCACUAAGGGACCCUUGAGGGCAGUCACUGAACCCGUACAAAUGGAAACCCUUGGGGGCGGUUACCGAUACCCGUACAAAUUGCUCGGCACAAUCUCCACAACCUAAUUGGAGACCCCGAUGCUUGCCCGGAGCUUUACACCACAAUGAUUGAGCUCCAAGACACCACCAAGCUUCUAGGACGCCAAAGCAUCCACGAAGAACAAUCUCUAGGGUACUAAGUACCAAAAGGUAAUAGGGCUUCUCAAACUUCACUUCCACGUAUCACCGUGGAGAACUCAAACCGAUGCAACUCAUGCAAUGGCAAGAACACACAAAGUGGUCAAGUCCCUCGCACUCAAAUCCCUCCAAAACAACAAAAGCUAUGGAGAAAUAUGAGAGGAAGAACAAGGAGCUCACAAAGAACUCCAAGAUCUAGAUCCAAGGGGUUCCCCUCACAUAGAGGAGAAAGUGAUUGGUGGAGAUGUGGAUCUAGAUCUCCUCUCUCUUUUCCCUCAAGAACAAGCAAGAAUCAUUGGAGGGAUUGAGAGUUAGCAAGCUCUAAGAAGGUCAACAAUGGGGGAAGAACACGAGCUCAAUAGAUAAGAUUUUGCAAGGGGGAAGAAGACGCCCUUUAUAUAGUGGGGGAAGGAAUCAGACCGUUACCCCCACUUACAGCCCGAGCCCAGCGGUACUACCGCUGUCUGCAGCGGUACUACCGCUGACCCUCCAGGGGUACUACCGCUGAGCCCAUGGUAGCGCAAAGAUACUACCGGGGCAACCACCGCCAAGAAAGUCUUCGCAAAAAGUCCGAAGAAGUACAACCGCAAGGAUGACGGUACUAAAGUCUUGGAGCGGUACUACCGCUGACCAGGGGUGGUACUACCGCUAGGACAGCGGUACUACCGCCAGCUCUAGCGGUACUAUCGCUAGGGCCAGUGGUACUACCGCCAGCUCCAGCGGUACUACCGCUCGCCACUGAAACACCCAUAACUUUCGCAUACGAGCUCCGAAUCGAGCAAACCCAAGCUUGUUGGAUUCAGGACGACAAGAGCUAUCCAAACAGCCAAUGAUAUAUAGAUGUGAGACCUCUAUGAAUGAAUAAACGGCAAAAACUCCAACAUCUAAAACAUCAUAGUAGAUGCAUAUGGACUCCGUUUUCGAUGAACUCGAGCUUGUCAUGAAGAUGACCAUAAGCUCUAAAACUCACAAAGAGAAACGCCAAAUAAGAACCAAGAAUUAUGAUGCAAGGAUGAAAAUGGUUUGAGCUCUCAACGAACGAUACGAUCAAGCUACUCACUUGAGAGCUCCCCUUGACAGUACAACAUUCUAUCCUAAAACAGAACACCAAUCAAGGGCAAACCUAUACCUUGCACCUCGACCUCUUGAGCUAGAUGAUGAUGAUCUUGGCUUCCUCAAGAUGGACCACCUUUCUUGAUUGCGUUGGCUUGAUGAAGACUAGUUGAUUGCUCCCCCAUACUCACUAGGGGUGAGCCACUCUUCAGCAUAUCUUCACAAGUCCAUUGCCACCACAAUGGACGGCAAGCUUCAAGCAUGAUAUAUUCGUGCUGAUCCACUUGAACUUGCACACCGCAAUCUUGAUGACGAUCACCACUUGACGUCGUCCUUCAUGGGUUGAAUGAGAUCUUCCUUUUGACGCAAGCCCAUGGAAACACACCUAACCCCCACAUAGACCUCUCACGAAGACCAUGGGUUAGUACACAAACACGUAAUGGACAAUGCUUACCAUACCAUGGGAUCACUUGAUCCCUCUCGGUACAUCUUGUAUGCUUUGUGUGUUGAUCAUCUUGAUUUACUCUUUGUCUGAGAUCUUGAUCAACCUUGUGUCUCUAUGACCAUUCUUUGGAUAAUACCUUGAAUACCAUCUUGGUCAUCAUAUAAACUCCUUGAACCCAACAGAUGGACUUCAAGAAGUGCCUAUGGACAAAUCCUAUAAAUAUAACUUAAGGCAACCAUUAGUCCAUAGGAAUUUUCAUCAAUUACCAAAACCACAUAUGGAGAUAUAUGCUCUAACAAUCUCCCCCAUUUUGGUAAUUGAUAACAACCACUUCAAGAGAGUUUAUAUAAGGAAAUAAGCAUAACCAAGUGCACACAUACAAAGCAAUAAUGCAUGCGUGCAAGAUGUAAAUGCUUACGCAAUAAAAGCAAAACCAUGUAAACAUAUCCAAAGUAAACUCUCUAAACUUCUCCCCCAUUGGCAUCGAUUGCCAAAAUGGACGAAAAGUUUAGAAAGCCAAUAUAGUAGGUGGUCCUCCAAAAAGUGUGUACUUAUCAGGAAAUGGGUGCAAAGAAAUACACAAAUACAAUGAUAAGUAGUUGGAGGAAAACAAACUAUAUUGAGGACCCAAAGAUUGCAAAUAAAAGGGUCGUAUGCCACAAAGACAUACAAAAACAGAGGCAAGCAAUCAAAAGAUACCAUAUGGAACACACAAUCAUAUGGUCCUUCGAACCACAUGAAUAAAAGAUAUUAUGAUAAAGGCAACAGAGUGUUUUAUCAAAACUAGAGAAGCUCCCCAUGAUUUGUGCACUAAUACAAGAUUUUUGUAUUUGAUACAAGUGCACAAAAUAGGAUCGUUGCUUCCCCAAAAUUAAUAAAAAAACACAACGAGUGCAAGAGGAUAGAUGAGACAGUAAGCAUAUCACUUUCACAAAACAAAUGGUUGAGCAACAUGUAAAAGAAGCAACUUAAGAAUAGGCUCAACCAAAAUAAUGUGUGUGAGUCAUGGCAAAGCACUUGAGAAGACUAAGAUAAGGAUGAACAUUACUCAUCAACAUAGUCUUGAUGAAAUGAGACACAAAGUGCAAGACAUAUCAUUCCCACACACACAUACUAGAAAAUGGGUUCACAAGCUUACUAAUAAACAAAAAAGGAAGCAACGCUUGUGACAACCGAUGGUGAAGAUAGGAACUAAGAACCUUGUCAAGAAGAGGGAUAUCAAUCGAAAUGGCAAAACCCUCAUCAAGACAAGCAUGAGGAAAAAUAAUCUCCACGGCCAAAGAGUGCAUCAAGAUGUAGGAAAAUAAGAUACGUACUCAAGAAAAAUCCUUUCACAAAGCCACGCCUAGGGGGAUUGUGGCCUCCCCUGGUGGCCUCUGCCUUGGUUCUCACAUCCCCUGCGUAUCUUCUGUUCCGGAAAAAAUCUUUUCGGAAGUUUUAUUCCGUUUGGACACCGUUUAAAAUUCUCCUCUGAAAAGGGUGAAAAACACGGAAAAACAGGAACUGACACUUGGCACUGAGUUAAUAAGUUAGUCCCAAAAAAGAUAUAAAAGGCAUACAAAACAUCCAAUGUUUGAAAAGAUAAUAGCAUGGAACCAUAAAAAAUUAUAGAUACGUUGGAGACGUAUCAAGCAUCCCCAAGCUUAACUCCAUCUCGUCCUCGAGUAGGGAAGUGAUAAAGACUGAUUUUUUUAUGUGGAAUGCUACCUAGCAUAGUUGUCCUUUGUAACUUCUUUCAUGUGACAUGAAUGUUCAGAUCCGUAAGAUUCAAAACAAUAGUUUGCUAUUGCCAUGAAAACAAUAAUACUUCAAGCAAACUAGCAAGGUAAUCAUGAACUUUCAAAAUAACAAGGCCAAAGAAAGUUAUCCCUACAAAAUCAUAUAGUCUGGCUAUGCUCCAUCAUCCCCACACAACUAAUUUAAAUCAUGCACAACCCCGGUAUUGGCCAAGUAAUUCUUUUCGCACUCUUACUUUCUCAAACCUUUUUCAACUCUCACGCAAUACAUGAGCGUGAGCCAUGGAUAUAGCACUAUGGUGGAAUAGAGUGUGGUGGAGGUUGUGAGACAAAAAGGAGGAGAUGGUCACAUUGACUCGGCGUAUCAAAGGACUAUGGAGAUGCCCAUUAAUAGAUAUCAAUGUGAAUGAGUAGGGAUUGCCAUACAAAGGAUGCACUAGAGCUAUAAGUAUGUGAAAGCUCAAAAGGAGAACUAGUGGGUGUGCAUCCAACUUGCUUGCUCACGAAGACCUAGGGCAAUUUUGAGGAAGCCCAUCAUUGGAAUAUACAAGCCAAGUUAUAUAAUAAAGAUUCCCACUAGUAUAUGGUGGUGACAAAACGAGAGGCUCUCAAUCAUGAAGAACAUGGUGCUAUUAUGAAGCACAAGUGUGCAAAGAGAUAGUAGCAUUGUCCCUUCUCUCUUUUUCUCUCCUUUUUUUGUUUGGGCUCUUUGGCCUCUUUCCAUAUCUCUCUCUCCUUUUUUUCCUCACAUGGGACAAUGCUCUAAUAAUGAUGAUCAUCACACUUUUAUUUACUCACAACUCAAAGCUUAGAAUGAUGAUGACUCUAUAGGAAAUGCCUCCGGCAGUGUACCGGGAUGUGCAACGAUCUAGCUUGGCGUAUGACGUUGAAACAUCUCGCUAGCUAUCUUACGAUCAUGCAAUGGCAGUAUGAGAGUGACGACACAAGUCAUGAGACGGAACGAUGGGAGUUGCAUGGCAAUAUAUCUCGGAAUGGCUAUGAAAAUGCCAUACUAGGUAGAUAUGGUGGCUGUUUUGAGGAAGGCAUAUGGUGGGUUUGUGCACCGGUGAAAAUUGCGUGGUACUAGAGAGGCUAGCAACGGUGGAAGGUGCAAGUGCAUUUAUACCAUGGACUCACAUUAGUAAUGAAGAACUCACAUACUUGUUGUGAAAUUUUUUAUUAGUAAUCGAAACAAAGUGCUAAACGCAUACUCCUAGGGGAAGGGUUGGUAGGUGUUAACCAUCGCGUGAUCCCGACCGCAACACAAAGGAUGACUAUCAAUAGAUCAAUUAUGCUCCGACUUCCUAACAUAGUGGUUCACCAUACGUGCAUGUUACAGGAAUCAUAAACUUCAACACAAGUAUUUCUAGAUUCACAACACCCUACUAACAUAACUCUUAAUAUUACCAAAUCCAUGUCUCAAAACUAAUUGAGAGGAAUCAAACUUCUCUUUCUAAUCAAUACACAUGAAGAUGGAAGUUUUAUUGUAUCCUCUUUGGGUACCUAUCACCUUUGGGACUACUUUCAUAGCACAAGCCAACUACCAAGUUACACACCGUCGUGCUCUAAAAGAUCUAAGUGAAGCACAUAGAGCAAAAUUAUCUAGCUCAAAAGAUAUAAGUGAAGCACAUGUGAGCUAAAUUGCCUAACUCAAAAGAUAUAAGCGAAUCUCAACGAGUAUUCUAGCAAAUUCACGAUGAGUACAUGUCUCUCUCAAAAGGUGUGCAACAAGGAUGAAUGUGACACAACAAAAAGAAAAGACUCCUAUGCUACAAGACGCUCCAAGCAAAACACAUAUCAUGUGGUGAAUAAAAAUAUAGCUCCAAGUAAUGUUACCGAUGGAUUGAAGAUGAAAGAGGGAAUACCUUCCCGGGCCAUCCCCAAGCUUAGGCUUUUUGGUGUCCUUGAAUUUGGCUUGGGAUACCUUGGGCAUCCCCAAGCUUGAGAUCUUUCCACUCUUUAUCCCUUUGUCCAUGAGAACAUCACCCAAAACUAGAAAACUUCACAACACAAAACGUAAACAGAAACUCGUGAUANNNNNNNNNNNNNNNNNNNNNNNNNNNNNNNNNNNNNNNNNNNNNNNNNNNNNNNNNNNNNNNNNNNNNNNNNNNNNNNNNNNNNNNNNNNNNNNNNNNNNNNNNNNNNNNNNNNNNNNNNNNNNNNNNNNNNNNNNNNNNNNNNNNNNNNNNNNNNNNNNNNNNNNNNNNNNNNNNNNNNNNNNNNNNNNNNNNNNNNNNNNNNNNNNNNNNNNNNNNNNNNNNNNNNNNNNNNNNNNNNNNNNNNNNNNNNNNNNNNNNNNNNNNNNNNNNNNNNNNNNNNNNNNNNNNNNNNNNNNNNNNNNNNNNNNNNNNNNNNNNNNNNNNNNNNNNNNNNNNNNNNNNNNNNNNNNNNNNNNNNNUCCAUAGUUUCAUCAAAACAAGCAAUCAACACAACAAAAACAGAAUCUGUCAAAAACAGACCAGUCUGUAGCAAUCUGUAUACUUUGUAUACUUAUGGUAUCUCAAUAAUUCUGAAAACUUACGACAGCCUGGGAAAAAGGCAUAUCAACCAUCGGCAAAAAGAAUCAACUCAAAAUAUCUUUUUGAAUAAAAAUGAAAAAUAAUUUCGUGAGCGAAAAGUUUCUGUCCUUUUCCAGCAGGAUCAAACAACCAUCACCAAAACUAGUCAUAAAGGUUUUGCUUGGCUCAAACACAAAAAGAAACACAAAAGACACAAUCAUAACAGAAUUAUGAUGGUGUGUAUGCAACAAAAUAGAAAUAAAACAAUAAAUUAAUUGGGUUGCCUCCCAACAAGCGCUAUUGUUUAAUGCCCUUAGCUAGGCAUAAGACGAUAGAAUCACGUAUCAUCGUCUUUGGUGCUCAAACCAUAAGUAGCCCUCAUCAUAGAUUCAUAAGGCAAUCUUAUUUUAUUUCUAGGAAAAUGCUCCAUGCCCUUCUUUAAAGGAAAUUGAAAUCUAAUAUUCCCUUCCUUCAUAUCGAUGAUAGCACCAAUAGUCCUUAGGAAAGGUCUACCAAGAAUGAUAGGGCAUGUAGGAUUUCAAUCAAUAUCAAGCACAAUGAAAUCCACGGGUACAUAGUUCCUAUUUGCAAUAAUAAGAACAUCAUUGAUCCUUCCCAUAGGUUUCUUGACAAUGGAAUCCGCAAGAUGCAAAUUAAGAGAACACUCCUCAAUCUCAUUAAAGCCUAGAACAUCACAUAAAGACUUUGGAAUCGCGGAAACACUAGCACCCAAAUCACACCAAGCAUUGCAUUCAUAGUUUUUGAUUUUGAUUUUGAUAGUAGGUUCCCACUCAUCAUGAAUCUUUAUAGGAAUAGAAACUUCCAACUCAAGUGUCUCUUCAAGAGAUUUUAUCAUAGCAUCGACGAUAUGAUCGGUAAAGGCCUUGUUUUGGCUAUAAGCGUGUGGAGAGUUUAGCAUGGAUUGCAUCAAGGAAAUGCAUUCAAUCAAAGAGCAACUAUUAUAAUUGAAUUCCUUGAAAUCCAAAGUAGUAGUUUCAUUACUACUCAAAGUUUUAAUAUCUUCUACUCCACUUUCAAUGCUUUUAGCAUCAAGAUAGAUGGACUCUGAAUCAUUGGGGCGUUUUUCAACCAAAGUGGAUUCAUAUCCAGCCCCAUAAUCAUUAGGUUUGUCACAAGAAAACAAAGAUUCAAUGGGAGUCACACCAAGCACUUUAAGUUCUUCAUGAUUCUCAUCACAAAUUUCAAGUUUAGCACUAUUUUAUUGACUAAGGUAGCAUGUUUAUCAGAAAUCUGGCCUACCAAUUUUUUAAGACGAGCAAACUGAGAAUUUAGCGCAAGGAAUUAUUUGGCCAUAUCAUCAACUUCUUUAUUCAUAAAAGCCAAAAAAGAAUUUUGCUCCUUCAGUUCCCUACGGAAGUAACUGUUAUAAUCAAACUGUGUAGACAUGAAGCCUUUAACACAAGCUUCAAUCUCUUCCAACCUCUCAUAGUAAGCAUCAAAAUCCCUUGGUUGGGCCAUAUAGGUCUUAGCAGGCAGACAAGCGAACAGAAAACAAGCGAGAGAAAAGGGCGAACGAAAAAAGGCAAAUAUUUUUGUAAAUUUUUGUUUUUCAGAAGUGGGGGAGAGGAAAACGAGAGGCAAAAAAAGUAAAUGCAAGACAUGAGUUUGCGACACUUACUGGGAUGAGCUUCACCUAGAAUAAUCCCCGGUGCCAGAAAUUGACACGUUGACGGGAGACUAUUCUUGACUUGAUCCUCCCCGGCAACGGCGCCAUAAAUCCUUCUGCUGCCUCUUGAGCUUGCGUUGGUUUUCUCUUGAAGAGGAAAGGGUGACGCAACACAGUAGCAGUAAGUAUUUCCCUCAGUUUUGAGAACCAAGGUAUCAAUCCAGUAGGAGAAUCGAGCCAAGUGUCUAGAGUACCUGCGCAAACACAAACGAGCUUGCAUCCAACGCUAUAAAGGGGUUGUCAAUCCCUUCAAGAUUGAUUGCAAAGUGAGAUCUGAAGGCGGAAAGUGCAACAAAGUAAAAGUGUAAGGCUGAAAAUAUGAUGUGAAGUAGACCCGGGGCCAUAGUGUUCACUAGAGGCUUCUCUCAAAAUAGCAAAUAUUACGGUCGGUGAACAAAUUACUGUCGAGCAAUUGAUAGAACCGCGCAUAAUCAUGACGAUAUCUAAGGCAAUGAUCAUACAUAUAGGCAUCACGUCCGAGACAAGUAGACCGAUACUUUCUGCAUCUACUACUAUUACUCCACACAUCGACCGCUAUCCAGCAUGCAUCUAGUGUAUUGAGUUCAUGACGAACAGAGUAAUGCCUUAAGCAAGAUGACAUGAUGUAGAGGGAUAAACUCAAACCAAUGAUGUAAACCCCAUCUUUUUACCAUUGAUGGCAACAACACGAUACGUGCCUUGCUACCCCUUCUGUCACUGGGUGAGGUCACCGCACGGUAUGAACCCAAAACCAAGCACUUCUCCCAUUGCAAGAAUCAUAGAUCAAGUUGGCCAAACAAAACCCACAACUCGAAGAGAAUUACAAGGAUAUGAAAUCAUGCAUAUAAGAGAUCAGAAGAAACUCAAAUAAGAUUCAUAGUUAAUCUGAUCAUAAAUCCACAAUUCAUCGGAUCUCGACAAACAUACCGCAAAAGAAGAUUACAUCGGAUAGAUCUCCAUGAAGAUCAUGGAGAACUUUGUAUUGAAGAUCCAAGAGAGAGAAGAAGCCAUCUAGCUACUAGCUAUGGACCCGAAGGUCUAUGGUGACCACUCACGCAUCAUCGGAGAGGCAAUGGUGUUGAUGAAUGAUACGUCUCAAACGUAUCUAUAAUUUUUGAUGGUUUCAUGCUGUUACCUUGUCAUCUUUGGAUGUUUUAUGUACCUUUUAUAUCUUUUUGGGACUAACUUAUUAAUUCAGUGCCAAGUGCCAGUUCCUGUUUUUUCUGUGUUUUUGGCUCUUUUCAGAUCUGAUUUUGGAACGGAGUCCAAACGGAAUAAAAUCCCCGAAAUAAAAUUUUCCCGAAUGGAAGAAGAUCAGGGGGCUUGAGGGCCAAGCCAGGGGAGCUACAGGGGGCCCACAAGCCCUGUAGCCGCCACCAGGGGGGCGACGGCUAGCAGGCUUGUGGCCUUCCUGGCGCCCGCCUGAUCUAGCUCCUUCGCCUACAUAUUCCCUAAAAUACAGAAAAAAAUCAGGGAAUCCACGAAAACACUUUUUCGUCGCCGCAAGCUUCCGUUUCCGCGAGAUCUCAUCUGGAGACCCUUCCCGGUGCCCUGCCAGAGGGGACUUUGGAGUUGGAGGGCUUUUACAUCAACAUCAUCGCCCCUCCAAUGACUCGUGAGUAGUUCACUUCAGACCUACGGGUCCGUAGUUAGUAGCUAGANNNNNNNNNNNNNNNNNNNNNNNNNNNNNNNNNNNNNNNNNNNNNNNNNNNNNNNNNNNNNNNNNNNNNNNNNNNNNNNNNNNNNNNNNNNNNNNNNNNNNNNNNNNNNNNNNNNNNNNNNNNNNNNNNNNNNNNNNNNNNNNNNNNNNNNNNNNNNNNNNNNNNNNNGUCUGCACACUUAAGGUUUGACGUUGUUUUAUGCGUAUUUGAGUUAUAUGGUUGGUUACCGAAUGUUGUUCGGAGUCCCGGAUGAGAUCACGGACGUCACGAGGGUUUCCGGAAUGGUCCAGAAACGAAGAUUGAUAUAUAGGAUGACCUCAUUUGAUUACCGGAAGGUUUUCGGAGUUACCGGGAAUGUACCGGGAAUGACGAAUGGGUUCCGGGAGUUCACCGGGGGGGCAACCCACCCCGGGGAAGCCCAUAGGCCUUGGGGGACACACACCAGCCCUUAGUGGGCUGGUGGGACAGCCCACAAGUGCCCUAUGCGCCAAGUAGAAGAAAAUCAAGAGAGGAAGAAAAAAAAAGGAGGAAGUGGGAAGGAAGGGGGACUCCCUCCCACCAAACCUAGUCCAACUCGGUUUGGGGGGGGAGAGUCCUCCCCCUUGGACUCGGCCGACCCCCUUGGGGCUCCUUGAGCCCCAAGGCAAGGCCCCCUCCCUCCCACCUAUAUAUACAGAGGUUUUAGGGCUGAUUUGAGACGACUUUUCCACGGCAGCCCGACCACAUACCUCCACGGUUUUUCCUCUAGAUCGCGUUUCUGCGGAGCUCGGGCGGAGCCCUGCUGAGACAAGGUAAUCACCAACCUCCGAAACACCAUCACGCUGAAGGAGAACUCUUCUACCUCUCCGUCUCUCUUGCUGGAUCAAGAAGGCCGAGAUCAUCGUCGAGCUGUACUUGUGCUGAACGCGGAGGUGCCGUCCGUUCGGUACUAGAUCGUGGGACUGAUUGCGGGAUUGUUCGCGGGGCGGAUCGAGAGACGUGAGGACGUUCCACUACAUCAACCGCGUUCUCUAACGCUUCUGUUGUACGGUCUACAAGGGUACGUAGAUCACUCAUCCCCUCUCGUAGAUGUACAUCACCAUGAUAGGUCUUCGUGCGCGUAGGAAAAAUUUUGUUUCCCAUGCGACGUUCCCCAACAGUGGCAUCAUGAGCUAGGUUCAUGCGUAGAUGUCUUCUCGAGUAGAACACAAAUGUUUUUGUGGGCGGUGAUGUGCGUUUUGCUGCCCUCCUUAGUCUUUUCUUGAUUCCGCGGUAUUGUUGGAUUGAAGCGGCCUGGACCGACAUUACUCGUACGCUUACGAGAGACUGGUUUCAUCGUUACGAGUAACCCCCUUUGCUCAAAGAUGACUGGCAAGUGUCGGUUUCUCCAACUUUAGUUGAAUCGGAUUUGACCGAGGAGGUCCUUGGAUGAGGUUAAAUAGCAACUCAUAUAUCUCCGUUGUGGUGUUUGCGUAAGUAAGAUGCGAUCCUACUAGAUACCCUUGGUCACCACGUAAAACAUGCAACAACAAAAUUAGAGGACGUCUAACUUGUUUUUGCAGGGUAUGAUUGUGAUGUGAUAUGGCCAACGAUGUGAUGUGAUAUAUUGGAUGUAUGAGAUGAUCAUGUUGUAAUAGAAAUAUCGACUUGCACGUCGAUGGUACGGCAACCGGCAGGAGCCAUAGGGUUGUCUUUAUACUAACGUUUGUGCUUGCAGAUGCGUUUACUAUUUUGCUAGGAUGUAGCUUUAGUAGUAAUAGCAUAAGUAGCACGACAACCCCGAUGGCAACACGUUGAUGGAUGAUCAUGGUGUGGCGCCGGUGACAAGAAGAUCGUGCCGGUGCUUUGGUGAUGGAGAUCAAGAAGCACGUGAUGAUGGCCAUAUCAUGUCACUUAUGAAUUGCAUGUGAUGUUAAUCCUUUUAUGCACCAUAUUUUGCUUAGAACGACGGUAGCAUUAUGAGGUUAUCUCUCAUUAAAAUUUCAAGACGAAAUUGUGUUCUCCCGACUGUGCACCGUUGCUACAGUUCGUCGUUUCGAGACACCACGUGAUGAUCGGGUGUGAUAGACUCAACGUUCACAUACAACAGGUGCAAAACAGUUGCGCACGCGGAACACUCGGGUUAAGCUUGACGAGCCUAGCAUGUGCAGACAUGGCCUCGGAACACAUGAGACCGAAAGGUCGACCAUGAAUCAUAUAGUUGAUAUGAUUAGCAUAGGGAUGCUUACCACUGAAACUAUACUCAACUCACGUGAUGAUCGGACUUGGGAUAGUGUAAGUGGAUCAUGAACCGCUCAAAUGACUAGAGAGAUGUACUUUUUGAGUGGGAGUUUAGCAUAUAAUUUGAUUAAGUUGAACUCUAAUUAUCUUGAACAUAGUCUAAAUCCACUUUGAAUAUAUUUGUGUUGUAGAUCAUGGCUCACGCGACAGUCAUCCUGAAUUUUAAUACGUUCCUAGAGAAAGCUAAGUUGAAAGAUGAUGGAAGCAACUUUGUAGACUGGGCUCGUAAUCUUAAGCUAAUCUUACAAGCUGGGAAGAAGGAUUAUGUCCUUAAUGCUGCGCUAGGAGAUGAACCACCCGCUACGGCUGAUCAGGAUGUUAAGAACGCUUGGUUAGCACGUAAGGAGGACUACUCAAUAGUUCAAUGUGCAGUCUUGUAUGGCUUAGAACCGGGACUUCAACGUCGCUUUGAGCGUCAUGGAGCAUUUGAGAUGUUCCAGGAGUUGAAGUUUAUCUUUCAGAAGAACGCCCGGAUCGAGAGGUAUGAGACCUCCGAUAAAUUCUAUGCUUGCAAGAUGGAGGAAAACUCGUCUGUCAGUGAACAUGUGCUCAAAAUGUCUGGGUACUCAAACCGUCUAGUUGAGCUGGGGAUUGAACUCCCGCAAGAGGCUAUCACUGACAGAAUCCUUCAAUCACUGCCGCCAAGAUAUAAAGGCUUUGUGUUGAACUACAACAUGGAAGGGAUGAACAAGUCUCCCGGCGAGUUGUUUGCGAUGUUGAAAGUCGCAGAGUCUGAACUCCGUAAAGAGCAUCAAGUGUUGAUGGUGAAUAAGACCACUAGUUUCAAGAGAAACGGCAAAGGCAAGAAGGGCAAUUCGAAGAAGAGCGGUAAGCCUGUUGCCAAUCCGACGAAGAAACCCAAAGAUGGACCUAAGCCUGAAACAGAGUGUUACUAUUGCAAGAGUAUGGGUCAGUGGAAGCGCAAUUGCCCCAAGUAUCUGGCAGAUAAGAAGGCGGCCAAAGAAAAAUCAGGUAUAUUUGAUAUAUAUGUUAUUGAUGUGUACUUAACCGGCUCUCGUAGUAGUGCCUGGGUAUUCGAUACCGGUUCUGUUGCUCAUAUUUGCAACUCGAAACAGGAACUGCGGAAUAGACGAAGGCUGGCGAAAGAUGAAGUGACGAUGCGCGUAGGAAAUGGUUCCAUGGUUGAUGCAAUCGCCGUCGGCACAGUUUCACUUCAGUUACCAUCAGGAUUAGUUAUGAACUUAAAUCAUUGUUAUUUAGUGCCUGCGUUGAGCAUGAACAUUAUAUCUGGAUCUUGUUUAUUGCGAGACGGUUACUGUUUUAAGUCAGAGAAUAAUGGUUGUUCUAUUUCUAUGAGUAACAUCUUUUAUGGUCAUGCACCCAAUGUGAGAGGAUUGUUCAUACUGAAUCUUGAUAGUGAUACACACAUACAUAACAUUGAGACCAAAAGAGUUAGAGUUAACAAUGAUAGCGCCAUAUUUUUAUGGCACUGCCGCUUAGGUCAUAUUGGUGUAAAGCGCAUGAAGAAACUCCAUGCCGAUGGACUUUUGGAGUCACUUGACUUUGAUUCACUUGACACGUGCGAACCAUGCCUCAUGGGCAAGAUGACUAAGACUCCGUUCUCCGGAACAAUGGAGCGUGAAAGUGACUUGUUGGAAAUCAUACAUACCGAUGUGUGUGAUCCGAUGAGCGUAGAGGCAUGCGGCGGAUAUCGUUAUUUUCUCACCUUCAGUGACGAUUUGAGUAGAUAUGGUUAUGUCUACUUAAUGAAGCACAAGUCUGAAACAUUUGAAAAGUUCAAGCAAUUUCAGAGUGAAGUGGAAAAUCAUCAUAACAAGAAGAUCAAGUUCCUACGGUCUGAUCGUGGGGGUGAAUAUCUGAGUUUUGAGUUUGGUGCUCACUUAAGACAAUGUGGAAUUGUUUCACAGUUAACAGUGCCUGGAACACCACAGCGUAAUGGUGUGUCCGAACGUCGUAAUCGUACUUUGUUAGAGAUGGUGCGAUCUAUGAUGUCUCUUACUGAUUUGCCGUUAUCAUUUUGGGGUUAUGCAUUAGAAACAGCUGCAUUCACUUUAAAUAGGGCACCAUCAAAAUCUGUUGAGACGACACCAUACGAACUGUGGUAUGGCAAAAGGCCAAAGUUGUCGUUUCUUAAAGUUUGGGGAUGUGAUGCUUAUGUCAAAAAGCUUCAGCCUGAAAAGCUGGAACCCAAAGCGGAAAAAUGCGUCUUCAUAGGUUACCCAAAAGAGACAGUUGGGUACACCUUCUAUCUCAAAUCCGAGGGCAAAGUGUUUGUUGCUAAGAACAGAACUUUUCUCGAGAAGGAGUUUCUCUCGAGAGAAUUGAGUGGGAGGAAGAUAGAACUUGACGAGGUUGUCGAACCUCUCAUCCCUCUGGAUGGUGGCGCAGGGCAAGGGGAAACCUCUGUCGUUGCGACACCGGUUGAGGAGGAAGUUAAUGAUGAUGAUCAUGAAACUCCAGUUCAAGUUUCUGUUGAACCACGCAGGUCGACGAGAUCACGCGCUGCUCCAGAGUGGUACGGUAAUCCCGUCUUAUCAAUCAUGUUGUUGGACAACAAUGAACCUGCAAAUUAUGAAGAAGCAAUGGUGGGCCCAGAUUCCAACAAAUGGCUAGAAGCCAUGAAAUCCGAGAUAGGAUCCAUGUAUGAGAACAAAGUGUGGACUUUGGAGAUACUACCUGAGGGCCGCAAGGCUAUUCAGAAUAAAUGGAUCUUUAAGAAGAAGACGGACGCUGACGGUAAUGUGACCGUUUAUAAAGCUCGACUUGUGGCAAAGGGUUUUUCACAAGUUCCAGGAGUUGACUACGAUGAGACUUUCUCACCCGUAGCGAUGCUUAAGUCCGUCAGAAUCAUGUUAGCAAUAGUUGCAUUUUUCGAUUAUGAAAUCUGGCAGAUGGAUGUCAAAACGGCUUCCUUAACGGUUUCCUUAAGGAAGAGUUGUAUAUGAUGCAACCCGAAGGUUUUGUCGAUCCUAAGAAUGCUAACAAGGUGUGCAAGCUCCAGCGAUCCAUUUAUGGACUGGUGCAAGCAUCUCGGAGUUGGAACAAACGCUUUGAUGAGGUGAUCAAAGCAUUUGGGUUUAUACAAGUGGUUGGAGAAUCUUGUAUUUACAAGAAAGUGAGUGGGAGCUCUGUGGCGUUUCUAAUAUUAUAUGUGGAUGACAUAUUACUGAUUGGAAACAACGUAGAGUUUUUGGAGAGCAUAAAAGGUUACUUGAAUAAAAGUUUCUCUAUGAAGGACCUAGGAGAAGCUGCUUACAUUCUAGGCAUUAAGAUCUAUAGGGAUAGAUCAAAACGCCUGAUAGGACUUUCACAAAGCACAUACCUUGAUAAAGUUUUGAAGAGGUUCAAAAUGGAACAGUCCAAGAAAGGGUUCUUGCCAGUUUUACAAGGUACGAGAUUGAGUAAGACUCAGUGCCCAGCAACUGAUGAAGAUAGAGAGCAUAUGCGCUCCGUCCCCUAUGCUUCAGCCAUAGGUUCUAUCAUGUAUGCGAUGCUGUGCACUAGACCGGAUGUUAGCCUGGCCAUAAGUAUGGCAGGUAGGUUCCAGAGUAAUCCAGGAGUGGAUCACUGGACAGCGGUCAAGAAUAUCCUGAAGUACCUGAAAAGGACUAAGGAGAUGUUUCUCGUGUAUGGAGGUGACGAAGAGCUCGCCGUAAAAGGUUACGUCGAUGCAAGCUUUGACACAGAUCCGGACGACUCUAAGUCACAAACCAGAUACGUAUUUAUUCUUAAUGGGGGUGCAGUAAGCUGGUGCAGUUCCAAGCAAAGCGUCGUAGAAGAUUCUACAUGUGAAGCGGAGUACAUGGUUGCCUCGGAGGCGGCUAAGGAGGGUGUCUGGAUGAAGCAGUUCAUGACGGAUAUUGGAGUGGUGCCAAGCGCACUGCAUCCAAUAACCUUGUUCUGUGACAACACUGGUGCCAUUGCCUUAGCAAAGGAACCACGGUUUCACAAGAAGACCAGACACAUCAAACGACGCUUCAACCUCAUCCGCGACUACGUCGAGGAAGAGGACGUAAAUAUAUGCAAAGUGCACACGAAUCUGAAUGUAGCAGACCCGCUGACUAAACCUCUUCCACGACCAAAACAUGAUCGACACCAGAACUGUAUGGGUGUUAGAUUUAUUACAAUGUAAUUCACAUGGUGAUGUGAGGGCUAGAUUAUUGACUCUAGUGCAAGUGGGAGACUGUUGGAAUUAUGCCCUAGAGGCAAUAAUAAAUAUAGUUAUUAUUAUAAUUCCUGUAUCAAGAUAAUAGUUUAUUAUCCAUGCUAUAAUUGUAUUGAAUGAAGACUCAUUUACAUGUGUGGAUACAUAGACAAAACACCGUCCCUAGCAUGCCUCUAGUUGGCUAGCCAGUUGGUCAAUGAUAGUCAGUGUCUUCUGAUUAUGAACAAGGUGUUGUUGCUUGAUAACUGGAUCACGUCAUUGGGAGAAUCACGUGAUGGACUAGACCCAAACUAAUAAACAUAGCAUGUUGAUCGUGUCAUUUUGUUGCUACUGUUUUCUGCGUGUCAAGUAUUUAUUCCUAUGACCAUGAGAUCAUAUAACUCACUGACACCGGAGGAAUGCUUUGUGUGUAUCAAACGUCGCAACGUAACUGGGUGACUAUAAAGAUGCUCUACAGGUAUCUCCGAAGGUGUUAGUUGAGUUAGUAUGGAUCAAGACUGGGAUUUGUCACUCCGUGUGACGGAGAGGUAUCUCGGGGCCCACUCGGUAAUACAACAUCACACACAAGCCUUGCAAGCAAUGUAACUUAGUGUAAGUUGCGGGAUCUUGUAUUACGGAACGAGUAAAGAGACUUGCCGGUAAACGAGAUUGAAAUAGGUAUGCGGAUACUGACGAUCGAAUCUCGGGCAAGUAACAUACCGAAGGACAAAGGGAAUGACAUACGGGAUUAUAUGAAUCCUUGGCACUGAGGUUCAAACGAUAAGAUCUUCGUAGAAUAUGUAGGAUCCAAUAUGGGCAUCCAGGUCCCGCUAUUGGAUAUUGACCGAGGAGUCUCUCGGGUCAUGUCUACAUAGUUCUCGAACCCGCAGGGUCUGCACACUUAAGGUUNNNNNNNNNNNNNNNNNNNNNNNNNNNNNNNNNNNNNNNNNNNNNNNNNNNNNNNNNNNNNNNNNNNNNNNNNNNNNNNNNNNNNNNNNNNNNNNNNNNNNNNNNNNNNNNNNNNNNNNNNNNNNNNNNNNNNNNNNNNNNNNNNNNNNNNNNNNNNNNNNNNNNNNNNNNNNNNNNNNNNNNNNNNNNNNNNNNNNNNNNNNNNNNNNNNNNNNNNNNNNNNNNNNNNNNNNNNNNNNNNNNNNNNNNNNNNNNNNNNNNNNNNNNNNNNNNNNNNNNNNNNNNNNNNNNNNNNNNNNNNNNNNNNNNNNNNNNNNNNNNNNNNNNNNNNNNNNNNNNNNNNNNNNNNNNNNNNNNNNNNNNNNNNNNNNNNNNNNNNNNNNNNNNNNNNNNNNNNNNNNNNNNNNNNNNNNNNNNNNNNNNNNNNNNNNNNNNNNNNNNNNNNNNNNNNNNNNNNNNNNNNNNNNNNNNNNNNNNNNNNNNNNNNNNNNNNNNNNNNNNNNNNNNNNNNNNNNNNNNNNNNNNNNNNNNNNNNNNNNNNNNNNNNNNNNNNNNNNNNNNNNNNNNNNNNNNNNNNNNNNNNNNNNNNNNNNNNNNNNNNNNNNNNNNNNNNGCUUUUUGUGUUUGUGCAAGCACUUGUGAUACUCCUUCACUGGAUCGAUACCUUGGUUCUCAAAACUAAGGGAAAUACUUACCACCGCUGCGCUACAUCACCCUUUACGCUUCAAGGGAACACCAACGCAAGGCUCCAAGGCCGCGGGGAAAUCCUUUGCAUAUUUGCCUAGGAAGUCCCUAAAGGCGUAGCUGUAGCAGAAGGAUUCCUGGUGCCGUUGCUAAGGAGAAUCAAGACAAGAAUAGUCUCUCGUUAGUAUGUGUUUCUAGCGCCGUUGGAAGGUCUUUUGUUGCAGUAGCAGAAGUAUUUCUGGCGCCGUUGUCGGGGAAGGAGAGAUCUAUCCAAGUAGGUCUCACAAACUCAUCUCUUGCAUUUACUUUUUUUGCCAGUUGCCUCUCGUUUUCCUUUCCCCCACUUCACAUUUGCCGUUUUCAUUUGCCUUUCUCCUUUGUCGUUUUCAUUUGCCUUUUUCCGUUUGCCUUUUUCGUUCGCCCUUUUCUCUCGCUUGCUUUCUGUUCGCUUGUGUGCCAUGUGCCUUCAAUAUGCUUGCAUCUUCGCUUGCUGAAAAUCUAGUGAUAUGGAUCCUCAUCCACUUGCUAAUCUCUUUAAGAGAUCCAAUUAUGUUGAUCGAAUUGCUAGUGAGUUGAGUGCACUUGACUAUAUUUAUGGAGUUUUGCUUGAGCUGCGUGAAUCUGAAAAUUGUGAGGAAGAAUGAAGUGAUUCACGAGGGCUCCUUGGAUGAAAAGCAUGAUUGCAAUGGUUUCACUAUAAAUUCUAUUAGUGACAAUCAUGCUAAAAAUAUGCAAAACCCUAAGCUUGGGGAUGCUAGUUUUGCUAUGUCCACUACUUGUUGCAAUGAUCAUGAGUGGGGCGAUGUUUUUUCUUAUGAUCUUGAAAAUUUGUUUAAGCCUCAUGAUGAAUAUGAUAUUUGCAAUAUUAUUGAAAGUGGGUUUGGAGACGUCAUGACUUUAGUUGAUGAUAAUCCCACUAUUUUUAAAGAGCAUCAACUUUGCAUGCAUGUGGAUCAUGAAAAGAAUAUCCUAUGUGAUAGUUAUAUUGUUGAAUUCGAAUAUGAUCCCACAUGUAAUUAUUAUGAGAGAGGAAAAUAUGGUGGUAGAAACUUUCAUACCACUAAAUCACCUCUCGUUAUGUUGAAAUUGCUCUUGUCUCUUUCUUCUUCCUUGCAUUUGGUAACUAUUGGCUGUCUUGCCAAUUUGUUUUCCUAUAAAAUGCCUAUGCAUAGGAAGUAUGUUAGACUUAGAUGUGAUUAUCACAUGCUUUAUGAUGCUCUCGUUGUGCUUCAAUUCUUUUCUUUUGUGUGGGCAUCAUUGAAUUAUCAAUGCCUAGCUAAGGGCGAUAAACAAUAACGCUUGUUGGGAGGCACCCCAACGAAUCUAUCAUUUUUCUUUCUGUUUUAUGUUUUCCACACUUUCAUAAUUCUGUUAUGAUUGUGUUUUUUGUGUUUCUUUUUGCGUUUGUGCCAAGCAAAACCGUUAUGAUUAGUCUUGGGAUGAUCGUUUGGUCAUGCUGGAAAAGACAGAAACUUUCUGCUCACGAAAAGAAUUUUUUUAUGUAAGAGCUUUUGAGUUGAUUCUUUUGCUGCUAAUUGCUACGCAAAUUCUUCAGACUGUCCUAAUUUUUCAGAAUUUUUGAAGUACCAGAAGUAUACGAAGUAUACAGAUUGCUACAGACUGGUCUGCUGUUAACAAAUUAUGUUUUUGUUGUGUUGGUUGCUUAUUUUGAUGAAACUAUGGAUAGUAUCGGGGGGUAUUAGCCAAGGAAGAUUGAAAAUACAGUAACCCAACAUCAGCAUAAGUAGAAUUUAAGUUUGCUACAUUACCUAAGGAAGUGGUGGUUUGCUUUCUUAUACUAAUGUUAUCACGAGUUUCUGUUUAAGUUUCGUGUUGUGAAGUUUUCAAGUUUUGGGCGAAGUUCUUAUGGACAAAGAGAUAAAGAGUGGAAAGAGCUCCAGCUUGGGGAUGCCCAAGGCACCCCAAGAGAUUCAAGGAUGUCGUAAAAGCCUAAGCUUGGGGAUGCCCCGGGAAGGCAUCCCCUCUUUCGUCUUCAAAUCCAUCGGUAACGUUACUUGGGGCUAUAUUUUUAUUCACCACAUGUUAUGUGUUUUGCUUGGAGCGUCCUGUAUCGUAGGAGUCUUUUAUUUUUGUUGUGUCACAAUCAUCCUUGCUGCACACCUAGAGAGAGAGACAUGCACUCACCGUGAUUUUGUCGAGCUUCACUUAUAUCCUUUGGUAGACAAUUUAGCUCACAUGUGCUUCACUUAUAUCUUUUGAGCUAGUUGAUUUUUCUCUAUGUGCUUCACUUAUAUCUUUUAUAGCACAGCGGUGUGUGGCUUGGUAGUUGAUCUACGCUUUGAAAGUAGUCUCAAAAGGGGUAGUUAUCCAAAGGGAUAUGAAAACUUCCACCUUCAUGUGCAUUGAAUAGUUAGAGAAGUUUGAUUCAUCUCAAUUAGUUUUGAGUUGUGGUUGUGGUAAUAUUGAAGUUAUGCUAGUAAGGUGUUGUGGAUCUAGAAAUACUUGUGUUGAAGUUAGUGAUUCCCGUAGCAUGCACGUAUGGUGAACCGCUAUGUGAUGAAGUCUGAGCAUGAUUAGUCUUUUGAUUGUCAUCCUUUGUGUGGCGGUCGGGAUCGCGCGAUAGUUUACACCUACCAACCCUUCCCCUAGGAGUAUGCGUUGAAUGCUUUGUUUCGAUUGCUAAUAAAACUUUUGCAACAAGUAUAUGAGUUCUUCAUGACUAAUGUUGAGUCCAUGGUUUAGAUGCACUUUCACCUUCCACCAUCACUAUCUUCUUAGUGUCGUGCAACUUUCGCCGGUGCACAAAACCCACCAUUGGCCUCCCUCAAAACAGCCACCAUACCUACCUACUAUGGCUUGUCCAAAGUCAUUCCGAGAUAUAUUGCCAUGCAACUACCACCAUGACAUGUGUCACCACUUCUACAUUGCCAUUGCAUGAUCGUAAGAUAGCUAGCAUGAUGUUUCCAUUAAUGUCUAUGCCAUGCUAGAUCAUUGUCAUGGUACACUACCGAAGGCUUUCCAUAUAGAGUCAUCAUUGCUCUAAGUUUUGAGUUAUAAGUCUGUUGAUCAUCAUUGAUGGAGCAUUGUCCCAUGUGAGGAAAUAAAAGAGGCCAAAGAUGCCCACCAAAAAAAGAGGCCAAAGAGCCCACCAAAAAUGAGAGAAAAAUAGAGAAGGGACAAUGCUACUAUCCUUCCACACUUGUGCUUAUUAAGCACCAUGAUCUUCAUGAUUGAGAGUCUCUCAUUUUGUCACCACCAUAUAGCUAGUGGGAAAUUUUCGUUAUAUAACUUGGCUUGUAUAUUCCAAUGAUAGGCUUCCUCAAAUUUGCCUUAGGUCUUCGUGAGCAAGCAAGUUGGAUGCACACCCACUAUUUUUCUUUAAGAGCUUUCACAUACUCUUAGCUCUAGUGCAUCAUUUGUAUGGCAAUCCCUACUCAUUCACAUUGAUAUCUAUUGAUGAGAAUCUCCACAGCUCAUUGAUAUGCCUAGUUAAUGUGAUCAUCUUCUCCUUGUUUGUCUUGCAACCUCCACCACACUCCACACCACUUAUAGUGCUAAAACCAUGGCUCACGCUCAUGUAUUGCGUGAGAGUUGAAAAGGUUUGAGAAAGUAAAGGUGUGAAAACAAUUACUUGGCCAAUACCGGGGUUGUGCAUGAUUUAAAUUCGUUGUGCAAUGAUGAUAGAGCAUAGCCACACUAUAUGCUUUUGUAGGGAUAACUUUCUUUUGGCCUUGUUAUUUUGAAAGUUCAUGAUUACCUUGCUAGUUUGCUUGAAUUAUUAUUGUUUCCACGUCAAUAGCAAACUAUUGUUUUGAAUCUAAUGGAUCUGAACAUUCACGUCACAUAAGAGGAGUUACAAAGGACAUCUAUGCUAGGUAGCAUGAAAGCAUCAAAAAUUCAUUCUUUAUCACUUCCCUACUCGAGGACGAGCAGGAGUUAAGCUUGGGGAUGCUUGAUACGUCUCAAACGUAUCUAUAAUUUUUGAUGGUUUUAUGUUGUUAUCUUGUCAUCUUUGGAUGUUGUAUGUACCUUUUAUAUCUUUUUUGGGACUAACUUAUUAAUUCAGUGCCAAGUGCCAGUUCCUGUUUUUUCUAUGUUUUUGGCUCUUUUCAGAUCUGAUUUUGGAACGGAGUCCAAACGGAAUAAAAUCCCCGAAAUAAAUUUUUCCCGAACGGAAGAAGAUCAGGGGGCUUGAGGGCCAAGCCAGGGGAGCUAUAGGGGGCCCACAAGCCCUGUAGCCGCCACCAGGGGGCGACGGCUAGCAGGCUUGUGGCCUUCCUAGCGCCCCCCUGACCUAGCUCCUUCGCCUACAUAUUCCCUAAAAUACAAAAAAAAAUCAGGGAAUCCACGAAAACACUUUUUCGCCGCCGCAAGCUUCCGUUUCCGCGAGAUCUCAUCUGGAGACCCUUCCUGGUGCCCUGCCGGAGGGGACUUUGGAGUUGGAGGGCUUCUACAUCAACAUCAUCGCCCCUCCAAUGACUCGUGAGUAGUUCACUUCAGACCUACGGGGCCGUAGUUAGUAGCUAGANGCUUUUUGUGUUUGUGCACGCACUUGUGAUACUCCUUCACUGGAUCGAUACCUUGGUUCUCAAAACUGAGGGAAAUACUUACCACCGCUGCGCUACAUCACCCUUUCCGCUUCGAGGGAACACCAACGCAAGGCUCCAAGGCCGCGGGGAAAUCCUUUGCAUAUUUGCCUAGGAAGUCCCUAAAGGCCUAGCCGUAGCAGAAGGAUUCGUGGUGCCGUUGCUGGGGAGAAUCAAGACAAGAAUAGUCUCCCGUCAGCAUGUGUUUCUGGCGCCGUUGGAAGGUCUUUUGUUGUAGUAGCAAUGAAGAAGCCCUCUGUAUCCGAAUCCCCCCUCCGACAGGGCACUAGAACGUGCCCCAGAUGGGAUCUUGCGGAGACAGAAGCUUCCGGCAGCGGAAAAGUAUUUUCGUGGAUCUCUCGCGCAUUUUUGGAUUUUUCGUGAAUUUAUAGGCGGAAGAGGUAGGGCAGACGAGCCACAGGGGGCCCACAAGCCUGCUAGGCGCGGGCUCCCUGGCCGCGCCUAGGGGGCUUGUGGCCUCCCUGGUGCCUGUGCCUUGGUUCUCACGUCCCGUGCGUAUCUUCUGUUCCGAAAAAAUAUUUUCGGAAGUUUUAUUCCGUUUGGACACCGUUUAAAAUUCUCCUCUGAAAAGGGUCAAAAACACGGAAAAAACAGGAACUGGCACUUGGCAGUGAGUUAAUAAGUUAGUCCCCAAAAAGAUAUAAAAGACAUACAAAACAUCCAAAGUUUGACAAGAUAAUAGCAUGGAACCAUCAAAAAUUAUAGAUACGUUGGAGACGUAUCAACUGUCUUCAUCACCUUCCUCGUCUCUUUUUAGCGGUCCACUCUCCCCGCACCCCGCUGUAAUCCCCUACUUGAACUCGGUGUUUCAUGACACAUAUUAUUUAUCAAUGAUGUGUUGCCAUCCUAUGAUGUUUGAGUAGAUUUUUGUUGUCCUUUGGGUUGAUUGAUGAUCUUAAUUGGUUUGAGUGUAUGUUUUAUUUGUGUGUUGUCCUAUGGUGUCCUCUGUGCCGCGCACUUGAGGGAUUCUCACUGUAGGGUGUUGCUAUACACUCGAGUAAGGGGAUGGUUGCGUAUGUGAGUAAAGGGGACUUGAUGUUUAAUGCUACGGUUGGGUUUACCUUAAUGAUUUCUAGUAGUUGCAGAUGCUUGUUAGAGGUCUAAUCAUAAGUUCAUAUGAUCCAAGUACGGAGAGUAUGUUAGCUCAUGUCUCUCCCUCAUAUAAAAUUGCAAGAAUGAUUUCCGAUCUUCUUAUGUAUUGCUUAGGAUAAUUCCGCACACCAUACCAUCAUUAUUCCACACUCGUUAUUUGUAAUAUAUUGUGUUAUAUUAUAACUUUAUUUAGGCAGCGACUAUUUCCAUAAUUUUGUUCUCCAAUAUCAUGCUAAGCUAUCCUCUUUAUACCAACAACGUAGUUUUAUUUUUCACUACUAGAUAGAAGCAAAAGCUCGGUGUACGUAGAGUCAUAUCGAUGGCAGAUAGGACUUGGGAGAAUAUUGAUCUUACCUUUAGCUCCUGUGGGUUCGACACUCCAUACUUAUCACUUCCAUCUUUGAAAAGUGCUACGUUGAUUCCUUGCACUUGGGGAUUAUCACUCACGCGCCAUCUUCUCCUAUGAUGGCUGCAACUAUUGUUUGGCGGGCAUUAUAAUGAAGACAAAAGGCAGACAUUAUGAGGACUCCUUCAUAUCGGAUGAGAGGAGGAUGAUCAUUGCAUUUCAUUAUCCACUAUGUUACCUGGUAUAAAGAGAAUAAGCAAAUGACCACAGUGGGUUAUGGUAACGAGACCAUGAUCCUAUCUCCAAGUUGCCUCUCAAAAAAGUCCUACGCGUUGCUCAUGCUCUUAGGUUUGUUUGGUGCAUUUGGUCUAUUCAAGUAAGUAAUGUAAGGUUUUCUCUCAUCUGAUCCCUUCUAAAUAUUGUACAUGUAUCUUCCAGUUAGCCCACUUAACAUCUUGAUUGUGAAUCAUUCGUUAAACACCUAAAAGUGCAAAACGAGGUUAUCCUACACUCCAAGGUAGUUGGGAGUAAUGUUGUUGAUGGCUAUAAAAUGAGAGGAAGGGUUACGACUAACAGAAAACACAAUAAAAGGUAGGCUAACGAAAUUGAUAUGAACACCACUAUGACACAUAUUUUAUUGGUACCACAUAGACCAUGCCAAGUAAAACCAAGUCACUAGAAAACUAGUCCCCAAGACCACACUAACGCUACAUCCAAAAGUACUUUAAAAUUUAUCUAGAUGGAGGUAUGUUUGAAAGGUUUUAUAUCCAAAGAAAAUUUGAACUAAAUAUCCAAACUUUCGAUACAAACUCCCUCGUUUAAACACCUCCUUCUUAAACAGUAAUAUAAACACAUCAACUUUCUUUGUUGGCCUCCCUGAAGUAUUUUUUUUCUAAUCGUAUCACUGGGCACUAUAUAUGGACGCUAAGGACUUUCAUUUUCAUUAAUGAAUGUAAAUUUGAGACACAUAAACAAAUUACAAGUUAAUUGAUUUAGCUUAACAAUGAUUAAUAAGCUUGACACAUGCAUCGAGCUUUUUGAUUUAAACAUCUAUAAACUCACAUCUUUUAGUAUUGAUGCUAGAUAAUUUCUCUCACCUUUAACGUCUGCUCAACAUCUAGACACGCGGAUGUUUUUAUAUGUUUGUGGAGCAACACGUGGUCUUGAAGUUGAGUGUAUCACACACAACUUUUCAUAAAGUUGGAGGGUGCAAAAUAAAGUUGUUCCCACUCCUUAACAGAAAAAAAAGGGAAAUGUUGGAGGACCAAUUGGCAACAAAUGGAGAAUCCCUCCUCGCACCCUCGAGCUCGUUUUCUUGGCCUCCCCCCACCAGCAACCCACCGCACCAAACACCGCCUCCUCCCCGCCGCUCUCCCGCCAUGAAGCAGCUCCACAAGUCCCCCACCCACGCGCCGUCGCCGGCGCACGCGCCGGCGUCCAAGAUCUCCAAGCCCGCGCGCCCCGGGCCGCGCACCUGGGUCGGCUACCUCCUCCGCGAGCAGCGCCUCCUCUUCGUCCUCCUCGGCGCGCUCAUCGCCACCUCCUUCUUCCUCCUCCGCCCCUACCUCUUCUCCCUGUCGGCCUCCAACGCCGCCGACCGCAGCCCCAUCUUCUCCUUCGUCGCCCACUCGUCCGACCCCCGCGGCGUCCCCGCGGGUUUCCGCCCGCCGCCCCGCCGCGUCGUCGUCACCGGCGGGGCGGGCUUCGUGGGCAG
rnacentral:lncRNA from 1 species